rnacentral:lncRNA from 1 species
CUGCACAGUGAAAAGAACAAUCCCCAAGCACAAAAGUCUGGAUGGAGCUUCUUAUCUCCCUACUAAAUAAAAGUAAACCUGGGAAGUUGUACUUUAUCCCACAACUUAACAUUGAUAGAUAGAUUUCUUUGAUCCCAGGUGUAAUGGCACAUUGAAGCCAGCGGUCAACAUAACUAGGUUGGAGAUUCGAACAAGGGUAGGUUUCAAUUACAAACCUCUUCACUCCCAUGCUAGAGUGAUUCUGCAUAAUGUGGUCAACUCUACAUACGAAAUCCCUUUUUAUUUCAUCAUUAGAUGUGUUUACAUUAAUCCCUAGAGAAUCAACAGAAAUAAUGAGAUUUGGAAAGCAUCUCCAAGAACGCAGAAAACCACGAGACACGCAGGCGGCCUGAGCAGCAUCUCGCAAUGGCAUGAGGGCGUGUAUUUGAUGAAGAAUGUCCUGUGAAAAUAACCAUGGGAAAUUUUUCAAAAAAAAAGCAUGAGAAAAAUAACGAACAUCACAAGAUGGUUGUGGUAAUAAUGCUUGUCUGAAGUGAGCAGUAUGGACAAAUUACGAUCGAAUUAGCUAAGGGUCUGUUUGUUUCCACCCUCCUAAAGUUUUAACUCCUAAAAGAUUUUAGGCAGUUUUUAGACACCUCCUAAAGUAUGUUUUGUUCCACCUCCUAAAAGUGACUAAAGGCAAUGAAUGAAGUGGUAAAAUGACCAAGAUGCACCUCUCCCCCACCCCGCGCUGCUCCUCCUCGUCAUCCUCCUCCUCCCGGCCCUCGCGCUCGCCGCGCUGCUCUUGCGCGGGGGCGGGGGCAGCCACCACCUCGCGCUCCUGGCGGCCGCGGCGGGGGCCGCGCUCGCCGCGGCGGCGACCGUCGCGCGGCUCCGCGGCACCCACGCGGGUGCCUUCCAGGCGUGCGCCUCCCCGGCACUAGCGGCCUCCGUGCAGUGGUUCAUCGGGGAGGCGGAGUCGGGCGGCGGGCGGCGGGAGUCGAGCGGCGGGUGCUGCAGCGGCGGCGGCCGGCGGCGGACGGCGGCGGCGGCAGGCGGCGGGAGUUGGGCGGGUGGCGGGAGUCGGGCGGGAGUCUGGCGUGCGGUGGGGGUAUGCGGGGGUAGGAGCGGUCCAGAACCGAUUUUAGUCGGUUUUAGGAGGGGGUGAGGGCCUAAAAGAUUUGGACCUCCUAAAAGAUUUUAGUCACUUUUUAGGAGAAGUGUUUGGCACUUUAGGCAGUUUUUAGUCACUUUUUAGGAGGUAAGGUUUUAGGAGGGUGGAAACAAACAAGCCCUAAAUGUGUUCUGUUUUAAAAAAUACAGUAUUGAAUUGUGCUAUACUGGGGGUAUCCUCAUUUUCAGCAGGUAUAACAUAAAAAGAAUUCACAAGCAACAACCAUCAUAAGAUGAUAAGGCAAGGUAACGACAAUUCAAAAACAUCAACCAUGGACCAUUGUACAACCCUGGACCUCAUAGUGUGAAUGUCAGAUGCACUACCAAGUUCUUAUAAUCCAAAAUGCCACCACCAAGCUAGCAGUAAUGACAGUGGGGGUCGUUAGUUCUAUCACUUGCUAUAUAGUGCUCUGAGAAAAAACUAAUUCAUCCUAAUAACUUACACGAUAUCAUCUCAUACCUCUGGAAGCUGGACCUGUGAUCCCAUUGUUUCGACGCAAUGCGAAAUAUCUCCUUCUAGACUAGGUGAUACCAUUAUUUGAGAUGCCGAACAAUUUGAUCCAUCACCUGCAAAUCAGGAAUGUCAUGAGACAGAAGGGACAAUGGCAAGGAAAACAGCAAACACGAACACAAUUGCACAUGCGCAGCACUUGGCUUAGAUGAUGCUUAAACUUCUGCUCGAGAACAGUUGAGCAGACAGAACCUAGGUUCCAAGAGUUGGGUUAAGAACAUCCUUUAUACGCAAAGUUACCUAAAAAUUAAAUCUUUAUGUGCACAAUCACCUCAAACAUAUGUCUCUGCACAAAAUCAUCAGCGUAGAGGGAUCUUUGUUCGAAACCUAGCCAGGCCACAUGAAUUUACUUAAUUCGACCAGUCCCGUGGCUACUUCUAUCCCAGAAACAGAUGUAGAAAAAUUGUAAAUAAUAAUUGAUAUCUCAUAUGACAGCACUCACUAAUCAUGCAGAUAAGCAACGCAAGCAAACAGACACCAGGAUGCUUACGAGUUAUCUGGACUUGAGGCUGCCCCUCGACGGACAGAGCCUUCAUCUGCUCCAGUAUCCCCAUGUCCGUCGCCCCAACAAUCAAGCCAAGUCUCCGCACCCUAUGGCCCCUCGCCCCCUCUGCCGCUCGUGCAGCAAUCACGGGUCAGGUUUCUGCCGUGAGAAUCGGUACGCCACGGUAGCAGGGAUAUGUGGAGCUGGGUGAAUCUUUGUGGUGCUCGGUUAUCGAGUCCGGUGCCAGAACGGCAGCUCCAAUGUGGAUGCAAAACGAACCGAGGGGAUAAUAAACAAGUAAAGGUUCGAUUUAGGCACUAGGCCUUCCCUGGAAACCGCCGCCCUGGCUGGAAGCCUCGGACCAGCGGCCGCAGCCGAAUCGACCUCUCGACGUCGAGAUGUCGCGGAGGAGGGCCUCGUCCGGCCGUCUCUCUCAGAUAUGGCGACGGCAGAGCACCGGCGGCGGUUGGGAGUGCAGGGAGGCCACGGAGCACGAGCGGGAAAGGAUCUAGGCUCCACCCGCGGUUGGGAGUGCGGAGUUGCGUUUGCGGCGACGGAUUUCGCGGCGGCGGGAGGGAGAUGAAAUGCGACGGACAGGGAGGGGAUCGGAUCGGGUUGGGAUUUGGGAAGGCGACGAGUAGCCGACUCGGCUGGAAGUCGAGCCGGUUCGGCUCGGCCCAGCUUGUAAAGUUAACGAGCUGGCUCGGCAUGGAGAAGUCAGAACUCGAUCCAACCUUCAAGCCUCCUGCCUUAGCGGCAGCGUUUUGAACUUUUUGGAAAGAUACUGCUGGCACUUUUGUAUUUAGCUUUCUGGACUCAAAAAGUUACGAAAAGCUGAGAAAACUGAGGCUCUCAACUUUCCAUAUAAACUCAACUUUUCUAAGCUUCUGGCUUUCAGAAGCUGCACAAGAAGUUUACGGUUUGUUUAAGCUAGUGACUUUUUACGAUAAGAAGCUGUCAAGAAGCUCAAACAAAAACCUCAAGCCAUGUAAAAGUGCCAAUCUUAAGCCAAAGCAAGCGAUCUCAAGUAUCUCACAUUGGAGGAUAUCGAUAGCGCUGAGCCGCCGACGAUGAGCAAGUUGCAUCAUACCCACUCCAACUCUGCUCCUUGUAGCAAAGAGGUUCUGUGUCCACACUCUAACAUCUUCACCCAAGCAUCAUUGGCGCUAGCCUAUGGGUCUGUUUGUUUGAGCUUUCUAGCAGCUUUUCAGCGUGCUGAAAAGCCAGAAGCUCAAACAAAUAGUAAACUUCUCAUAUACCUUCCGGAAAGCUGGAAGCUCAGAAAAGCUGAAUUUAUAUGAAAAGAUGGAAAGCUCAGUUUUAUGACAUAUCAAUGUAAACAGCCGCGUUGAUAUGUCAUGCUCAUAUAAUGAUGGUGUUUAAUUAGCGUGUAGUAGCCAAGUUGUCACAACCUGAACUUUUUGGAUUUCAGGAUAAAAUUUUCCCAACAUUUAUUUUCUUGACAGGAAAUUUAGUAUAGAAAAACAAUUAGUUAUUUUUUUAAAUUAAAUAAAGUUGUUCUUUGUGUGUUGCAUUCUUGCCGAUGCAUUCUGGUGUUUCAUGAGUGCAAAAAGUUUUAAAAUGCGUUUAAAUGACGACCGGUUCUUCUGAGAAUUUUCUAGCUUUUUCUGGAAUUUAUUCUCAUUUUUUCUAGAGCUAAAUAUUUUUAUUAGAAGGCUCUAAAAUAUUUUUCAUCAUCUCCAAGUACUUUAUUUGGAUUCCUCAUGUAUCUAUCUCUGGGAUUUUUCCUUGAAUUUUUUAGAUUUUCAGAAGUAUUUUUCAUGGUUUAAUCGAAUUAUCUAGAUUUUUCUAUUUUUCCUUUCACGAGAAAUUAUUUUUGAAAAUAAUCAAAGCCUAUCUUUUUUUGGGCCAAGCCCGUGGGCUCGACCCGCGUCAGCCCGCUUUGACCCGUCCACCGCUGGCCCACCAGUUGACCCAGGCAGGCAGCGGCGGCCAACCUUAGCUUCCGUGCCAAGUCAGCUGCGCCCCCAUGCCCCUAUAUAAAGCCGCCCCCCUAGGGUCUCUCCUGCUCGUGUUGCCACCACGCGUCGCCCCUCGUCCGUCUAGCGCAGCACUACCGUCGCCAAGGUGCCGCCCGUCUCGGAGGAGAUCACGCCGGUCGUCACCUCCUCCGUUCUCCAUCUUGACUGGCCGAUUUGCCGAGGUUGAGCAUGAGGAGGGCACGGCGAGCAUCGUGAAGCCGAGCCGCAACUGUCCCACCGGUUGCUGCUGUCAUUUCGCCACCGGAGGAGCUCCGCCGCAUGAACACUCGAACUGGCCACCACCAACCAAAUUCCAGCCAUCUCCAUCCAGCCCCGCCAUCGGUGAGCAUACCCCCAACACCCUCUUGACCUCCUCUGUCUACUGCGCCACUUCCGCCUCGCCAUAGCCGGCCGGAGCGCCGCCUAUUUUUGCCGGCCGAGCCACCAUCCGCCAUGGGAGCAAGCUCCCAGAGCUUUUUCAAGUUAGCCCCUAUGCUUUUGCAAGUAGAACCUCGAGCUAAUCUGUAAUAUCUUGCUCCUGAAUAGAUUAGAUCCUUUCAACCUAGUCCAAGCCAUGAUCUUUAACAGAUCUAACCCCAUCCUUUGGGCUUUUUGCGAGCACUAUUAACUGUGUCUUGCAUAUCUUCUUUGCUAAACCUUAAGAUCUAUAGUUAAUUCUAUUUAGAUCCUUUCAACCUUGUUUAGUCCCCAGGCUCCACAUCUUUGCUCCACUAAAGCUCGUUCUUGUUCCGUUAGGUUCACAUCAACUUAAAUUUAAACUAUGUGUUAGAAGGAAGGUUAAUCCUGUUCUGUGUUUCUAAAAUUUAUUUAAAAUAUUAAUAUGAUUAAUUGCUUAUGCACUUGUUUUCUAAUUAAAAGCUAAUUAGACCUUUAUUUCACUUUUAUAAUUAAAUAUUAAUUUGUUUAAUACAUAUUAAAAUAGUUUUAAUUAAUAAAAUCUAAUUAAGUGCUACACCACGGUUGUUCAUAAGUAAACUCAAAUUGAUUAAUGUUUAUUCAAUUUGUUUUCUAAAUAAAAGCUACAUAAGUUAUAUCUCAGGUUUUCAUAAUUAAAUGGUAAUUUGACAAAAAUGAAUAUAAAUGUGUCUUUAAUUAUAUUUGGUUACUUCAACCCGAAUCAUAAAACUAUGCGCUUAGAUGUUUACGAAUACUUUAUUUUCAAAUUAAAUGUUUAAUUUGCAUAAAUUGUACUUGAAUGUUUAUAAAUAAAAUUUGACUAAGUUCUACAUCAUCUUUUCAUAUAUAAAUAUAACUUGCUAAGGAUGUUUAUCUAAAAUAUCUUUACAUUGUUUUCUUUAUUAAAAUACAUUGUUUCUUUCAACCAUAGUUUUGUUUCUAGUGUUUCUUGUGUUCACGUGACCUUAGAUUCAAGCCUUAUCCUCUCGUACGCUCUUUUAAAGCUUUUCUUUGAUUAUUGUAUUAUUCUUAGUUGUAUUUGUUUGUUUGCUUUGUAUGCUUGUGCCAAUGAUUGCUUCGAGUAGAAGGAUUGCUGUUCGAAAGCUUUGAAGAUUAAGAGUUUCAAGAAAGCAAGAGCUGAUAAGCAGUAAGAGUAACUUUUCGUUGAAGAAAGGCAAGUGUCCCUAACCAUCUUUCUAUCUAUGCUUAUUUACAAGAAUACCAUGUAUUAAUUGGAACAUGGAGAACCACCCAGGAAAACAGUGCAACCACAAGGACUACAUGGCUCUAAUCUUGGCUAAUUAGUUAGAGACUCUAGUAUGGGGUAAUCUUACUGAAAGGGCAAGAGGGGAGGCAUUGAUGGGAUAUAGCCCGGCCCUCAGGCUGAUUUGCUCUAUGGUAACUUCGCAGUCUUGAUAGAGGUUUAUGCUCUGCUUGUUAGAGGAAUGCCCUAGAGGCAAUCAUAGAGAUGAUGAUAUUCCAUUUGUAUCCAUGAUUUAUAUAUUGUAUUCCUUGAAUAUCCAUUAAAGGCUACUUGAAUUGAUUUGCAAUUAUGUGAAUUGUGUGUGAAACUCUUUACUUGUAUGGUUAUUCUAAAGUUGUCCCUAGUCGGAGUUCAUGUGAGGACACACAUGAAUAUUAGACUAGCACAUGUAUUAGUUUAUGACUAUGUUUCACAAGUCAUGGACAUGGAGAUGUUGAACUAAUAAUGUGGGCACAUGUGGAGACAUGUGCUAGGACUGACCCAACACGAGAAGUAGUUCUCUCUUUAAACAACAUAUAUGCUUUGUCCUUAGACCUGAGAUUGUCGAUGUAUUCAAGAUGUGGAUCGACCUACUUAGGGGCUAUCAAACGCUAUGCCGUAACAGGGUAGUUAUAAAGGUAGCUUUCGAGUUUGUCAAGAAGCAUGCUAUGAGACAUGGUCAAUCAAGAUGGGAUUUGCCCCUCUCUGCUUGAGAGUGAUAUCUCUGGGCCCCUCGAGUGAUCGGAUCAAAAAAUGCAUGGCCAUGCUACGUACGGUUAAGAGUUAACCUACAAAGGGAUUCUGAAUCACAGGAUCGAGAAAGAGCGGUCGGCUUGAAGCUAGACCAAAUAUCGUGAGGCAAAGGGAAUAGCAUAUAUAUUAUGUUGUGAUGGUUCGUCUGAUACGAUCUUCGUAUGCGUAUAGGAGUUGGCACGUCUUGUUAGAGGCUGCUACCGACUAUUGGGCCGAGUAGGAGUACUCGGUCCAUGUCUAUACGUAUCCGAACCCAUAGGGUCACACACUUAAAGGGCUGGAAGCCCAAUUCGGAUGUGAUCCGAGUUGGAUUAGGUUUAGAAGUACUAAUGGGCCUCGGACCCAGAGGCCCGUUAGGAACCUCUAUAAAUAGAGGGGUGGGGGCGCCCUAGGGUUUACACCUUUUUGGCGAAACACAUCUGCCGCGCCUCCCACGCCCUCGCCUGUUGCAACUCGCGGAUCUAGCAGUCUAGCUUGCGAUGCUUCCUCCCUGCACGUGUGGAUACCUUAGAGGUGUUGCGCCUGCAGCACUUGGACGAGCCGCCGACGAGCCAUGACGAGCCGACGACGAGCCGCGGCACGAAGGAGAUCUUGCUGCACGUGGAUGAGCUGCUGAGGAGUUGCUGAACGUCGACGUGAUCGACUACGUACAACUACGCUGAUCCACUUCGCUGCAUCGAUGCGAAUCUACAUCUUCCGCACCAGUAGUGCGUCGAGUGGUAAUCCUGUGAUCCUUAUACGGCAGUUUUCCUGGUUUACGUGGUAGAAAAUUUUGUUUUGCGCUAGUGUAGCCUACCUCGCAUCCCAACAGUGGUAUCAGAGCCGUAGCUGCUUUGUUUUGGAUUCGGGAUGUGUGCAUAUGGAGAUAUGCGAGUUUUCAGUUUGAUCUAUGUCCUUGUUUCGUGUUCUUGCUGCAAUGGUAGUGUAACGACAUACUCCUAGCGGUCAGGUUUCCGCCAUCGGAGUUAAGUGAUACACGUAAUUCCAGUUGCAUUGAGCGAAGAUUAAUGUGAUUGGUCGAAUCAAAAUCCAGGUUCAUACGCUAGGCGCAUGAGAUGUGCAAUAGUAGAUGGGAUCUACUGUCGGGGUCGGGAUUUUGCCGUGUGCGUAUGCUUCGGUAAAUCUGCCGUAACUUUUCGGUACGAUCUCGGAUCGGGGCAAAUUUUAUAUGAAAAUUGAUCUACAGAAAAAGUUACACAUGAAAUUCAACCGCUUCGCUAUCUUCGGCGAAAUUAGAUUUCCCAAAUUCGGCUUGGAAGAUGGAGUUUCGGGCAUCUGAAGUUUGGAACGUUAGGACGCUUAACUCUGUUUUGCAGGAUGUAUAUAUGUAUCUUGUGAUCAGUAUGGCCCCUUUGUGUAUGUGAUGCAUGUGUGUAACUCAUUCGUGACUUGCGUGUCGCGCGUACGGCAACACGGCAGGAGACAUAUGUGUUGUCACCUUAAUGUAUUUAAUGGUCUGCGUACCAAUCUGUGAUGAUCCAAGAAACUAUGUAAUCUUCAUUACUAGCUUCCUUACUAGCUAUUAGGCGUAAUAGCAUGUUCUAGUUCUUGGAGGACUCAUCACCAGGAGGAUGGCGCACAUGGAACAUGGAGAUGGAGAUCACCAUGGUGAAUAGGUUCUAUGGAGAUGGAGAUCACCAUAUGAAAACGGGCCAUACUGUGUCACAACUGUAUGAAUGCUAUUCUGUUUAUGUUUUACUUUCUGCAUGCUGUGAUGUUAGAAGUAGAACGAUCCCUCACAAAGUUUAAGUUAGUAUGCCCUCCCAACUAAAACUUGCACCGUCCCAUGUCUUGUACAAUUAGUGGUGGGUCUAUGAAAAUAGGGUGCCACUAGUUUUCCUUGAUUAGAUGAGUUUGUGUCGGACACUUACACGCAUAAGGGUUGGUUUGCUUAACAAGGUUAACUUAACGGUUAAGGACCUUGGGGCAUAAAGGUUGGGCGCCGAGACAUAGAGAUGUCACCCAACAACAGGAGUCAUAUGUGAUAUGAUUAGCAAAAGUUGCUUACCGAUCUACCUUGUUUUGCUAGCGGUGAUGCUAAAGUUUACUAGUAGACUUGUUAGUUGUGGAUCCUGAAUCACUAAGUAUCAAUAGAGGGAUAUUGAUUUUAGUGGGAGUAGAUUCUAUUAAAAUAGUUUAAUGUGAUUUGCUCUAUCAUGGAUAUGUUUGUCUUAGUGUAUUUUGCAUUACUUUUGUUGUAGAUUAAAUGGCACCUAGCAACACCACACCAUUUGCUUUGCGUUCGGUCCUUGAGAAGGACAAGUUGAAUGGAACAAACUACUCGGAUUGGAUCCGUAACCUGAGAAUUGUUCUCAGGGCCGAUAAAAAGGAAGAUAUUCUAGACACCCCACUACCACCAGUACCUGCUGAUGAUGCAUCUGCUAUCGUUAAGGCUGCUUACAAGAAGGCAUUUGAUGCUAAUCUUGAGGUAAGCUGCCUUAUGCUUGCUUGCAUGGAACCCGAGCUGCAGAUGCAGUUCGAAACAAAUCAUGAGGCACACGAUAUAAUCGUGGCGCUCAAGGACAUGUUCCAGACACAGGCUAGGACUGAAAGGUUCAAUGUGUCCAAAGCCUUUUUGGAGUGCAAGCUAGCAAAAGGCGCAGCAGUAGGACCACAUGUAAUCAAGAUGGUUGGUUACACUCAGCGAUUGGAGAAGCUGGGCUUCCCAAUGGGCAAAGAGUUGGCCACUGACUUCAUUCUUUCAUCUCUUCCGCCUAGCUAUGGGAACUUCAUCUCGAACUACCAUAUGCAUGGGACGGAGAAGGGUCUGAAUGAACUGUGUGGUAUGCUCAAGACAACAAAGGUAGACAUUAAGAAAAGCGCUAGUACCAGCCAUGUGAUGGUUGUACAGAACAAGCCUACCUUCAAGAAGAAGGGCAAUUUUUGGAAGAAGAAGGGUAAGGCUGGAGUGUCUAAGCCAAACCCAGCGCCCAAGGCUAAAGCUGGACCUGCUCCAGAUAAAGAGUGCUUUUAUUGUCACGAACCUGGUCACUGGAAGAGAAACUGCAAGCAGUACGUAGCUUCGUUGAAGAAUGGCGGAAGUAAGAGUACUUCUACCUCAGGUACGCUUGUUGUUAAUGUUAUAGACAACAUUUUUCUCGCUGAUACAAUUAUUAAUUCUUGGGUAUUUGAUACCGGAUCGGUUGCUCAUAUUUGCAAUUCGAUGCAGGGAAUGAAAAUAAGUAGAAGCGUGGAAAGAGGAGAAGUUGAUUUCCGCGUGGGCAAUAAUGCAAGAGUUGCUGCGUUGACCGUCGGGACGAUGCAACUCCACCUCCCAUCAGGAUUUAUUAUGGAGUUGAAUAAUUGUUAUUUCGUUCCUAGUUUAAGUCGAAACAUUUUGUCUCCUUCAUGCUUGAUGAAGGAUGGUUAUUCAUUUGCGAGUGAAAACAAUGGUUGUGUGAUCUCUAAGAAUGAUAUGUUUAUGGCUUUUGCACCCAUUGUGAAUGGAUUAUUUGUUUUAAAUCUUGAUGGUUCAUCUGUUUGUAACGUAAGUGCUAAAAGGCCUCGGCCUAAUGAUUUGAGUCCUACCUACUUGUGGUAUUGUCGUUUGGGUCAUAUAAGUGAAAAGCGUAUGAAGAAGCUCCAUUUUGAUGGACUUCUAACUUCGUUUGAUUUUGAAUCAUACAAGACAUGUGAGGCUUGCUUACUAGGCAAGAUGACCAAGACACCUUUCACAGGAUUUCCUGAGAGAGCAGUAGACUUGUUGGAACUCGUACAUAGUGAUGUAUGCGGACCAAUGAGCACGAUGACUAGAGGAGGAUUCCAAUACUUCAUAACUUUCACUGAUGAUUUUAGUAAAUAUGGCUAUGUCUACUUGAUGAGGCACAAGUCUAAAACCUUUGAAAAGUUCAAGGAAUUUCAGAAUGAAGUUGAAAAUCAGCGUGGAAAGAAAAUUAAUGCCUUACGAUCUGAUCGUGGAGGCGAGUAUUUGAGCCACGAGUUUAGCAAUCAUCUAAAGAGUUGCGGAAUUGUUCCACAACUUACGCCGCCUGGAACACCUCAGAGAAAUGGUGUAUCCGAGCGACGUAAUCGAACUUUGUUAGACAUGGUUCGAUCAAUGAUGAGCCAGUCGGACCUACCGUUGCCAUUUUGGGGAUACGCUCUAGAAACAGCAGCUUUCACACUUAAUAGGGUACCAUCUAAAUCCGUAGUUAAGACACCAUAUGAGAUGUGGACUGGAAAGGUUCCCAGUUUGUCUUUUCUAAAGAUUUGGGGAUGUGAAGUGUUUGUCAAGCGACUUCAGUCAGACAAGAUCACACCCAAUUCGGAUAAGUGCAUUUUCGUGGGAUAUCCAAAGGAAACUUUGGGAUAUUAUUUCUACAACCGGUCAGAGAGCAAAAUGUUUGUUGCUCGGAAUAGGGUUUUCCUAGAGAAAGAGUUUCUCAAAGGAGAAAAGAGUGGAAAGACAGUGCAUCUUGAAGAAGUUCAAGAUGAGCCGAUCGGGCAAGAAUCAAUGAGUGAUGCUAACAUAGCAGAACAAGUUGAGAUACCCAUGGCAAGAGAAGCACCGCCACAACCACGAAGGUCGGCAAGGCUCCGCGAAAUGCGGGAAAUAUUAUUGUUGGACAAUGAUGAGCCUGCGACAUAUGCAGAAGCAAUGAUGGACCCAGACUCCGAAAAAUGGCAGAGUGCAAGUGGAUCUAUAAGAAGAAAAAAGACAUGGAUGAAAAUGUUCACAUCUAUAAAGCACGACUUGUCGCAAAAGGUUUUCGACAAGUUCAAGGAGUUGACUACGACGAGACUUUCUCGCCCGUAGUGAUGCUUAAGUCCAUUCAGAUUAUUCUAGAUAUAGCUGCAUAUUUCGAUUAUGAGAUAUGGCAGAUGGAUGUCAAGACAGCUUUCCUGAAUGGAAACCUAGCUGAGGACGUGUAUAUGAUACAGCCUGAGGGUUUUGUCAAUCCGAAAAAUGCUGGAAAGGUAUGCAAGCUUCAGAGAUCCAUUUAUGGAUUGAAGCAAGCAUCUAGGAGUUGGAACAUUCGUUUUGAUGAUGUGGUCAAAGGGUUUGACUUCACCAAGAACGAAGAAGAGUCUUGUGUUUACAAGAAGGUUAGUGGGAGCUCUGUAGUAUUUCUAAUCUUAUAUGUGGAUGACAUAUUGCUGAUUGGAAAUAACAUUUCUAUGCUUGAGUCCAUAAAGACUUCACUGAAAAAUAGUUUUUCGAUGAAAGACUUAGGGGAAGCGGCAUAUAUUCUGGGUAUUAAGAUCUAUAGAGAUAGAUCGAGAAGGCUUAUAGGAUUAAGCCAAGAUACUUACAUUGACAAAGUGUUGAAGCGGUUCAGCAUGGAAGAGGCAAAGAAAGGGUUCUUGCCUAUGUCACAUGGCAUACAUCUCAGCAAGACUCAGUGUCCUUCGACUGCUGAUGAGCGGGAUCGCAUGAGUAGAGUGCCAUAUGCCUCGUCUAUUGGAUCUAUCGUGUAUGCAAUGAUAAGUACUCGCCUAGAUGUUUCAUAUGCGCUAAGUAUGACAAGCAGACACCAGUCUGAUCCAGGUGAGAGUCACUGGACAGUGGUGAAAAACAUUCUUAAGUACUUGAGAAGGACUAAAGACAUGUUCCUCGUCUAUGGAGGUGAGGAGGAGCUCGUUGUAACAGGUUACACCGAUGCUAGUUUCCAAACCGACAGAGAUGAUUCAAAGUCACAAUCAGGAUUUGUGUUCACGCUAAAUGGUGGUGCUGUUAGUUGGAAGAGUUCCAAGCAGGAGAUGGUGCCCGAUUCUACGACAGAAGCCGAGUACAUCGCGGCUUCGGAAGCCGCGAAGGAGGGUGUUUGGAUAAGAAAUUUCCUCAUUGAGCUUGGUGUGUUCCCGAAUACGUCCAACCCAUUGAAUCUCUACUGUGAUAAUAAUGGGGCAAUUGCGCAAGCAAAGGAGCCAAGGAACCACCAGAAGAACAAACACGUAAUGCGGCGAUUUCAUCUCAUUCGAGACUUCGUUAACCGGGGUGAGAUCAAGAUAUGCAAAAUACACACGGAUCUGAACAUUUCUUAUCCGUUGACAAAACCACUCCCGCAGGCUAAGCAUGAUGCACAUGUAAGAGCUAUGGGUAUUAGGUACCUUCUAGAUUGACUGUAGUGCAAGUGGGAGACUUUUGGAGGUAUGCCCUAGAGGCAAUCAUAGAGAUGAUGAUAUUCCAUUUGUAUCCAUGAUUUAUAUAUUGUGUUCCUUGAAUAUCCAUUAAAGGCUACUUGAAUUGAUUUGCAAUUAUGUGAAUUGUGUGUAAAACUCUUUACUUGUAUGGUUAUUCUAAAGUUGUCCCUAGUCGGAGUUCAUGUGAGGACACACAUGAAUAUUAGACUAGCACAUGUAUUAGUUGAUGACUAUAUUUCACAAGUCAUGGACAUGGAGAUGUUGAACUAAUAAUGUGGGCACAUGUGGAGACAUGUGCUAGGACUGACCCAACACGAGAAGUAGUUCUCUCUUUAAACAAUAUAUACGCUUUGUCCUUAGACCUGAGAUUGUCGAUGUAUUCAAGAUGUGGAUCGACCUACUUAGGGGUUAUCAAACGCUACGCCGUAACAGGGUAGUUAUAAAGGUAGGUUUCGGGUUUGUCAAGAAGCAUGCUAUGAGACAUGGUCAAUCAAGAUGGGAUUUGCCCCUCUCUGAUUGAGAGUGAUAUCUCUGGGCCCCUCGAGUGAUCGGAUCCGAAAAUGCAUGGCCAUGCUACGUACGGUUAAGAGUUAACCUACAAGGGGAUUCCGAAUCACAGGAUCGAGAAAGAGCGGUCGGCUUGAAGCUAGACCAAAUAUCGUGAGGCAAAGGGAAUAGCAUGUAUAUUAUGUUGUGAUGGUUCGUCUGAUAUGAUCUUCGUGUGCGUAUAGGAGUUGGCACGUCUUGCUAGAGGCCGCUACCGACUAUUGGGCCGAGUAGGAGUACUCGGGCCAUGUCUAUACGUAUCCGAACCCAUAGGGUCACACACUUAAGGGGCUGGAAGCCCAAUUCGGAUGUGAUCCAAGUUGGAUUAGAUUUAGAAGUACUAAUGGGCCUCGGACCUAGAGGCCCGUUAGGAACCUCUAUAAAUAGAGGGGUGGGGGUGCCCUAGGGUUUGCACCUUUUGGUGAAACACAUCUGCCGCGCCUCCCACGCCCUCGCCUGUUGCAACUCGCGGAUCUAGCAGUCGGGCUUGUGACGCUUCCUCCCUGCACGUGUGGAUACCUUGGAGGUGUUGCGCCUGCAGCACUUGGACGAGCCGUCGACGAGCCACGACGAGCCGACGAUGAGCCGCGGCACGAGGGCGAUCUUGCUGCACGUGGACAAGCUGUUGAGGAGCUGCUGGACGUUGACGUGAUCGACUGCGUACGACUACGUUGAUCGACUACGUACGACUACAUUGAUCGUCUUCACUGCAUCGACGCAAAUCUACAUCUUUCGCACCAGUAGUGCGUCGAGUGGUAAUCCCGUGAUCCUUAUACGGCAGUUCUUCCUGGUUUUACGCGGUAGAAAUUUUGAUUUGCGCUAGUGUAGCCUACCUCGUAUCCCAACAUCCACCUGCCCGCAGAUCUAGGAGGUCAAGGGCUCCCCACGCCAUCCACAAGAUCCACGAUUUCCUCAACCCCUCCAGUCCUCCGCCGUGCUCCCAAAGAUCCGUCGGUUCCUCAUGGCGGGCAACGACGACAACGGAUUGGAGGAUUUGUUCCUCCAGGCCGAUCCACAAAUUCCCCCCUGCCAAAUCGAUUUUUUCUCUCAGUCCGAGUCUUCCAGUGCCCCCCGUCACGGCUUGGAGAACUUGGACCUCAACUCCCAGGCUGAGGAGUUCCCAGAUUUGAGCACGUACUCAGACUACCUUCGGGGAGAUGAUGUUCCCUAGGGCCGUGGUAGCCGUAUUUUUGGCAUACGCGCGGCUCGAAAUGCAGGUCCAAGUGGUGGAGGAUUCAAAGGAGCUGGUGGCAGUAGAGGGGCCGGUAGGAGCAGAGGGGUUGGUGGCAGCAGAGGGCCUGGCGGCAGCAGAGGGGCCAGCUCCAGUCAAGGUGCAGGCGGCAGCAGGGUGGCCGGCGGCAGCAGAGGGCCUGGUAGCAGAGGUGGAGUAGGGCGUGCAAGGUCAUUGUUUGGUGGUGGUGGUUCUGGCAGUGCAGGUCGUGGAGGAGGCUGUCGAGGUGGUUCUCGUGGUGGAGGGAAUUCAGACCCUCCAGAAGAUGUUUUUGAUGUCUAUGAACACAAUGUCAUUGACGAUGCAGCUGUGGAAGUUGUGUUUUCUGCCUCAAAGGUAAAAUCUUCAUACUUCAUCCCCUGGUAGAAGUGAGUUAGUAGGAUUGUAUAGUGAAUUACUGCCUAGAUCAUGUAUCCUAGUAUGAAAUUAGGGUGCAUUUAGAACUUCAUACUUUCUGAAAUUAUGAAUUGCUGCAAUUGUGACUUGAUGAAAAUGUGGCUUGAUGAAAUUGUGAUUUUCUGAAAUUGUGACUUGCUGAAAUUGUGAGCUGAUGAAAUUGUGAGUUUCUGAAAUUGUUGCUUCAUGUAUUCUGCAAUUUGUGUCUAGAUAAAUUGAUUAAUUAGUUGCUGAAAUAGUUGCCUACAUACUACCUGAAUUAGUUGCUGAAUUACUUUGUUGACUUCAAUUAGUGUGUUGCCUUGAAAUUCAGUCAACUUUUUAGGAACUAUAUUGCCUAGUUUACAGUACAGUAAUUUUUUUGUAUUGGUAUCCAAUAGAUUAAAAAUGACAAAGCACAGUGGACAGAAAGGAAUACUGGGAUAUUCUGUGAUUUGUCAGUUGAGCAAAUUAGACAAGAAAACUGUCCCAAAGGAAACAUGUCCACUAGAGGGCUGAAGAUAAUUCAGGAAAAGUACUACAUGGCUACUGGUUUGAAGCAUGACCUCGGACAGUUUAGGAAUAGAAGAGAUCAAUUGAAAAGGGUAUAUACCUUUUGGAAAAGCCUACAGAAAGAAUCAGGUCUAGGUAGAAAUUCAUAUGGGACAGUGCUAGCUCCAAGCUAGCGGUGGGAUAUACACACAGAGGUGAGAGAUAAAUUUUCAACUAACCCUUUAAUUUCCAGGAUGUAGUGCUCCUGACUUAGAAUGACAUCUCACUUGCAGAAACGUCCUGAUUUGAGGAAGUUGCAGCAUGGUCCUCCAGAGUACUUAGAUCAGUUAGAAGAAAUGUUUCAUGAAACUGCAGUUGAUGGAAGCACAGCAUACAUUCCAGAAGUUGAGGAGGAGGAAGAAGAAGAUGGUGAAGAUGAUGACAUUGGAGACCCUUCAGUUGGUGGAGAGGACUGUGAUGCUCAACAUGCCUCUUUCUAUGACAGCACAAAGAGCUCAAACACCAGGAAGAGGUCUAAUGCAAGCACAAAGUCAACUGCUACUAGCCCUCCCAAGAAAUCAAGAAGCCCAAUGAUCAAUGCAGUGACUAAUUACUUCAACAGGCAAUCAGAGAAGGAUGAUGUGACCCAUAGUAUUUUCCGGAGUGUUGGUGCAUCAAUUGUUAAAUUCACAGAAGAUAAAAGGCAGAAGAUGAACACCAAUGUAGUGGCAGAUGAAGUUAGGAGAUGCCAACAGUUAGCACUAGAUUGUGGUGCAAGCAAGGAUAGUGCUGAAAUGUUUGCAUGUUGGGACAUAUGCAAGGAUCAAUACAACAGGGAAUUCUUCUGCAACCUUCCUGAUUCUGAGGCUAGGAUGGCUUUUUUGAAAAGAUGGUGCAAGAAGAACUUAGACUAGAAUUUAGUAUACAAUUUAUUAGUAAACUUAUGUGGCUGUUUGAACCUUCAAUUGUUGGUUUGUGAACAUGUUAUUGUGGCUUGUAGAACAUGAAUUUGUGGCUGUUUGAACAUGUGGCUGUUUGAAUAUGUGGCUGUCUGAACAUGUGGUUGUUUGAAUAUGUGGCUGUUUGAGUACGUGGCUGUUUGAAUUUGUGGCUGUUUGUUUUUUGUAGCUGUUUGAACAUGUGGCUGUUUGAAUAAUAAUGUGCCUCUUAUGGAGUUGUUUGACUAAUGCAUGACUAAUUUUUUUUGUAAUGGUCAAUUAGGAUGAUGGUGAAGGAGAUUCUGAUGAUGAAUUUAUAAAUAUGGCGUGCAAGUUUAUGGAGAUGGAAAUCAUACGUCGAAAGAGGAAUCGAGAGAUUAUGGAGUUCUCAAUAAUGCUUGGUACGUGCUAUGACACUUACUUCAACAAAGGGCCACCUAGGGUACCCACUGUACCGGGCAUACAAUGGGUGCAAGAGACACUAUCAAAUGCAACUUCAUGCUACAAAAUGUUUAGGAUGUCUUGCACUUUAUUUCAUCAACUUCAUGACCUGUUGGUUGAGUCUUAUGGUUUGAGGGCAACUAAAGAAUGUCAACGAUGGAGGCUUUAGCUGUGUUCCUAUGGAUAAAUGGUGCGCCCCAAUCACUAAGACAAGUUGCGGAUCAGUUUGUAAGGUCAUUGGAAAAAAUAAGCCGCACAUUCGAUAUUGUUUUGUCAUGUGUUAUUAAGCUAGCAGUAGAUAUAGUUAGGCCAAAGGACCCUCAGUUUACAACAAUUCACCAGAGGUUGAGAAACCCUAGGUAUGCUCCAUAUUUCAACAAUUGCAUAGGAGCUACAGAUGGGACUCAUGUACCAGUUGUGGUGCCAAAUAAUAAGGUGGUUCAGCAUACGGGCAGACAUGGAUAUCCUACACAGAACGUGCUUGCCAUUUGUGACUUCGACAUGAGAUUCACAUUUGUUGUUAGUGGAUGGCCUAGAUCAGUUCAUGAUAUGAGAGUAUUCACUGAUGCCUUAAAUAAAUUUGCUGACAAGUAUCCGCACCCUCCUCCAGGUACAACUUUGCUCAUAACAUGUUGUGAAAAUCAUUUAUAUGCCAAUAUUGCUAACCAUAUUCUCUGUACAUUUGUAGGAAAGUUUUAUCUAGUAGACUCUGGAUAUCCUAACCGCCCGGGGUAUCUUGCACCAUACAAAGGUACGAAGUACCACCUUCCUGAGUUCCAUAGUGGCCCAAAUCCGAAAGGUAUGAAAGAGACGUUUAAUUACGCGCAUUCAUCACUUAGAAAUGUUAUUGAGAGGUCGUUCGGAGUUUUGAAGAUGAAAUGGAGGAUUUUAUUAGGAAUUCCAAGUUUUCCAAUGGAAAAGCAAAGCAAAAUAAUAGUAGCAUGUGUGGCACUUCACAAUUUCAUUAGGGAGAACGAUAAUGCGGAUAGGGCCUUUCAUAUGUGUGAUCGUGAUGAAAAUUUUAUUCCUUUGGCCGAAGAAUCAAGCAUUGAAGGACAUGAGGGAAAUACCGAAGAGUCAGACGGAGAUCAAAAUAUGAACGAAUUCCGUGAUAAUAUAGCUAAUGGUUUGUUCAAUAGAUUGUAGAGGUUUUGUAUUUUUGAGUUGUAAUGACAUUGACGAUGGACUGUGCUUACUGUUUAUUGGACAUUGCACUAGAAUUUUGUUGACAAAGGCGGCAGCAAAGGACCGGCAAAAUAAAAAAAAAAGAGCCAGCAAAAAAAAAACGACAGCCAGCACUUGUGUGCCAGAGGCAGCACUUGCGCGCCACAACCAGCGCUCGCGCCAAAACCACAGCAGGGGCAACGCUAGAAACAGGAGUAAUUAGGGGUACAAAAAUUAUUUUCCCUCUAACAUCCUAAAGAUUAGGAUUCCAUCCAAACAGCCCACUCCUAAAUUUUAGGACUACCAAUUUCUAGCUCCUAAACUUUAUGAGUGUCCUAAAGUUUAUGAGUGUGUAUCAAAACAUGCCCUUAACAGGCCCUUAAGCUAGGACAUACUCCCUCGUUAUUUCAUCGUCCUAGGGGAAUUUGCUUAUAUCUUGAAUAAACAAACAAUAAAAGUCAUGAGAGAUCAUGGUUGGAAUCUGCGUUACACAUUCACGAGUAACCUCGCAUUGGAAUUUGUCCAUUUAAGAAAUUUACCACCUGCAGUUAUAACUGUUGUUGCAAGUUUGUAUGAAGUUGAUGGUUCAUAACAAUAAUUAUCUUGUUGAACUACAUAGGUCAAUUCCAGCUCCAACAGCCGUGUCUAUGUGAGCAAUGCACUACCGGAAACCGAGCUAAUGCCGAGUGUUUUUCCAUUUGCCGAGUGCAAACUAUCGGGCGCUCGGCAAAAUGCAUAUUUGCCGAGUGUAUCCAAAUAAACACUCGGCAUUCAAAAAACACUCGGCAAAACACACAUUUGCCGAGUGCCACAAAAAAAACACUCGGCAAAACGUGACUAUUACACUCGGCAAAACGCCACACUCGGCAAAGCUAUAUCACGUGACAAAGCUAUAUCACGUGACAAACACGCGCGGCCGCCGUUACGCUGCGGGGCCGCCGUUUGCACUUUGCCGAGUGCCCGUUAGCGGCACUCGGCGAACCAUUGCUUUGCCGAGUGUCGGUCCCAGCAGCACUCGGCGAACCUUUGCUUUGCCGAGUGUCGGUCCCAGCGGCACUCGGCGAAUCGUAGCUUUGCCGGGUGUUUUUUUGUAGACACUCGGCGAAAUAGUAAUUUUUUUCCUCCCCUGCCCUCCAAACUUUUUCCACUCUCGACACACAACAUGUGAUACUACAUGUUCAAAUUCCAUAUAUUGUUGGAUCAGUUUGCUAUAUUUAAUAAAUUUAUAGCGCAUAUAGGAUUUUUUCGGUUACGGGCAAAUUUGAACUGCAAGUGUUUUAAAUAAUGGAAUAAGUUCAGUGGAAAAAUCCGAUUCAUGUUAGUGAGUCCACUCUGGGGUCUUACCCAUAAAAAUGAAAAGGAAUAUCGAACAUCUUGGUCACAAAAUACGACCACAAACGUGUGGUCCAAUGAUUUAUAAAUUCUAGAAAAAACAAACGAACUCUGAAAAUCACAAGAUUUCUCAAGAUCUCAUGAUGUCAUCCAUGGAGAUUUUGGAAAACAAAUUGAGAAGGUUUCGCACCUUCUGUCACGUACGACGCUAACAAAUCGGAGCAUCUCGAGAGAAUAGUCUAGAAGUUCAUAAUGAACUGUUAAGAUUUGGAGUCAAAGUGACGGUCGAAUUAGAGUGGACUUCAAAACUUUUUGUAUAGGCAAUGGACAAUAUAGAUUGGUUCCUUUCAAAUUUUGAGAAUUUUUCAUAUCCGUUUGAUAAUUUUAAUGUAUUAACUCCAAUUAUAGAUUUUAAAUUGAGAUAAAUUAAAUUUGAGCUAUAACAGCCUAAAAUAAUGGAACAAUAUUCAUAUAAAAAUCAAAUAUGUAUUGUUAAGUGAAUUUGACCAUGUUUUUUGAAGUACAUCGAACAAAUUUAGUAAAGCACGUUAGAUGUGGUAUAUAUACAUGAAAUAUAAAAGGACUUUGCCGAGUGUAUCAAUUGUUGCCGACUGUUUCCAGAAAUACACUCGGCAAACAUGGAGUACGGGCCCACCAACAGCGCAUAUACGGUUCCCCAGGUGUUUAAAAAAAAUUAAAAAAAAAGUUUGCCGAGUGCUCUGGAUCUGGGCACUCGGCAAAACCAAGUUUGCCGAGUGUUCUGGAUCUGGGCACUCGGCAAACUCGGACUGUAUAGCACCGGUAGCACAGUACGCGCAAACUCAGUGAGGCAGUUUUCCAAAACUCGACACCGCCGCCUGCCCCGUACGCGCUGCCGCCGCACCCGCCAUCGCCGCCGCACCCGCCGCCGCCGCCCAGUCCGCCCCGGCCGCCCCUCCGCCCCUCUGCCCCGGCCGCCCCCGGCGGCCCUCCCCCGGCCGGCUCCCUUCCCAGCCCGGCCGCCCCUCCCCUGCCCGCGGCCCUCCCCCUCCCUCGGCGGCCCUCCACCGGCCGUCCGCCCCUCUGCCCCGGCCGCCCCCGGCGGCCCUCCCCCGGCCGGCUCCCUUCUCGGCCUGGCCACCCCUCCCGUGCCCGAGCCCGGCGGCUCUUUCCCGUUGGCUCUCCACCGGCCGGCCGCCCCUCCACCGGCCGGCGGCCCUUCACCGGCCAGCCGCCCCUCCACCGGCCGGCGGCCCUCCCCCGGCCGGCCAACCCUCCCCCGGCCGGCCAGCUCUCCUCCGGACGGCUCUCCCAGUAAUUCAUUAUUUUGAAAUUAGAAAUUAUUAGAAAUUAAGAAUUAGGAAUUAGGAAUUAGAAAUUCUAUUUUGAAAUUAGGAAUUAGAAAUUAGGAAUUAGGUAUUAGAAAUUAGAAAAUGACUUUACGUUUAGAGAUGAAUUAGAAAAUGACUUUCUUUUAGAAAAGAUAGAGAGGUGGUAUUGUAAGGACUUUGCUUUUAGAGAUGAAUUAGAAAAUGACUUUCUUUUAGAGAAGAUAGAGAGGUGGUAUUGUAAGGAGUUUAAUUUUAGAGAUGAAUUAGAAAAUGAUUUUCUUUUAGAGAUGAAUUAGAAAAGGACUUUGUAAGUUAAAAUCCAUGUCGAUAUAAUGCUAUUGUACCAAACACUUGCAAUAAAUGUGGUUGUCGGCCAUCGUGCCGUCACUUUGGUGAGAAUGUGGUUGUCGGCCAUUGUGCCAUUUUUUUGUUGCAGGUUUUGGUAAAACCUCCCCGUGCAGGGGAGGUGCUGCCGAAAUUUCGACUUAACAGUACAAUGUUCUUUUCUUGCAGGAGAGGCUCACAAGGACCGUCCUCGACUCGUCACUUUGUAGGAUAGCAAGGUGAGGCAUCUUACACUUCUCUUUCCGUUUGAUGUUCGUAUAUCACGUAACCUAGUUAGGCGUCUCCCGUUCGAAAGAGAUAUGGUUGCAAAUAUGCAAAUAUUUGCAUAUCUAUAAUCGUAUCUGUUUCGAAUUGUCCAUGUUUUUUGGACAGCUUGAGGAUCUGUCGGUGCGGUUAGUUUCCAUGCUCUACUUCGAUCCGUGAUAGAGUUUUGGCAGCACCUUCCUGUUGUUCUCCGGAUACACAAUCUCCGAUCCUGGACGUGUAUUUGGAGAACAGCGGGGAGGUGCUGCCAAAAUUCUAUCAUGGAUCGGAGUAGGGCAUGGAAACUAACUGCACCGACACAUCCUCGGGUGGGAUUAGGACCUAUCUUCACCUAUUAGACAGUGUAGGAACACGUAGGACCUAUCUUCACCUAUUACUCGCUGUUAUGUUAGAGGAUGGAUGACCGUGAGUGGAUGUACACGGGCCGCUCUAGUCAGGAUUCAUUGACCGAUGAAUGGAUUGAAAAGACCGAUGCAUUCUUGGAUCGGGUGUUUGCCAGGGUCAAAGGGGCUAGUGUCACUUGGUGUCCGUGCAGUAGAUGUGCAAACAUGCGUCAAAGAACCAAGCUAGAAAUGGGCAAACAUCUUGUGAAGAAUGGAUUUACGCCAGACUACACUAGGUGGAUCUACCAUGGUGAAGCUGAUCGUGGGAGAGAUGAAGUGUUGAGACAAUGCAUCGAGGAAUAUGAUGAUGAUGCCGGGGUGGGAGACAUGUUAAAUGACUAUCAUGAAGCACAGUUCGAUGAGACACGUAGGGAGGAGGAGCCAGAGACUACUGCAAAGGCGUAUUACAACAUGUUGUCUACGGCACAGCAACCCCUGCAUCGUCAUACCAAGGUUUCUCAACUUAAUGCCAUUGCACGCCUAAUGGCCGUGAAGUCCCAGUUUAGCUUGAGUCGAGACGCCUUCGACGUUAUGCUGACUGUUUUUGGCAGCCUACUCCCGGAUGAUCACAUCUUGCCAAAGAGCAUGUAUGAGGCACAAAAACUCCUUCGUGUGCUUAAAAUGCCAUACGAGCAGAUACAUGCUUGUCCGAAGGGAUGCAUCUUAUUUCGGAAAGAGUAUGCGGAGGCUAAGUACUGUGUGAAGUGCGAGUCGUCUAGGUUUCUGGAGGUAGACUCUGGUGAUGGUAAGAAGAGCCAGCUCGCAAUCCCCGUGAAGAUCCUACGGUACCUUCCUUUCAUACCGAGGAUCCAACGGCUUUACAUGAUAGAGGAAUCCGCGAAACAGAUGACAUGGCACAAAAGUGGACGUCGAUACAAUCCUGAGAGGCUGGUACACCCAUCCGAUGGUGAAGCCUGGACAACAUUUGAUGUCAUUUAUCAUGAGAAAUCUCUAGAUACUCGUAGUGUACGUGUUGCUCUAGCAACAGAUGGGUUCAAUCCAUAUGGAAUGGCGGCUGCCCCGUAUACCUGUUGGCCAAUAUUCGUUAUCCCCCUGAAUCUCCCCCCUAGCGUCCUUUUUCAACGACAGAAUAUAUUUUUAUCGUUGAUAAUUCCAGAGCACCCGGGGAAUAAUAUGAGUGUGUACAUGGAGCCUCUGAUUGAUGAUUUGGUCCAUUCUUGGGAGGAAGGGGUAUGGACUUACGACCGAGCUACAAAGAUGAACUUUAAGAUGCAUGUUUGGUACCAUUACUCGCUGCAUGACUUGCCGGCAUAUGGGAUUUUUUGCGGAUGGUGUGUUCACGGGAGGUUCCCAUGCCCAGUUUGCAAGGCUUCUCUAAAGUUCAUUUGGUUGACGAAGGGUGACAAAUAUUCUUCGUUCAACAAACAUCGACAAUUCCUCCCUCCUGACCAUCCUUUCAGACAAGACAUUAAGAACUUUACGAGAGGUGUCGUAGUUGAAGACCUCGCACCGGAGAUGAUGACAGGAGCCGCGAUUCGUACUCAGUUAGACGCUCUCGAGCUUAAUAACAAUGAAGGUGGUUUUGUGGGAUAUGGCGAGCAACAUGCUUGGACUCAAAAGUCGUGCUUGUGGAAUCUCCCCUAUUUUCAUGAUCUUCUUCUUCCGCAUAACAUAGAUGUAAUGCACACUGAAAAGAAUAUCACCGAGGCAAUUUUUGGGACAAUUAUGGACAUUUCUGACAAGACAAAGGAUAAUGUUAAGGCUAGAGUAGAUCAAGCGAGGAUAUGCAAUAGACCAAAGUUAGACAUGGCGCCUCCCAGAUCCGGCAAGUCGUGGAGGAAGCCUAAGGCUGAUUUCGUCCUGACGAGAGCCCAGAGGAGGGAGGUACUAGAAUGGUUCCAAACGUUAAUGUUCCCUGAUGGGUAUGCAGCGAAUUUGAAGAGGGGAGUGAACUUAACUACUAUGCGAAUCAAUGGCCUAAAGAGUCAUGAUUACCACAUAUGGCUUGAGCGCCUACUUCUAGUGAUGGUCCGAGGAUAUGUACCUGAGCAUGUCUGGCAGGUGCUAGCGGAGUUGAGCAAUUUCUUCCACCAGCUUUGUGCCAAAGAGUUAUCUCGUACCGUGAUUGCAGAAAUGGAAAGAAUGGCGCCUGUGUUGCUCUGUAAGUUGGAGAAAAUCUUUCUACCUGGAUUUUUCAAUCCGAUGCAGCAUAUGAUUCUUCACCUCCCAUAUGAAGCAAGAAUGGGGGGGGGGCUGUGCAGGGCCGUUGGUGUUAUUCAAUUGAGAGAUGUCAAAAGGUUCUGCGAACUAAAUGUAAAAAUAAAUGCAAAAUUGAAGCAUCCAUUGCAGAGGCAUAUAUUUUGGAGGAGGUCUCAAACUUCACAACAAAAUAUUAUGCUAACAACCUUCCUAGCGUGCACAAUCCACCCGAGCGUUACAAUGCUGGUGAAAAUGAAUCGAGCCUUAGCAUUUUUCGAGGGCAACUCGGAAGUGCAAGUGGUAAAGGGCUGAGGCACCCGUCGCCUGAAAUAGAGUCAGCGUCUAAGGAGGAGAUACCUUCCGCGCACGGCUCUGGUGAUGAGGAGGAGGUGGAGCAGGAGGAGGAGCAGGAGUAGGAGCAGGAGCAGGAUGAGCAGGAGCAGGAGGGGGAGGAGGAGAAGGCAGGGGGUUCGCAGACCCAGAUCUGGUUGCGAGGUCCAUCGUCCCUCCCGGCUUGACCGAUACCUUUCCAUAGACGCCCGCUGAUUCAACCCAGUGGGAAGCGAUAUGUGACUUUAGAUGUUCUCAAUAAUUUUUCAUUUUAUGUGUUGAAAAUUACAAUGGAAACUAAUAAUUCAUCACUUGUGCAGGAGUUGGAUUAAGCUUAGUGGGGGUGAUCACAACCGCAAGGUCAACGGCAUCCUUGGCCUGUUGUGCAGGAUACACUUCCUGGGCUUGGUCGAGCGCGGUGGACGGGUGGAGCCGGCCUACACUUGGGACCACUACGUCGCUGCCGAUGACUUUGCUGACCGUGAAGGACGGUCAUUCCCAAACAAGGCGUCGUGGGUGAAGGGCGAGCUGUGGGUAAGUAUUGCUCAAUACAUCACCUGUACUGUACAAUCUUGAAAUAACAACUAUAUAUACCUCUAUAUAUAUGCAGGACUUCUACAAAUGCCAGGAGGGUUUCGAGGCCCGGGCGAACGCUGUCUGUGAUGAGGUCGCCAAGAAGCUGGUGAAGGAUAUGCACUACGAGUCGCGGAUCCAGGCCAUUAUCGAAUUCUACGCUCAACAUAGAAAUAUGAAGGUCAAAAAAGAGGAGGCCAGGACAAUGAACCUCACGAAGGACCAAUUCAUGGCGGUAAAUAAAGAACACUGAUACUUACUUUAUAUGAUAAUAAUCACACUUAAUUUCUUUUUUCACAUGUCACACUUGAUGAUGUAGGUGCCUGCGUGGUGGUGCCGGGCGCACAUGCAGUGCUGGGAAAGGAUAGUCGACGUGUGGGUCGAGCCCGGGUGGUUGGAGAACCACCUUGGUUGCCGUCAGCGGCGUUUGAUGAUGUGAGGUGCAUCACACCAUCAAGGCAGCUUGAGCCUUGAUGAGUAUAGGAAAAAAUGGGUACGUGAAUUUAUUUUUUUUGUCUAACGCUCAAUUUAGCUAAAUUUGUAAUAAUUUUGUAUUUUUGCUGCAGUCGUCCUCACAUGAUGGCCAGCCUUGCUCCCAGUUCAAGGGAUGGAUUCUAUCCAAAAAGGGUAAGGCAACGGCCAACAUCGACGUGAACCUGGACGACCCGCCCGAGGCGUACUCCGAUCCUAGCAUCCACAGCCGCAUCACCUCCUACACGGCGAUGGCAAGGGAGAUUCACGGGCCAGAUUACGAUCCGAGCACCCAGGAUCUAGAUGGAGAAGUGGUGAUGAGGGUGGGAGGAGGGAAGAAGCAUGGUCGCUAUUGGAUUGGCGAUAGCGUAAUCGACACGACCUCUACUCCCACUCUCUCCCAGAUCCGAGCAAGGAGCACGGAUUCGAGCCCAGCGAUACGCCCAUGGCUGACCACUACACAGUUUUAGAUGGAGGCUCUUCAGGUUCUUUCUAUUUCAUUCAUCGUUUGUUGGUUGUUACGUACUUUACCUUUGCAUUGUAAUAUUGCGAUGAAAAAUUGUAGGCCCAAGUGGAGAGGCAACAACAGGAUAUGGAGGCGAGGGUUGAGUGGAUGGUUCGGCAGAGGAUGGAGGUCGAGUGGCAGAGGAUGGAGGCGGAGCGGCAGAGGAUGGACGAAGAACAUCGGUUGAGGAUGGAACAAAUGCUUCAAUAUAUGCAAAAUUUUGCUACUGCUACGAGUAUGGGUACACCACUGCCACAACCACCGGUGAUAUUCCCUCCACCUCAGCCACCCGCACAUACUCCUGUGAGUCACUUGAACUUUAGUUUCAAUACUUGACUUAGUUAGCUUAAACUUGACUUAGUUACCUCACAGAUGACUUAUUUAGCUCAAAUGAUAUCAAUCUUGUUCUCACACAUCUUCUUUUACGUGCAGAAUCAAUCGGUGGCUUCAAAUUCCCAAGCUCAAGACCCAGAUUUGAUGUGGCCAUUUGCAGAGACGCCACCUCACUAACUUAUGCAUUGUUUGUGAACUUCUCGUUUAAUCUCGAACAUAUACUUGUGGAAUUGUGGUUUGUUGAAACUAGAAUAUGUACUUGGUGAUUUGUGUGCAUGUGACCUAAAAUAUAUGCCUGUGAUGCUUAUUAUAUGCCUGUGAUGUAAUAUACAUGCCUAUGAUUUUUGUUUGAGAGGGGUCAUUUAUACGUAAGAAAUAAAUAAAAGAGGGUCAGUUUUGCCACUUUGCCGAGUGUUGCACUCGGCAAAAGCCCGCUUUGCCGAGUGUUUUGGCUUGAACACUCGGCAAAACGGCAACAAAAUGGACGUGCUAGUUUGUCGAGUGCCCUUGCCCUAGCACUCGGCAAACACGUGUACUUUGCCGAGUGCCUCUCCCCUAGCACUCGGUAAAGCGGCCUUUCUACCUGACCUGGACGCGCCGGUUUGCCGAGUGCUUCUUCCCUGGCACUCGGCAAACACCUGGACUUUGCCGAGUGCCUAUCGCGUGGCACUCGGCAAACACCUGUACUUUGCCGAGUGCCUCUCCACUGGCACUCGGCAAACAACUCGACUUUGCCGAGUGCCUUUCUGUGAAGCACUCGGCAAACCUCCCAUUACCGUGCCGCGCCGUUCCUCCGUCUUCGCCGAAGGUGUUUUUUUGCCGAGUGUUUACACACGCUCGGCAAAUAUCUUUGCCGAGUGCCCGACAUUUGGUACUCGGCAAAGUUCUGUUCGCCAUCCUUGCCGAGUGCCUGAUGCCGAGUGUUACACUCAGCAAAGCCUUUGCCGAGUGUUUUUAGGCCUUCGCCGCAUCUCCCUUCUGCAGUAGUGAUGCCAUGAUUUCUCCUCAGGGCCUAGGCCGCCGCCUUGUUUCCUCAGGUUGGGGACGUCACCUUCUUUCCUUCUGCAGUUCUUUGGUGGUUCAGAAAAAGAAACAGCAUGCUAGGUGCAGCCUUGCUGGGAGACGUGCUCCACAGCCAUGGCUUCACCCCUCCCAACUUCAAUGCCCUGCAUUUUCUCUUCUUGCAUUCAGUUCGCGAUAGGACAUGGCAUCAUGUGAUGCUAUGGAUGCCACGGGUUCCUCCUCCAGUUUGCUGCUUGUUGUGGGUGAUUAGGCCGGAAGGAAAAAGUUCCCCCCCCCCCCCCCCCCUUGUAGCAAGGUAACAUGAUGCUUCCCCUUUGCUGGAUGCUCAUAAGAAUUUUGGUGCUUGCAAAUUGCUCGAGUAAAUGCCUCUUAAGAUUGUACUUGGAAUUUAUGUGGGUUCAUUUGUAUUUGCACGUCUUAACCAGUUAAUUUCAGUUUUAAGGUGCAGACAUUUGACAUUUGCUGGUUUCGUGUGGAUUACAUUCAGAACAGAUGAAACGAAACCAAAAUUUUUAUAGUACAAAUGAUAUAAACAUCAAAUUCACUGGCUAUUGGACUGAAUUACUUGGCUUUCGAGUACUAUUUUGGGAGUUCCUUCGAGAUGCAAAGGGAAAAAAGGAAUCCAGGUCAUGUUCUUCAUCCCUGCUUUCUCUCUUAAUGCUGUGUUUACACUAUUCUGAUCCUAACAGUACAAAAAGUGCAUCUCUUGAUUGAUUUUGUGCGCUUCUGGAAAAUUUCUUUGCUAGAAUAAAUUAAGUAUUUCUCUCUCUUUUCUUUUGCCGAAUUGGCAUCUCCUUGUAGUUCACUGUUAGUUUUUUCCGUUAGAAAUUAUGGUGUUCUCAGCUUCCAUGGUAAACCUUAUGAGUUUAAUUCUCUUCAACAACCUCUUCCAAAUGAUCAGCUGUUUCCAUUAUGUUGAACUGAAUGAACUAUUCAUGGUAUUUGUUUUUGUGGACCUGGCGCACAAAUUUUCUUCUAUACAUUUUUUAGUGGGAAUGUGGGAUAUCAUAUUCUAUUUGUCAAAUUAUUCCUUGUAGGAACUUGGGAAAUUAUGUGUCUUUGAGGGGAAUCGAGGGCCUUGUCUCUACCUGUAUCACUGUCUGGGCUCCUUGUCUAAGUGGGAGCCAAUCACAUAUGAGGAAUUUCUUAGCUUUGCCAACAAAGUAAAGGUGAGAAGUUUGCUUCAUGAAAAUAGAGAGGGAAUCUGGUGCUUGUGUCCAGUAUCUCAAAUGGAAAAUCGAGAACGCUAGGUUCUCUGUCUGGGUUCUAAUGUUCUAUUUCGUGUUUACUUAUUGGGUGAACCUUUGCAAUGAUGUUAACUUGUAUUGUCAGUAGGGCUAUAUUCUAAACUUCAGUGCCAAGGGAAUGGUAUAAAUGACAAUCUCACUGUUAUGGAUGUGUACUGUAAUUCUCGUCGUCGCGACUUCCAUGACAUUGUCCAUUCAAUGUUGCUGUAUAUGUUGACGACCUUUGCAAUGUUGCAUUCUCAAUUAUUUAGUGAGUUUCCUGAUUCUUAUUUUUCUUAUCAAAUAGAUGAUGGUACUGGGUCAUGCGUUGCUUCUGACAGUUAUCCCUAAAACUUGGUAAGCCCAUUUUCUGAAUCUGCAUCCCUAUAUUUUUUUUCUCUUUACAUUUUGGUAGUAUUAACAAGUAGUUCUCUUUGAGUUUCGAGUGAUAAAUGGAUUCCUUUGAGAAGUUUGUACCAUUGAGCUAAGUGUAAACUCCAUUAUCAUCCUAGGUGCUUGGUCAAUUUGGAAACAUCGAAAUAGAAGUUUACUCUUGUGGGAGCCACCGUUCUUGGAGGUUCCGGUGCAAUCCCAUCAAUGGGGCGACUGCGACGCGGGGGAGCCGACGGCGUGCGGGCUCGUUGCCUAAUUCUGCCGGCGCGCGGUGUAGGGAGAAUUCUUGUCGUAUUUUUGGCUAUCCUCACCAUGAAUUUGUUGGAAAACACCCAGGAAUGCAUACCCAAAUAUCUCACGUAGAGCAGCUAGCAAUAUGUGGCAUUUCUUUAUUAUACUGAAUCACGAACUCUAAUUGAUUCCAUACAUGUUGUAGCUAUUGCUAUAUAUAGAGUUGUAUGGAAGUUCAAUAGAUCGUUACAUAUCCCAUGAUCAUUAUUUCUACGAGUAACAGCACACACUCAGCAUGCAAACUACUCAUUGCUGAUCACCACUUAGAAGACAUGCAGACAACUUAGAAGACAUGCAGACAACUUAGAAGACAUGCAGACAACUUAGAAGACAUGCAGAUACUGCUGCAUGAGGUACUACUUGACCAGCCAGGAGUAACGUCAACAUACUCCCCCUUACUCCUGGCUUGGUGCAAGAUCACGAACACCAAGAAGAUGUCGCAUAAUCGCUAGCUUCGCCGCCGGCAAUGCUUUUGUCAGCGCGUCGGCUCGCUGUUCAUCUGUGCGAAUAAACUCGAUGUGGAUUUUUCCAGCAUCAACACAUUCACGAAUAAAGUGAUAUUUUGUGUCGAUGUGCUUACUCCGUCCAUGGAAGACUGGAUUCUUCAUCAGGGCGAUCGCAGACUUGUUGUCGACAAACAGUUUCACCGACUCUGGUUCUGUUCCGAUCAACUCUUGCCAUUAACGUCCUGAGCCAGAGCGCUUGGCAUGCCGCUGCAUUCGCUGCUAUGAACUCAGCCUCACAGGAUGAUAGAGCCACUGUCUUCUGUUUCUGUGAGCUCCAGGAGACAAGGCAAUCAUUUAAGUAGAACGCCAUGCCACCAGUACUCUUUCGAUCAUCCAGGUCGCCAGCCAGAUCACUAUCUGUAAAACCAAUAAGUUUUUCUCUGCCUCCUCUCCCGUACACCAGGCCAAAGUGAAUAGUCCCCUUAAGAUAACGAAGAAUCUGCUUCACUGCCUUGUGAUGCAUUACAGUUGGCCUCUCCAUGAACCUGCUUGCCACUCCAACUGCAAAUGAGAGAUCAGGUCUAGUGUGCAACAAGUAUCUAAGGCAGCCAAUCAUUCGCCUAUAUUCUGUAGCAUCAACUGGCUGGCCAUUUGGGUCUGUGUGCAAUUGUGCUCUUUGCUCCAUGGGGUAUGUAGUGGAAUUACAGUCCAUCAUCCCGAACUGUGAUAGCACUUUCUUUGCAUAGCUUGUCUGCUUAAUUUCCGUGCAACUCUCUUGCUGUGACACCUCAAUGCCGAGGUAGUAUGAUAGCAGCCCCAAAUCACUCAUGUCAAAUUCAGUUGCCAUCUGAUGCUUGAAGGCCUCAAUCUCCUUAAUUUGGAUCACUUCCUGAGACAAUGAGAUCAUCGACAUAUACCCCAAUUACAAUUGCACUUCUCCCUUGUCCUCUUGUGUACACUGCCUGUUCCUGUACACACCUUCUGAAACCAAGCAUUUUCAGGCUUUUAUCUAGCCUGAUGUUCCAAGCUCGAGGAGCCUGACGAAGGCCAUAGAGUGCCUUACUUAACCUGAGCACAAGGUGCUCCUUGUUCUUCACAACAUAUCCCUCUGGCUGUGACACAUACACCUCUUCUUCAAGUUCACCAUUUAGAAAGGCUGGCUUAACAUCUAGAUGAUGCACUUGCCAGCCACGGUUUGCAGCAACAGCUAGAAUGACACGCACUUGUGUCCAAUCUUGCAACAGGUGCAAAAACUUCCACAAAAUCAAUUCCCUGGCGCUGCACAUACCCUUUUGCCACCAAUCUGGCUUUAUGCUUGAUCACCUCUCCUUCUGAAUUCUUCUUCAAUUUGUAAACCCAUUUAAGACCAAUGGGCUUAUGACCAGCUGGCAGCGUGGUCAAUGUCCACGUUGAAUUCUUUACUAUGGAGUCAAUCUCUCUGUCCAUGGCUUCAACCCAUUCAGGUUGUCCAGCUGCUUCAUUAAAACAAGACGGCUCCUCCAUCUCUACAAGCAUGACUGCUUCAUCAUCGUUGUAAUGAAGUACCACCUCGGAUGUGUUCUGGUAGACAUCAUCCAAGUCGCGAUAGUGCGGUGCUCCUUCAUCUGAGCUAUUGGAUCCUGGUGAAACAGGAGCAGCAUGUUCCUCAUCCGGCAAGGUAGUCAUUGUUUCCACCAAUGGCGUGUGUACGGGAGUGGCUGGUGAUGACGAGGUGUUGACUGCCACUCGCCCUAUGCGUGCAGCCGCUCGCGCCCUGGUGACUGCUCCAGGUGGAGAAACCACAAUGGACGUCGUCGGUGCCUCAUCAAACUCCCUAUCCUCUCGCCCACUGCUGGGUAGGACUGCAGCUGCGGUAGGCUGCAACACUGGAAUUCCUGUUGGUAUUUCAGUAGCAGGCCACACCGAAGGACUCACAUGUGCAUCUUCUUCAAACACAAACUCCAUUGGUUCUCUUGUGCUCGUGCCUACACACCAAUUCCACUCCAAAUUCUCCUCAAAAAUUACAUCACGACUUACAACGAUCUUGCUGCGAUGAGGGUCGAAUAGCCGGUGAGCUUUGCAUCCAUCCUCGACACCAAAGUACACCAUCUGUUGGCUUCGGUCGUCAAGCUUCUUCACGUGCGGCGCCACCAUCUUUACAUGUGCUGUGCACCCGAACACUCGCAGGUGCGCCAGGUGCGGCUUCCUACCGUUCCAGGCCUCAAACGGGGUCGCUCCCCCAUUGCUUUGGUCGGCAGGCGGUUCAAUAAGAAUACCGCGUGCCGCACAGCCUCGCCCCAGAACUUUGCCAGGACAUUCAUGCUCUUGAGCAAGGACCGCGCCAUCGCCAUGACUGUCCUAUUCCUGCGUUCAACAACGCCAUUUUGUUGUGGCGUGUAGGGUGCUGUGAAAUGCCUUCUGAUGCCUGCCUCAUCACAGACAUUGGCGAACACUGCCGAUAGGAAUUCGCCACCACGAUCUGAACGCACCGUUUUUAUGCAGUAACCACUAGUGUUUUCAGCUUGUGCUUUGAACUUGACAAACUCAGUGCAUGCCUGGUCCUUCGACUUCAACAUGUACACCCACAUCCAUCUUGAGUAAUCAUCAACAAUUAACAUGAAAUACUUGUUACCGGCAAUCGUUGAUGGAGUGAUUGGCCCACAUAGAUCAAUGUGAAGCAGUUCAAGUGGCUUCUCCGCUCGGUAUCUUGUUUGCUGUUGGAAAUGGCAGCCUUGCCUGCUUUGCUGCAAGGCACGCAUGGCAAAGUUGAUGGGGAUGCUUGAUCUGAGGCACUCCGGCUGCCAUCUGCUUGUCAACAAGGAGCUUCAGCACUUGAAAAUUGACAUGUCCAAGCCGUGCAUGCCACAGCCAUGCUGGUUCCUCAAGUCUUGCCAUGAGGCACACUAGACUUGCUAGCUGCAAAUCAAUGUGGUACAGACGGUUUGGCAUGCGCUUAACUUUCAUUAGGAGAUGCCAGGGAUUUUUUAUGAACACCUCAAGCUCAUCUUCAUCCAUGAUGACCUUGUGUCCAGUCUCUGUGAGUUGGCCGAGACUCACCAAGUUACUGCGUAGUCUAGGGAUGUAGUAGACCUCCUGGAGCAUCCAUUGAUCUCCAUUCUUGCACGAGAACAAAAUUGAACAUUUUCCCAUUAUUUGCACCAUAGAGCCAUCACCAAAUUUAACCUUACCAGUGACACUCUCAUCAAGUUCACAUAACUUCAUCUUGUCUCCAGUCAUGUGAUUGCUUGCACCAUUGUCUAAAUACCAGACAUCCCCAGUACAUGCACCAUAAUCAGCCAAGCGCUGCUUUGGCAUCACUUUCUCUUCACUGAGAAACACAACCUCCUGCCGUGCAAGGGCCACUGGAAGAGGCUCCUCCAGAGCUGCAAGCAGCAGUAUCGGCUCGGUGUUCUCAACAUGCACGAGAUGCGCUGCCUCUUGCUUCUUGGGGGCUUUGCAUUGAGAUUGAUAGUGGCCCAUCUCAUCGCAAUUAAAACAAUGAAUAUGACUUUUGUCACGACCGCCGCUGCCAAAGCUAAUUGCCCCAUCUUUGUGUGGCGACUUUCCACGACCGCCACGGCCACGACCUCUGCUACGUCCGCGGCCACCACGGCCACGAUUUCCACUGUCCGUGGAGGGCUUGUACUUGUAGCAAGAUGAUGAGUCCCUGCCAUCCUUCUUAGAACGUGCUUCCCACUCAGCCUGAGUGAGGAGCACUUGCCCAUCGGUAAUGCGUCCGCCGCUAGAUGCACAUGGACACGUGCGCUCUUCGUAUGCCUUCAGCCACCCCACGGCCUCCUCGAAAAGCAUGGUGUCGAUGUCAUAGAACUGCUCGAUGCCAGCAAUCACGCUGAGGAAGCGAUCAGGCACGGUGUCGAACAAUUUCUUCACGAGGGCAGCAUCAUUCAGAGUUCCACCGAGGUUGCUAUACCUGACAGACAUGCCGAUAAGCUUACCGGCGUACUGGUCCAAAGUCUCCCCUUCUUGCAUGUGCAAGGCAUCGAAGUCACUCUUCAACGACUGCAGCCACGCAUUUUUGACGCGGUCCGCGCCAACAAACCUCAUCUUGAGGCAGUCCCAAACCUCCUUUGCCGUCGUCUUCUUCGCCACCUGCAUGAGGAGGUCCUCCAGGAGCGCUUGGAGAAGAUAAGACCUCCCCUUCUUGUCCAUCCUCAAGUCGACAGCCACACCGGCUGCCGGCUCAAUCGCCUCCCAGACACCUUGGUCCUCCAUCAUGGCCUCGACACGAAUCACCCAGCUGGUGUAAUUCGUUGCCGUCAAUUGCGGAUACUGGAAUGGACCACCGCCGCUCUCCCGCGACGACUGUCCUUGAGCGACAAGUGACAUGAUGUUGAAACGUGGAUACUUGGGCAUGUACAAACUGUGCUCUGAUUACCAAAUGUUGGAAAACACCCAGGAAUGCAUACCCAAAUAUCUCACGUAGAGCAGCUAGCAAUAUGUGGCAUUUCUUUAUUAUACUGAAUCACGAACUCUGAUUGAUUCCAUACAUGUUGUAGCUACUGCUAUAUAUAGAGUUGUAUGGAAGUUCAAUAGAUCGUUACAUAUCCUAUGAUCAUUAUUUCUACGAGUAACAGCACACACUCAGCAUGCAAACUACUCAUUGCUGAUCACCACUUAGAAGACAUGCAGAAAACUUAGAACACAUGCAGAUACUGCUGCAUGAGGUACUACUUGACCAGCCAGGAGUAACGUCAACAGAAUUCAGAACGCUUCUUCGCCGAGGAGGAAGGGGAGCACUUCUUUGUUGAGGACGGGAAGGGGGCGGCCGCUCGUACCUGAACGACUGACUCAUCAUCAUCUUCACCAGUUAUUCCCUCUCAAUGCCUUGGCAUCUUCGUGAAAAACUUUUGGAUAGCUUGGGACCAACGGGGAGGGGCACAGCAGCACUUAUGGUCGAACACGUUCGGCAAUGGCGCUCCCGGCGGGAGGUGCCUCCAUAGCCGCCUGGGACGGGAGUAGCAGGAGCGACUGGGCCCUCAGAUGUCCACACGGCUUCAAGUGUUGGGGACCAAGCACUAGCCUCGGUAGGAAGCCUAUCAGCAUCUUGAUUAUCCUUGCGCACCGGGGCCGCAUCCAGCAAACUCAACCUCGGCCUGCGAGGGAGCAACAGGGACUCAGCAGCCCGAGGGGCCAAGCAGGGCGCCACCGCUGCCGCCAACGCACCGAAUGCCUCCGGGCUCGGCGGCUCUCCAGUCAAGCCAGCGACGCCUGCAUUCCGCAGGAAAACCGGGCAGGGGGACGCCUCGCAAGUCCCGUUGCCGAAGCCGAGACGUUGCUUUCAACCGUGCACUCCGCCGCCGAAGCCGAGGUGUCGAGCGCAGGGGAGCGCCGCCAAGGUGGGGGGGGGGGGGGGGGGGGGAGGUGAUGAUGGGCGGUGACGACCUUGGACAGCAGCGCCACGUCGCCGGACGAGCAUGAACGUGGGCACAGCCGCGUACGCACCGAUGCGCGGGGACCCAAGUUCGCCGCAGCAGCCCCAUGAACCGCCGGGGAGGAGGAAGACGAGUCCUGUCUCGGCGGUUGUCGAUGGCGUUCCCGAUCCUUACCAUCAGGAGGCGGGGCGGGAGGAUCCUCCGGCCCAGAACCCCCGACGAAGGGAACGACAGAGAUUGUGAUGUUGUAGGUUAGAGUGCGCUUCACUGGAUGAUCCUCCACGACCACCGGCGGCUCGACGAUCUCCAGUUCAAUCUCCGGCGGAAACGACGAAGGUUCAGAGCACCAAGCCGCCACCCGAAAAACUUCUCGGCUCUCGCUGGUCGGCCGUGUUCGGAUGGACGCCACUGAUCCAGCAGUACUCGCUGAUCCAGGGAUUGAACUAGAUAUAUGGAAAUACUUUUCUUUCUUGAUGAAUAUAGUGGGGUUAUUUCUUGGCUGAUUUCAUGUUUCCAGCUGCAGUAAUAGCAGUUAAGUAGCAGAAAAGACAGGCGGAGGUAAAGAUUUGGGAGGCCUUUUUGCAAUCCAUCUCCCCACAUCAUAACCAACCAUAUCAGUGUGACCCAGUAUCAUGCAGAUGCUAAGUGUGUAAUGAAUCUGAUGGGAUACGAGGUAGGCUACGCUAGCGCAAAACAAAAUUUCUACCGCGUAUAACCAGGAAGAACUGCCGUAUAAGGAUCACGGGAUUACCACUCGACGCACUACUGGUGCGGAAGAUGUAGAUAUGCGUCGGUGCAGUGAAGACGAUCACGUAGUCGUACGUAGUCGAACAACGUAGUCGUACGUAGUCGAUCACGUCCAGCGGCUCCUCAGCAGCUCGUCCACGUGCACAGCAAGAUCGCCUCCGGUGCCGCGGCUCGUCGUCGGCUCGUCGUGGCUCGUCGGCGGCUCGUCGAUGGCUCGUCCAAGUGCUGCAGGCGCAACACCUCCAAGGUAUCCACACGUGCAGGGAGGAAGCGUCGCAAGCCGGAUUGCUAGAUCCGCGAGUUGCAACAGGCGAGGGCGUGGGAGGCGCGGCAAGUGUGUUCAGCCAAAAGGUGUGAAACCCUAGGGCGCCCCCACCCCUCUAUUUAUAGGGGUUCCUGAUGGGCCUCUGGAUCCGAGGCCCAUUAGUACUCCUAAACCUAAUCCAACUCGGAUCAGAUCCGAAUUGGGCUUCCAGCCCCUUAAGUGUGUGACCCUAUGGGUUCGGAUACGUAUAGACAUGGCCCGAGUACUCCUACUCGGCCCAAUAGUCGGUAGCGGCCUCUAGCAAGACGUGCCAACUCCUAUACGCAUACGAAGAUCAUAUCAGACGAACCAUCACAACAUAAUAUACAUGCUAUUCCCUUUGCCUCACGAUAUUUGGUCUAGCUUCAAGCCGACCGCUCUUUCUCGAUCCUGUGAUUCGGAAUCCCUUUGUAGGUUAACUCUUAACCGUACGUAGCAUGGCCAUGCAUUUUCUGAUCCGAUCACUCGAGGGGCCCAGAGAUAUCACUCUCAAUCAGAGAGGGGCAAAUCCCAUCUUGAUUGACCAUGUCUCAUAGCAUGCUUCUUGACAAACCCGAAAGCUACCUUUAUAACUACCCUGUUACGGCGUAGCGUUUGAUAGCCCCUAAGUAGGUCAAUCCACAUCUAGAAUACAUGCGACAAUCUCAGGUCUAAGGACAAAGCGUAUAUGUUGUUUAAAGAGAGAACUACUUCUCGUGUUGGGUCAGUCCUAACACAUGUCUCCACAUGUGUCCACAUUAUUAGUUCAACAUCUCCAUGUCCAUGACUUGUGAAACAUAGUCAUCAACUAAUACAUGUGCUAGUCUAAUAUUCAUGUGUGUCCUCACAUGAACUCCGACUAGGGACAACUUUAGAAUAACCAUACAAGUAAAGAGUUUCACAUACAAUUCACAUAAUUGCAAAUCAAUUCAAGUAGCCUUUAAUGGAUAUUCAAUGAACACAAUAUAGAAAUCAUGGAUACAAAUGGAAUAUCAUCAUCUCUAUGAUUGCCUCUAGGGCAUACCUCCAACAGUCUCCCACUUGCACUAGAGUCAAUCUAGAAGGUACCUAAUACCCAUAGCUCUUACAUGCGCAUCAUGCUUAGCCUGCGGGAGUGGUUUUGUCAACGGAUCAGAAAUGUUCAGAUCCGUGUGUAUUUUGCAUAUCUUGAUCUCACCCCGGUUAACAAAGUCUCGAAUGAGAUGAAAUCGCCGCAUUACGUGUUUGUUCUUCUGGUGGUUCCUUGGCUCCUUUGCUUGCGCAAUUGCCCCAUUAUUAUCACAGUAGAGAUUCAAUGGGCUGGACGCAUCCGGGAACACACCAAGCUCAAUGAGGAAAUUCCUUAUCCAAACACCUUCCUUCGCGGCUUCCGAAGCCGCGAUGUACUCGGCUUCUGUCGUAGAAUCGGCCACCGUCUCCUGCUUGGAACUCUUCCAACUAACAGCACCACCAUUCAGUGUGAACACAAAUCCUGAUUGUGACUUUGAAUCAUCUCUGUCGGUUUGGAAACUAGCAUCGGUGUAACCUGUUACAACGAGCUCCUCCUGACCUCCAUAGACGAGGAACAUAUCUUUAGUCCUUCUCAAGUACUUAAGAAUGUUUUUCACCGCUGUCCAGUGACUCUCACCUGGAUCAGAUUGGUGUCUGCUUGUCAUACUUAGCGCAUAUGAAACAUCUGGGCGAGUACUUAUCAUUGCAUACAUGAUAGAUCCAAUAGCCGAGGCAUAUGGUACUCUACUCAUGCGAUCCCGCUCAUCAGCAGUCGAAGGACACUGAGUCUUGCUGAGAUGUAUGCCAUGUGACAUAGGCAAGAACCCUUUCUUUGCCUCUUCCAUGCUGAACCGCUUCAACACUUUGUCAAUAUAAGUAUCUUGGCUCAAACCUAUAAGCCUUCUCGAUCUAUCUCUAUAGAUCUUAAUGCCCAGAAUAUAUGCCGCUUCCCCUAAGUCCUUCAUCGAAAAACUAUUUUUCAGUGAAGUCUUUACGGACUCAAGCAUAGGAAUGUUAUUUCCAAUCAGUAAUAUGUCAUCCACAUAUAAGAUUAGAAAUACUACAGAGCUCCCACUAACCUUCUUGUAAACACAAGACUCUUCUUCGUUCUUGGUGAAGUCAAACCCUUUGACCACUUCAUCAAAACGAAUGUUCCAACUCCUAGAUGCUUGCUUCAAUCCAUAAAUGGAUCUCUGAAGCUUGCAUACUUUUCCAGCAUUUUUCGGAUCGACAAAACCCUCGGGCUGUAUCAUAUACACGUCCUCAGUUAGGUUUUCAUUCAGGAAAGCUGUCUUGACAUCCAUCUGCCAUAUCUCAUAAUCGAAAUAUGCAGCUAUAGCUAGAAUAAUCCGAAUGGACUUAAGCAUCACUACAGGCGAGAAGGUCUCGUCGUAGUCAACUCCUUGAACUUGUCGAAAACCUUUUGCGACAAGUCGUGCUUUAUAGAUGUGAACAUUUCCAUCCAUGUCCUUUUUCUUCUUAUAGAUCCACUUGCACUCUAUGGCUUUAACACCAUCAGGCGGGUCAACCAAGUUCCAAACUUGAUUGUCUCCCAUGGACUCUAUUUCGGAUUGCAUGGCACUCUGCCAUUUUUCGGAGUCUGGGUCCAUCAUUGCUUCUGCAUAUGUCGCAGGCUCAUCAUUGUCCAACAAUAAUAUUUCUCGCAUUUCGCGGAGCCUUGCCGACCUUCGUGGUUGUGGCGGUGCUUCUCUUGCCAUGGGUAUCUCAACUUGUUCUGCUACGUUAGCAUCACUCAUUGAUUCUUGCCCGAUUGGCUCAUCUUGAACUUCUUCAAGAUGCACUGUCUUUCCACUCUUUUCUCCUUUGAGAAACUCUUUCUCUAGGAAAACCCCGUUCCGAGCGACAAACACUUUGCCUUCUGAUCGGUUGUAGAAAUAAUAUCCCAAAGUUUCCUUUGGAUAUCCCACGAAAAUGCACUUAUCCGACUUGGGUGUGAUCUUGUCCGACUGAAGUCGCUUGACAAACACUUCACAUCCCCAAAUCUUUAGAAAAGACAGACUAGGAACCUUUCCAGUCCAUAUCUCAUAUGGUGUCUUAACUACGGAUUUAGAUGGUACCCUAUUUAGUGUGAAAGCUGCUGUUUCUAGAGCGUAUCCCCAAAAUGACAACGGUAGGUCCGACUGGCUCAUCAUUGAUCGAACCAUGUCUAACAAAGUUCGAUUACGUCGCUCGGACACACCGUUUCUCUGAGGUGUUCCAGGCGGCGUAAGUUGUGGAACAAUUCCGCAACUCUUUAGAUGAUUGCUAAACUCGUGGCUCAAAUACUCGCCUCCACGAUCAGAUCGUAAGGCCUUAAUUUUCUUGCCACGCUGAUUUUCAACUUCAUUCUGAAAUUCCUUGAACUUUUCAAAGGUUUCAGACUUGUGCCUCAUUAAGUAGACAUAUCCAUAUCUACUAAAAUCAUCAGUGAAAGUUAUGAAGUAUUGGAAUCCUCCUCUAGCCGUCGUGCUCAUUGGUCCGCAUACAUCACUAUGUACGAGUUCCAACAAGUCUACUGCUCUCUCAGGAAAUCCUGUGAAAGGCGUCUUGGUCAUCUUGCCUAGCAAGCAAGCCUCACAUGUCUCGUAUGAUUCAAAAUCAAACGAAGUUAGAAGUCCAUCAGAAUGGAGCUUCUUCAUGCGCUUUUCACUUAUAUGACCUAAACGACAAUGCCACAAGUAGGUAGGACUCAAAUCAUUAGGCCGAGGCCUUUUAGCACUUACAUUACAGACAGGUGAACCAUCAAGAUUUAAAACAAACAAUCCAUUCACAAUGGGUGCAAAAGCCAUAAACAUAUUAUUCUUAGAGAUCACACAACCAUUGUUUUCACUCGCAAAUGAAUAACCAUCCUUCAUCAAACAUGAAGGAGAUAAAAUGUUUCGACUUAAACUAGGAACAAAAUAACAAUUAUUCAACUCCAUAAUAAAUCCUGACGGGAGGUGGAGUUGCAUCGUCCCGACGGUCAAAGCAACAACUCUUGCAUUAUUGCCCACGCGGAAAUCAACUUCUCCUCUUUCCACGCUUCUACUUCUUAUCAUUCCCUGCAUCGAAUUGCAAAUAUGAGCAACCGAUCCGGUAUCAAAUACCCAAGAAUUAAUAACUGUAUCAGCGAGAAAUAUGUUGUCUAUAACAUUAACAACAAGCGUACCUGAGGUAGAAGUACUCUUACUUCCGCCGUUCUUCAACGAAGCUAGGUACUGCUUGCAGUUUCUCUUCCAGUGACCAAGUUCAUGACAGUAAAAGCACUCUUUAUCUGGAGCAGGUCCAGGUCCAGCUUUAACCUUGGGCGGUGGGUUUGGCUUGGACGUUCCAGCCUUGCCCUUCUUCUUCCAAGAAUUGCCCUUCUUCUUAAAGCUGGGCUUGUUCUGUAUCGCCAUCACAUGGCUGGUACUAGCGCUUUUCUUUAUGUCAGCCUCUGCUGUUUUGAGCAUACCACACAGCUCAUUCAGACCCUUCUCCGUCCCAUGCAUAUGGUAGUUCGAGAUGAAGUUCCCAUAGCUAGCCGGAAGAGAUGAAAGAAUGAAAUCAGUGGCCAACUCUUGGCCCAGUGGGAAGCCUAGCUUCUCCAACCGUUGAGUGUAACCAACCAUCUUGAUUACGUGUGGUCCUACUGCUGCGCCUUCUGCUAGCUUGCUCUCAACAAAGGCCUUAGACACAUUGAACCUUUCAGUCCUGGCCUGUGUUUGGAACAUGUCUCUAAGCGCCACGAUCAUAUCGUGCGCCUCAUGGUUUGUUUCGAACUGCAUCUGCAGCUCGGGUUCCAUGCAAGCAAGCAUAAGGCAGCUUACUUCGAGGUUAGCAUCACAUGCUUUCUUGUAAGCAUUCUUAGCAGCAGCGGGUGCAUCCUCAGCAGGUUCUUCUGGUAGUGGGUUGUCUAGAACAUCUUCCUUUUUCUCAGCCCUGAGAACAAUUCUCAGGUUGCGGAUCCAAUCCGAGUAGUUUGUUCCAUUCAACUUGUCCUUCUCAAGGACCGAACGCAAAGCAAACGAUGUGGUGGUGUUGCUAGGUGCCAUUUAAUCUACAACAAAAGUAAUGCAAAAUACACUAAGACAAACGUAUCCAUGAUAGAGCAAAUUACAUUAAACUAUUUUAACAGAAUCUACUCCCACUAAAAUCAAUAUCCCUCUAUUGAAACUUAGUGAUUCAGGAUCCACAACUAACAAGUCCACUAGUGAGCUUUAGCAUCACCGCUAGCAAACGAGGUAGAUCGGUAAGCAACUUUUGCUAAUCAUAUCACAUAUGACUCCUGUUGUUGGGUGACAUCUCUAUGUCUCGGCGCCCAACCUUUAUGCCCCAAGGUCCUUAACCGUUAAGAUGACCUUGUUAAGCAAACCAACCCUUAUGCAUGUAAGUGUCCGACACAGACCCGUCUAGUCAAGGAAAACUAGUGGCACCCUAAUUUCAUAGACCCACCACUAAUUGUACAAGACAUGGGACGGUGCAAGUUCUAGUUGGGAGGGCAUACUAACUUAAACUUUGUGAGGGAUCGUUCUACUUCUAACAUCACAGCAUGCAGAAAGUAAAACAUAAAUCAGAAUAGCAUUCACACAGUUGUGACACAGUAUGGCCCAUUUUCAUAUGGUGAUCUCCAUCUCCAUUGAAGCUGUUCACCAUGGUGAUCUCCAUCUCCAUGUUCCAUGUGCGCCAUCCUCCUGGUGAUGAGUCCUCCAAGAACUAGAACAUGCUAUUACGCCUAAUAGCUAGUAAAGAAUCUAGUAAUGAAGAUUACAUAGUUGCUUGGAUCAUCACAGAUUGGUACGCAGACCAUUAAAUACAAUAAAGUGACAACACAUAUGGCUCCUGCCGUGUUGCCGUACGCGCGACACGCAGGUCACGAAUUAGUUACACACAUGCAUCACAUACACAAGGGGGCCAUACUGAUCACAAGAUACAUACAUACAUCCUGCAAAACAGAGUUAGGCGUCCUAUCGUUCCAAACUUGGGAGGCCCGAAACUCCAUCUUCCAAGCCGAAUUUGGGAAAUCUAAUCUCGCCGAAAACGGCGAAGCGGUUGAAAUUCAUGUGUAACUUUUUCUGUAGAUCAAUUUUCGUAUAGAAAUCGCCCCGAUCCGAGAUCAUACCGAAAAGUUACGGCUGAUUUACCGAAGCAUGCGCAUACGGCAAAAUCCCGACCCCGGCAGUAGAUCCCAUCUACCAUUGCACAUCUAAUGCGCCUGGCGUAUGACCCUGGAUCUCGAUUCGACCAAUCAUAUUGAUCUUCCCUCACUGCAACUGGAUUUACGUGUAUCACUUAACUCCGAUGGCGGAAACCGACCGGUAGGAGUAUGUCGUUACACUACCAUUGCAGCAAGGGCACGAAACCAGGACAUAAGUCAAACAGACAACUCGCAUAUCUCCAUAUGCACACAUCCCGAAUCCAAAACUAAGCAGCUAAGGCUCUUGAUACCACUGAUGGGAUACGAGGUAGGCUACGCUAGCGCAAAACAAAAUUUCUACCGCGUAUAACCAGGAAGAACUGCCGUAUAAGGAUCACGGGAUUACCACUCGACGCACUACUGGUGCGGAAGAUGUAGAUAUGCGUCGGUGCAGUGAAGACGAUCACGUAGUCGUACGUAGUCGAACAACGUAGUCGUACGUAGUCGAUCACGUCCAGCGGCUCCUCAGCAGCUCGUCCACGUGCACAGCAAGAUCGCCUCCGGUGCCGCGGCUCGUCGUCGGCUCGUCGUGGCUCGUCGGCGGCUCGUCGAUGGCUCGUCCAAGUGCUGCAGGCGCAACACCUCCAAGGUAUCCACACGUGCAGGGAGGAAGCGUCGCAAGCCGGAUUGCUAGAUCCGCGAGUUGCAACAGGCGAGGGCGUGGGAGGCGCGGCAAGUGUGUUCAGCCAAAAGGUGUGAAACCCUAGGGCGCCCCCACCCCUCUAUUUAUAGGGGUUCCUGAUGGGCCUCUGGAUCCGAGGCCCAUUAGUACUCCUAAACCUAAUCCAACUCGGAUCAGAUCCGAAUUGGGCUUCCAGCCCCUUAAGUGUGUGACCCUAUGGGUUCGGAUACGUAUAGACAUGGCCCGAGUACUCCUACUCGGCCCAAUAGUCGGUAGCGGCCUCUAGCAAGACGUGCCAACUCCUAUACGCAUACGAAGAUCAUAUCAGACGAACCAUCACAACAUAAUAUACAUGCUAUUCCCUUUGCCUCACGAUAUUUGGUCUAGCUUCAAGCCGACCGCUCUUUCUCGAUCCUGUGAUUCGGAAUCCCUUUGUAGGUUAACUCUUAACCGUACGUAGCAUGGCCAUGCAUUUUCUGAUCCGAUCACUCGAGGGGCCCAGAGAUAUCACUCUCAAUCAGAGAGGGGCAAAUCCCAUCUUGAUUGACCAUGUCUCAUAGCAUGCUUCUUGACAAACCCGAAAGCUACCUUUAUAACUACCCUGUUACGGCGUAGCGUUUGAUAGCCCCUAAGUAGGUCAAUCCACAUCUAGAAUACAUGCGACAAUCUCAGGUCUAAGGACAAAGCGUAUAUGUUGUUUAAAGAGAGAACUACUUCUCGUGUUGGGUCAGUCCUAACACAUGUCUCCACAUGUGUCCACAUUAUUAGUUCAACAUCUCCAUGUCCAUGACUUGUGAAACAUAGUCAUCAACUAAUACAUGUGCUAGUCUAAUAUUCAUGUGUGUCCUCACAUGAACUCCGACUAGGGACAACUUUAGAAUAACCAUACAAGUAAAGAGUUUCACAUACAAUUCACAUAAUUGCAAAUCAAUUCAAGUAGCCUUUAAUGGAUAUUCAAUGAACACAAUAUAGAAAUCAUGGAUACAAAUGGAAUAUCAUCAUCUCUAUGAUUGCCUCUAGGGCAUACCUCCAACAGAAUCAUCUCCUACUAUUUAAUAGGAUCAAGGCUUGCUGCCUUUCUGAUGAUUGAUCAGUUGCACUUUUCUCAAUUGUUUUUAAAAUGUUCAUCAGCUCCUUUGUUCAUGCUUGUAUCAAGGAAUGAAAUGUGCAUUGCUGACAGCAGUCAAGUUACUGAUUUGUGUAUAUACAUGCAGUACUUUGAGGUUCAUUUUUGUUAUUGUUGCUGCUGCUAUUGUUAAAUUUCUGAAAACUAACAAGCCAUUUCUAAAAACAACAUGCUCUGUUCAGUCCAUUUUGCUGCUGCAUUAGAAUGGUUUUUUUAUCAGUUGCUCUGAACUGGACCUUCAGAAUUCAGACAUUCAGUGCAUUUGCACAUAUGAAAUGUUAGAGCAUGACAUGCCAAUGAUCGGCAGUUCUGCACUGCACCAAACAGCCUCACUAUCACCCUGAUAUGCAUUCUCAAGUCUCAGUUCUACCAUGCUGCCAGAUUGUUCUGUUAUAUGUAAAUUAUCAACUGUUUUGUUUUAAGCUAUAGAAAGACCAAUGUCUGCUUAAAUAUCUCCUCUGCAGGCUAGCUUUGUAAAAGGAGCUGUUAUAGAAAGACGUUGGCUUUGUAAAUUAACGUUGAGGAGAUAUUUAAGCAGAGGAGAACCCGCUAACACCAUCAACGUCUGUAAAAGGAGCUAUAGAUUGUUCUGGGACUGCUUGGUAGUAGUACCUGGAGUGCCGCUGAAUAUGACGUUGAUGGUGUUAGCGGGUUCUGGAAUUUUCCAUUAUUGUUCUCAUCUUUGUCUUCUUCGGCUUUUCCCUUGUCUUUAGCUCCAGAAGAUUCCGGCAGAUUUUUCAUGACUUUAUACAGACUUAUGCAAUCCAUCGCAGAGUGUUUGGAGUUUGGGUGCCAUGGGCACCGCUUCUUCAAGAGCUCCUUGAACGGAGUCCUCUCUUGAUUUCCACCGCUUUUCUUGGAGGACUGGGACAUUACCGCGAUAGUGUUGUCUGGCUUCCUCUUGUAGUUUUGAUGACCUGAGUAGUUGCCUUGUUUGUCAUUGGGGCGAUUGUUGCGGUUCUUGCCGUUACUUUGGCCGUUGUUCUGGCCUCUGUUAUGGCUAGAUUCAAACCGCUCGAUCUCCUUGUCUUCUUCGUCUGCCCAGGAUUACAAUCCUGGGCAGACGAAGAAGACAAGGAGAUCGAGCGGUUUGAAUCUAGCCAUAACAGAGGCUAGAACAGUAACAACUAGAGCAACGGCCAAGGUAAUGGCAAGAAUCACAAUGAUCGUCCCAACGACAACCGAAGGAACUACUCGGGUGGUCAAAAUCGCAAGGGGAAGGUAGAUAAUACUAUCGUGGCAAUGUCCCAGUCCUCUAAGAAGAGCAGUGGAAACCAAGAGAGGAAUCCUUUCAAGGAGCUUCUAAAAAAACAGUGCCCAUGGCACCCAAACUCCAAAUACUCUGUGAUGGACUGCAUAAAUCUUCGUAGAGUUAUGAGAGAUAUGCAAGAAUCUUCUAGAGCUAAAGACAACGGAAAUGUCAAAGAAGAUGGAGACGAGGAUGACAAUGGGAAAUUUCAGAACUCAUCCAACACUGUCAAUAUCAUAUUCGGUGGCACUCCGGGUACUACUACCAAGUGGUCCCAGAAGUUAACCCUUCGGGAAAUCAUGUCCAUUGAGCCAGCAAUGCCCACGUUUCUUAAGUGGUCUGAGGUGCCAAUCACCUUCUCAAGAAAAGAUUAGUGGAUUAGUUUCUUCGACCCAGGAUGCUAUCCUCUCAUCCUGGAUCUAGUCGUUGUAGGCUCUCGCCUCACAAAAGUACUCAUUGAUGGCGGUAGCGCCCUCAACGUGCUCUUCGCCAAGACUUUGAGAAAUAUGUGCCUCAACGUGACAUAUAUGCUCACCCUGACGAACUCUCUGUUCUACGGGAUUGUUCUGGGUAACACGGUUGUACCCCUCAGUCAGGUGGUUUUGCCAGUUACGUUCGGGACCAAGGAUCAUUACCAGACCGAGUACAUCCAGUUUGAGGUGGCUGACAUCGAAACUUCGUAUCAUGCCAUCCUCGAAAGACCAGCAUUGGCCAAGUUCAUGGCCAUCCCGCAUUACGUAUACCUAGUACUCAAAAUGCCAGGACCCAAGGGAGUACUCCCUGCAUAGAGACUUGAAGAGAUCGUGCGACUGUGAUACGGAAGCUGUGGAGCUAGCAGCGACUACUCAGGUGCCAAACUCCAUGAUGCAAUUCUUUGCCGCUUCCAAGAAAUUGUCGCCGACAGAACUCAAAAUCCUACAGAAGAAGUUGGGGGCAACCAAGGUCAAUACGGCAGGUGAAGGUGAUCUCAAAGCGAUUGACCACAAAAUCAGUGACAGCUCCAAAACAGUCCUGAUUGGCGUAGGGCUAGAUCCCAAAUAGGAAGACGUGCUCGUCAGCUUCCUUCGGGUCAACGAGACAUCUUUGCAUGGAAGCUAUCUCAUAUGCUGGGGCUGCCCAGAGAGUUGAUCGAGCACUCACUCAAUGUGGAUCCCAAAGCUACGCCCAAGCGACAACGACUAUGCCGGUUCGCCCAAGAUAGAAGAGAAGCCAUCAAAAAGAGUUGGCCAAACUACUCGUGGCUAGCUUUAUAAAAGAAGUCCUUCAUCCAGAGUGGUUGGCUAACCCUAUCUUGUUGCGGAAGAAGAACAACAACUAGCAGAGGAUGUGUGUCGACAACACAGACCUCAAGAAGCACUAUCCAAAGGAUCCCUUUGGGCUCCCUAGGAUUGAUCAAGUUAUCGACUUGGGUUGGGUGCGCUCUCCUCUGUUUCCUCAACUGCUACUCGGGGUAUCACUAGAUAGCACUCAAGGAAGAAGAUUAGAUCAAGACUGCGUUCAUCACCGCGUACGGAGCUUUCUGCUGCACUACAAUGUCCUUCUGGUUGAAGAAGGCAAGUGCCACGUAUCAACGAGCCAUCUAGGAGUGCUUCAAAACUAGCUACACCGCAAUGUAGAGGUGUACAUGGACGAUGUGGUCAUUAAGACCAUAUAUCCCGACGACUUCGUUGCGGAUCUAGAAGAAACCUUCGCAAGCCUACGAGCAUACCGGUGGAAACUGAACCCAACAAAAUGCAUGUUCGGUGUACCCUUCAGGAAACUACUUAGGUUCAUCAUCAGUCAUCGAGGAAUUGAGGCUAAUCCUGAGAAGAUUGCUGCCAUCACCAACUUGCAUGCUCCAUCGUGCAUCAAGGACGUCUCGAAGCUGAUAGGAUGCAUAGCGGCCCUCAAUAGAUUCAUCUCAACACUUGGAGAAAGGGGACUACCCUUCUUCAAACUACUCAAGCGGUAAGACAAGUUACAGUGGACUGAGGAGGCGGAACAAGCCCUUCAACAGUUGAAGGACUUGAUGUCAAAGCCACCGGUCCUCACGGCGCCUAUUCCCAAUGAAGACUUGCUGCUCUACAUCGCCGUGAGUACUAACAUUGUCAGCACGGCGAUCUUGAUCGAAAGACCAGAACCAGGCCAUGUAUACAAAGUACAGUGGCCCAUCUACUUCAUCAGCGAGGUGUUGUCAGACUCCAAAAUAAGGUAUCCGCUAGUACAGAAGUUGCUAUACGCAAUAUUACUCACCUUGGGACACUACUUCCAAGAACACAACAUCUCCGUCAUCACAGACUUCCCCUUAGGAGACAUACUUCACAAUAGAGAUGCAACAGGAAGGAUCUUCAAGUGGACAGUAUAACUCGAAGCCUUAUCUCUAGAUUUAAAACCAAAGACUGCCAUCAAGUCGCAAGCACUAGUAGAUUUCAUGGCAAAGUGGCGGGAAAAUCAAGUACCCACACUGACAGAACGUCCAGAGCAUUGCGUCAUAUACUUCGAUGGAUCACUCAAGCUUGAGGGUACCGGUGCAGGAGUACUCUUAAUCUCUCCCAAAGGCGAACAACUCAAGUAUGUGUUGCAAAUAUUCUGGGAGGUCUCCAACAACAAAGCAGAAUAUGAGGCACUACUGCACGGGCUCCGUUUGGUAGUCUCGCUAGGAAUCAAGUGGUUUUUGGUUUACGGCGACUCACUAAUAGUCAUCAACCAAGUCAAUGAUGAGUGGGAUCGCCACAAAGAUAACAUGGACGCGUACUGCCUUGAAGUACGCAAGCCGACGAACACGUUCUCCAGCCUGGAGUUCCAUCACGUGGCUCGUGACAAUAAUGUAGCUCAAACAUCUUGUCCAAGCUCGAAUCUACUCGUACUCUAGUUCUAGCUGGGGUCUUUGUCCACGAACUACACAAGCCAUCCAUAGCAGAGUUGGCACCUUCAAAAACCACCAAUCGAGACAACAAUGAGCCUGAUCGGGAGGUUCUGAUGAUCAACGUAGAUUGGAGAACCCCCUUCAUCGACUACAUCAAGGAGCACAAGUUGCUUCCCAACAAGCAGAAGUAGAGCAAGUCUCACAGCAUGGCAAGAACUAAGUUCUAGUUGGGGAUAAGCUCUACAUACGAGGCGGAUCAUCAGGAGUACUCAUGAAGUGCAUCUCACGUGAAGAUGGCAAGGAUAUAUUGGAGGAGAUUCACAAAGGCAUCUGCGGCAACCACACAUCAUCCAAAACGAUCAUGGGCAAAGCUUUUAGAGCAAGAUUCUAUUGGCCUAUAGCUCUCAAAGAUGCCAAAGAGCUAGUUCGCCGAUGUUAAGGUUGUCAAUUCUUUGCCAAGCAGCAACAUGUUUCUGCCUAUAGGCUGAUGACUAUACCGCCCUCCUGGCUCUUCGCAUGCUGGGGGCUAGACAUGAUUGGUACUCUGCCUAUAGUGCCUGGGGGCUUCAACCGAGUACUCAUGGUGAUCGACAAGUUCACCAAGUGGAUUGAGGUGAAGCCAGUGACCUACUCGAAGGCAGACAGAGUACUUGACUUCCUCGACGAGAUCAUCCAUCACUACGGUUUCCCCAAUCGCAUCAUGAUAGGCCUGGGCUCAAAUUUCAACAAUCACAAGUUCUGGGAGUAUUGUGAAAACAACGGGAUUGAUGUUCGGUACCGUCUCUGUUGCUCAUCUACGGGCCAACGGUCAGGUUGGGCGUGCAAUGGGAUGGUACUAAAAAGCUUCGAUUUGAACUACUCCGUAGGUGAUAGCCGAGAACCUAGAAGCUAUCAAGAAGAGACUACAUGACAUUGACAAUGCCAAAUGAGGCAAGUGGCUCAAGGAGCUACCCAAUGUCCUCUAUGGGCUUCGCACAUAGCUGUGCAAGCCUACGAGGUACUCACCCUACUUCCUAGUCUAUGGAUCAGAAGCUAUCCUACCCGCCGACAUCAUGUGGAAAUCUCUAGUAAUUGGGUAGUAUGAGGAAGCUUCGGUAGAAGAAACAAGACGUCUAGAUAUAAAUAGUCUCAAAGAAGCUCACUGUGUAGCACUCGUCCAAUCAACAAGAUACCUUGAAGGAAUUUGCCACUAUCAUGAUCGCAAUGUUAAGGAACGUUCGUUCAACACAGGCGACAUGGUCCUCAAGUGUAUUCUAGACACCAAGGGGCUGCACAAGCUAAACUCGCCUUGGGAGGGGCCUUACAUCAUCUCCAAGGUCACUGGACCUGGGUCAUAUAGGCUCCAAACUCUCACCGGUAAAGAAGUCGACAACUCGUGGUUCUUGUGUUGAUUCUACCCAUAGUCUACAUAUUCAUGUAAAAUAGCCGUCGACCAUAGUUGUACAGUUACAAUUUAAAUAAAGCAAAGUUAUUUUUUGUUGCAAAAGACUAGUCUCUACCCACUCGCAACUUGUACCCACAAGUUUGCACACUUAUCUUUUGGGUUAUUCAACUCAUUAGAUAGCAGCAACUUGAGCAGAAGCAAGCUUGCACACACAAAUCUUGAGCUAAUCAGUUCCUUAGACAAAAUCUAUCCAUCGACGGUCUUCAUAGACAGAAGUCGUCAAUUUACUUAGGAGUGAUCUAUACUACCCGAGUCCUUCUAACCGCGGCUUGUAAUAACAAGUUUGCAAGUUCCAGGUCUUCGGAGCACACCCAAACAAUCUAGAGAGGUUGUCAAGGUAGGUUCCAGAUCAUAAAGUUCUGAAGAGUUUACUCGCCUGAAGAGUUUGACUACCUAGAUACACAAGUACUGGAGCUCCCACAAAAGGGAGUCACAUCCUAAAGGUACUCUACAUAGUGUAUUCAAAGAGGCUCCCAGGAGCAGUCUUGUGCGCGGACACUCACGACUACCAUACGAGCAAACAUCUUGGUAGUCCGUGAGAUGCACUAAGCCGAAGGAAUUCAAACAAGUUGACAAGUAAACAAAAAUUGCGACAAGACUUCAAAACAAUUUGCAUUAACUUAACUUGUUUACAUUACAGACAAUUGUUUUUUGCAUAUCACUGAAGGUCUAUCUUAUCGGCUACUUCUUGAGCAAUGGGAGCCAUCUCCUCCAAGUACUGCUAGAAUUGCUCAACAGAGCAGUCCUCGGCAAUGCCCUUUGCCACAGGAGCCAAGUUGGCUUGUGAGUAGAACGACUUCACCAUCACCAGCAGUUGCUUGGAGACGGACUCCGCAGUCUUCUUCACGUAGCUGGUGAACUUCUCAGGUACAUCCCUGAGUCGCUCUACCAAGGAACGGGGCUCCACGUCUUUCUCUAGGGGCUCCACCGUAUCAGCAAUGGGCUGAGCGGCUUCUGAUAGCUCCUUGAGAGCAAGGUCCUUCGCCUCCAACUCAGCCCACUGCACUUGGAGUUUCUCCAUCAGAUCCACAAGUUGGACCUCCCCGUCCUUGCGUAGCUACUUCUCCUUGUCAAACUUGUGUUCCAGGGUCUCGUACUUCUUGAUCACCUUGUCAAAUUCAUUAGUGACCUGGUAGUACGCGCUUUGCCAGUCAACGACACGAUCAUGGAGAUCGUUAUUCUCCUUGGUGAGCUCUGCAAGCACAAAGGCAACCAACAAGUCAGCAAGGCCUGACAAGUACCUGAAGACAAUGGAGGUUAACAACUUACCUUCAUUCCGGUUUCUCAACCCUUUGUUGAGAUUCUGAAGGUGGUCCUUCUCCUCCGCGGUGCUCUGUGCAUUAUUCCGGUACUGGGCGGCCUACCCAUCAUACUUCAUCAGUAGCGGGGAGGAGUAUUCCCGCUCUUAAGCUAGCUUCUGCUCCAGUGCCUCCGCCCGCUGGAUGGUGUCCCCAAUUACUUCGAGAACUCUCAAUUUCUCGCGGGAGUGCUGGGUCAGUGUCUACAACAUAGAGCAAAGUACUCGUAUAAGCAUCAAGUACCAAUUUCAAGAUGAAGACCAAAAGUAGAAGUAAAGCCUACUUGUGUGUACUCGCCUACUUGGCGGUACAUGUCCAUCAGCUCAGUCUCAAAAUCCACGGUGGCCAGGGGUUCAGCUAUCAGCCAGCCUCUCUCUCGGUUCGCCACAGAAUGGAGCUGCGUGUCAUCAUGUUCCCCGGCACUGGCGCACCGAGAGGGACCAUCACCCUGCUGGACGAUGGACCAGCCUCUGACGUCAAAAAGAUAGUCGCCACGUGACUAGUCGAUGCUCUUGCCUCAGACGGCGGGACAACGGGCAACACUUGCAGCACCGUCCCUUCCAUGUCGUUGCGUCAAUUUUCAACACACUAAUUAAUGAGAUGGCAACAGAGAUGCCCUAUGAAAAAGAGAGGGAGACAAAGAUGUUGCAUUGUGUGCCUGAGUUUCUACCAUUUAUUUUCCCUUUUUCCUCACACUAAUACACACUAGCCAGUCGAAAGACGCACGAACGAUGAUGAAGAGUUGAUUUACCCGAAAGCGGGACAGAGUUAUGCGCCUACGAAAGAUAACACAAACGUGCAGUGGUCUUCUCUUUUUCUUUCCUUCUCUUCUCCAUCGAUGGUGGGGCGUCUGCCAAUAGCACUCUAGUAUGGUCCCGCCGGAAAAGGGGAAGGAAUAUUUAGGUAGGCUGCACUAGUAGAGAAACGACUUUCCAUCCGCCCCUUUUUGUCCCGGUUUAAAGUUGGCCCGGGACAAAAGGUUCACCAACCGGGACUAAAACUCGGUCACUGGUGGGGGGCUCACCAACCGGGACCUUUUAUCCCGGUUGCAAAGGCUAGUGGGAAAAAAAGACUCUGAGAGGCAUUUUAUCCCGGUUUGAAACACCAACCGGGAUAAAAGACCCCCCCUUUUAUCCCGGUUGGUAACACCAACCGAGAUAAAAGGGUCAAGAGCCUUUUAUCCCGGUUUGUAAUACCAACCGGGAUAAAAGGGGGUCAUUUAUCCCGGUUGGUGUUUCAAACCGGGAUAAAAGGGCCCCCAACGAGGUGACUGGAAAGUGACCGGGAAGGAAUUAAAUCGGGGGACCCUUUUAUCCCGGUUCGAAUCCCACGAACCAGGCACGCGCAUAUUUCGCGUGAAAAAUCGCGUGACUUGUGCCUUGCGACGUGCGCGUGUGGGGGGCCUCCUGGGAGCUCGGGAAUUUUUUUUUUUGCAGCGUCGGCGCUCUCGACCCUUUUAUCCCGGUUGGUAUUACCAACCGGGAUAAAAGGGGAUCUUUUGUCCCGGUUGAGUGACCCGGGAUAAAAGAUCCCCCCUUUUGUCCCGGUUGGUUUAUCCCGGAUGCAUUUUCGGGAUAUUUGCACCCUACCAACCGGGAUUAACGCCCAGUUCUCUACUAGUGCUGGCAAAUUCGUCGCCGGGGCAAGCAAACCAACUCCUAUAGUAUACUAGUUGUUGCUAUCAAGCCAUCCAUAUUUGCGCUAAUCAACGCCAAUAGAUUGAUUGAUUAGGCUUGGAUUAAUUAGAGACUAGAAGUUUUGUAGCUAAAUUCAUGGAUAUGUGCAUGGUUUGCUCUCUCCGGUCAUAAAAUAACUGAUGUACUACUGAUGUUGGCUUCGGGCAUCCGGUAUUAUUAACUUUUUACCGUGUUGUGUAUGGAUAUUCGGAAAUGAUACGGAUAUAAUAUUCAUCUCGAGACUUCCUUUCACAAAAAUAUAUUCUUGUACCUUUUUAGAAAAAAAAUUGCUGCUUAAACAUUCUUUUAGCUGGUUGAAUCCAGCUAAACUGAUAAAAGACCAAAUUGUCCCUCCACUUACAUUCUUAACGGGUAAAACCCAUCGGGUACUUAGAUUUCGGGUACCCAUUGAUGACACAUAUUAAGACCCUCUUUGGAACAAGGAACUGAAUGUCAUUGUACCUUGAAUAAUCCUAUGGAAUGGAAAACCCGGGGAAAACUACAGCAAAGGGCCAUUUGAAUGGUGCACAGGAAAAACACAUGAAUUGUAUGAGAGAGUGAGACAAAGAAACUUAUCAUGUGGUCCAACCUCUUAGUAGAAUUCCUCCAGAAUUGCUACUUCCUCCGUCCAGAAAUAUAAGGUAUUUUGGUUGUCCUAAGUCAAAUUGUUUUAAAUUUGACAAAAUUUAUAGAGAAUAGUAUUAAUAUAACAUAUCAAAUAAAUAAAUUAUGAAAAUAUAUCUCAUAAUAGAUCUAAUGAUACUCGUUUGACAUCCUAAAUAUUAUUGCUCUUUUCUAUAAACUUGAUCAAAUUUAGAGCAGUUUGACUUAGGACAAACCGAAAUGGCUUAUAUUUCAAGACUGAAGGAGUAUGGUACAAGGAUUGAGUAUGGUACAAGGCAUGCCAUAGCAAUUUCGUAGGAUCGGUAGGAAUUCAAUCCUUUGUUUCAAAAGAAAAGACUUCAUAGGAAAAUUUCCUGUAGGAUCCAAAUCCUCCAAAAUUCCUACAUUUUUCCUAGGUUUUCGAGGGGGCCUAUGUACUAUGUAUGAUACGUUUUCACAAGUGAAUAAAUGUUAGUAUGUGUUUGCAUGAGUAUCGCUUUAUAAUAUUUAACGACUAAGAGAGCUUGCAGGUAAACUUUAUCAUUAUUAAGUAUUAACUCUGUCCCUUAAGUUUUUCAUAAAUUUUUAAGUACUUAUGUUUGUCAAAAUUAGAAGCCCUUACGGAAAUAUUGACGGAUGGUCUAGUAUGUUGAAUUAAUGACCAUAUAAAUUGUUGUCUGUUGACGUUCAUUAUUAACACAUUUUUACCCCUAUUUAUCUGCAAUAAUGAUAUGAAUUUGAUACCUAAACUAUUGAUCAUACUUAAUUAAUAAAUGGGUCAUUUUUACAUAUGCAAUAUAUUUUGGAGGAUAUUCUGUUUUCGCAUAAAAUUAGGCUAAAUUAAGCAUAAUUGGAUAAAGCCUUGAACAAACAACGAACCAGAGGAAAACGAAGGCCAACAAGCCCAGAAAGGGCCUAGGCCCAUCGGCCUAGGGUCCCCUGACCCCCUCUUGUGCUUGUUUUUAGCAGGUACCCCUCCAAGAUUACUUAAGGGCAAAGUUUGCAAGGAUAUGACAAGAUGAGCUUGGUAUCAAAGAGGAUCAAGCGAAGAUUUGGAAGGUUAUCAAGGAUCAAUCUCAUCUCGAAGCUAUCAACAUGUCAGGACCACAUGCAAGUGAAAAGAAGCAUCCAGAACACCUGAGAAGACUCGGGGAUGAAAGAGAGCGUGAACGGGCAAAAGGAACGCCGAGGCCGAUCAGCCUGGACCCACCCAGGCCGAUUGCCUAGGGUAUUUCCUCGCACUCUCACCUUCCAAUUUCUACCACGUGUUCUUCAGACUAUAUAUACUCCUAUUCUCCAUCGAGGACUGCAUCCAAGACGACGUAUUCGAGGUGAAGCAGCAGAAAAGUGGAAGGAGUUUGAGGGACACCACUUCAGAGAGCCGAGGGCCGUGCGGUUGUCUAGGGAUUAGCGUAGCUAAGCCCUAGCUGACGUGGGAAUCCUGCGAGGAAGAUCCAUGUUGUAGUUUUGGAGCUAGGAUCAUCAGAUCAAGGUAGGAUCUCGAUGGAGAUCUGGUGAUGUACAAUCAUUCAUGGCGAAGUAAUAGAUGUGUUCUUGUUCUUAGCGAUCUAAGUGCCUCCUUCUAUAAUUUUAUGCUAUUUCGGGUUUGCUUUCUUUUCAAUCCAUGAUUAAUGAUAGAUUGCUUAGGGUGUUCAUGUGGUCGUGGUGACCGGAUUUGCAUACCUGAUCUAUCGAUGAAUAUAACACGUUCUUAUGAUCAUGCCCUUAGACUACCUAUGCUGAUAAAGGUGAUCAUGACAGGAUCUUUCUUGUGUAAGAUGGUUUAAAGAUCGGGAGCUUAGACCGGAGCUAUAGAUUUAAAGAUGGUUUUAGCUAAGAUCAUGUCUGUGUUGCUUUGGUACCCAUGCUUAGAAUUACAUCAUACGUAUAAUCUUGGUUGCUCUUGAUUGGUUAUCUCCGCUCCAUCUGUUAUCUAUCUAUAUAUGCUAGAUUAGAUCUAAAUCACUCAAUAACACAAAUAUAUCUUGUAUUAUAAGUUCCACGAUAUCCUCAUGGAGAGGAGCUAUAUGGCUGCCGGUGCAAGGAGGAGGUCCGCCGCUGCCGGAUUUUGGCGUAGAUAGGAGGGGGUCGUGCCGCUGGCAGCUGGCAUGGUUAGAGCCGAGGAGCGUGUCGGCGGGCGCCCGGCGGGGGAGGAGGGAGGGCUGGGGCCUGGGUGCUCGCUGGCUUGCGAACAGCGCAAGGAGGCGCGGCAAGGCUGAGGCGAGCGCUGCGCAGACGAGUAGAGGUAGACGAAAGGAAGGACUAAUAAUUUUUUCCUAGGUGGAUCCCACAAACUUCGUGAAUCAUGCCAAAAGGUACAUUAUUUGACGGCUGAGAUGGACAUGCUUUGGUGGGGGCCGGCGACUUGACUCGGUGGCCACGCGGUCACAAUCGACCACCGGCACCCUAUCCCUCCAUUAUUGCCGUCUGCCAUUAUUGCCUUCUGCAGUGCAGAGGAGUCGUGGUUGGGGGCUUGUUCCGGCAGUGGUGGUUACUCCAUGGUUAGUCCAUGAUUGGUGGGAAUCAAUAAUACCAUUACCACUACGUGCUGAAAGUAAUAGCAAGAGAGAUGGCCAAUCAUCGGAAGCAAUAUCACUGUUUGGACUUUGGAUGGGGUCCAACUUAAUUCUUCACAGGUAAAGAGAGUGCUCCACUACAUAGAAAGCCUGCUCCUGCCAUUCGCUUGCGCAUAGAGAGUCCGGGAGAGAUGGAGGAGCGGUUUGCCCCCGUAACCGCGGCGACCGGGGCGUUGGGGCCGGUCCUGGUGAAGCUCGCUGCUUUGCUGGGUGAUGAGUACAAGCUUCAGGAGGGAACCCAGCGAGGCAUCGAGUCCAUCAAAUCCGAGCUCGAGACAGUUCACCAUCUCCUGGGGAAGUUAUGGGGGAGGUUGGAUCUUGAUGUGGCAUGCAAGAACUGGAUGACAGAGGCCCGAGAGCUGUCCUACGACAUGGAGGGCGACAUCGACGGCUUCACUCUCGGUUUGGAGUGUGGUGACGGCAGCUUCAUCCAGCGGGAAGCCACGGACAGCCCUUUCAAGGAAUUCAUGGAAAGGGUCAAAGAUGUAUCGAAGCGGUGCGGCAAGAUGCAGAAGAUUGGCGACUGCAACCGUAGCAAGCUGCCCACCGACCCUCGAGCUCUCUUCCUUCACAGGGAUGCAUCGGAGCUCGUGGGCAUGGAAGAAAAGAAGGAGAAGCUCAUCAAAUUGCUUCAGAAGCACGAAAUGGUAUGCCUUCUUGGACCUGGAGGGAUGGGCAAAACAACUCUUGCGGAUCUGGUGUAUCACGCAGUAGGAGAUGAAUUCCAAUGCCGGACAUUCGUGUCCGUGCACCCAAGUCCUAACAUGACGGAUAUUCUGGGUACCAUCCUCAGCCAAGUAAUAACAGAUGGUGCAAUGUCUGCUGGCAGUGGCACCGAACCUGCAGCCGAACAAAAUAUCGUCACCGACAUAUCAAUUUCCCUCUCUGAGACGAGGUACGACCUCUCCAUUCUCACUCUACUUCAUUCCUCACUACCGGAAACAGUAAAUUCGCCGAGUGUAAAAAUUUUGCCGAGUGCAUUUUCUCGGGCACUCGGCAAACAGCCUUUUUGCCGAGUGUACAAAAUGGGACACUCGGCGAACAUAAAACACUCGGCAAAAAGCAGGUUUGCCGAGUGCCAAAAAUCAGACACUCGGCAAACAACUCCACGACACUCGGCAAAGAAGACACACUCGGCAAAUCGGUAUCGCGUGCGGCGCACGUGCGUCGUGCACUAACAGCGUGGGACGGCCGUUACACCUUUGCCGAGUGUUAGACGGGUGACACUCGGCAAAGUCCACUUCGCCGAGUGCCAGACGCAUACACUCGGCACACGCAAACGUUCGCCGAGUGUCUCAGCCGGACACUCGGCAAACGAAACACUUUGCCGAGUGCCGUCCUUGAGGCACUCGGCAAACAAAAAAAAAAUUCCUUCCAACACCUUCCACACUUUUUCUACUCCCCACGUAGGACAUUUGGUUAUGCAUAUUAAAAUUUGGUAUAUUUUCGGGUCUGUUUGGGAUUUUUAAUGCUUUGUUUGCAUUAAUAGGAAUUUUUUGAUUGAAGUCAAAUUUUAACUACACGUACUUGAAAUAAUGGAUUGAAAUCAGUGAAAAAAUCAUAUUCAUAUUAUGGAGACCAAAUUGAGGUCUCAACCAGAAAAUGAAAAGAAAUUUUGAACAUUGUUUUUAAAAAACACGACCACGAACCUUUGGUUCAAUGGUUGUUAAAUUGUAAAAAAACCAAACGAAAUCUGAAAAUCACAAGAUUUGUCAAGAUGUCAUUAUAUUUUGUGUGUAGGCUGUGGUAAAAAAUUGAGAACGUUUCGCCCAAUUUCUGACCUAUCAUGCUUAGAAACCGACUAAUCUCCUGGAGGGAUUCAUAGAAGUUAGAAAGGAGCCAAUAAGAUUUGGUGUUCAAGUGACACAUGAAUUAAGGAGUGCCUUCAAAUCUUUUUGUACAGGCAACAUACAACACAUGUUGGUUCAUGUCAAAUUUUGGAAAUUUUUCGGAUGCAUUUGAUAUUUUUUAUUGAUUAAAUGCAAUUAUAGAUUUUUAUUAGAUAUAAAUGGAAUUUGAGCUAUAACUGCAUGAAAUAAUGGAAUAUUUUCGGUAGAAAACUAAUUUAACAAUUUUUUAGUGAUUUUGACACGAUUUUGAACAAGUAUAUUUGAAAAAGGCCACUAAAAUACGUUAUUUCAUGUAACGUUUGCCGAGUGUAACCAUAAAACACUCGGCAAACAUUGUAUUUUGCCGAGUGUUUUCUAUGUGCACUCGGCAAACAAGUUGCACGGGCCCACUUUCUUCGGCCUCGGUUGGUAAAAAAAACCCCCGAAUUAAGUUUGCCGAGUGCCCUGGAUCUAGGCACUCGGCAAACACUAGUGCUUUGCCGAGUGCCCGCGAUCUGGCACUCGGCAAAGGCUUGUAUUUUGCCGAGUGUUUUCUAUAUGCACUCGGUAAACAAGUUGCACGGGCCCACUUCCUUCGGCCUCGGUUGAUAAAAAAACCGGAAUUAACUUUGCCGAGUGCCCUGGAUCUAGGCACUCGGCAAACACUAGUUCUUUGCCGAGUGCCCGCUAAGAAGCUUGUUAAGGACAUGCACUACGAGGCGCGCGUUGAGGCCAUCAUCGACUUUUAUGCUGAAUACAAAAGGAUGAGGAUCAAAAAAGAAGAGGCCAGGACAAUGAACCUGACCAAGGAAGAAUUCAUGGCGGUACGUACAUAAAGACUAUAUUUACUAUUUGAGAGAUUAAUUACGCUUAAUUCCGUUAUUUAUAUGUCAUACACUUCAUAUAGGUGCCUCCGUGGUGGUGCCGAUCCUUUACCCGGUGCUGGGAAAAAAUGGUGGACGUGUGGUUGCAGCCUGGGUGGUUGGAGAACCACAAUGCCUGCCGGGAGCGGCGUCUGCAGAUGCCAUAUGCAUCACACCAUCAAGGCAGUCUGAGCCUUGAUGAGUACAAGGAAAAAUGGGUACGUGAAUUAAUUUCUGUUUUCUCAGACAUAAUACUGCAUAUUUUGUAAUCAUUUUACAUUUUUUCCGCAGACUUCAUCACAUGAUGGUCAGGGGUGCUCCCGGUUCAAGGCAUGGGUUAUGUCCAAAAAGGGCAAGGCCACGGCAGACAUCGACUUCAACCCGGAGGACCCGCCCGAGGCGUACAGCCAUCCCAGCAUCCACAGCCGCGUCACCGAGUACACAGCCAUGGCGAGGGAGGUUCACGGGCCAGAGUUCGAUCCGAGCUCUCAGGAUAUCGAUCCUGAAAUAGUGAUGAGGGUAGGAGGAGGGAAGAAGCAUGGCAGGUAUUGGAUUGGAGAUAGCGUGAUCGACACUGCCAGUACUCCCACUCUCUCCCAGAUCCGAGCAAGGAGCACGGACUCGAGCCCCGCGAUACGGCCACGGCCUACCGCUGCACAGCUACAGAUGCAGGCUCUGCAGGUUAGUUGUGUUUCUUUAAUUUUUCAUUCAUUUUGUACUUACCUUUUGCUUGACAAUAAGUGGUUGGGAUGAAAUAUUGUAGGCCCAGGUGGAGGUAGAACGGAAGCGCCGAGAGGAACUAGAGGCGAGGAUCGAGGCGGAUCGGCAGCUUGAAAGGCAGAGGACGGAGCAGAUGUUCCAAUACAUGCAGAGUGUGUUCCACAGUUUAGGUCAAACUCCACCACCUAUGCCACCGAACCUCUUCCCGCCACCUCCACCACCUCCUGCAGCUACUCCUGUGAGUCAAUCUCAACCUUACAAUCAAUCUAGACUUACUUCCACUAGAAUUACUUGUUUAGACUAUGAAAUCUCUUUACCUACAUUUGUGCAGAAUCAAUCGGCGGCGUCCAAUGCAGAAUCUUCCUGGGGGCACUGGACACCUGCACGUCCUCCUCAUCCUCCUCAGUGACUUGUCAUUUCUGUGUUUGUGAUGUAAAACUUGUGAAUUACUUAUUUAGACGAGAACUUAUGAAUGCUAUUUGUGUGCUUGUGAAUCCUGUGGUGCAAUUUAUAUGCUUGUGCUGCCAUUAAUAUGCCUGUGUAUCUGUGGUUGUUUUUUGAGAGGGGUCCUUUAUACCUAACAUUUCUAUUUUGUAGCAGGAAUUAGGACACUUUGCCGAGUGUUAGCACUCGGCAAAGAGGACAUUUCUGUAGUAGUAGACGGGUUUGCCGAGUGUAUUCUUCAAACACUCGGCAAAGGGGUCAAAAAAUUUGGCGAAAUUGCUUGUUUGCCGAGUGCCAUUGGGUAGGCACUCGGCAAAGGGGGCAUAAAAAAUGGCGGGCCGGGCAUCUUUGCCGAGUGUUUUCUUAAAUACACUCGGCAAAGAUGGAAACUUCGCCGAGUGUAUCUAGGGAAACACUCGGCAAAGGGGGCAUAAAAAAAAUGGCGGGCCGGGCAUCUUUGCCGAGUGUUUUCUUAAAUACACUCGGCAAAGAUGGAAACUUCGCCGAGUGUAUCUAGGGAAACACUCGGCAAAGGGGGCAUAAAAAAAUGGCGGGCCGGGCAUCUUUGCCGAGUGUUUUCCUAAAUACACUCGGCAAAGAUGGAAACUUCGCCGAGUGUCGGCCGUCAGACACUCGGCAAAGCUCCCGUCGCCGUGACAGCCCGUCAACGCCUUUGUACCGAGUGUCAUAUUUUGCCGAGUGUAUUGCGGCACUCGGCAAAGGCUUUGCCGAGUGCCCGAUGGUUGACACUCGGCAAACAACCUGUUUGCCGAGAAAAACUUUGCUGAGUAAUGUUCGCCGAGUGUUACACUCGGCAAACACUUUGCCGAGUGUAUUUGGCCCUUCGCCGAGUGCCUGAGGCACUCGGCAAACUUACUGUAUCCGGUAGUGCCUGAUUGUGUUCCUAAGUACUCCGUGUGUGUUAUUCUACUAUUUUGAACAAAUCAUACUGUGUUAGAAAAUUGGAACGCUAGUUCCAAAACCCGUGCAUGCGUCCGCACAUAUUUGCAUUAUUUUUUGAGAAUCCAUAUAGAUAAUAAUUGAACUUCGUAAAAUGCCUAUAAUUUUGCAUUAAGUGACCGAUGUGGCAUUAUUGACCAAUUCAAUUCAAAUUUCCUAAUUUUCUUUCUGCUAGCAGUGGCACUGAACCUGCAGCCGAGCAAAAUGAUUUCAUCAAAGGCAUAUCAAAUUUCCUCUCUGACAAGAGGUACGUCGUCUCCAUUCCCACUCUACUUCCUGAUUCCGUUCCUAAAUACCACGUAUGUAUUUGUUAGUGUACUAUUCUGGGGUGUUUGGGAGGAGGGGGUUAAAUUUUAGCCCCCAUCACAUCGAAUAUUUGGUUACUAAUUAGGAGUAUUAAACCUAGACUAAUUACAAAACUAAUUACAUAACCCCUAGGCUAAAUCGCGAGACGAAUCUAUUAAGCCUAAUUAGUCCAUAAUUUGAUAAUGUGGUGCUACAGUAACCAUUCACUAAUGAUGGAUUAAUUAGGCUCAAUAGAUUCGUCUCGUGAUUUAGCCUAGGGGUUCUGCUAUUAGUUUUGUAAUUAGCUCAUAUUUAGUCCUUCUAAUUAGCAUCCGAACAUCCGAUGUGACAGGGCUAAAGUUUAGCCCCUGUCUCUCAAACAACCCCAAAAUCAUAUUAUGUUUGCAACGCUAGUUCCACAACCAGUGCGUCCGCUCAUAUUUGCGUUAUUUUGGAAAAUCCAGAGACAAUUGAUGAACUUUGUGAAAUGCAUAUAAUUUAACAAUAAUUCAGAGGUGACCAAUGUGGCAUUAUUGACCAAGUAUCCGAUCAAACUUCUUUGUUUGUAUCAGUUGUAACAUGUUAUUUUUACUUCCUCCUAUAUGAUUAUGUGAAGGUUUUAUGGAGUACUCAAUUAAUAUUUGCUAGACCAUUGACCGUUUUGCUAGGUACUCCAUAAAACAUGUGAAGGUAAGAGUUUGAAUGAAUCCUAGCCAUCAAUUUGUAUAAAAGAUGCAAUUAGAUAAUUAAAAUAAUAUGAAAAAAGGCUGGCAAACUCGCGGGCAAUCUCGCUCUCGGAGGUGUAACUGUCAUUUAUCUAAGGCUAUAUUUAGUUACCCUCAAAUUCCCAACUUUGGCACUAUACAAAAAGAAGAUUUCCCAUCACAUCAAACUUGCGGUAUAUGCAUGAAAUACUAAAUGUAGACGAAAUCAAAAACUAAUUGCACAGUUUUGUUGUACUUUGCGAGACGAAUCUUUUGAGCCUAAUUAGUCAAUAUUUGGACAAUAAUUCAUAAAUACAAACGAAAUGCUACAGUUGCGCAUUUAUGGCAAAAUGUCAAUUUUGCUACUCCCAAAUUAGGAACUAAACAAGGCCUAAAAGAAUUGGACCCGUCACGUGUAUGUAAUGAUUAAAAUAUGCAUAUAAUGCAACGUAUUUCCAAAUAUAAAUUAGAUCUAUCAUGUGUCAUUAUGAUCCCAUGUCACACCCGGUUUUAAAACAAAAUCAAGUGCUACCUAUAUGUAUGCUAGGAUCUAAUUUCAUACAUAUAGUGACAUCAUUGGUGAAAACAGUAACAGUAUCUCGUAAAGGAAUAUAAAUAAUAACUUACGAGUCCAUCAGAGAUAUACAGCAUAAUCCUGGAAACGGUGGCUCCAAACAGUCAUCUUCAGAAAACUUCUGACAACUUCCUCUUCUGAGCAGCAGUAAGCAAGGAUGAGUACACUUAUGGUUGAUACUCAGCAAGAUCACAAGAAAUAACCAAAAUAUCGAUUUAAGUCCAUCUUCAAGUUUAUUAAUCAUGUGAGGGUCUAGGCUGCUCUUGACCGUGAGUAUGGCUGAUAUAUCAGUUUUACACUCUGCAGAGUUGUAUACUUUCACCUCAAGUCACGUAAAAGUUCAGAAGAACUUUAGACCCAACCAUGCUGUGCAAAAGUAGGCACUUAUCACACUAUCGAGGUGUGACUACAUAGGGACGCUACGAGACUUUACAAAGAUUCCCUAAGAAGUGAUAACCCGCUAAGGUUUUGUCAUAAGGGGAUGAACCCUCCCUCAAGUGGUGCGUACACCCCUUGGCUGGACAAGCCAUCGCACAACCUAUGAGCCCCUCCUGCCCUCUCGAUAAGACUAUCACAAACUAGAGUCUCUAAUUAAUUAGCCAAGACCAGAGCCCGUUAGUCUUAUGGUUGUACUAUUUUCCUAGAUGGUCACUCUAUGUUCCAAUUAAGGCAUGGUAUUCUUGUAAAAUAAGCAUAGAUAGAAGGAUGGUUAGGGACACUUGCCUUUCUCCAAUGAAAGGUUACUCUUACUACUCUUCAGCUCUUGCUUUCUUGAAACUCUUAAUCUUCAAAUCUUUCGAACAUCGAUCCUUCUACUCAAAGCAAUCACCGGCACAAACAUAUAAGCAAACAAACAAGUACAACUAAAAACAAUACACUAAAACAAAAGAAAAGCUUUAAAAGACCAUAUCAAAGGAUAGAGCUUGAAUCUAAGGUCACGCGAAUGCAAGAAACGCUGGGAACGGAACUAUGGUUGAAAAGAUAAAACCUAUCGAGAGGUUUGAAUUAUAAAAGAAAACACAAGAGCUACCUGCUUCAUUUAUUUUAGUUGAGAAAAAUAAUGUAAAGAUAUUUCAGAGAAAUACCCUUAGUUGGAAUUAAUCAAGUCAUAUUUACAUAUAAAAAGAUGAUGUACAGCUUAGUCUAAUUUUAUUUAUAAAUAUUUAAGUACAAUUUAAGAAAAUUAAACAUUUUAUUUUAAAAGCAGCAUGUAAAAGCAUCUAAGCAUAUAACUUUGUAUCUUGAGUUCAACUAAGCAAAUUAUAUUAAAAACACAUUUAUAUUUACUUUAGUCAAAUUAAAAUUUAAUAAGAAAACCUCAAGAUAUAACUUAUAUAGCUUUUAUCUAUAAAACAAAUUGAAUACACAUUAAUCAAAUUAAGUUUAAUUUAUGAAAAGCUGAGGUACAUCUCUAAUUAGCUUUAAUUGGAAAAACAUUUAAGAGUAAGCAUUAAUCAAAUUAACAUUUAUUAUGAAAAAUGGUGUAUAACACUAAAUAGCUUUUAAUUAAAGACAGCAUGUUUAAUAGGUAUUAACCAAAUUAAUAUUUAAAUUUAUUUUAAAAACUACAAUGAUGAAAAAGAUCACCACUAACGUGUAAUUUAUAUUCCUUCAAAACUAAUAGAAACAGAGCUAAAACCUGUAAGAUAUGACUUAACGAAGCUCUAGGGACUUGCUGGCGAGGUUUAGAAACUUCCUGGCACUUAACUGCAAGAAACUGAGGACCUAAACCUAAUUUCGUUCAUAAACUCGAGGGCUAACGUUUAGAUGGAUUGGAUCGUGAGAAUCUAAACUUUCUGGGGACUUUUUCAAAAAGCCUACCAAACACAAAAUUUAGAUCAGCAUUUCCUUUUUCUUCAAGGGCUAAACUACAAAACGCAUCUUCUUCUUCCUCCAGAUUCCUCCCGGCCGAUACACUCCAAUUGGCCGGCGGCCAGCUCACCGGUGGUGGCGCGCAGGCGGUGGCGGUGCGGGGUGGUUGCGGCAGUGGCAGAGGUGGCGCGCAGGAGCGCGGGUGGCGGGCGGUGGGGCGCACGAUGCGGCUCGGCCAGAAGCGCAGGCGGCGGUGGCAGCAGCGGUGCGGAACACAUGCGGCUUAGGAGGUAGUGGAUGGCGGUGCAACUCUGCUCCGACGGCUCGGGGCAGGAGGCGGUGAGCCGGGUGUGGGCACCCCGGAGGCAGUAACACUAGGCCGAAGCCUUGGCCAGCGGUGAAAAAGAGAGAGAAAGAAGGGAUCGCUAGGGAUGGAGUUCAAACUCACGCUUGAAUGGAAAAAUAGAACGAGAUCGACGAUACGAACGCGAUGGUGUGCUCAUCUUCGACCGAAGACUUAUGGCUUUGCUAGAUUUGCUCGCCGGAGUUCUCAGCGGAAAGUUUGCCGGGGUUUAACAAAUCCGUAUGUUCGGCGUUGAACCGCGGGACCUAGGGUUGUCUAAACGAGGUGGGGUUUACGGUAUUGAAACAAGGAUGUCAAGGAGAUCACCUAAAAGUAUUUAUAGGCCAGUUUGGAGCCUGGAUUUAUUUUGCCCCCUUUUUCUAAUUUCAGGAAUUAAUUUCGGAUUCGAAAACAAUUCUAGAAAAUUCUGAAAUCAUAAUGAAAUCACGAAAAAUACUCCAAAAACUCUGAAAAAAUCAGGAAUGUUCCUGGAGAUGAUUUGGGACACGAGGAACCAAUAUAAAAUAUUUGGAUCUCGUGAAAAGGAUUCUAAACCUUCCAAAAAUUGGAUUUAGCUCUAGGAAAAUGAGAAUAAAUUCUAGGAAAUUUUGGAAAAUUCUAGGACGAACGUUAUCAUUAUCUAGAUGAUUUUUUAAAAUAUUUGCACUCAUGAAACACCAAAAUAAAUCAGCAUGAAUGCAACACAUAAAGAACAACUUUAUUUAAUUUAGAAAAACAACUAAUUGUUUUUCAUGUACUAUAUUUCCUUUCAAGAAAAUAAAUGUUGGAAAAAAUUUAAAAUUAUGAGAAAAUCAUUGUUCAAUUUUUGUUUUUAAGCACAUCCUGAAAUCCAAAAAAUUCAGGGUGUGACACCCAGUUGCUUAUUUGCAGCUUCUACUUAUUUUUAAGCUGUGUAGCCACCUAAACGUGCAACUUCUCAUCGAAUUAAUAAAAAAGCUCUUCUUCCAUUAUAACGUCAAACUUGAAAAACUCAGAAGCUGACCACAUCCGGCUUGUUGGCUUUUUCCCCACCAAACUUUUUCUUCCCUACCCGAGCUGCUCCUGUGCGUGCAUCGCUGACGAGCAUGCCAUCCUCCGCCCCGAGAUAGUGUCGCUCGCAGCUUCCGAGCUUAGCGCCGUCUAGCGUGCUGCCUUCUGCCCCGAGCUAACGCUGCCCACCACUCCCGAGCUCAGCGGUAUCUUCCUCCUCAAGAUCUGCUGACGAGCGUGCCGUAGUCUUCCUCCUAGAGCUCCACUGACGAGAUGCUGCCCCCGACCUCCGCCGAUGAGCAUGUCGCAGUCUUCCUCCCGGAGCUCCACCGACGAGCUACUACCCGCGAGCUCCGCAGGCGAGCGCCGCUCGCCGCCCCUUAGCUCGACGCCAUUCUCGGCGCCGACCUCGCACCGCCCAUGGAGGUCACAAGAUGAUCCAUCGAAAACAAAACCCAUGGUGCCAACUCUAUCAUGUCAACAGAUUCAUCACGAUGUUGAACGAUGAAAUCGGCUACAGCCUGCGCCUUUACUGCCUUAACGGACUUAUACCGUAAGUCAAAUUCAGUUAACAUCAAAAUUCAUUUUCCCAUCCUUCCUUUCAUGAUAGGAGCCGACAACAUAUAUUUUACUACAUCAGCUUUGCAUACCACCAUGCACUCAGAUUUCAGAUAAUGACAUAAUUUCAUGCAUGAAAAAUACAAGCACAAACAUAAUUUCACAAUGGGAGGAUACCUGGUUUCUACAUCCAAAAGCCUUCUUCUCAAAUAAAAGAAAAUCCGCUCCUUCCCGUCAACUUCUUGGACAAGCACCGAUCCGAUCGCAUGAUAAUUGGCUGAUAAGUACAACUUGAACAGGCGAUCUGGCUACGGCGCAAUCAGAACCGGUGGUGAUUUAAAUAUUUCUUAAUUCCAUCCAGUACCCCUUGUUACUUUUCUCCCCACACAAAUUCUUGAUCAGGCUUUAACUUCAGCAGGGGCAUAAAUGGCUCGAUGCGUGUUGAUAUAUUGGAUAUAAAUCUCCUGAUGAAGUUAAUUUUCCCAAAAACAGACUGCAACUCGGUCUUGUGUGUUGGAGGAACAUUAGUAUUAAUAGCUUUGAUACUCCUUUGACCAACUUCAAUUCUUCUGUCAUGCAUAAAACCCAAAAAUUUACGAGCCGAUAUACCAAAAGCACACUUAUUUAGAUUCAUCUUUAAAACAUGCUGCAUUAUGCAGUCUAGUGUUUUGUGUAGAUUGGCCAGAUGUUGUUCUGUGGUCUUAGAUUUGACUACCACAUCAUCGAUGUAGAUCUCCACCACUCUGCCAAUGAGCUUAUGGAAAAUGUAAUUCAUUGCUGGUUAAUAAGUUGCAUCGGCAUUCUUUAAGCCAAAAGUCAUGGCCACCCAUUCAUACAACCCAAGAGCCCCUGGGCAUCGAAACGCAGUCUUUGAGAUAUCUUCUUCUACCAUCAAUAUCUUAUUGUACCCUGCGUUCCUAUCCAUGAAACUCAAGAUCUUAUGACCUGAUGCUUCAUCAACCAUUGUAUCUGCAACUGGCAUUGGGUACUCAUCCUUUGGUGUAACUUUAUUCAGAUUCCGAAAAUCCAUGCAAGCUCUACGUUUUCCGUUUUUCUUGAUGACAGGCACAAUAUUAGACACCCACUCUGCAUAUCGGCACGGCCUAAUAAACUUGGCCUCAUACAAUCUUGUAAUUUCAGCUUUGAUCGUUUCAAGUAAUUCUGGCUUAAAUCUCCUUGCAGGUUGCUUGAAAGGUCGAUAGCCUAGUUUGAUUGGUAACCGAUGCUCCAUGAUCAUUCGGUUUAAUCUUGCCAUCUCAUAGCACUCCCAAGCAAAGCAAUCUUUGUGCUCUUUCAACAGCUCUAUUAAUUUUUUCUUAUACUCAGGACUUAAUUUAGAAUUUAUAAACAUCGGCCUUGGCCUGUCACUUGGGCCUAUAUCAACUUCUUCUAGUAGGUGAGCUGACAUAAAUCCUUGUCCUAACUUCCCAUCUAUAUCAUCAAUUGUAGCAUCCAUUAGGACUCCCUCCAAUGAGCCGACUAUUGAAAUCUACCAAGUAAUCAGGCGAUUUAUCCCACCGGGCGUGCCAAGAGCAUGUUGACGCAAAAUCUGGACUUCAAACUCUACGUUGAACAACACGUGAGGACCUAGGAUAUUUGCUUAACUCCAGUGCAAGCUCCAAAUCAAUUCCUGAAGAUACGUGGCGUGCUAGUCAAUUUGACUUGCAAUUGACAAGGAAACGUAAAAUUCUUGAGCCGAUAGGCGGCUAAGCUUUCGAACUCAUGGGUAGUCAUUCUUUGAAUAAACACUGAUAAGAUAUGUUAAAUGUAAUCAUGCGGUAUAAGUAAAAUAGAUAACAUUAAUGGUAUGUGCCAUCGGCUAUAUGAGCCGACGGGCUAAGAUAGACCUAAGUAAAACAGCUGCCAUUAAGAAAUAACCUGUCUAUUACAUUGUAGUUAAUUAGACCGUUGGAGCUAAUCAAUGUCACGAGCCGAUGGAUCGGACUAAACCAAGACAGCAUGGCAACGCAGGGCAUUAACUCGCUCUUUCUGGUUUAAAAGACUAGAAAGUAAUAACAAGGCCUUGUGCACGUGGCCAUCGGCUCGAUGGCAUCAGACUGCUACUGGGAUGGAUGGAUCGGACCCAACCAAGACAACAUCGGCUCCACAGCAGCAGUCUUAUACUAUAGAUCUAUUGGUCGGUAAUGGAAGGGGCGAGGGUAAAGAUCUAUUGGAUCUAGUAAAAAUAAAGCAAUAAAGGCAUGCAAAGAAAACUAGCCGAUACAAUAAGAUAAAUGGUGAGUGCUUAGAAACAACUAGGAAGUUGAUGCGGAACAAACCUAAUUAGAUAUAAGCAACAUGAUAACUGGGAGCAUUUGAUGUAAUUAAGAGAUCGAUGCGAUGCAACUUAAUUAAAAUAAACAACUCGAUAAUUAUGAGCACUUCGAAGAUAAACAGGAGGUCAAAAUGAUGCAGCCCUUUUCAAUUCUUGGUAACUCGAUAACUAGUCUUACGUUAAGAGAUCAUAAUAUCAGACUUAACCGAGAAAGUUCUAAUACAUGUAACGUAAUGACCGGGUGAAGGUACUAUCAAGCUCGCCUGAGAUUGAAGCUGAUGCAGCCCCCCGCACAAGAACAAACUUGCCGAUUCAACUCUACUCCUAGUUCUAAGAUUUGGCGGGGGGCGCCGAAAAGGAAGAACUGUUGUGUGGUGUUUUCCAUCUACUUCUCUACAUGGUAUCACGAGAUUAGAUUGUGGGCCUCCUCUCCUCUCCCUGCCCCUCCCCCCAAUUCAUGCAAACCUAGGCGGUGCCCCCUGCUACGCCACCGCCACCCACCCUCCGCUGCACCUCCCCGUCCAGCAUCCCCAUGUCCUCCGCCAACUCCUUUAUGUCCGGCAACACCACUCCUCUUGCUACUGAUCUUGUGCCACCUCCUAGACCGCCCCUGCUACCGAUGACGGUGCAUCUGUGCCGCCACCUGGCACCGGUGGCUCCUCUGGCAGUGUGUCUCAAGCUUCUCCUGCCGGCGACGCGCCCGACAACGACGGCAGUGGCUUCAUCAUGUACCCGGCACCGCCGCCAGCCAUCCACCCCUACGCCACUAUCUCCAUCAAGUCUCACGUCCCUGUGAAGUUGGCAAUGAAGUCCAACACCUACUCCAGAUGGGCAUCCUUGUUCACGUCCAUGUGCGGUAAGUUCGACCUCUGGUUCACAUCGACGGCAUGAUGGCUCCUUGUCCCCAGGACCCUGACUGGGAUCAAGCGGAUUGCUAUGUCCGCUCCUAGUUCUUCGGCUCCGUCUAUGACUCCAUCCUCGACCUUGCCAUGACCAACGAUGACCAGACUAGAUGGGAACUCUGGCUCACCAUCGAGGGACUCUUUCGCGCCAACAAGCAAUCCAUGACGCAGGGUGACUGCUCCGUCAUCGAGUACUGCAACCGUAUGAAGACUCUCGCUAACGCCCUUCGCGACGUUAGCCAUCCUGUUCAGGACUCCCAGCUUGUCCUGAACCUCCUCCAUCGCCUCAACCCAUGCUUCUCCAACACUACCGAAGACAUCGCCAACUCCACCGCCGGCUUCCCGCCCUUCGCCCAAGCGUGGGACAUGCUCACCCUGAAGGAACUUCACCUCGCCAAUGAGGCGAAUGUCUCCAACUCCACCUCCCUCCUCGCUGUGAACUCUUCGUCGUUGUUGUCCUCCUCCGGCUGUACGGGCGGGUGUCACCCACCAUCUAGCUCUUCUCAGACCGGCAGUGGUGGCAGCACCAGUGGUGGUGCCCGCUGUAGCAGCAGUGGCGGCCGCACCGGUGGCGGCAACGACAAGAAGAAGUGGCUGCAAAAGAAGGGUGGCAGCGGCUUCCAGGCGCCCUCCGGCGGUGGGCCCCCAUGGCCCACUGGCCCGUGGUUUUGCUUCAAACCAAGGGAUAGCUCCUAUGACGCUCCAGGCUUUCAGCAGGCCAGCGAUCGGGGUAGCGGGGGAUGGCGCACCGGCACCCCUGGCCUCUUCGGCCCUUCUCCGCAGGCCCACGCUGCCUACGCCCCCAUUCAGGCACCUACUCUGGCGCCAACCUGGGCCUAGGCAGGUCUUGUUGCCACCUUGAACCAGAUGGCGCUACAUAAUGGUGGCUGGGUCAUUGACUUAGGUGCAUCCGGUCACAUGUCGUCUUCGGAUGGUAUUCUUCUUUCCCGCCUCCCUCCUUCUCACUCCUCCAUUACUAUCGGUAACAGUCACACCCUUCACGUCACGUGCCGUGGAAGCUCCACCCGCACCACCCCCACCUCCCAAUUUCAGCUUAACAAUGUCCUUGUUGUCCCUUCUUUAAUUCACAAUCUAAUUUGUAUUCGUUAGUUUACUAAGGACAAUAACUGCACCAUAGAGUUUGACGCCUUUGGUUUUUCUUUCAAGGAUUUUCCAACCAAACACAUGAUUCUUCACUGCAAUAGUGUCGGCAACCUCUAUACCAUGCCUCCAGUAGCCAGCUUCACAAUGCUCACGCCGAUGUCGCCAUCUCCUCCAGUUUACAGCGUCUUCGUCUUGGUCAUCCUGAUCCUGUCGCCAUCGCUACACUUAGACAGAAUUCCUCCAUUACUUGUAAUAAAGCCAAUCACACUAUAUGUCAUUCAUGUCAGUUUGGGAAAUAUGUGUGGCUACCUUUCUCUCAUUCUAGCUUUCGCAGUUCUGCUCCCUUUGAGUUAGUUCACUAUGAUGUUUGGACUUCUUCGGUCGCUAGCGCUUCUGGUUAUCGCUACUACCUAGUUAUUCUAGACAACUUCUCACAUUUUUGUUGGAUGUUUCCUCUAGUUCACAAGUCUGAAGUCGCCUCAUAGAUCACUGACUUCUGCACCUAUACUCAUACGCAGUUUAGUCUUCCCAUUCGCAGCAUCCACGCUAACAAUGGGAUCGAGUUUGUUAAUAGGACUCUCACAUCUUUCUUAACUUCUCGGGGUAUCCACCUGCGCCUCUCGUGUCCCUACACUUUUCCCCAGAAUGGGAAAGCCGAGCAUGUCCUCCGCACACUUAAUAAUCUCACUCGCACAUUGCUCAUUCAUGCAUCCAUGGCCGCCCCAUACUGGGCAGAGGCGCUCACCACUACCACCUAUCUUCUAAACCGGCACCCCUGUUCUGCCGUUCAGAAUGACAUCCCCUACCGCCUCCUCUACUCCCAGCCACCCGAGUACUCUCACUUGCGUGUCUUCAGUUGGCUUUGCUACCCCAACCUCUCAGCCACGGCACGCCAGAAGCUUGCUCCUCGCUCCGUAGCUUGUGUCUUCCUCGGUUAUCCCUCGUCUCACAAGGGGUAUUGCUGCCUUGAUUUGUCCACUCGUCGAGUCAUCAUCUCUCGCCAUGUUUUGUUUGAUGAAUCCGUCUUUCCCUUCUCCUCCCAUACUACUCACCCAUCGCAGCUUGACUUCCUUUUGUCGAGCCCCUUCGAUGUUCUCGCUUCCACCUCGGUCGCUCCGUCAUCAGACGUUGAGCAGCCGCGGCCCUCACCAGUUGUUUUGCAGGAACUCACUAACGACGACCUUGCCAUCUUGUUACACGGGCCGACCGUGUACCCUGCUCCAUCUGCAGGCAGGUCGCCGCUCUCUACUGUGCCUCCAACUGCUCCGACUGCGACCGCAGCACUUCCGACCGUGACCGCGGCGCGUGCGGGUGGACACCCGACUUCUCUGAUCGCGCCCGCACCGCUACCGACCACGACCAUGGCGUGCGCGGGCACGCUCCCGACGGUUCUGACCGCGACUGCGCCACGCGCGGUUACGGCCGCGAUCACACCGGCGAGCACUUCUACCGCACCGGCGAGUGCCCCGACCGCACCGACGAGCGCUCCGAUCGGUUGGGCAAGCGCCCGAACUGCACCGGCGAGCGCUCCGACCGGUCCGACGAGUGCCCACGGUCCCCUCCCCCCACCCCACCCCGCACCCAUGGCCCUAGCGCCUCCUGCGUCCUCCUCAUCGCCACCUGCUCCUCCACGCCCUAUCACUCGGUCUAUGACUGGGGCAAUCUAGCGGGUCUACUACCAGGGCACGAUAGCCUCAACUUCUUCUCCAUCCUCUCUGAUUCUGGCAAACUAUCAUAGUGCUCUAGCUGACACCAACUAGUGUGCCGCCAUGGUCAUCGAGUUCUAGGCCCUCAUCGACAAUGACACCUAGUGCCUCGUCUUGCGGCCGCCCAGUGCCAAUGUCAUGUCGGGCAAGUGGAUCUUCCGACAUAAGUUCCAUGCUGAUGGGUCCUUUGCCCGGCACAAGGCGCGCUGGGUGGUUCGUGGCUUCUCCCAGCAUCACAGCAUUGACUACGAUGAGACCUUCAGUUCGAUUGUCAAACCGAUGAUGAUAUGGAUCGUCCUCAGCAUCGCCACUUCUAGCACCUAGCCGAUCCACCAGCUGGACGUGAAGAAUGUGUUUCUUCAUGGACACCUCACGGAGACUGUCUACAGCCAGCAGCCUCCCGGCUUCGUCGACCCCACCACCCCCGAUCACGUCUGUCUCGUGCAAAAGUCCUUGUAUGGAUUGAAGCAAGCCCCGAGGACAUGGUACCAGCGGUUAGCCUCCUUCCUUUGACAGCUCAGCUUUGUCGCCUCGACCUCCAACACCUAACUCUUUGUAUACAAAGAGAUACAAAGAGGGGCCGAGCAUCGCCUACCUGCUACUCUACAUCGACGACAUCGUCCUCACAACCUCAUCCUCACCUCUUCUUCAGCACAUCAUGGGGUAUCUUCACGUCUUGUUUGCCAUGACAAAUCUUGGCGACCUACACCACUUCCUCGGCAUCUCCGUCACGCGUUCAACCUAGGGCCUGAUCUUGUCUUAGCGACAGUACACCCUGGAUCUUCUUCAGUGUGCUGGCAUGGCUGAGUGUCACUCUACAGCAACUCCCAUUGACACUCAUGCCAAGCUUUCGGCACAUGACGGUGCCAAGCUCUAGGACAACUCUGAGUAUCGGAGUCUUGCACGUGCUCUUUAGUACCUCACUCUGACUCGACCUGACCUGGCGUAUCCGAUCAGCAGGUGUGCCUCUUCAUGCAUGACCCGCGUGAGUCCCACAUGGCCCCGAUCAAGCACAUCCAAUGCUAUGUGAAGGGCACACUCUCCUCCAAGCUUCACAUUGUCACCGGAUCUGUUCAGUCUCUAAUUGUCUACUCCGACACCGACUGGGCUAGCUGCCUGGACUCUAGAUGCUCCACCUCCAGCUUCUACGUCUACCACGGUGACAAUCUGGUGUCUUGGUCCUCCAAGCGCCAGACCACGGUAUCUCAUUCCACUGCUGAGGUGGAAUACCGGGUUGUGGCUGAUGUUGUGGUAGAGUGUUGCUGGCUGCAUCAACUUCUUCAGGAGCUUCAUGUCCCACUUGCUUCGGCUACUAUUGUCCACUGUGACAACGUGAGUGCUGUCUACAUGACAGCCAACCCGGUGCAUCAUCGGUGCACGAAGCACAUUGAGAUUGAUAUUCACUUCGUUCGUGAGAAGGUGGCCUUGGGUGAGGUCUAAGUCCUCCAUGUGCUGUCCUCUCACCAGUUCAUGGAUAUCAUGAUGAAGGGCCUACCAACUCCUUUGUUUACUAAGUUUAGGUCCAGUCUGCGCGUUCGAUAUCCUCCCGCUUCGACUGCGGGAAGGUAUUAGGAAGUAUAAGUGUAUAUUAGGAUGUAUUUAUCCUUUCCUUGUACACUUGAUGUAUUCCUUGUACUCCAAGCUAUAUUGGUCAUAUAUAUAGAGGUCACCCUCCCUUAUUAGGGUGUGUGGUGUUUCCCAUCUAUUUCUCUACAACAACGCCUUGGGCUUAUAUUUAUACCUUGGCACGUACCAAAUCCUAGUCGAUUACGACAAUGACUAUUACAAUUAAUGCAAAAACUAAAACUAAAGCUUUCUAAGAUACAUCUCCACGCUCUUUCGCUUAUCUAGUGGAGUCGGUUCUGCUUCGAUCUUCUUUGCCUGUAUCGGCUUCAAAACUCUGUCCUGUCUAGUUAACUCUAGUAAAAAAACGGGUGUCAACACGCGUCCAGCGUGCCCAUCGCCCUGCCAAAACCCCUUCCCCGACCCUAUCUCCUCCUACCAUCCGUGACACAUGUCGCCACCGCCGUCACGCACGCACCCCGGCCGGAUAAGCUCGGCCGAGGCUCACCACAACAUCCCUGGGCUAUAAAUAGCCCUAGCGCUCCUCACUGCUCCCUCGCCCCUCCCCCUCCACCUUAAUCCCGUCUCGCCAAACAUAGAAACUAUGUCGCGCCACCCCCACCUGCCACCACGCUCUACUCCCUAGAGCCGAGCUGGGUCAAAGUUGGGGAUGGCCGCGCGGCACUAACCACCCCUCCCCAAGCAUCGCAACAGCCCCGCCAACUGCUCCCUGCGAGCUCCUCUACCGCCGCUCAACCCACCGUUGCUGCUCAUCGUCAUUCCCUCUCUGGUCGUUGUGCUACUCGCAUACGUACCUGAGGUACUCCCCCAUCCUCCCUAGGCUGUUGCCCAGCCUCUACUACCCCUAUUCUCCUCUCCCCUCUCUACCGUUCUGCCACAUGAACUCCGAUGAGCUCUAGACUCACCAUCGGCCACUCCUUGAUCUACACACCACCCUCCAUAGCCUCGCCAUGACCCCCUCUAGCACCCCGGCUGCCUUUUGACCUGGCCCAAAGUCUACCCCGCUCGGAGCAGCUCGCCCCGGCGAGCGGCUCUACCCUAUGCGGUGGUCCGGCAUCACAGCUCGACUGGUGCCACCCCUUCUCCCUCCUUCCUUGCUCCCAGUCCACAAGGACCGUAGGCACGCCCCCCAGUCCACCACAUGGACCACUAGUACACAGCACAGCCCGACCAUGCUAGCCCCACGCGGACCCCCUUUGCCACAUCGCACUCUGGCCCACCUGUUAGCCCUUGCUAUCUUUCCCUCUCAUCUUUACUACGGCCACCCGGGUUCUUGUACCCCAAACUUCACUUCACCAUGAUAAAAAUUACCAAAAAAUUUACCAACAAUAUUAGAGAUGAUUCUAAACCCAUCCAUACCCUGUUUACCCAAAUCCCACACCAAAAACUCCCAAGAGCAAACUCUCAUCCUUUCCAAAAAUAGAAAAGCCUAUAUUUCAUGUGACCAAAAAUAGGAAACCAUUCCAAUAAACUCUAGAAAAUCCUAGAAAAUUCUAGAAAAUCACUCAAGCCUUCUAAACCCUAAUUCUACUCUUUUAACUCAUGUUUGAUGUAUUUCCAUGUUUGUUUGAUUGAUUUCUUAUAACUACGAUUAUGUAGAAUUCGACGAUACCGAGAACGAGUUUGACAACCCGGACUACGAAGAGGAAGUUAUCAACGAACAAGACUUUGAAGAAGGCAAGUCCCACGCAUUACCAUCUCUUGAAUCCCAAGUUUUAUAAAUAAAAUGAGCCAGGAUAAUAACAUGGACUUUCCAUUCAAAACCUUGCAUAAUAUUUUCUCUGCGCUGCUUAGUUAUUCCUAAAUAAUUCAAGCCCUCCUUGAUACCAUAAACCUAGGAUGCAAUAGAAACGCUUAGGAACUACUUAUGCAGCCAUUCACAAGUUUACAAAAUACCAAAAGCAUGAGUUCUUUGAAAAUUAGAUAAAAAUAACUAACAAGUCUAGCAACCAUAUAAGGCUAGACACGAGAGUAAGAGGUAGCCUCGAUGGAGGAUCCUAUCCAAAAAGCUUACUCUGGUCAUAUAAGGACCGGUUCAUGGGCAAGUCUAUCCGGUGAAUUGUACAACCACACACGCUAAAAAGGUACAACCCUCAGGAGUACCUAUCUAUGUGAGGCCUUGAUUCGCACCCCACCAGCUGAACUUAGUGAACCACCCAAGGGGCCACGGUGGGCAAUGGUUAGACUGGAACAUGAUCUUUGCUUUGUCCUAGGUCUGGUCGACAUGGGUCAUAGGUUGAGGUCUAGAGUGGUCUGGUGGUAUUGUAUACCACAUGAUGUAUCUGGAUACCCAAGGCUCACAAAUAUGAUCCCACUUGGUCAAAGCUCCCAUUCAUUAGUCAUAACAUUGUUUUUAUGAAAAUCUUGUGUCUCGAGCCUUGGCCUGAGGAUUUGUUUCUAAAUAAGGCAAAGCUGGCUCAGGAAGUCCCUGAUGGAUCCUGAUGCUAAAUAAAAUACGGGGACUGGAAGGGAUGUAGUUUCCCCCUUCCAGGACCAACAAACUGUUGUUAAAUGUCCUGAAUUCCUUUUAAAAGCUAUGACCUUUCACCCCGCAUAAAAAUGGCUUUUCGGCAAAUAUCCAACCAGAGCCCUCCAUGAAAAAACAGCAUGAAAUAACUCUAUGACAGUGGGAUUUGCUGAGUACUCUACUUUCUUUACUGCUUUCUUUCUAUAGAGGAAGAAAUAGUUGUUGAAGACGAUGAGGAUCUUGGAGAUCAACCUUAGGAGCCAAGUUGCCUGUGGACUUGGGAAUACUACAUAGAACUCUAUUGUAUAGCUACUCUGAGGCUACUCUUAGUGGUAUGCACUUUAUUUCUCUUUUGUAACCUUAUGUAAAAUGUCAAUAAAAGCUAUACAAAGUAUGGAUGUGUUACUUCCUGUGAUAAAUUCUUGUAUCAUCUACUGAACCAGGAAAUGAUACAAAUGACAUUCGGGAUCUCUUUUAGGGGUGCCCCCCACACUAUCUGUCGUGACUUGACAAAUCUAGAUUUUGACUUCCCAAUUCAUUCUUGCCUACUAAUAUUGCAAGAAAAAACAUAGGCGGUACAUGUUAGUUUGAAAACCUAGCUUUUGGUGUAAUCUAAUUCCAACCCAUCUCUUCGUUUGUUACUAAAAUGUGGAUUCUAGAUGAUACAUUUCAUUUUUUUGUUACUGUAAGGAAAAUUUCCAAAUUACUUCCGUCAAGUAUGCCCACAGUCGUGAUAACCCCUAAACUAUUUUUUUCAUUUUACACCUACAACUACGUUAAUUGGUCCAAUUUACCCCUUAGCAAGACAAAUCUUAUAAGGAUAAAUUGGACCAAUUGACACAGUUCUAGUUGUAAAAUAAACUAAAAAAAGUUUAUGAGGGUUAUCUAGACUUUGGCCAUACAUGAAUGGAGUAAUUUGAACUUUUUUGUUAUUGCAAUGGCAUGAAAAGUUGUUUCAGCACACAACUUAGUACCAAGAUGUCAUUUAUGAAGGAACUAUGUUUGGUCGUAUAGUAUUUUUAAAAAGUGGUUACCAAUAAUUAUUUGUGUAGAUACAUUAUAAUGUUUUGUGUCAAAAUGUAAUGAAUUUAAUUAUUUUUGUAGAUACAUUAUAAUAUUUUUUUGUCAAAAUGGAGAUACAUUAUUUGUGUAGAUACAUUAUAAUGUUUCGUUAUUGCAAUGGCAUGAAAAGUUGUUAUUCUCUUUCAUAUAGCUAGUCCAUCAACCCGUGCUCCUGCACGGGCUAAUGUUUUUAUAAGCUAUUGGAGUUAAAAAUUGUUUAGAAAUUAAACUCUUAGCUAAUAAUCAAAAUUGUUUACCUACUACUCUCUUAUUUUUCCAAUACUUCAACAUAAUACUUAUAUAGCUAUGUAUUCGUCCAGUUGUGAUUGAUUUUUAAUUAAUAAUUAUUCUAUGCACUUUUUCAUUCAUAUUCAUACUUUUUAUCACACCUCCAAUCCUCUAUACAUUAUGUUUAGCACACAAAUCAAUAUUUUUCAUCGAUUCCGCACGUACAUGUAUACAUGGUCUAAUGGUGGCACUCAUCAUGUGUAUAUACUUUAAGGUAGUAUUUUUAUAUUAACAAUGACAUAAAUAGGUAAUUUAGAAUCAUAUAUUAGUUUACUUUUUGACAUUUCUAUAUGAUGCACAUGAAGAUAAUUAGAUUAAGAUUUAGGUAUUUACUUUAGGUUAUUUUUAAUAACGACAUACGUGGGUAACAUAGAUAAAAUUUUAGAAUGACAUUUUAAGUUAUGAUUUAUAAUGAUGUGUAUUAGUAAAUUGGAUGAAGAUUACGGGGUUACUUUAGAUUAUGUUUUAUAAUAGCUAAGCUCGGUAAUUUAGAUAUAGGUUUAGAGCUCAUUUUUGAAUAUUUCCACAAUGACAGUGGUGGAUAACUUUUUAGAAAAUAUAAUAAAUUAAUGGUUAUGAUUAUUAGAAUUUACAGGAUUGGUGUUUGAUGAUUUUAUUUUUUAUGAGAAUCUCUCUUUUUUCUAGCGUGUCUCAUGGGAACUAAUGCGGAGUCUCCAAUGAAAAAAAAUGAGACUACAUUGCUACAAAACUAUUACCAUAAGCUACCUCUUGUUUGUUAAAUAUUCGAACACAAUACUUAUGUAGAUAUUAUACUUAAUAUCUUCAUCCAAUUGUGAUAGAUUUCAGUUAGUAAUUACUCUAUAAUAUUUUCAUCCACAUUUAUAAUCUUUAACUUUCCACUUUGGACCAAAUGUAUGGGUUUGAAUUUGUUUAAUGAACCCUAAGUUUGAGUGCUCAUAAAUUUAAUAGAACUAUCCAUAAUGCUAAAUAUAAUUUUAGCAUAGAAAUGUAUAUUCCCAUAACUUUAUAUCCUUAUAAAUGGUGACACACAUCAUGCGUAUAGACCUUAAUUAUUAUAUCGUAUACCAAUAGUGUAAGAUAUAGACGAUUUAGAAUCAUAUAUUGUUGUAUAUUUCUAAUUAAGGUUAUUUGAUUCAAACAUAGGGUUACCUCAUGUUAUUUUUUAAUAAUAACAUGUGUGGGUAAUAUAGAUGCAAAUUUAAGGGGUUACUUUAAGUUUUUUAAAGUAAUAGUGGUAGGCAAUUCAGUUGCAAAUUAGGGAGCUAUUUUAAAUAUUGUUUAUAAUGGCAUAAGUGGGUAAUUUUGAUGAAAAUUAGGGGUUUACUUUAGUUUAUUUUAUAUAAUGGCAGGGGUGGGUAAUUUAUAUAUAGAUUUAGGGGGUUACUUUAGGCUAUUUUCAUAAUAGCAUAGGUGGGUAAUUUUUUAGAAAACAUAAUAGAUCCAAUGGCUAUGAUGAUUUGAAUCUAUCGAUUGAUGGUUGGAUGUUUUGCUUUUUUGUGAGAAUUUCUAGAAUUCUCUCUUUUCUAGAGUGUCCACCUAUGAAUCCUAGAUGGCUUCAUUUGGAGGUUUCAAAAGGAGCCUCCAAUUAGUUAUAGUAAGAUGGCAGACGUGAAUUGAAUAAUUUAGAAACAAAUUAGACCCGGUGCCUAUGGUUAUCCAGGCUAACUACCAAAUUGAUGGCUGCAUGUCUUUGGGAAUUUCUAGGAUUCUGUUUUUUUUAUAGGUCAUGUGAGUACGAACACUCCAAUCAAUUAGUAAUAGUAAUAUGGGAUAAGAUGGCCCAAAUGUUAAAGUUUCUUUGGUCUUGUUUUUUUAGGUACUUGGUCAUAAUUGAUGACAUUUGGCACUGGGAAGAGUGGGAAGUCAUCCGUAAGGCUCUUCCCAAGAAUAAUCUGGGCUGUAAAUUUAUUAUGACGACCCGGGUCUGGAGUAUAGCUUGGAAAUGUCAAACUGAACAAGGUGCACGUGUGUACGAACAGAAGUUUGGUCUUGCGGAAGCUGAGAGUCUAUCAGCUAUGAGACUGCGCAAAUCCGUCGAGGGAACCAACGCGAAGGGGCUGUCCACUAAGAUUGCGGUUAUGUGCGGCGGGCCACCAUUUGAUUUUUGUCCGCUAGCAGUAAUCUGUUUGUCGUCAGCAUGGGCAGAGAGCCACCAUGUGCAAGGUGAUGAUGCGGAAUGGGAUACAUGGGCAAGCCACGUUCUGGAUGAUGGGUUUCUGAGUACUCCAUCCUUGAAACCAGUGGUCCAGAGUCUAUGCCUUGGUUUCGACGAUCUUCCCGUUCAGCUGAGGACUUGCUUGCUAUACUGUACUGUAUAUCCUCCGUGGUAUAUGUUUUAUAAGGGAUGCUUGGUGAGAAAAUGGAUUGCUGAAGGAUUUGUUUCGCAAGUUGAAGUAGCAGAAGGUUACUUUGACAAGCUUGUCUCCAGGAAUCUGUUGCAGCGGAAGGGUGUGAUGCAUGCAGUUCACCCCAUUAUGGGAGCCUUUCUCGUGUGCAAAGCAAAGGAAGAUAAUUUUAUUGCUUACGAUGGGGCCGGCAACUCCUCGCAUGCCAAACAGAUCCGUCGUCUUUCUCUCAGCACGGAUCGCUGUCCAGAUGAGGAUGUGCUGUCUCAUACUCGCUCCCUUGUUGUUUCUGGUUAUCAAUGCCAGCUGGAUGGUGUCCCCUUCAAGGCGUUCAAAAAGCUGCGAGUGCUAGAAAUACAUGACAGCAGUCGUCUAGAGAAUGGUCAUCUGGUGGAUAUAUGUGGGCUGAUCUGGCUCAAGUGUCUGGAUCUUAUGGGCUGCGGUCAUAUCACAGAGCUCCCACGGGAGAUUGGAAGACUGCAGAAUCUGGAGACCCUGUACGUGGCAGGUACAGGGAUUAGUAAACUACCAACGGAAAUUGAGAAACUACAGCACUUAGAGACUCUGGAUGUAAGUGGCACAAAGGUCACGGAGGUGCCUACGUGGAUCGAGAAAUUGCAAUCUCUGAAGACUCUGGAUGUAAGUGACACAAAGGUCACGGAGCUACCAAGGGAAAUCAAGAACCUUGAGCGUUUGGAGAGUCUGGAUGUAAGCUGGACACGGGUGAGUGAGUUGCCUAAGGAAAUCGGGGAACUGCAGCAUCUGAGGACUCUGGACAUAAGAGGUACUAAGGUCCGAGAGCUAUCCUGCAGUAGAGACCCGAAUCCGUUAUUAAGUGUGGUUGUUGAUGCACAUAUACAUAGGUUUUCUGAUGAAGUGGAGACGUUGAUGUCGCCUCUGGGUGUCAUUAGAUCAAGUGGUGGUGAAGAGGUUACCUCUUCUGAAGCAAAGUGCAGGGAUGACCUAUCCAUCCUCAUCCUCUUUAACCAUUUCGGCGAGAGGUGUGAAGUCCUACCAGUUCGGAUGCUUAGAGUUGCCGGGAGACACAUGAAAGUCCCGCAGUGGGUCAAGCAAGACUUGUGCAAUGUCUGCUCCUUAGAUAUCAGGCUCUACAAACUUGUGCACGAAGACCUCGAGUUUCUGAAGACGCAGAUGCCGCACCUGCAGGCUCUCCAACUCAGGUUCGAGGUCCUCCCACGGGAGCCGGUUGCUAUCACUGGUGGAGGGUUCUCAAAGCUGGAAACGUUCUACGUUGAUUGCCGUCUGCCAUGGGUGAUCACCUUUGGGGAAGGAGCGAUGCCGAAGCUGAAACAUCUUGAGUUCAAGUUCUACACCGGCACAGCAAGGCAACACUACUCCAUAGGCAUCAAGCAUCUCGACAGUCUUGAGGUGGUCGUGUUCCGAUGCUCCGAGUGCUAUACAAGUGACGGUCCGGGCAUCUGCGAGACGAUUGAAGUCGUGAGAAAAGAAGCCGCGGACCACCCCAAAAAGAUCAACCUUUGCGUCAAUGAAAAGAAAGUGGACUUCGGCAGUAGUUAUAAAUGGGAAAGCCUUGCGGAUAAGGCCGUUACUAAAAGAAGGGAACAACUAUACAAUGCAGCAGAGCGUCGCCGAUGCAGGGGGCUGUUUGUUUGAGCUGCAGUUUUAAACUUUUCUGAAAAAGCUGCUGCUACUUUUUUUUUCUAAAAAACUAACGCCAGCUUUUAGAAGAUGUGUGAGCUUAAAAAGCUAUGAAAAAUUUAUAAAAUUAAGUUUUUCAGCUUUCCAUGUAAACUCGGAUUUUCUGAACUUUCAGCUUUUCAGAAUCUACACGAGAAGUUCACUGUUAUUUAAGUUUCUAACUUUUCACACUGAGAAGCUGCUAGGAAUCCCAAACAAACAAGCCCUAACUUGGUUUUAAAGCUGGUUCGAACCUCAGGUUUUGUCACACCCGGUUUUAAAACAAAACCAAGUGCUACUUAUAUGUAUGCCAGGAUCUAAUUUCAUACAUAUAGUAACAUCAAAAGUGAAUAACAGCAACAGUAUUACCUAAAGGAAAAUAAAUAAAUACUUACGAGUCUAUCAGAGAUAUACAGCUUAAUUCUGGAAACGGAGGUUCCAAACUUCACAGGCAAACGACUGGGGGUUGCGUACGCCUAGAACUCAGCAUCAUCUUCAGAAAAUUUCACACACCUUCCUUUUCUAAGCAAUAGUAAGUACGGUUAAUACACUUAUGGUUGGUACUCAGCAAGGUCACAAGAAAUAACCAGAAUAUCGAUUUAAAUCCAUCUUCAAGUUUAUUAAUCAUAUGAGGGUUCAGGCCGCUCUUGACCGUGAGCACGGCUGAUAUAUCAGUUUUGCACUCUGCAGAGGUUGUACACUUUCACCACAAGUCGCGUAAAAGUUUAGAAGAACUUUAGACCCAACCAUGCUAUGCUGAUCAAGCACUCAUCACACUACCGAUGUGUGACUGCAUAUGGACGCUACAUGACCUUUACAAAGAUUUCCUAGUAAGGAUAGCUCGCUAAGGUUUCAUGAUUAGCGUAAUGCAUUAACCUCUCUAGUGGGCAUAGGGUCUUAGCAAAGCUCCCUUCCCAUGAGGGCCAGGUUAUACACCCACUACUGUCUCCCCCUCUUUCCCCUUUCGGGUAAAGCUACCACAAACUAGAGUCUUUAAUUAAUUAGUUAAGACCAGAGGCAUAUAGUCCUUGUGGUUGCACUAUUUUUCUAGGUGGUCGCUCCAUGUCCCGAUUAACAUUAUCAUGGUAUUAUAAACAAAGCAUAGGUAGAAGGAUGGUUAGUGACAUUUGCCUUUCUCCAACGAAAAGUUACUCUUACUGCUCUUCAGCUAUUGCUCUCUUGAAACUCUUAUCCUGCAAAUCUUUCGAACAACGAUCCUUCUACUCGAAGCAAUCAUCAGCACAAACAUACAAGCAAACAAAUAAGUACAACUAAGAACAAUGCACCAAAAGAAAAGAAAAACUUUAAAAGAACGUACUAAAAGAUAUGGCUCAAUUCUAGGAUCACGGAGGCACAUCAGACACUAAGCACGAUGAUAUUGUUGAAAACAUACAUCUAUCGAGGAAACUUUGGUUGUAUAGGAAAACAAAGAGCUAUAUGCUGCAUUUAUUUUUAUUUAGAAAACAUAUGUAAAGGAUACUUUUAGAAAAUAUCCUAAGUUAGAGAUAAUUCAAAUUAUAUCUGUUUAUGAAAAUAUGAUAUAAAACCUAGUCAAGUUUUAUUUAUAAAUAUUCACGUAAUUAUGCCAUUCAAGCAUUUAAAUUUGGAAAAUAAACUAUAUGUAAUAACAUCUAAUGACAACUUUAUAUGUCGUGUUGAACUAAAACAAGUUAUAAUUCAAAAAUACAUUUAUAUUUACUUUAAGCAAAUUAACAUUUAAUUAUGAAAACUUGAGAUAUAACCUAUGUAACUUUUAUUUAUAAAACAAAUUGAAUACACAUUAAUCAAUUUAAGUUUGACUAUGAAAACCAAGGUAUAACUCUAGUUAGCUUUUAAUUGGAAGAUUUUUUUUAUAAGCAUUAAUCAUAUUAACAUUAAUUAUGAAAACCGAUAUAUAGCCUAAUUGGCUUUUAUUUAGAAAAGGAUAUGAAGUAGGAAUUAAUCAAAUUGAUGUUUAUUAUGAAAAGCGGUGCAUAACUCUAAGUAGCUUUUAUUUAGAGAAGACACAGAAAUUAAUCAAUUUAAUAUCUAAUUUAUUUUCAAAAACAUGCAUGAAGGCAAACAUCACCACUAACGUAUAAUUUAUAUUAUCAUGAACCUAACGCAACUUGAACAGAUUAAAACAGAGCUAAAACAUAGAUUGUAUGAGCUAAACAAGUUUAGAAGGAUCUAGAUGUGAUUAACUAUAGACUUCAGAGGCUAGCAAGGAAGAUUCACAAGACACAUGGAACAGUCUUCGUGAAUAGGUGAAACCUUGGGGUUAGAUCUGUAAAAGGUCAUGGCAAGGGUCCGUUGUGGGCAUGAACUUUUUCCAGGGGGUUUUUUGCUAAAGACUCAAGACACAAGAACUAAUCAAAUCAUUGCAGCCUUCCUUAGGGGCCUAGAAACAAAACUGCCAGGGCCUUCUUCUUCCUUUCGCUAGGGCUCCAGCCAGCUGGCUUGCCGGUGCUCUGGCGAGCUAGGGUCGACGGCGGGCGGCGCAAGAGGGAGAGGGGGUCGAGGGGAUCUCGUGGGGUGGCUCACCGGCGACGGGGCGGAUGGAGACGGUCGGUAACGGCGGCGGAUGAUGACAGACGGUGGCUCGAUCUCCAGUCCAAGGCGGCACUCCGGCAGCGGCGCGGCGCGUAGGGGUGGCACAGGAGGUGUGGAGAGGCGGCGCUUGGCUAGGAUGUUGCGCGGGCGGCGACAGCGGUUGGUGGCAGCAGUGCGCAAAAGGUGCCGCGGCGGCAGCAGUGGCUCGUGGCUUGGGCGCGCGGACGGGCGGUGAGGCGGCAGCGGGCGAGGACGGCAGGGCGCGCGGGGGUUCGAGCGGUGCAUUAAAUAGGGCACGGGGUACAAGGACGACUGGCGCGCACGCUUAGGCCGAAGCGGUGACGGCAGCGCACGGCUACGCUUGCCCCGAGGAACGGUGCAGCGGCCCUGAUGGGCCUUAGUUGGCUGGGCGGCCUGACGCGGGUCGAGCCCACGGGCUCAACCCAAACUGAUAGGCUAGGUUUUCUUUCUUUUUUCAGAAAAUAUUUCCCGUGUAAAUAAAAAUCUAGAAAAUCUAGAUACUUCAUUUAAGCCACGAAAAAUACUCUAAAAUUCCAAAAAUCCCAGAAAAAAUCCUAGAGAUAGAUUGGGACAUGAUAAAUCCAAAUAAAAUACUUAGAGAUAUGAAAAGGAUUACAAAACCUUCCAAAAAUUUGAAUUAGUUCUAGAAAAAUGAGAAUAAAUUCCAGGAAAUUCUGGAAAAAUUCUCGAAAGAACUUGAUCGUUAUCAAGACGUGUUUUUAAAAUAUUUACACUCAUGAAACAACAAAAUACAUCGGCAUGAAUGCAACACACACAACAACCUUAUUUAAUUUAGAAAAACAAACAAUUAUUUUCCUAUACUAAAUUUCCGGUAAAGAAAAAUAAAUGUUGGGAAAAAUUUUAAAAUUAUGAGAAAAAUUAUUGUUGAAUUAUUCUUUUUAAUCACAUCCUGAAAUUCAAAAAUUUUAGGGUGUGACAUGUUUGAUGCUAGUGUUCUCACCGUGGUUCGCUCCGAAUCCAUUUUCUCCGGCCUCUCGCGCAUGGAGUUACAAAGGGAAUGUGACGCGCCCAUCAUCUACGGAGCCAGGAUGGUUUUGGUGAUCUCCUUAAGGAUGCGAUAUUUCGGUCUGAUUGUAGUUGUAGGUAUGCUUGUGUACACGUGUGGUGUGAGUAAUGUGCGUGUUAGUGUCAAACAACACACUGUGACAACGGAAUGGCGGUGCGCCUCGUCAUAAAUCCAGAGAGCACGUUCGCGCCCAUCGUUGGAAUUGAUGAGGAUCCAAUAGAUACGAGUGAAAUGAAAUGCAGUCAUUCUACUAGCACGGCGGUGGUGGCGAUGAUGCAUUGGGAACGCUCUGAAUGGUGUCGCGCACGCUGCAAAAGGCACAUUCGAUUACCAGGCGAUAAUGCGAGAUCGUUUUCGGCAAAUCAGCGUUUCUCAAGUUCCGAACAGAGCCUGAAGAAAUAUGGAUGUUUGGCAAGGCAACCUUCCUCGAGCAGUUGAACUGUUCAGGUGCAGUUCCGUGCCUCCGGGUGAAAUUGGAGGAGAGCAUGGCGUCGAAUCUCCGGAAGCCCAAGCUAUGUUUCGAUGCAUCGAGCACUCGUCAGGUGUGUUGGGAGAUCGAUUCCCGUGAAAAAUAAUGGUCGUGUAGAUGCUGGGGCAGAGCACGCUCUGCCUUGACGACCUCAGCUAGCGAAUCAGAUUCAAAACGGCUUCGAGAAUGGCAGCCCUGUUGGGGCUUCUCGUCACAGCGAAUGACUGGCCGGCGGGCUUUUCUGAGCUCACCAAGCAAUUCUGUGGGUGUGGAAAUAUAAUUCACUACAAAAAGAAAAUGGAAGAAAAGCAUAAGCGGACCAGUACUACUAGAGCAGUGCGCUUCCUGAGCUCAGUUGGUUAAAAUUUAGGCUGCACCUAGCCCGCUGUUGUUCUUGGCCCAUGAACAAAGGUUCACAAACACCAGAAGUCAGACCAAAGAUAAAUUGGACCGACCUAAUACCUUGCUCUGUUCGUUUUGCUAUUUUAUUCAUUUUGUACUCGCGCAAAUAUAUUUCUCGAUGAGUAUUCGGAUCCAAAAGACAAGGUGCCCUUAGCUGGCAUCCAACAAGGAUUUUUCAUCACGUUAAUACCAGAAGGGAGAUUCGUUCACUGACCAGGACAAUAAAGCCCGCCUCAUCGCCUGUCUCGAGACCUUACCGUACCAAACAGAGCACCCUGUCAGUAAUUGAUGGAGGAGGUGAUACUGAAGUGGUUACAUCCAACACCAGAACUACUUCCCAGAACAUGAAAUCUUUGUCACGGCUGGUUCCUCUCACACAAGUGCUGGACAUGACAACGACAACAACGAAAGGCUCGAGGACAUAUCAGCUAUUGAAGACACUCCUGAAGCUGGCGAGGAAACCCCACAGCAAACGGCACGCCGGCGCCUCGAGAACAAGAAAUGUGCAGAGUCAUGUCAACCUGCAGCUUAGCAAACUACCUAACGCAACUUGACGGGCGAAUUCAAUCAAGCCACAACCCAACGCAACUUGAUGGGCGAAUUCAAUCAACCCGCAGGUGGAAGAAUAAAUCGCACCCCGAUGGCAAAUAUCAUGGAGGUAGCCUAUUGGUUGAGGGCCCUGCCUCAGACCCAGCAAACGGAAAAACUCCUCACAUACCUCAAAACAGCUUGUGAACAACUUGAUGACUUUCUUACUCUUACCUGACCGUGAUUGACUUUGAGUACAAACUACGCUACAUGCCUUUUAAUUCAAAUUCAUAAUCCUUUUUCCACUUUAGUUGAAACCUUAGCUGUAGGUAUGUUAGCUUUUGUUGCAACCUAUAUGUUUAUUUGUCGUGACUUAACAAAUCUAGAUUUUGACUUCCCAACUUCAUUAUUGCCUGCUAAAAUUGCAAGAAAAAGCAUAGGAUGUACAUGUUUGUUACUAAUUUCUACCCAUCCCUUUGUUUGUUACUAACAUCUGGAUUCUGGACCAUACAUUUCAUUUUUAGUUACUAUAAGGCAAAUGUCCAAAUUACUCCCCUCAGGUGCUCACAGUCCCAGUAAACUCCUAAACUAUUUUGGUUCAUGGUACACCUACAACUAUGUUAAUUGGUCCAAGUUACACCUUAGCAAGACAGAUCUUAUAAGGAUAAAUUGGACCAAUUGACAUAGUUCUAGGUGUAAAAUAAACUUAAAAAGGUUUAGGGGUUUAUCUAGAUUUCGUCCAUACUUGAAGGGAGUAAAAUUUGAGCUUUUUAAUUGUUGCCAUGGCAUGGAAAGUUGUUUCAGCAGACAACUUUGUACCAAGAUGUCAUCUAUGAAGGAACUAUGUUUUGUUGUAUAUUAUUUUAAAAAAAUGGUAACCAAUAAUUAUUUGUGUAGCUACAUUAUAAUGUUUAUGUCAAAAUUUAAUAAAUUUAUUGUUUAUGUAGAAUAUAAUGAAUUUAGCUAAAGGAAACCUUAUUGUUUAUUGUCAUCCGUAAGGCUCUCCCCAAGAAUAAUCUGCGCUGUAAAUUAGUCAUGACGACCCGGGUCAGGAGUAUAGCUGAGAAAUGUGAAACUGAACAAGGUGCAGGUGUGUACACACAGUAUUUUGGUCAUGCGGACGCUGCAAGGCUAUCAGAUAUGAGACUCAGCAAAUCUGUCGAGGGAACCAACGCGAAGGGGCUGUCCACUAAAAUAUGUCCAUCCUUGAAACCAGUGGUCCAGAGUCUAUCUGUCUAUGCCUUGGUUUCGACUAUCUUCCCUGUUCAGCUGAGGACUUGCUUGCUAUACUGUAGCGUAUAUCCUCCGUGGCGUAUGUUUUAUAAGGGAUGCUUGGUGAGAAAAUGGAUUGCUGAAGGAAUUUGUUUCGCAAGUUGAAGUAGCAGAAGCUUACUUUGACAAGCUUGUCUCCAGGAAUCUGCUGCAGCAUUACAUUGGGAAGUACACAGUUCACCCAUCAUGCGAGCCUCUUCCUCGUGUGCAAAGCAAAGCAAGAUAAUUUUAUUGCUAAAUUACGAUGGGCCCGGUAACUCCUUGCAUGCCAAACAGAUCCGUCGUCUUUAUGUCACCACGGGUGAUCGCUAUCCAGAUGAGGAUGUGCCGCUGUCUCGUACUCGCUCCCUUGUUGUUUGUGGUCAGCGAUGGCAGCUGGAUUGUAAGGCGUUCAAGAAGCUGCGAGUGCUAGAAAUACGUGACAGCAGUCGUCUAGAGAAUGGUCAUCUGGUGGAUAGAUGUGGGCUGAUCUGGCUCAAGUAUCUGGGUAUCUUGGGCUUCCAUCAAAUCACAGAGCUCCCACGGGAGAUUGGGAGACUGCAAGAUCUGGAGUCCCUGUACGUGGCAGGUACAGAUAUUAGUAAACUACCAGCGGAAAUCAAGAACCUUGAGCGCUUGGAGACUCUGGAUAUAAGCCGGACACGGGUGAGAGAGUUGCCUAAGGAAAUCAGAAAACUGCAGCAUUUGAGGACUCUUUUACACCGGCACAGCAAGUCGAGACUACUACAUGGGCAUCAAGCAUCUCGACAGUCUUGAGAAGGUCGAGUUCCGAUGAUCCGAGUACUGUACAAGUGACGGUCCGGGCAUCCGCGAGACAAUUGAUGUCCUGAGAAAAGAAGCCGUGCAGCACCCCAACAAUAUCACCCUUUGGGUCAAUGACAUGUUGCCAGAGGCUUUCGGCACGGGUGCCGAUAAGGCCAUUUUCGGAAAAAAGAGAUAAACUAUUCAGGGCAGCACGGGAAAGAUGGAAAGGGACCUUGAGGAUAUUAUGAACGACGGAAGUCACAUCUCAUGGCAGCAGAGAAGCGAGCUCAGCUUCAACGGGACAAGUACCGCGGAAGAGGGGGAAUUCGCUCCUGAUUGCGGGUUCGUGUGGUACAGGAGAAUCAGAGGUGUACCGUUUGUGAAUUAAAGAUGCGCCGUUUGUGCGGGUUUAUGUAAUAAUAAUUUCUGCAACUUUGGAUUGAAGUAUGUUCUAUGUUGUAUGCAUUGGUUUGCUAAACCUAAACAAAAAAGUUACGUAUGUUUUGAACUUGGGGUCUUCCUUCUCUAUGUCACACAUUAUCUGUACGCACGCUUGUUCGUCAUUCUCAAUAUUUUUUUUUACAGAUCACUUUCUGUUCGUCAUAUGGUAGCUUGCACCAUCUGCAAACUGAGCAUUCCGUCCAACAUUUCCUUUGGGUCAAUGUAGUCAUGACUCAUGCCAGUGAUCCAGUUCUGUUAAUAAUUUGUUCCCAUACGUAUUCUGAAGCAGUUGCAAGAUUGUCUUGAUGAUGCGAAUGGGCUCAUCCUUAAUGUGGUUGCACGCAGACUUUUAUGUCAUCUUCUUCUCAACAGUUUUUUCAGUUCGCCCUACUGUACCUUCUGGGAUAUGUAAGCCUUGGUCAACAUUGUCAAACCCCUUGGAGCUGCGGCUAAACUGCCCACAUGAUAGCACACUCUGCCUUGACGACAGCAGCUUUCCAACAUGGUGGAUCAGAUUCAAAAAUGGCUUCGAGAAUUUUGAAUGACUAGUUGGGGGCUUUCUGAGCUCACCGAGCUUCUGUGGGUGUGGUAAUAUAAUUUCACUUAAAAAAAGAGAAGGAAAGAAAAGCUUAAGGAAACUUUCUGAGCAGAAGCUUGGUAAGCUUCUCAAGGUGCAGCCCAAAUUCUCAGCAGUGAGCUUUCUGAGCUCAGUUGGUCAAAAUUUAGGCUGCACCUAGCCCAUUGUCAUUCUCGGCCCACGAAGAAGGAUCCACACACCACAGGUGGACUAAAGAUAAAUUGGGGCGACACACUCACACCCAGUUGUGUCCGUUUUUCUAUUUCAUUUAUUUUUGUACCUGGUCAAAUAUAUUUCUAACGUCAUACCAACCACCAAUUUUGUAAACUUAAUAAAUCCUUGUAAAGUCACCUUCGUACAAUAUUCUAGUGUAUUAUGCAUUCAGUUUGAAACACAAUAUUUUCUUUUUAGACAAAUAAACUAGCACAAGCUGGAACUAGUUCUCAAUUAGAGAACACUGCAUAUGCCCGAAGAAAAAUAUUUUCAGUACUAAGAACUUAUAUUAUGUAUAUUUUAAGCUCUAUAAUUCAGAUCUUAUUUUUCUGUCGUCUAUUAACUGUUGAAUGUUCUUGAUGGAGUCGUAUGUUCCUUAAUAAUCAUUGGUCAAAUGCGUCAUGUAUGUUGCACAUUGAAGAUGUAGAGGCUGGGACAGUGUUUUAUUCCAUCAUCAAAAAAAAUCUUGAAGCUCUAGAAAUGGACACAAUCCAAUUUAUGUAUCUGCAGUGCAUAUACAGUUGUAAUAACAAUGAUGAAACCUGCUUAUUCUAUACUCCGUAACAUACAGGAAACAUGAAUAUAUUUGAGUCGCUCAAACCUCUUACUAAUGCAACGUAGAUGUAUACUUAGCAAUUGACCCUUGAACACCAAACCAUAAUGUGCUAGUAGACACCAACAAUACUUUAUUGGCCCUCUAAUAAUGCAAAAUGCAUAGUUUACAGGGGUAUUCAACUAUUCAUCAUGUAUCAACGAGAUGCUUGGGCUCCAAACGCAGUUCAAAUUUUACUAUUGGCAGUUAGGGCUCCUCCCAGGUCCGCCAUAGUAGAUGUAAGUGCCCCAGUCGCUAUUGGCACCAUUCUGCACCUUAUAGCAGCUGGAUCGCUCAGCUAUCAAAACCACACCAUUUGGCAAUUUGAGAUUGUUGGAUGAAUCUACGACUUGGAUGUUCUUGAUGUAGCUAGCCUUGCCGAACCCUUCCUCUGGGAAGUGUCCGCUACCCAUUUCAGUGGAAGUCUGGCCGGCGUCCGGUGAGUAUACCUCACCGCCCCAUUCAACACUGGAGGCACUGUCUGACAAGUAAGAGAAGAUGGACGAUGGCCAAUAGCCCAAAAUAUGGUUUCCUACUUGCAACCACCAGUUGCCCCCCUUUGGAUCCUGCAAAACGAAAUUACUUGGAGAGUUCAGCAGACAGGAUUAUGAUCGACGAGAGAAGUAGGGAACAUAGUUGUAUAUUCCUUUUAGUCCUAAAAUCAAAGCAUGCACAAAAGUGUGACUUUACUUAUUCCUUAUCUGCACUAUGGAAAGUACUGCACAUUGAUGGAAACAAAAAUUCUAAGUGAAGGGGUGCCGGUUAUCAAAAAUUCGAAACAAAAUAUAUUAUAAAUCUUGUUGAUUAUGAAGGGGUGACGGCUGUCAUGCAAGAUUUUUCAUGGCAAUUAGGACAGAUUUAUAAUAUUUCCUUGCAUAAGGUGGAGGUAAAGAUCCUUUUAAAGCUUUAUUAAUGUAUAAGGCUAACUUAACAGUGUUGCAUUUGUAGACAAAAUCCGGUACGUGCAUAGGGAUGUGAUUCCGUGAGGGCGACCACAAACAGGCAAUACCACAGUUUUAGCCUCGUUUUGUGCUGGAUGAGAUUGUGAACGAUUUUUGUGCUUUACCUUCCAGAUUAAGAUAUCGAUAUCACGUUGCGAGCCACCAUAUAUUGAGACUGGGGAGAUGCUGCCACCGAUGGCGAUCUGAUUGUUUGUCUGAAUGAACCCUGGGCAGCCUAGGUUGUAACAUCCUGUUUGGUGGUAUGCAUCACGCUACAAUAUGCCGCAGCAAUAGAAAAUUAAUAAACAUGUGUUCCAUUCCUCAACUUAAUAAACAUGUGUCUAGUAUUUCAAAGGAAUGUGAUGUUUGUCUUACGGUCCAGUAGAUGAAGAGCCUAGUAUUACUAUCAUGAUACCUCCCUGGGUAAACCUGCAAUUUUGUAGAGCACAGAGCCAUUAGCCACUACUAUACAAUGAAAGAGGUUGCACAACUUAUUAGUGCAUCGUUACAAGAACCUUUAGAUCGUAAAACAGUGUGAUUUAGCCAUAUAUAAAGAUUUUUAGAAAAAGUUCUCUAUGCUUUUCGACAGGCCAUUAGUUCCUAAAAACAGUGAUGUUAGCGUUACAACUAAUGAAAGAAACUUUUUUGCAUGAAUGGAGAAUUGAAGGAACUUCUAAUCUUUGAUGAAGGUGUGUUUAUGUUUUCCCCUUCGUGGUAUCACCUGCCAUCCUGCUUCAAUGGUAUUGAGAUCAUUGCCUUGAUAGGACCCCCCUGUGAUCCAUAGUUGGGCCAGGCUGAAGCCAUUGCCCCUCUCAAUCGUUGGUUGCCACAAAUUAAUGGUGGCUUUUGUUCCGUAGUAUUUGUCAACCAAUGCAGACGCUACAGCAUGCUGAUCAAUGAGAGAGCAAACAAAUUGUUUAAGCAAUGUCAGAAAUGAUACUACAAAUCCAAAAUGAAGAUUGGUAAUAAUAUGAAGGUGAUUCUCGAAUGAUGUUUUGUACCAGGUGACCAAUUGUUGCACUAGCGUCAGGGUCAUCAACAGAAACAAGUUUUGGGAUGCUCCCAGGUCUCUUCUUGCCAUACCUCUUGAUAGAGCUGGCCCUCAGCACUUCCUCCUCCUUGGUCCUUCGGAUCGGUAUGGUGUUUUCAGGGCACUUGCCAUUCUGAUGCCAUAAUUGGGUAAUUGGUUGUGUUUCAAUUUUGGAGUCAUCAUAUAAACCACCAGGGUGAUAAGAAGGCCGCAUCUGAAAGGUUACAAGUUGGGGGCACCAUUGAGUGAUAUCAUGAUACAUGUGUUUGUAUGGUGGUGGUGAGGGCACUGGUACAUCUGUUUGUAUGGUGGAGAGGUACCUGGAUGGUAUGGUUCUUGAGGAAAGGAUGAUCGAAUGCAGGCUGUUUGGAAAUGUGCACACAGUCUAUGAUAUCUCCAUCUGGGCUCUAUUAAUUUCGCAGUAUCAGUAGUUGCAACAAAGUUUAUAGAAAAUAUAAUAACAUCUAUAAUACAAAAUAAAUAUACUUUGAAGACAUAUAUUUUAUUGUGGAUCUAAUAAAACUAGAUGUUAUAUAUGUUGUCUGUUGAUGCUUAGGUUUUUUUCGACAAGCUUGGUCAAUGUGAGAGAAAUGUUUUUAGAUACUGGAAGAUAACAUUCCGGCUUCAGACUUUUUUUUCAAAAAUACAUCAAACCACAAACAUUACAAAGGGGUACAUAUUCCAGGAAAAUAUGUAGCCAAGACAUAAGAUCUGAUUUACUAAAAAGAAAUAAUAAAAUACAAGAAAAAGAUUCAAAAUCUCUAACAAGCUAUUAAAGUGAAUUAUAAUUAGGAACAGAGGGAGUACAUAAUCUAUAUUCAAGAUAAAAGACGACGGACAGGUCGGUCAUUACCUGAAUGCUGGCGAGAGGAGGUUUGUUGAGCCGCCUGAGAAGGUUUUGCACCUGCCACCGCCGCUGCCCGCCUGCAGUCCCCGCCGCUGCACCCUCCAUGAAGAGAAAGGCGAGAGCCACAACGAAGCAUGCUCGAGUAGUCACUGCCAUUAGUCGCUCCAACGAAACAGGCGAGAGCUAGUGAGCUACCCUGUUGGUGUUGGUUUUUGGUAGCUUCGGCUGGUAGGUGUGUUAUAACAAGGCCGGCCUUGGCUCUGCCGUAUUUUUGGGGCGUCAAAGUCUUUUCAACACUUCACUUGUGGAGGUUCUAGGAAAGGAUUCUGCAGUUUCGUGGAGCCGUGGGUGGAUUCUUGGUCUUUGUCGAUACGUCGAAGGCGACGGGUAACAGAACCGGUCGAGCUAGUUGACCGUUGUUUACACAGCAAUAAUGCAAGUGUUGCACGCCCUAGCCUGUUUCAUGCAUUCAGACACGUCCUCAUUUCCUUUUCCUCUUAUUAUUGAAACAGAAGCAAAGGGAAAAAAAAAGCUUGACCUGCAACGCAUGUUUGACACGUCCUCAUUUCCUUGUCCUCUGAUUAUUGAAACAGAAGCAAAGGAAAAAAAAAAGCUUGACCUGCAACGCAUGUUUGGAAUGCGAAGAAAUGUUCGAUCCUCCAAUCUGAAAAGCUUGACGCGCAAGGCAUGCACAUGGUGUGCCUAACGUACAGAGGACGGUUUCCCUUGAGGCACCAUAAUCAUUCAAGUCUCCGUUGCUCGCCGUCAAUUCGCACCUGGUGACAUCGCUUUCCAGAAGAUAGUAACAUUUAUCCUUGUGCCCGUUUUUUACCUUUCCAAAAAAAGAAUCUAAACAUUUUAUAAUUUAAAUCAAAACAUAUAGAAAAUAUGUUUCUAUGAGGUUUAGAACUUUUACCAGAUAGUAUCGUCAAAGCGAUUGGCUCUGGAGAUGGGACUUGCCGUCGUCAUAUAUAUGUGCAAUUCAGAUCAUCGAGACGGAGACUCACCUAGCGACGACGAGCCGACAAAUCACGUAUGCGUACAGCACCACUGGUUACCAGAGAGCAUAUGGUUUAUACGUGCAGCAUACAACACCACAGACCCUGUUGACGCUGCAACGUAUGGUCGAGGUCGACUCUCCGUCAUCUUGCCCGACUCCGAUCGACUUUGACCAUCUAAUGGCGAAAUUCCAGAGAGAAGACCACGCAAUGGCGCGUCCGGCGAGAAAGCGAUACAUCUUGGUUUGCCAGUCCAAGUCUUCGAAGGAACUAUAGCACAGCGUUUUUCCGUUUUCAGAUUGUUCUGGGUGAUUGGGACUUGUACAACGCUCACCACUCGACUUCCUGCUGCUUGGGAAGUCUUAGGCAACUACACAAGCGUGUGAUUCGGUCUCAAGUGUUGCAUGCUGUACAAACCAUACUGAUUCAAAAAGUAGCAGUGCAUCUACACACUACACUGAAAUCAAAGUUUGCUGCACUGCACCUCAGUCGACAGUCGUCGUCCAUUGAAUACAAACCAGCCUAGUGGCAUCGAUCAAUGUCAUGUGUUGAUCUCAGCACUAACCUAAUAACUCAGAAAAUGUUGUGCUGAGCCUAGACGAGCUGACCCAAUCUGGCAUGGUCGAGGCCAACUCAAUUAAGACAGUUUUUCUCCGACACUCCCAAGGAAAAAUGUUUCACGGAGAAAAAUUAAUGUUCCAUGGACAAGGAAAAAACUGAGUACACAAUCACAUUUAUUUAUUUCAUGGAAGUAGUUAUUUUGAGCUCUAAAGAUCUCAUGGAUGUACUAUGUCUUGACAAUACACUUAUCCGCAGUGCAGAUACAGUUGGAAUAAUGUGAAGAAUCGGUACUCUUAGCCUAAGAGAGGGAGGAGGUGAAUUAGACAACUUAAAAACUUAACCUAUGACUUCCACUACUUUGCAUCAAAAUAUAAACUAGAUCAUGCUAUCUAUAGUUGAUCUAGUGUGCAACACUCAUCCCAAAAUAACUUUUGCAACCUAUAGCGAAUCCUAUCAAGAUAAUACUUUAGGAAAGUAAAGGCACACAAGUUGCAAGUAUGAAAUGCGAAAACGUAAAGAGGGGACGAGGGGAAGCAAACUCUUGACACAAAGAUUUAUCCCGUGGUAUCGGUAGGCACUAAGCCACCAGUAGUCCAUGUUGUUGAAGCACUCAGACAAGAGUAUUGCUUCCUGGUCACCAAGUCUCUCCCAAGGUGCCCCUUGACUUGCUACAAAAGCUCGGCCACUAAGGCUCACACCAAGUCCCUUCAGUCACCUUGAUGUUGUCUUCAGUAAGGAGCUUCUCCACGAAGGAAGGGGUCUCCACGUCCCCACAUAAGGUCGUCGACGCCGCUCUACACCAAGCUGGAGGGUCGAAGACUUAUCGGCGAGCCACCAAGGCUCUAAGGCACUGGCACACCUCUUGUACAGCGGUGAUUCACUCUAGAACCUGAUCACAAGGUCGGCACACCUUGCACUCACUCCUCUCUAGGCAUAUCCUAGCACUAAUUACUCUCCUAAGAUUGCACUAAGCCUUUGAUGGAUCACUUAAUCACUUUUGGUGGCAUGGAUGUAUUUUUGAUGAGUCUUGGUCUUUAAUGCAUCCCUGGACACUCCAGCAACUCUAAAUGGGUGAGUGGUGAGGGUAUAAAUAGCCCCAAGAGCUCAAAGAGCCGUUGCUCCAAUGGCUAGUAAAAAAGAUACUAUCGGAUAUUCCGAUGGUCUAUUUUUGACCUGCAUCAGAAUAUCCGGUGCAACUAGCCAUUGGCUCCCCACACACAAGUUCCUUAGGAAUUCAUUCGACACUUUAUUCGAUGCCCUAAUCGGAUCAUCCGGUACCACUGUUCACGUCACACAGCUGUUGGAUCCCCUUGAUGUCAUUGCUCCAACACUUUCUAAGAUGGUGCCGUUGGAUCAUCCGAUGCUGAAGGAUUUUUGACCAAAAUCUCCCUGGAACUUCUCAAAGAAAAUAUGCUUCGUCCGAUGGUCAACUCCAUAGGGUAUCGGAACAUCUGGUGCUACAGGGUUUCCUCUUCCUCCUCAGCAAAUUACUCCGACGCUUGUAAAAUUACCUCCAUUGGAUCAUCCGGUGCACUCGAGAUUUUUCCCUAUUUGUACCCAUUGCUCCAAUGGUUGCUCCGACACUUCUUAGGUGGGGCAUCAAAACAUCUGAUGGUGUAUUUUUUAUUCCAAUUCGUCCAAUGCAAGCACCAAAGAUACCGUCAUUUGGAACUUGACGUGAGGUUGUGACCAUGUUGUUAAUUCGGGGGUGGCCACCGUGUUGUUUCGAUUCUAGUUUCGUCCAUGAAAUUUUGGUCAAACUAUAUCCGUUUCUUUGCGGGCGACACAUGCAUGUACAUGUACUAGACGUCACCCGUGUCUGUUAAUUAAUUUCCGUACUUGUCAUUUGGGUAACCGUAACCGAGUGUUUUUCUGUAGCAGUGAAUUCUUCAUGUUUACUAUGUAAUAUGCUCUUCGAUCUCACUGCGAGUUUAGUUAGGAUGCCAAUUAAUUAAUAUACCUCAAUGCUCUUGAGAGGAGCCUUGUUGACCCGCCGGAGGAAGCUUUGCACCUGCCUCAGGCGCUGCACCGACGAUGCUCCUCCGGCGGUCGUCCCCGACGCCGCCGCCAUUGCUGUUGGCCCCUCAAAGGAGAAGAGCAGCGCGAGAGCCACGACGAGCGCGACCAAGCACUCUCGCUUUGUAGUCGCUGCCAUUGAUCAAGCUGCUAGCGUGUAUUGCCUUACUAAAUCUGGCUGUGCUGUGCUGUGUACGUUCUGCAUGCAGCUGGGCUUUUAAAGGGGUUGAGAGUGACUGAGUGAGUGGAGACGUCUCGGUCGAUGUGGCUGCUAAUAACGUGCUUGUUGGAAAGGUAGGAGCACCACCGCGCUCGUGCAGGUGGUGGUGGAUUCUUCGAAGACGUCGCAGGCCAGUUGCAUGCAUUACAUAUACAUAUUGGGUUAGUUCCGGCCCAACUAUGUAUCUUUGUGUCAAUCUUUUUAUUUAAUUUUAGGUAAUGAAUUCAAAAAAUAUUUUUAUAUUUUCAAUCAUUUUUUUUGAAAUAUAUAUAUAUAUAUAUAUAUUCUCCAAAAUGCGUCGUACGUACGUGUGCAGUAUUUACGGUGGGAGUGGCGGCCGACGGCGACGACCCUGUGCAAGAUGAGGUCGCCGCGCCCAUAUACGACGCAGCAGCGUGCAUGCACCAUCUCAUAUGUCAUCGUCAGUGGUUGACAUUCACUAAGGGAGGAUAAAUCGCCGUGCAACGACCGCCACAGCAUUACCAUAUCCGUUCGGUCAAAGUGUGCGCCAAGAUGAAUUGGAUCACUCUUUCUUAGUCCUUGUUUACUUCCCUCCAAACUCCUAACUUUGACACUAUGCAAAAAGAAGAUUCCCCAUCACAUCAAACUUGCGGUACAUGCAUGGAGUACUAAAUGUAGACGAAAUCAAAAACUAAUUGCACAGUUUUGUUGUACUUUGCGAGACGAAUCUUUUGAGCCUAAUUAGUCAAUAUUUGGACAAUAAUUCACAAAUACAAACGAAACGCUACAGUGUCACAUUUAUGGCAAAAUGCCAAUUUGGCACCUCCCAACUUGGGAAGUAAACAAGGGCUUAUUAUUUUUUCUUUGUUGAUGAGAUGAACCCGAUACUAUUUCUGUUCUUCCACCCUUCCCAGUGCAACAAGGAGAUGCAUUCGAUCGCUAACCAUACAUGCAUGCACUGGGCCCUUGGCGAGCAGUGGAGAUCACAACCAAAUUCAUUUUAAUGCAAAGCGGGGGCCUGGGCCUGGCAGACCUACUUAGCGGUCUGUGAAAGUGAGAGGCACAAUUGGAUGGAUGGAACGCCGUGACCUUCUCCUGGCCGGCAAUGCGUGUUAAUAUAGGUGAGGAAACUCCCCUCACUUGGAUUACAAGUUGUGAUUCGGCUGGAGAUAGAGAUACAAAUUACAACAGCCUUAUCUACAAGAUUCUACUCAACAAACCUAUCCAGCCAAACCCAACAUACCGCACACAUGUUUGUUACAAUUUAUUGUUACAGAUAUAUCUAACAGCCCCCUCAAUCAUAACCGAGUGAGGUUAAGAUUGUGCUUAAAGUUCUCUAGCUCUGCCAAGGCUUUAGUAAACCCAUCAGAAACUUGAUCUCUGGAUGGAACAAAAUCUAUUUCCAACAGAUUUUUGGCAAUAUGUUCCCUCACAAAAGAUAGUCUACCUCGAUGUGUUUAGUCCUUACAUGAAACACCGGAUUUGCAGACAUGUUUGGCUCUCAUGUUAUCACACCACAACUAUGCUUUGGCCAGACUUUGUAAACCAAUUUCUUUCAACAGAGUCUGAACCCAUAUGUUCUUUGCAGUAGCAUUAGCUAUUGAUUUAUAUUCAGCUUCUGUGCUAGAUCUUGACAUAGUGGCUUGCUUUCGAGCACUCCAAUAAAUCAAAUUCGAACCCAAGAAAAUUGCAAAACCACCAGUAGACCUCCUAUCAUCUAGUGAUCCUACCCAAUCAGCAUCUGUAAAACCACUAACCAGCAUUGAGUCUGAUCUCCUGACCUUUAAGCCAAUCUUAGUAUUAUAUUUCAAAUACCUCAAUAUUCUCUUCACAGCCGCCCAAUGCUCAACAGUAGGAGAGUGUAGAAACUGACAUACCUUGUUAACUGAGAAGGCUAUAUCAGGUCUGAUAAGUGUUAGAUAUUGAAGUGCACCAACAAUACUUCUAUAUUGUGUAGCAUCAUUUGCACCCAAAGGAGUUUCUUCAUAGGAAAAUAACUUCUCACUUGUUGACAAGGGAGUACUUAUUGGUUUGCAAUCUGACAUGUUCACCUUCUUUAAUAAAUCUGAAGCAUACUUGUCUUGUGUCAGAACAAUACCAUCUCUUACUUUAUUUACCUCUAUGUCCAAGAAAUAAUGAAGCUCUCCUUGAUCCUUCAAAGCAAAAUCUUCCUUUAGUUUAUUCAAUAACCUAGUUGUUGCUUCCUGAGUAGAGCCUGCCACAAUAAUAUCAUCAACAUAUAUCAACACAAAAACAAUUAUAUUCCCUUUACUGAAAUAGAAUAGAGAUAUAUCAGCCUUAGAAGAUAUAAAACCACGACCAAUCAACUUGGAACUGAGGUGUGCAUACCAUGCACGUGGUGCCUGUUUCAAUCCAUAAAGAGCCUUGUCUAAUUUACACACGAAAUUUGGCCUUGCCUUGUCUCAUAUCCUGGAGGUUGCCUCAUAUACACUUCCUCUUCAAGAAUACCAUGUAAGAAAGCAUUUUAAACGUCUAGUUGCCUUAGACUCCAUCCUCUUGAGACAGCUACUGAAAGAAUUAAUCUGAUUGUAGCAAUAUUCACAACAGGGCUAAACGUGUCUUUAUAAUCUAUCCCAUGUCUUUGUUUGAACCCCUUAGCUACUAAACAGGCUUUAUAUCUAUCCAAGCUCCCAUCAAAUUUUAACUUGGUUUUGUAAACUCACUUGCAAUCAAUAAUGUUGGUGCCUUUCUGGGGAGGAACUAAAUCCCAAGUCUUGUUUCUAAUCAAAGCAUCAUUGAAAGGAUCUUGUGAUGCCUAAGGAGGGGUGAAUAGGCUCACUUCAAGUUUUUUCUGAAAAACUUUGCAGCGGUAUUAGAUAUGUCAGAACUUCCGACGCUAUGUCAAAACUUCCGGUACAGGGUCGAAACUUUUAACAAUAGAAAGUGAGCUGACCGAAAUUCAAAAUGAAACCUGAAUCUACCAAUUCUACUUAAAUCAAAAGAUAAUAAAUGAAGUGUAGAGACUACUGCAGGUAAUAGAUAUGCAAGGAACCACACAAAUUUAUAAAUCGGCUUAAAUCAAGCUUCUAGGUCAAUAUGAACAUGACGGACACAAUAAGCACACGAGACAAGGAUUUAUUUUCCGAAGUUCACUUCCACAAAGGAAGCUAUGUCUCCAUUGAGGAUCUCACAAAGAGCCAGGUCCUCGCUAACCCUUUAUCUCCCUCAAUCAACCACAAAGGAGGAUUGAGGUACUUACUAUGAAUCUACAAAGGAUGGGUAAUACAAAUGUUCCCGGGCGCACCACACAAAGAGGACGCUCAAACGGGCGACUUGCCUAGCUGUCUUGAAGCAAGCUUCAAGAGUAAUAAACGCGAAUCGAUGGCUGAAGAUGCUUGGAGUGCUCUUGAGAUGAAUUUGUUGGACCUCACACCCAAAUCCUCAAGACUCACACAUUCAACCUUACUCUCACCCAAUCCCUAGCUCAAACUCUCAAGGAUUUAGCUCAAAGGGGAGUAAGGGAGGAGUAUUCAAUGCUUGGGGGCUGUUUUAGCUCGAGUUGUUCAACAUCAAUGGAUGGGGGGGUAUCUAUACCCUAGCCCCUAAAACUAGUUGUUACUGUAUAUUUAUGUGCUUGUCGGAACUUCUGACACAGGGUUGGAACUUCCAACAUAGUUAGAUUAAAACGGCUGAGAGUCUCUCCUCGGAAGUUUCAAAAAAUAUCUAGUGACUUUUAUCGAAACUUCCGACACAUCAUCGGAACUUCCGAUGCUAUUAGAUAAAAUCGGCCGAGGACCCCUGGUCGGAAGUUUUUGAAUACUUCCAGCCAGUAUCGGAACUUCCAACCUUCUGUUGGAACUUCCAACACUCACAGAAAAUGUGAGAACACAAGUAUGUAAGUGAGUAAGUUGUGUCUCUCAAUGGGUGGUUAACAUCUCAAACAAGCACUUUAGCAUCUUCAAGCUAUCCAUCUGCACCCUCUUUAUAGUACGGCAUUCCUAUACUCAAAUUCAAAAUUAGAAAUCAUAGAAAAGUCUUCUUUUGAGCUCAACACCGUUCUUUCUUUGAAAUUUGGGGGUUGUUGAGAUUCCUUUCAUAACCUUUGCACUUCUUUAGAAUUAAAACCUAUUAAUCACUACAUAAAAUUAUUAGUCCCUUAACCAUGCAUGUCAUCAACACCAAAACCCACUUAGGGGGCCAAAUGCACUUUCAAUCUCCCCCUUUUUGGUGAUUGAUGACAACACAAUUAGGGCUCACAUGAGAUAUAUAAACAUUUUGAAUCCAACUAUAUAGGUGACCUCCCCCUUAACAUGUGCAUAGAAAAUAAAAAUGGCCUCAAAUGCCAUUUGCACAUAUUAAGUGAGCUCCCCCUAUAUCCUUGCAUUCGUGGGGUGCAAAGGUGUGACAUGUAUAUCAAGAAUACCAUGUAAGAAAGCAUUUUAAACGUCUAGUUGCCUUAGACUCCAUCCUCUUGAGACAGCUACUGAAAGAAUUAAUCUGAUUGUAGCAAUCUUCACAACAGGGCUAAACGUGUCUUCAUAAUCUAUCCCAUGUCUUUGUUUGAACCCCUUAGCUACUAAACGGGCUUUAUAUCUAUCCAAGCUCCCAUCAGAUUUUAACUUGGUUCUAUAAACUCACUUGCAAUCAAUAAUGUUGGUGGCUUUCCGGGGAGGAACUAAAUGCCAAGUCUUGUUUCUAAUCAAAGCAUCAUAUUCAACAUCCAUUGCAUCCUUCCAAGCUUUACUACUCAAGGCUUCUUCUAAAUAUUAAGGUUCACCACUAGAAGUAAAAAGAUUGCUGUAUUGAAUAGUACCAUAUGUAUAUACCUUGGUUUUCUUAUCCCGUCUUGUAGACGGGUGCAGCGUGAUGAAGUUUGAGUGGCUGGAGGUGCUUAUGGAGCUAUCACAGAUGAUCCUGGAGGAGCAGAAGAUCCCAGAAGCUCCAAUCCCGGAGGAGAUCCUGUUGUAGGUGCGUGAAUAAGGUAGGGAUGCGGUUCCCCCCUACGCUCCGACGCUGGACGCGUGGCGUCGUGCGACUGGCUCGUCAUCGGAUCGCCACCAGGCGCUGUCGGGUCUGCACGUGGAGUGGGGCACGUGGCACAGCCUAGUUGGGGCGGAUCAGCACUGGUAGGAGGGGCUGCCAUAGACCUUGCAUACGCUGAUUCCAACGGUGAUUCAGUUGGAUCAGCCACCAAAUGUUCCUGGAUUCGAGCCUUGGAUCCCCUGCAGCUGGUUCAACCUACACAGGCUUGGUUUCUUCACAAAAAUCACCACCAUUAGUCAUAUUACGCAUAUGAUCACCUACAUAUUCAUCCCCAGAACUUGGAUUCUGUAGAUAGGAAGGGAGGAGAAUUAUCUGUGAUCUGAGACAUGGUCCAGCAUUGGCGUGCAUGCUAGAGAAAGGGAAAACAUUCUCAUCAAAUACAACAUCACAGCAAAUAUAGAUGCGCCCUGUGGAUGUGUCAAGGCACUUAAACCCUUUAUGGAUGUUGCUAUAGCUAAGAAAGGUGCAUUGCUUAGAGCGAAACUCAAGUUUAUGCUUAUUAUAUGGGCGAAGAUGCGGCCAACAUGCACAACUGAAGGCUCUCAAGGAGGAAUAAUCUAGCUUGGUGUGGAACAAGCAUUCUAGAGGUGUUUCAAAAUUGAUAACUCAGCUAGGAGUUCGAUUAACGAGGAAUGUAGCUGUGAGAAAAGCCUCGUCCCAAAAUUUUAGAGGCAUGCUUGCAUGAGCCAACAAGGACAAGCCUACAUCUACAAUAUGCCUAUGCUUACACUCAGAUGAACCAUUUUGUUGAUGCGCAUAGGGACAUGAUACAUGAUGAUAGAUGCCAAGUUUGGCGAAAAAAGAGUUAAGAUUAUCAUAUUCACCACCCCAAUCUGAUUGAACUGCAAGGAUUUUUCCAUCAAAAAGUCACUCAACAAGAGAUUGAAAUUCAUGAAACUCGUGAAACACCUCAGACUUGAAUUUUAACAAAUAAAUCCAAGUCAAUUUGCUGAAAUCAUCGACAAAACUAACAUAAUAUUUAAAUCUCCCAACUGAAUGAGGUGCUAGACCCCAAACAUCAGAGAACACAAGCUCCAAAGGAUGACUAGAGACACUGGUAGAUUUGGGAUACGGCAACUGAUGACUCUUUGCUUGUUGACAAGCAUCACACACCGAUUUUUUUAUUCAACUCAAAACAAUAAUUAAGAUUAUGACUCUUAAGCACCCUUUCAACAAUGGGCAUUGUGAGGUGACCUAAACGACUGUGCCAUCUAUCAAGAGAUGUUUUAUUGUCUCCAAGAACUUGCUUUGUAGUUGCUGUGGGGGGAAGAGGAUAAAGCCCUCUUUGACAUGGUCCUCUAAGCAGAAUGCUCCUCGUGUCCCGAUCCUUUAUGCAAAAGAAAUUAGGGUGAAACUCCAAAAAGACAUUAUUAUAAGAUGCUAGAUGGUGAACAGAAACGAGAUUCUUUUGAGUAGAUGGGACAUGGAGAAUAUUGUGCAAAUUGAGAGGAUGACUAGGGGUAUGAAUAGUAGAUUGACCAAUAUGACUAUUAUGCAUACCUACACCGCUGGCAGUGUGGAUCUGUUUACCACCAUUGUACUUGUCAUGGACGGCCAACUUCUCUAGCUCUCCAGUAAUGUGACCAGUAGCACUGGUGUCUGUGUAGCAGUUGAUGUCGACAUCGUAGGAGUUUGUUGCUGCAGCUGUGAUGUGAUGCUGUUCAGGCACGAAGUCGUCUUCGAACCUUAGACAACUAUAGGGAUACGAGGUAAGCUACGCUAGCACAAAACAAAAACUUUCUACCGCAUAAACCAGGAAAACUGUCGUAUAUGGAUCACGGGAUUACCACUCGAUGCACUGGUGCGAAAGAUGUAGAAUUGUGUCGGGGCAGCGAAGUGGACCAGCGUAGUUGAACACGUAGUCGAUCACAUCGAUGUCGAGUAGCUCCUCAGCAGCUCGUCCACGUGCAGCUCGUCGUGGCUCAUCGGCGGCUCAUCGUGGCUCGUCCAAGUGCUGCAAGUGCAACACCUCCAAGGUAUCCACACGUGCAGGGAGGAAGUGUCACAAGCCGGACUGCUAGGUUCGUGAGUUGCAAUAGGGCGAGGCCGUGGGAGGUGUGGCAGGUGUGUUUUUGGCCAAAGGGAUGAAACCCUAGGGCACCCCACCCCUCUAUUUAUAGAGGUUCCUAACAAGCCUCUGGGUCCGAGGCCCAUUAGUACUUCUAAACCUGAUACAACUCGGAUCAUAUCCGAAUUGGGCUUCCAACCCCUUAAGUGUGUGACCCUAUGGGUUCGGAUAUGUAUAGACAUGGCCCGAGUACUCCUACUCGGCCCAAUAGUCGGUAGCAGCCUCUAGCAUGACGUGCUAACUCCUAUACACACACGAAGAUCAUAUCAGACGAACCGUCACAACAUCAUGUACAUGCUAUUCCCUUUGCCUCACGAUAUUUGGUCUAGCUUCAAGCCGACCGCUCUUUCUUGAUCAUGUGAUUUGGAAUCCCUUUGUAGGUUAACUCUUAACCGUACGUAGCAUGGCCAUGCAUUUUCGGAUCCGAUGACUCGAGCGGCCCAGAGAUAUCACUCUUAAUCAAAGAGGGGCAAAUCCCAUCUUGAUUGACUAUGCCUCACAGCAUGCUUCCUGACAAACCUGAAAGCUACCUUUUUAACUACCCUAUUACGGUGUAGCAUUUGAUAGCCCCUAAGUAAGUCGAUCCACAUCUUGAGUACAUGCGACAAUCUCUGGUCUAAGGACAAAGCAUACUUGUUGUGUAAAGAGAGAACUACUUCUCAUGUUGGGUCAGUCCUAGCACAUGUCUCUACAUACGCCUACAUUAUUAGUUUGACAUGUCCAUGUCCAUGACUUGUGAAACAUAGUCAUCAACUAAUACAUGUACUAGUCUAAUAUUCAUGUGUGUCCACACAUGAACUCCGACUAGGGACAACUUUUAGAAUAACUAUACUAGUAAAGAGUUCCACAUACAAUUCACAUAAUUGCAGAUCAAUUCAAGUAGCCUUUAAUGGAUAUUCAAUGAACACAAUAUACAAAUCAUGGAUACAAUCAGAUAUCAUCAUCUAUAUGAUAUCCUCUAGGGCAUACCUCCAACAACAACACCUGUCCGCAGUAUGCCCAUACUUGAGCAGACUUGGCACUAAGGGCGUAAGGAAGAGUUGUUGUUGCCACCACGAUGUGGAGGGUUGUUGUUGUAGCCGCGCCCCAUGACAAUGCCCUGACGCGCGGUGCUGCUGCUGGUGUUGUUGUUGCCGUUGCCGCGGUCAUUGCCUCGACCACCUACGCCACUGCGAUCGUGGCCAUUGCUUCUGCCACGGCCGUCGCCAUGGCUGCCCCGGUUGGCCAGAUUGGCUGACGAGCCAGAGCCGCUUCCUCCGCUAGUGAUGAGCUCCAUGCAUGUUUCAAACGCAAGGAGCUGGGAGUAGAGCUCAUCCACUAAAACAAGCUUUGGUCUAGCAACCAGAGCGGAGAUGAUCGGGUUGAAGUUGAAGUCGAGGCCCGUGAGUAUGUACUCCACGAGCUCAGAGUCUUCAAGUGCUCUCCCAGCAGCAGCCAUCUCAUCACCAAGAGCAUGCAUCUUGCCUACAUACUCAGCAAAAGAUUGGUUACCUUUUGAAGCAGUGGCAAGUGCAAGAUGGAUGUUGAUUGCGCGUGCCCUUGUCCUGGACGCAAACAUCACUUCAAUUGCCCCCCAUAGCUGUGAUGCAGUCUCCCUUGUAGACACUUGAGGAAGGACUUCUCUUGUCAGCAAGGCGAGGAUGAACCCAGAACCUGCUGAUCUGUGGCGUACCUAUAACGACCAACCCCAAAUCUUUCAAGUUAAUCAACUCCGAGUCCCUAAUCCCCCUCUCAGUUACCCGAGUUGAGUGCUCACCCUCAGUUCUGGUCCCGACCCCCGGUCUUGACCCCAGAGAUCCGACCCCUCUCCGUUGGUUCCCCGUUCCGACCCUGCUGACCCCAAACCCAUACCGCCAGAUCCUUCUAAGUCUUCCCACAAUAUCUCUUUUCAAUCUGAGCAGUGGACCAACCGAGACUGACCGGUGGGCCCACAAAAUCUUUUCCCCAGAUCUUCCGAGACAGACGCACUCGUGUAGCAUGCCCACCUCAGAGCUUCUCCACCGCGUGGCUCAACUUCUCCGACACCCGCCGCUCCGCCUCGUCGCCGACCAUGACUGGAUGGAUUCUCGCGCCCCCUUUCCCAAUCGCAGCGGAAGCUCCUCUGCUACCCUUUCUGCAGUACCUCACGGCUCGCGCCCAUCAUCACCCCACCGGACCCCGGCUAUAGAGCCUGAUGCCUUCCGUCUUUUCCGCCACCUCUCCACCGUCGCGCCGCCCCUGAUGCGCUACGCGAUGAUUCUUCCUCCGCCAACCCCGACCCCGGCCGCGAUAGCUCCUUUUCCGCCCUGUCAGAGCUGCGCCCCCGACAAUCUGUUGCUUCGCGCUCGCCCGCGCGACCGCAGCUUGCCUGUGUUCGCACCUGUGUGCCCUCGCUUCUAGCGCCGUUCCCCUGGUCACUUCCAUCAGAUCCCCCGCACGACGACGCCCGCCUCCGCCAAAUCUUAACCACCGGCAAAACCACGCCUGUGCCGCCCUGUCUUCGGUGCCCAAUGGCCGACGGUGUCAUCCCCGAAGUCCUGCUCCGCCGGCCCGCUGCUCAAUCGCCACCCCGGCAGCGCACUCCAUCGCUUCUUCCCGGUCUUCGUGCCGCUCUAACCCUCUUUCCUCCGCGUAGCUAUAUAAGGGAAUACCAGAGCCCCGCCGGAAUCCCCUUCGCCAUCGCUGCCCUUCCGCCUUGCUCUCUGUUUCAUGCUCGAGCACUACAGCCUAAGUCCCUGAGGAACUCUCCUCUCUGCUUCACAUCCGCCCUUUCCAAUCCACUCAGCCGCUUGCUCCUCCGCGCUGCACAAGAACUUGCUUGUGGUCCACAAGAAGCACCGCUGCCGCCGGAGCACAGCUGGACGUCACCGCUGCAAAUCUUAGUGCUCCAGUUCCUCCGCCCAAGUCUGCUCUUUCCCGACCCCAAGCUUCACCUGUAAGACGAAGGUAAGCUACCGACCCCUUGUCCGUCUCGCCCGACCCUACCUGUUUCGCCGACCCUGCUCGGCCUCGCCUGAAGGCACGGCUGUAUCUUUUUCCUUGACCUGAGGGUAUAUGUGUAACAAUUGGGGACUUCUCUGCGUUAAGUCUGAGGACCCCUAGCACAUCUAUUCCUCUAGUCUAAGGGUCAGAUCAUAAGCUUCUUCCCAUCCGACCCUUUUACCUUGUUCUUCUCCAACUCAAGUGAACUUGCUCACUUUUCCCGUAGCCUUGCUACAAAGUUCUGAGCUAGAACUCGCAAGUGUUGCUGUUGAAAUAAUCGUCUAAAUGCUAACCCCUGCAUUGCAUUUCGUGUAGAGUUGCAUCUCGCCGACGGCUUCUACGAGCUGCACCCAGCACCAAAAGACGAAGCUGCAACCGAGCUCCCGCUUCCAGAAGCCGAAGCCGCCCAAGUAGAAGAGCAGCUUUCCCCCUCCUUGUUUGAAGGCAAGCCCCGGAGCAUGAACCCCAGUUUCCCAAACUUGCGCAUGCCUUCUGCAUCUUGUUUGUGCAUUUACGUAUAGGAGUUGUUUGCAACCAUAGAUGCAUGACUUAGAUCCCUAGAGCUGAACACUAGUAUGUUGGGUCCGAGUAGUUGCUAUGCUUAAUAAGGAGCGGUAAAAGCCGAGUGAUUUCCUAUCACUCGCGAGUUGUAGGAGUUGGGUGGUUCUCCUUCUGUUACAACGAUAAGGACGAUGGACGGGGCAGGGUUUGGUUAACUCUUUGGUGGUCGGCUGAUCGCCCCGUCUGUCUAUGGAACUUGUUAAGGACCAACAGUGGUGGUGUUCGUGAUCAAGUGUUUGAAAGUACUAACCUCAUACUUAUUGUGAGAUGAGGAAGCCGAGUACCGGAUUGAACCUAGACGUGAGCGGUCGCCCCAUUGUCCUUGGAACGGAGUUUCCCCUGCGGCCACACGUGGUGGUAAGUGUGGUCACAGAACGGCAGAGGCCGGGUCUGUGGAACAUUGCACCAAUGGAAAUGGGCCCGACACGGGUUAGGGAAAUGAUGGGGAAGGCCGAUACAGGAAGCGACCCUCGGUGGUGCGCGGAUGUCGUGAGGUUAGGUUCACCAUGCAUGGUUAAAGAACUCGAAUCGAUUCGUCUGCCUCUCACAGUUUGAGACUACUUGAUCGCUAUGCUACCCUGAGUAAUAAAGGAAUCUGAUGAUGACAUGGUCUCAAUGAUGAUAUAUACCUUUUGGUUGGUUCUAUGUUUGCUUAGAGUAAGUUGCUAACUUAGACCGGAUAAUGAACUUAGAACCUGAGCUAAAACUUGAAAAUAGGGAUCUACAUAGUGCUUUUGGCAAACAACCCCUCAGCCAAAGAGCCUUGCAUGUCUAGAAGUGGUGGAGUAGUUACUCCCGGUCGGUUAAGUCUUGUUGAGCUUAGUAGCUCAGCCUUAUUGUGGCUUUUCUUUUUCAGGUGAAGCCGCUGCUCCCGAGUCUUCUUCUGUUGGCACUUGGCCGCCCCAACUCCCUCCGGGUUGGACGGUCGAGUGGGAUCCUUCCUCGGACGGCGAGGAGAAGGAUCACUGACGUCUUGGCUGGCCUCACCAAGGACGUCCGACCCCCUGCGUUUAGCUUCCGCUGUUUUACCUUCUGUUGUUUCCUUUGAGCCAUGUAAAACUUUGUUUUUGUUUUGUUGUUGAGCUAAAUGGCCAAAUUUGUUUAACUCAGUGGACUUGUUGUAUUCUCUGGAACCGCUCACCUUCGUGUGAGUUUGCUAACUCGAUCCUGUUCAAGUGGUUAAAUCGGAUGAAAUCCGACGGCACUUCGUGUUAACUUGGCUAAGGCAUGAGUGUCACGUGUUAGGCGACUUAACCAUGUUUAGUCAAGCUAAUCCGAAGCGGAUCCGCCAUAGCUGGUAUCAGAGCAGGUUUAGCAAGACAGAGAACACAAUAGGCCCUAAAACACUUCUUCUAAAUAAAAGUUGUGUUGACACCAGAUUUCGUCACAAGUAAAAUCGGCGUCAGGAGAAGAAGAAAUGGGAAGGUACAGUAGAAUACAGGGGUGACAGUUGGAAAUUGGCCGAAUGGCGCUACAGUUAGAGAUCGGUUGGUUGGUGCUACAGUCCAGGAUCGACCAAUGCUACAGUACAGGAUCGGCCGAUGGAUCUUUAGAAAUUCUGCCUCGCUUAACCCUUGGGGUUUGGAUCGGACACGCCUGGUUCCCGAUUGGUUACCUUUUUGCCAAUGAGGAAUCGGCCGAUUAGGAGGUUGAAAUAAUUGGGCCGGUAUGGGCUUGGAAAGGAUUAGAAGGAUGAAGAGGAAAUCAGCUCAUGAAGCUUAUAAUAACCAACCUAUUUGAAUUAGGGAUAGAGUUCUAGUCAGAUAAGGAGUUGUCUAUACGGGGCUAUAAAUAGCCACCUUUGAAGAUCUGUAAUCAUAUCAACUACUCAAUACAACCAAUUACUAUUUCCUCGUACUUACUUUCAAGCAGGCGACUUCGCCAAAUACUUUCUUCUUUUUCACGAGUUCGUACGGGUUGGCAGGGCUACAUCAAUUUGACCUCCGGCCGAUCUUGUAAGUUCCGUUUACCGAGUAAAUUCUAAGCUUUAACUUCGGGUGCAUCGCUGUUGUUUCGUUUAGAUUUAUUCACUAGUUAUCGAUAUUUACUAGAAUUGUAGGUUUUACCUGUUUUUCUAGUUUUAUCACCAGUUAUCCAGCUAGGAAUCGACAGUUUCGGUUUUUCUCAUAUUCUGUUGUUUAAUUUACUUAUUCCACGCAUAGCCGAUUAGAUCUGUUCCUAGUGUUGCUACUAUAGCGUUGUACCGAUUACUUCAAUUAGUCGUCGUUCACGCUGCCUGAUAGUCGGCUGCUUCAUAGUCGAUUUCUUUAUUACGGCAAAUCGGCCGAUUCGCUAGUAAGCUCCCUCGAGAUCGGAAAUUUAGCUGAUCGUGGCUUUUGGAUCUGACAGGUAUUCUUCAUUGCCAAUCAACAGGUCAGAUUGGCUGGCACGCCGCGCGAACCGCACCAGGGCAAUCACCCGAACAGGAGUUAAGCAGAUUCUCCCGGGUCGUGUGUCAGACGCUUGGGAUUCGGUUGACCGAUUUCUAGCGCCAACACACUUUUGGCACGCCCAGUGGGACAAACACAACCGCCACCAUGUCAAAAGCAGCUGAAGUCUCCGAAGAUAACGUCAUCGAAGUGACAGAGGCAGAUCUCAGGGAUGACCAGAAGGAAGAACUAGAAAAGCAGACGGCACAAUACCGAAAGGUUUGCCUGCAGUUCUUCAGUCGCACCAGAAGCGGGGAGACUAUCAAAAAGUCUCCGUUUCCAACUCCCCGCCAGAUCACAAUCACCGAGGACUCGGACAAGAUGGCCGAGAUGGUCCAACAGUCCGUUUAUCACGCCUUCAUUGAUCAAUCCCCGGUGCUUGCAAAUACGGUGUACAAUGCCGUCAUCAGCUCCUUGGCUAGCGGGGUACCUCAAGGGUACAAGGGACCGGCAUAUGCUCCGCCGAUUCCACCAAACAAGGGUUAUCUAAAUUCGGCUUCUCAGCCGAUUCAAUUUCCUGUUGGGGGUUCAGGCGCUUCCUCAUCAUCAAUUCCUUUGGGGUAUAAUGGCACACAACACCUCCAGCCACACCCCGUUCAGCUGUCCUUCGCGCCGUUCCCUCCAGUUAAUCCAGCGCCUUGGGGGGCACCAUCAGCUAUGGCCGUUCAUGAUCAAUCGACCGGUCAGGGAAGUCCCCAAUUCCAGGCAUCUUUCCAAGCAGCCACUCGACCAACCAUGCCACCGUACCAGGCUGUCGCACCAGAGAUGAGCAAAGCAGUAGAGCUCGUACUAUACGAUGAGACGAGUGGCUCAUUCAAACAGCCGAUCCUGAAUACACAACCGGCUUUCACUCAGAUGCCACAUACUUUCACUCAGCAUCAGGCCAUUCCACCUCUGAUGUACCAGCACGUGCCAGUCCCUCAGCCAACAGUUUACCAGCAACAGCCGGACUGGUCAGCACGUAUAGUAGAAGUGAUUCAGGAACAAUUCGGCUUGAAGCCGAAGGUACAGACUUACACAUAUAGGACACCAUACCCAUCUACGUACAACCUACUGCCGUUUCCCCAUCGGUAUAAAGUUCCUGACUUCACCAAGUUCUUGGGGAUGGAUGACACUUCAACCGUGGAACAUGUUAACAGGUUCAUCAUCCAAUGUGGAGAGGCAGCAGCGCAAGAUGCUCUACGGGUGCGGCUAUUCUCGUCAUCCUUGUCUGGGUCGGCCUUCCAGUGGUUCACGACAUUACCGCCGAACUCGAUUAUUACAUGGGCCGAUUUGGAAAGACAAUUUCAUAAAUACUUCUACGCCGGUGUGCAUGAGAUGAAGCUGUCCGAUUUGACCAGCCUCAAGCAGAGAAGCGACGAGCCGAUAUCCUCAUAUGUACAGAGGUUUCGGGAAAUCAGGAACAAAUGCUACUCUUUGGCUCUAAACGACGCACAGCUGGCUGAUAUAGCCUUUCAAGGUCUCCUGCCCCACAUCAAAGAUAAGUACGCCUCACAGGAGUUUGAGAGCUUAAGCCAAAUCGUCCACCGAUUGUCUGGACAGGAGGUACGUUCUUUCAAUCCACGGAGGAACUUUCAAAAGAAGGUUGUGUUCCUGGAAGAGGUUGAAGCCGAAGAAGAUGCUGAGGUCGGUCUUGCGGAGUGGGUCAAGGGAAAGAAGCCAAUAUCAUGCCCGUUCGGCAAGAAAGAGCCAGAAACGUUCGGCUUUGACAUGACGAAGGCCGAUAAAAUCUUUGACCUUCUCCUCCAGGAAGGACAGAUCAAGCUCUCGCCAUAUCAUACAAUACCUUCUGCCGAACAAUUGAAGAAGAUGAAAUAUUGCAAGUGGCACAACGCUACAUCCCAUGACACUAAUGAGUGCAAAAUCUUCUAGCAGCAGAUACAGUCGGCCAUUGAGCAGGGCAGACUUAAGUUUGAAGUACCAACAAAAUCAGCCAAGCCGAUGAAGAUCGACCAGCACCCCUUCCCCACCAACAUGGUUGACACAGGGAGGAACUCGCUCCAAACAAAGGUGCUGACGUCCGAAUCGGCUAAAAAGAGUGGUGCCAUGGACCCCAGGAAUCAAGCUACACCUGAAGAUGUCAAGGGGAAGCGGCGGAUCGAGGACGACGACGGUGAAUCGGGUGAGCCACGCAUUACUUCCCAAUUCCUGCUCCAAAAAUAUCAGCGGCAGCAUGAACGCUCAAGAUCCCGGGAAGAAGCGAUGCGGCGACACGAAGAUCACUGGAGGUGCCCGUUCUUCAUCCACUGUUGGGAGAGCAACCUCAGGCUACCUUCGGCCGAUAAUUGCCCUGAAUGCAACGGCCCGUAUCGUAACAAUCGGCCAUUCAACAGGUCUCGCUCCAGAGAUGGGAGACCAGAACCGAUCAACAGGAAUUGGCACGACCAAGACGAUCGGCGCCCUCCCGUGCGUGAUCGGCUGGGGGGCAGAAGUGACCGAUAUGACCGAUCAGAAGACAGACGCCAUGACAGGCCGGGGGGUAGGUUUGAUCAACAUGACCGGCUAGAAAACAGGGCCAACGUUCACAGUCGGCUUGAAGAGAUGGCCGACGCUCAGGUGACAGACGAAAACCCUUUAGGACGCGAGCCGGAGUGGGAACGCGCCAGGCCAAGAACCAAACCAGUAAACCCCAGGUGGUGUCCCGACGGAUUGACCAAAUCUCAAAAAUGAAGGAUCCAACGUCUCCGCCAAUGGGAGCAGCAGGAGGAAGAACAACAAUGCACGACGGACAAGAGGGAAGGCAGGUCUCGGGUGUGGCGCCCCACAAGAAACGAUAGAGGGGGUGACGAAUCGGCAGGCGAUGAAUCAGCAGCCGACAUCGGUAUGGUUUUCAUACUGCCGAUGGAAUUUAUGACUCCUGCCGACCGACAGGAUAUGUCGGCGAUAGAAGAACAUAUGGCACAAUUGGCUUUGGAGCCCAUGAUAGCCACGUUCGAGAAGCUCGAAGACGACAAACGGCAACAUCUGAAAGCGUUGUUCCUUAAAGGGCAUGUCAACGGCCGACCCCUCACCAGAUUAAUGGUGGACGGAGGAGCCGCAGUCAAUAUCAUGCCAUAUGCCGUGCUCCGGAAGCUUGGGAAAAGCGAUGAUGACUUGACCAAGACAGACAUGAUGCUCAAAGACUUCGAGGGCAACGUGUCUCCUACUCGCGGCGCCCUCUGCAUCGACCUCACCAUCGGCAGUAAGACCCUUCCCACUACCUUCUUUAUUAUUAAUGGCAAGGGAUCCUACAACAUGCUACUCGGCCGAGACUGGAUACACGCAAAUUGCUGCAUCCCAUUGACAAUGCAUCAAUGUCUUGUACAAUGGGUCGGCGACAACAUCGAGGUGGUCAACGCCGAUUCCGCAUACAGCAUCGCGGCAGCCGACACGCAGGAGUGGAGCUGCGAAACCGUCAAGUGCAUAUCCGGUAGAGUAUGGGAUACUGACUUCCUGAAGGUGUCCGAUUUUGGCCUACAGCCGAUCCGAGCAGUCGGCUCCGAAGACUCAGAUUAAAUGGAUCAGUUCGCCCGAGAAGAUGGGAAGCUAGGGCACGGGUUCACGUUGGCCGAUUCAUUAGAGAUGGUAGACUUAGGCGAUGGCACCAAGUCAAGGCCGACUUAUAUUAGUGCAAAUUUAGACUCGGAAUACAAAUGUAAACUGACAAAUUUGUUAAGAGAAUUUAAGGAUUGUUUUGCUUGGGAGUAUCAUGAGAUGCCUGGAUUAGAUCGAUCUAUCGUUGAAUAUCGGCUACCCAUAAAACCAGGAUAUCGGCCGUAUCAACAGCCGGCACGGCGGUGCAAUCCUAAAAUUCUACCACACAUAAAAGCCGAAAUAACUCGGCUAAUCGAAGCCAAAUUUAUUCGGCAAUGCCGUUAUGCCGAGUGGAUCUCCAACAUUGUACCAGUGUACAAGAAGAACGGAAAGCUACGCGUGUGCGUUGAUUUCAGGAAUCUUAAUCAGGCCACACCGAUGGACGGGUACCCCAUGCCAACGGCCGAUGUGCUGAUAGACGCUGCCGCGGGACACAAGAUUAUUAGCUUCAUGGACGGAAACGCUGGGUACAAUCAAAUACUUAUGGCCAAAGAGGACAUACCCAAAACGGCCUUCAGAUGCCCGGGCCACCUUGGUUUAUUCGAAUGGGUGGUGAUGACUUUUGGCUUGAAAAACGCCGGCGCCACGUAUCAGAGAGCCAUGAACUACAUAUUUCACAAACUCAUCGGCAUUCUGGUAGAAAUCUACAUCGACGACGUCGUAGUCAAGUCCAAAGGACACGAAGAGCAUCUGGCCGAUUUGCGAAAAGUGUUGGAAUGCACUAAGAAACAUGGGCUGAAGAUGAACCCAAAUAAAUGUGCCUUCGGCGUGUCCGCUGGACAGUUCUUAGGAUUCAUGGUGCACGAGCGGGGAAUAGAAAUCAAUCGGAAGACCAUAGCGGCUAUCAACAAAGUCGUGGCCCCGCAGAAUAAAACUGAAUUGCAGUCUCUAAUCGGCAAGGUGAAUUUCAUCAGAAGAUUCAUAUCUAAUCUAUCCGGGCGGAUCCAGGCUUUCACACCACUAUUAAAGUUGAAGCCUGACCAGGAGUUCAUAUGGGGGGAGGAGCAACGCAAGGCACUGGAAGAUAUCAAGCAGUACUUGGUCUCACCACCGGUAUUGGUUCCUCCUCAAACUGGUAAGCCAUUUAAAUUAUACUUAUCAGCCGAUGAAAAGGCUAUUGGGUCGGCUCUAGUCCAGGAAUUCGAAGGAAAGGAACGAGUAAUUUAUUAUGUCAGUAGAAGACUUCUGGACGUUGAAACAAGAUAUCCUCCAGUAGAGCGGUUGUGCCUGUGUCUUUACUUCUCAUGCACCAAACUCAGGCACUAUUUACUGACGGCAGAAUGCGUGGUCGUAUGCAAAGACGACGUAGUAAAAUACAUGCUGUCACUGCCGAUCUUGAAAGGACGAAUCGGCAAAUGGAUCUUAGCUUUGUCAGAAUUUGACCUGCGGUAUGAAUCGGCGAAAGCCGUCAAGGGUCAGGUCAUGGCCGAUUUCGUCGCCCAACACUGCGGACCAGAGACUACCUUCGUAGAUCUGGUGCCUUGGACUUUAUACUUUGAUGGAUCGUCAUGUGGGGUCGUAUCAGGAAUCGGCAUCGUCCUCAUAUCGCCUUGGGGGGCAAGUUAUGAUUCUUCACUGCCGAUAGAAGCCACCGCCACUAACAAUCAAGCAGAGUACCGGGCUGUAUUGAAGGGUUUACAACUACUAAGAGAAGUCAAGGCCGAUUCUGUUGAAGUCUUCGGAGAUUCCAUGCUUAUUGUGGAUCAAUUAACGGGGAGGUCCGAAUGCAAGGACGAUGUAUUGAGAAUUUAUUAUGAAGAUUGCCUGCAGCUCUUAAAAGAAUUUAAAUCGGCAGUAAUCGAGCACAUCCCAAGGGAUCACAACGAGGAUGCCAACAAACUCGCCCAGCACGCAUCUAGAUAUCGGCCAAUUCUAGGUGCUAUGGCUUUGGAACUCGCGGCUGAUGACUGGCGAAAAGAAAUUGCCGACUACUUGAAAGAUCUGUCUAAGAAAGUGGAUCGACGGGUGCGUUUCCAUGCUACCAAAUACGUACUGCUUGAAGACGACUUAUUCUACCAAACGAUUGACGGUGUCCUGCUCAAAUGUCUGGAAAUAGAGGAGGCUAAGACUCUGAUGGGAGAAAUCCAUGAAGGGGUGUGUGGAGCCCAUCAAUCGGCCCAUACGAUGAAAUGGAUGAUCAGGAAUAAUGGGUAUUACUGGCCAACGAUCCUCGAAGAUUGCUUCAAAUAUUAUAAGGGAUGCCAGGAUUGUCAGAAAUUCGGGAAUGUCCAAUGUGCGCCCGCAUCGGCCAUGAAUCCCAUUAUCAAGCCAUGGCCGUUCAGAGGAUGGGGAAUAGACCUUAUCGGCCAAAUUUACCCUCCAUCAAGCAAAGGGCACAAAUUUAUUUUGGUGGCUACCGAUUACUUUACCAAAUGGGUGGAAGCAGUUCCGUUAAGAGCCGUGACAUCGGCUACCAUGGCCGACUUCGUAAGGGACCAUAUCGUCUACCGAUUCGGUAUUCCCCAGACUAUUACAACCGAUCAGGGAACAAUGUUCACAUCAGGGGAAUUCGAGGAAUUCACAGCCGAUAUGGGAAUCAAAUUGUUAAACUCCUCUCCAUAUUACGCCCAAGCUAACGGCCAGGCCGAAUCCUCCAACAAAGGGAUAAUUAGGUUAAUCAAAAGGAAGAUAGAGGAGCAGCCGAAAAAAUGGCAUCUAUGUCUAACUGAAGCCCUAUGGGCAUAUAGGAUGGCUUGCCAUGGGGCCACCAAGUUAUCCCCUUAUCAGUUGGUGUACGGUCACGAUGCAGUACUACCGUGGGAAUCAAGGGUGGGAUCGAGGCGCAUUUCACUCCAGGACCAGUUAACGGCCGACGACUACUCGUCACUCAUGAAAAGGGAACUUGAUGACUUGGCUGGUCAGCGAUUGAGAGCUUUGAUAAGCAUUGAGGAAAACAAGAAGAAAGUGGCCAUGUGGUAUGAUAAGAAGGUCAAAGUCAAACAAUUCUCCCCAGGGGACCUGGUUUGGAAGUUAGUAUUGCCGAUUGGGUCGAAAGAUCCUAAAUUCGGAAAGUGGUCCCCUACAUGGGAAGGGCCAUAUAAAAUCGGCAGAUGUGCUCCGGGAAAUGCUUAUAUUUUGGAGACAAUUGAGGGAGAAGAGUUUACUAGGGCUCUGAACGGAAGGUACUUGAAAAGAUACUACCCUAGUAUAUGGGUCGGAGCAUAAAGGAUCGACCACAAUACAACGGCACACAGCCGAUACAAAAAGGUUCGUCUAGAAAAAACAUGUAAUUGUCCAAAUCGGCCGAUGUAUUCAUUCGGUACGGAUGGUGGGUUACACGGCCGACAAGGUGCAAGUCGCCCUUAGAACAAAAAAUAAUAAUUAACCAUUCUUUUUCUUACGCUCUCUCUCAGCCCAACCUAACUCUAUCAUAAGACGGAUGUACUCUUCUUCUAUCUCUUUCAUCGAAGCCUCCGCUUCGACUUGACGGGGAAGAGGGUGGCUCCGGUCCAUGGCCGGGCGCGAUGUUCCUGCUGCCGCAUCUUCAAGGGCCACUCGUGGAGGAAGCGGAUGACUUCUGUCGGCUUGAGGUCGCCGGUGGGCGUUGCCGUCCAGAAAGUCCCAGAUCCAACGGAUGUCAGCAGGGACAUGUUCUUGAAGUUCGUCACGAUGAGCCCUGAUUAAAUCCUUGUCCUCUGACGACAACAGUUCAUCAGAGUGCAUGAGCUCGAUGGCGCGCUCAAGUUCGGGGCUAAGGCGUCGAGGCUGAGGAAAGAACGAUUUAAAAAGUGAUCUCCUUCAAAAGAGCUAAACUGAGAAGAAGGAUCAAGGUAAGAUUUUCACCUGGUUAACAGAAGAAGAGGAAGACGAUGAAGACAUGACUGAAGGUUGCGCCGACGAGAGCAGAUUGGGGAAAUAAAACCAAGCCAAACUGGUACUCUCGGAAGGAGGGUCUAGGCCGGUACUUAUAAGAAAAAGAGGCGUAGAUAUUUGGUAAAGGUGCAUCCCGUCGGAAGUAAGAAAGGCAAUGAAUAAAAGAGGCGUCGCGAAGGACGGUCAAAGCAGUCAUUAAAGGUUCGUACAAAAUAGUUAGUACUUUUACAGAUUACCUAGAAGGGCAUCGAUAGCCGCAAUCGCUCGAUGCCGGAUCUGAUCGGCAGAGUCCAAAAUCCGUUGGUCAUCAUCCGCCGAUCCGGGGACUUCUGACGCACUGCGGUGGAGUUUUAGGGCUUCAUGGGCCAAAUGCUGCCUCUCCUGUUUUAGAUCAGCGAUGACAGAAGGGAGUUCUUGGAGCCUUUUCUCUUCGGCAUUUAUUGCCUUGGUCACCUGUUCCAUCUCCUUGGCGAGCUCCGCCCUUCGGCGUUUGAGGCGAUCUAUCUCGCCGACGAUCCCUGGGCGGGAGUCCUUCAGAAAAUGAAUGCGUUGGUGCACCUCUUGGGCCUGACGUUUAUACGCAUCCUCUUCUUCACGAGUCUUGGCCAACUUGGCGCGAUCGGCCAUGUGACGAAGGGCUCUGAAGACCGGGAUCCUCAUCGACUCGAUGUAUGCGGCCGGCGCCAAGGCUUCCUCCGCUUCUUCCGGCACUCGUCCGCUGACGUCACCAAAGAGCUGCCGAAUCGGCGAGGCAUCUUCUACCAAUCGGCCGAUGUCUUCUUGAAGAAGGGAUCGGAUGCUGGCAAGUUUGGCUCGAACGUCGUCGGUUGGAGCUCAAGGUGACCUGGCGGGAGGCGACUUCUUCGUCGUCAGAGAGGGCGACCGCAAAAGAGAAGAGGCUGUUGUCAGGGGUGUCCUGUUCCUGGAAAUAAUAAAGAAGAAAAAUAAAUCGGCUAAAUAAAGUUGAAAGAUUUCUUACCUCUUUGAAUCGGAUUUCCUCAAGCUGCAUUUGGGAAGCCGUUAUCCUCGGUUCAGGGGCUGGUGCCAUGGGUUCGUCAGAGGAAGAAGACUCCAUGAUGAUUGGUGUUGUGCUUGGACCAGCUUCCCGAGAGGGGACCAGUGGUUGAGGGGCGCUUGGCGUGCCGAUGACCUGUGUCAAAAGGUUGAAUAAGCACAUUAUUCAAAUACUAGGGGAAUCGGUGAAAUAGUGUUAUACCUCAAUGGAUGGAAGCGGGGGCGCGUCGAUGGCCGAUUGGGUUGCUACCGAUUGUUGUGUGUCCAUAGGGGUAAUCUGUGCAGUCUAAGAUAAGAAGGAUUAAUAUCGAAACAACAAUUGGAAGGGUUAAACAUAAGUUUACCUGCACGGCCUCUAACAGUAGUGACGCAGCGGCUACCCCAGCUUGCGCGACAACUUGAGUGUCGAUGUCUCUAGCAGCUGGAAGAGGUGGUGCGGCCGAAAUCUCUACUGAUACGAUCGUGGGAGGAUCUGUCGAUUCUAUACGGGCUCGGACUCGACGACUGGUCUUCUUGGUGACUUUUUUCUGCGCUUGCUUCGAUCGGCCGGCAAUUACGUCCACGGAAGGGGCGUGACAGCCGAUAAGAGGAAAAGUGGUGUAUGGAUGAUGAUCUUCUAUUAGCCGACCACUCCGGGUGUGUGUUGGGGGGACACGGUUCUCGGACUGAAGCAAUAGCAAAACGUUAGUGUUCAGCUGCGUUGAUAAAAGAAUAAAAAUCGGCUAAGGAAAAAUACCUUGGCGUUCGGGUGGAUGUUGGUUGGGUCCAGGAGAUUGCAGUAUGCCGAUGCGGAGUUGCAGAAAAGGAAUUGUUUCCAUUCGGCCCACCAAAGCUUGAAAGGCUAGACAGCAAAGGGAGCUACUAUCCAGUUGUUCAAGGCAAUAGUGGUGGAGUCUGGGAUCCGGUCUCGCAGCCGACUGUAGUCUGGACCUGUUGUAAGCCCAUCUCUGAACUUGGCUCGGCCAGCAAAAUCCACUUGAAUCAGCAGCUGACCCAUGCCGAGUUGACGUGCUGCAGCAGAGGGAUUGUAGAACUCAUAUGUAGGAGCAUCUUUCCCUGAAAAGAAGUUGGUUGGCAGGAUUCCCAGUUUGAUUAACUCAUCGGUGAGGUCCUCGUCGAAUCGGCCAGUGGUCGAGUCGAAGCAAGUUGGGAGUUCGAAGAUUGGGUCAUCUCACCGAUAAGGAAACCAGACGGUUGCAUCUUCAUUGAAACCGUUGUAAAAGCAUCGGAAGUACUCGGCCACUUUCGUAGCAGAGUACAGGCAACCGGGGAAGGCCGAUGCCGCUUCACCAAAAGAUGUGCAUCGGCGUCGAGCAGUGGGAUCUUCUGCCGAUUCAAUGUUGGGGAACGUCAUGUGUUCCACCCUCUGCUGAGAGAUCUUGCUCAUAUACAGGUUCAGCCACAAAUUGAUGAACCACCAGGGUCCGCCUGGAUUUCCAAUCGGCUCCCCCUUGGAAAGUUUGAUGCCGAUUUGAUGAAGCAUGUGGUAUGCCGCUCCUAGCAAGUGUUUUCUGAGAGGAACAGGAGUUCCUAUUGAUAGUGCUUCUGCUAAGGCUUGGGUGUUGGUUGAUGGGCCGGCUGCUCUCCCGCAAAAGAAAUGUUUUUCCAACCACAUCCUUAGGAAGGCCGUGUGCUCCCUGUUCUCAACAGACCCGGCCCUUUUGUUGCAUCUGAUAAAUCCUUUCCACCCGCUGAUUCCCCUCGUGUCCAGUCGAUGCGAUGUUGCGGCUAAGAGGUGGAAAGGUGUCCGGGGAGGAGAUGUCUAGGCCGGUCAGCAGAACCACAUCGGCCAGUGUGGGGGUCAUAGGUCCAUGUCCAAAGAAGAAUGCAUUGAGGGCAUCAGACCAAAAGUAAGAGGCUGCUAUCACCAAUGGUUCAUUUCGCUCCAUCUGGGACAAAGAUAAGUUGAUGCAUUGGCCGAUUUUGAGCUCAUCCCAUUGGACCCUCUUCGGUUCGGCUAUCUGUUGGUACCACUCCCUCCAACCAGGAGUUUCGUUCGGCCAAGACCUAAAGGUGCCCAGCCAGUGAUCCAGGUCCAUGGUGGAUUGUUUGAAGGGGAUUCUAUGGGUUUCCAAAUUAAUGAUCUCGGUUGGAUCUGGGUUCCCCAUGGGUCCGAGACAGAUAAGGCCGGGAUUUCCCGUAAGAUGGAUAGUGAUACGAUGUCUAACUGCCUAAAAAAGGAAAGGGGGUGCAAAAGUAAGAAAUAGAUCUAAAGUAAAUGCAUUGCCGAUAGAGGAAGGAUUCGGUAAUAACCUCAGGGAUGAAGUUCCUUGUAGUCGGCGUGACCGCCGGUGCAGCUGCGGAGGAUGAGGCCGCUAUUGGGAUCGCCAUUGGGAUCUCCAAUGAAGCUCCUUCUUCCGACGACGGAGCCACCACUGUCGCUACUUCCGCCGGAGGUGCCAUUUCUGGAGCAGCGCACGCGGGUGAGUUGCCUGAAGGUGCCGCCAUUGGAGGGGAGGAGGAGAAGUGAGAGGAAGAUGGUGCUAGAAAGCUUUGGAGCUAAGGGAAAGUGCUGGGGGAAGAAGAAGGCGUGGGCGCUGAGGAAGAAGGAUGUGAGCUUGAAAAGGAGGUGCGGGGUGUACUGAUAUUUAAAGGGUGCCUGAUGAAGGGUAAAAAUGGAAUUUUAACCGCGCCGACGUUUCGAGUUUUUUGGGAGUAGUGGUUGUCGUGGGCGCCCGUUUCGAAAAGAUUGGAAUCAUCAGGUUGAAGACCGCAAAACGGAAGGAUAUUUUCAUUGCGGUUAUUUCGGAGGGGAAGUUGAAAAGAAUUUCGAAGUAAAAGACUAUGUUUUACUCCGAAACUGGGGGGCAUGUGUUGACGCCAGAUUUCGUCACAAGUAAAAUCGGCGUCAGGAGAAGAAUAAAUGGGAAGGUACAGUAGAAUACAGGGGUGACAGUUGGAAAUAGGCCGAAUGGCGCUACAGUUAGAGAUCGGUUGGUUGGUGCUACAGUCCAGGAUCGGCCGAUGCUACAGUACAGGAUCGGCCGAUGGAUCUUUAGGAAUUCUGCCUCGCUUAACCCUUGGGGUUUGGAUCGGACACGCCUGGUUCCCGAUUGGUUACCUUUUUGACAAUGAGGAAUCGACCGAUUAGGAGGUUGGAAUAAUUGGGCCGGUAUGGGCUUGGAAAGGAUCAGAAGGAUGAAGAGGAAAUCAGCCCAUGAAGCGUAUAAUAACCAACCUAGUACGAGUCGUGCUUGUAAAUAUUCGUUUUCUAUUUGAAUUAGGGAUAGAGUUCUAGUCAGAUAAGGAGUUGUCUAUACGGGGCUAUAAAUAGCCACCUUUGAAGAUCUGUAAUCAUAUCAACUACUCAAUACAACCAAUUACUAUUUCCUCGUACUUACUUUCAAGCAGGCGACGUCGCCAAAUACUUUCUUCUUUUUCACGAGUUCGUACGGGUUGGAAGGGCUGCAUCAACUUGACCUCCGGCCGAUCUUGUAAGUUCCAUUUACCUAGUAAAUUCUAAGCUUUAACUUCGGACGCAUCGCUGUUGUUUCGUUUAGAUUUAUUCACUAGUUAUCGAUAUUUACUAGAAUUGUAGGUUUUACCUAUUUUUCUAGUUUAUCACCAGUUAUCCAACUAGGAAACGGCAGUUUCGGUUUUUCUCAUAUUCUGUUGUUUAAUUUACUUAUUCCAUGCAUAGCCGAUUAGAUCUGUUCCUAGUGUUGCUACUGUAGCAUUGUACCGAUUACUUCAAUUAGUCGUCGUUCACGCUGCCUGAUAGUCGGCUGCUUCAUAGCCGAUUUCUUUAUAACGGCAAAUCGGCCAAUUCGCUGAUAAGCUCCCUCGAGAUCGGAAAUUUAGCCGAUCGUGACUUUUGGAUUUGACACGUAUUCUUCCUUGCCAAUCAACAGGUCAGAUUGGCUGGCACGCCACGCGAACCGCACCAGGGCAAUCACCCGAACAGGAGUUAAGCAGAUUCUCCCGGGUCGUGUGUCAGAUGCUGGGGAUUCGGUUGACCGAUUUCUAGCGCCAACAAGUUGCAAAGAAAGUUCUUGAAAAAUCUCGUACGAUUGUUAAGGAUGACUUUAGUACGAGAGGCCCUAGGGGAUUUUGGGGUUGUUUUUAGGUGGCUAAUACUUAUUGGUUAUCUCGCUAACCUUCCAGUACUUCACCACGUGUAUCAUACGUGCACCGAGUCCGCAUCACGUGUAUGUGAGGGUUGAUAGGGAGUUCUAUUCAAAGGACCCUAUCAUCGCGGUUGUCUCGCCCACGUGCGUAGGUUUCGUAUGUUUAUUCAUACAAAGGGUGGUAUGCCUCGAUUCUAAUGAGCCUAUCAUCACGGUUGUCCGCCACGUCUAUUAUAUGUGUGCUGAUUCCGCAUCAUGAGUAUGCAAAGGGUUAUACGGUUCCAUUCAAAGGGGGCCUAUUUCCACGGUUGUUGUGCUGUCCAUGCAGCCUUGAACGCAUGGGUGCCGUUCCUAUAGUGAACGGUAAUGUUUGGGGACGCUUUCGUGGGUGCUGGCACAAGAGGUUCAUGUGGUUGUGUUUCUGCAGGUACACUAACCGCGUUCGCUAGGAAAUGCUACUAGAACCGACUAGCUACUAUAGGGAGAGAUGUAAUUGUUGCCUUGCCACCGGCACUAACCGCGUAAGACCAAGUUUUGGCAGUUGUUUUGGUUGAGAAACGAGGUAGGCCGUGCUUGCGACAUAAACUAAAAUCUGUAAAACCACCCUCCCCAAAAGCAACCUUGCCUCAGAAAAGCUCUUCUUCGGUUCUAAGGAUUUCUAGUUUUCUUCCAGCUUGUGCUCAGUCAAAUCCGAGUGCUUUUCUGUCCAACCCCUUUCUUCUUAAGAGCUCUAUCUCAUGUUGUUUUGGUUCUUGGUUCCAGAUGGCCGCCCCCGGACACGUUCUGUACGGCGCCGAUGGCAUCUCCCAUUCGACGUGCUUGCACUUCGAAGGUUUUCCCACUAUUCCGUGGGACACCUUGAGGUGGUUCGGUUAUCAGUCUCCACCUUUGUAUGCGGGACGGAUGUACCUGGAGCACGGCGUCCAGAGGUGCAACGUGCAAGCGGUGGUGCCUCCCCCUUCUGUGCGGCCCGAGUGGCCCCAGCUCGGAAUCUCGACAUACGGGCACGCCCUGGAAGAUUCGUGGGAGUCGGCUGCUCUACAACUCCUCACUCAGUUCUGUCAGCUGCACCCGCUAGAGGUCACCCUAGACCCAAUCGGCCUGUUCCCUGCCAGGGAUCGGCUAGACCCAGCGUGGCUUGAUCAUGUCAACAACAUCAAAGUGUUGGCCACAUCCCACUCGAUGGUCACCAUCUCCACCAACAUCAGAUGCAUGUCAGCCCUAUAUCGGCUGAUCGAGCUUCAAGGAUGGGCCAUGGCUGUCUUGGCUCAGAUCGCCGUGGACACCCAGAGGCACUUCAACGCCGCCAAAAGAGACCUGGUGGGCCAAACCUAUCAAAUCAUCCAAAGAGGCAUCCAAAUCCACGACAUGCAAGAUCGAAUCUCCGAACUUGAGGGAGAAGUAACCGAUCUGGUGGAUGGCAUGAUCGAGCUGUCCGAAGAGAAGAUGGAAGUAGAGAUGGAGUUAGCGGUUGCCAAUGUCCAUCUAGACGAGCAUCACGCUAAGCUUGACGACAUGCAUGCCCUUCAGGUGCAGUUGGAGGAGCAAGAAGACCCUGAGGAGGUCGAGGGAGCGGCCAGCAUGGACAUUGAGGAUCACGACGCCCCUUCUCCAACUCACAGUGUUCCCUCGUAGAUGGAGAGUUGUAGGGAGCAAAUAUUUUGCUGUACUCCUCGGCAACCUAAGCUUUGGAUAGUCCUGUAAUAGGUUAGUCUUGAGUUGAGUAUCCCCUGUGUUUUGGGAACAACCGUGUAAUGAUCUCAGUUGAAAUCAGAUCUUAGCCUGACCUUUGACUCCUUUGCAACACGUUUGGGAUGCCAGACGGUGUGAGUUUGUUAUGUGACCACACACCCAUUUUUCUGUGGGUCUGUCCAAAGUUGGGCCGACCCCAGGUCGCGAGGUCGGACGCGCCCGACCCUCGAGGUAGUUCUCCGCCUCGCUCGACCCCUUCUUGUGCGGUUCGUUUCGCCGACCCCUUUCUUGAGCUGUUUCGCCUAGCCCGACCCCUUGGCCUAAGGUCAGAUGUAAUGGAACUCCUGGAAUCUGGUUAUGGUUCGCCCGAAGUCAUGUGCAGAACUAAAAUAGUGCUAACUAAGAUGGCAAGAUGAAAUGUGUAUCUCCUUUAUAAAGCUGUGUUGUGUUGCAUUGUCGGCAAGAGUCGCAUUGAGGAUUUAACAUGUGCGUUCCCAUUUGGUUGGAAUACUUCUGAGGUUAUGGAAUUAAUGGAACGAUGGCUCUUGCAGAUGACACAUCGCACCAGGUCCAGCUCUGUGCCUAGCAGCAGUGAGCAGAGGCAGGAUCUUCCCCCGCCCCCGCCCCCGUCUCCACUGGAGGCAAUCUUAGCGGCUCAAACCGAGCUGCUGAGGCAUCUCGUGCAGGGGCAACAACAGCAGCAGCCCCAUGGGGGAAGGGCUCAGCAGCAGCCUCAUGUUGCUCGCUAUGAGGACUUCUUGGGGACGCAGCCCCCUUUGUUCUAGAAGACGCAAGACCCGCUCAACGCCGACGCACAAUUGAAUCCAAGUUCGAGCUUCUCACCGCCCCGUGCCCUGACCAUAACAAGGCCCGAUUUGCGGCUCAACAGCUACGUGGUUCCGCCUGGCUCUGGUGGGAUCACUACCAUGCCAUGUUGCCGGCCGACCGUGUUGUCAGCUGGAACGAGUUCAAGACUGCGUUCAGAGGGUAUCAUAUUCCGGAAGGUCUCCUGGAGCGCAAGCUCAAUGAGUUCCUGGCUCUUACCCAGGGAAACCGAGAUGUCCUGCACUAUGCCCAUGCUUUCAAUGACAUGUGCCGUUAUGCCGGCUAUCAUGCGGACACAGACGAGAAGAAGCGGGACAGAUUUCGCCGAGGACUAAGUUUGGAGCUCAGAGAGAGGUUGAACCCCAUUAAGGUGGAUACCUACAACGAGUUGGUCAAUUUGGCCAUCUCCCAAGAGGAUUGCAUGCAGGCUCUCAAAGCCGACCAGAAGAUAAAGGCCUCCGUGGCGUUUCCGAGCCAGCUCGCUCGAAGGUUCCGGAUGGUUCCUCCGCAGGCGCCCAGCUGACCCCCGCAGUCGGGAAGAUGGGUUGCCCGACCCCCGCCAGCGGCAGCACCUCAUUUUCCUGGCUUCCAACCACAGGCGCCCCGGCCGACCCUACAGCCACCACCGCGUCCUGCAACUGGUAACCGUUGCUUCACCUGCGGCAAUGAAGGGCAUUUCACUAAGGACUGCCCCAGGAACAGAAAUCAGCAGCCUGGUCAGAACUCCAUGGCGAACAGAGGAAGAAGGCCCAAAGUGCAAGUUCGACAAGGAUGGCUCAACUACACCAGCUUGACCGAACUUCCCGAAGGUGCGCCAGUGAUGACGGGUACUUUCCUUGUCUUAAAUCAAGCUAUUGUUGUUUUGUUUGAUUCGGGAGCCUCCCAUAGCUUCAUCGGGAGUAAGAGUAGAGAAAGAUGUGAGCUAAGUGUCGGUCACACUAAAGGGUCCUAUGUGAUCUCCACUCCUGGAAGGAAGAUAGCCUCAGACCAGAUCGUUACCCUUGUACCUAUCCAGCUAGGCCAGACCCUUUUCAAGGAAAAUAUUAUCAUCCUUGACCUGGAAGUAAUAGAUAUCAUCCUUGGGAUGGAUUGGAUGAUGAGAGACCAAGUGGUUCUAGAUGCAGCUGCCCGAACUCUCCACAUCAACUCACCCUUUCAUGGCAGUUCUACCCUACCCUUGAAACCCCCUAAGUUCGCACUUCCUUGUGCAUACCCUCUAUCGGAAGCCCGGCUAGAAAGCAUCCCUGUUGUUUGUGAGUACCUGGAUGUGUUUCCAGAAGACUUGCACGGCAUGCCGCCCGAUAGAGAUGUGGAGUUUUCCAUAGAGUUGAACCCCGGCACCGCUCCAAUAUCGAAGGGACCCUAUCGGAUGCCACCUGCUGAGCUGGCCGAGUUGAAGACCCAGUUGCAUGAUCUGUUGGAAAAAGGCUUCAUCCGACCCAGCACAUCACCUUGGGGUUGCCCAGCCCUGUUUGUGAAGAAGAAGGACGGGAGUCUACGCAUGUGUGUAGACUACCGACCCCUCAAUACGGUGACUGUCAAGAACAAGUACCCACUCCCCCGCAUUGAUGUCUUGUUUGAUCAGUUAGCUGGAGCAAGAGUGUUCUCCAAGAUCAAUCUCCGCUCAGGUUAUCACCAAAUCAAGAUCCGACCAUGCAACAUCCCCAAAAUAGCUUUCUCCACAAGAUAUGGACUCUACGAGUACCUAGUUAUAUCUUUUGGACUCACCAAUGCACCUGCCUAUUUCAUGUAUCUCAUGAAUUCGGUGUUCAUGCCCGAGUUGGACAAGUUUGUAGUGGUGUUCAUUGAUGAUAUCCUAGUGUACUCGAAGAACGAAAAUGAACAUGCCGAUCAUCUUCAUCUAGUUCUCCAACGGCUGAGAGAUCAUCAGCUCUAUGCCAAGUUCUCCAAGUGUGAAUUUUGGUUAGAUAGUGUCAAGUUCUUGGGACACACUAUCUCUUGGAAUGGCAUAGCCGUCGACCCUAGUAAGGUACAGGAAGUCAUGGACUGGAAGCCUCCCGCCUCAGUGCACCAGAUCCGAAGUUUUCUUGGACUGGCAGGCUACUAUCGGCGCUUCAUACCAGAUUUCUCCAAGAUACCUAAGCCGACAACUGAGCUUCUGAAGAAAGAGGUCAGAUUUGUGUGGAACGAUAAGUGUGAGAAGCCUUCAAGACCCUGAAGCACUUGUUGACCUCAGCCCCGGUUUUGGCUCAACCCGACCCCUCUAGGCCGUUUGACGUGUACUGUGACGCCUUUGGUACUGGACUUGGGUGUGUUCUUAUGCAAGACAACCGAGUCAUUGCCUAUGCCUCAUGGGCGUUACGACCUCAUGAGAUGAACUACCCAACCCAUGAUCUUGAGUUGGCAGCAGUGAUUCAUGCCUUAAAGAUAUGGAGACACUAUCUGAUGGGCACCCACUGCAACAUCUACACCGACCACAAGAGCCUCAAGUACAUCUUCACUCAAGCCGACCUCAACUUGCACCAAAGAAGAUGGUUGGAGUUGAUAAAGGACUAUGAUUUGGAAGUGCACUAUCACCCCGGCAAGGCCAAUGUGGUGGCCGAUGCUCUUAGCCGCAAGAGUUUUUGCAACUGCUUGUCGGCAACAACCUUCACCGAGACUCUGUGUCAUGAGAUGGGAAAACUCAGUUUGGAAAUUGUUUCCCAAGGAACCCUCGGCCACAUAUCUCUUGAGUGUGUUUUGGAAGACCAAAUAGGGUCAGCACAGUUAGAGGAUGAGGAAGUAAGGCAGAUCACAAGGAAGAUUUCAUUGAAGGAUGAAGGGUAUAAACAAUUCCGACAGGAUGAGGCUGGGAAGGUGUAUUAUGGAAUCCGACUUGUUGUACCAGCCGACCCCAAUUUGAGAAAGCAAAUCCUAGAUGAGGCUCAUCUUUCUAAGUUCUCAAUCCAUCCUGGCAGCAAUAAGAUGUACCAUGAUCUCCAUCAAACCUUCUGGUGGAGUGGAAUGAAGCCAGAGAUUGCCUGGUAUGUUUCAGAAUGUGACACCUGUCAACGUGUCAAAGCCAGCCAUCUAAAAGUAGCCGGUACCCAGUAGCCCCUACCUAUUCCCUCUUGGAAAUGGGAAGACAUCAGCAUGGACUUCAUAGUUGGACUACCCCUUACAUCACAGCAACAUGAUUCCAUCUGGGUUAUAGUGGACCGCCUGACCAAAUCUGCCCACUUCCUUCCUGUCCACACCACCCACACGGCCAAGAAGUAUGCAGAGUUGUACCUUGACCGCAUUGUCUCCCUACACGGUGUGCCUAGGACAAUCAUCUCUGAUCGAGGAGUUCAGUUUGUAGCACGCUUUUGGGAACAGCUACAAGCAUCAAUGGGCACCCAGCUCAUUCGCAGCUCAACCUAUCACCCUCAAACCGAUGGUCAGACCGAAAGAGUAAAUCAGAUCCUUGAAGACAUGUUGAGGGCUUGUGUCAUCCAUUAUGACAAAAAUUGGGACAAGUGCUUGCUAUUGGCAGAGUUCUCCUAUAACAAUAGCUACCAGACUAGCUUGAAGAUGGCACCGUUUGAAGCAUUAUAUGGCCGGAGAUGUUUGACACCUUUGAAUUGGUCACAAGCUGGAGAAAGACAAACCUAUAGUCCUGAUCUAGUGGUAGAAGUCGAAGAGCAAGUAAAGGUAAUUCAAGCAAAUCUCAAGGCUGCCCAAUCUCGACAGAAGAGUUACUUUGACAGGAGAAGAAGGCCCCUGCAAUUUGACCUUGGCUUGGUGAUCAUGUGUAUCUUCGGGUCUCCCCGACCAAAGGAGUGCAACGGUUUGGAGUAAAAGGGAAAUUGGCUCCCCGUUACAUUGGCCCAUAUGAGAUUGUGGAAAUUUGUGGACAAGUUGCCUAUCGGAUCCAACUCCCGGAACAACUCUCGGCCGUACAUGAUGUUUUCCAUGUAUCUCAACUGAAGAAAUGUGUCCAAGUCCCAGCCAAGAUCUUAGCGCAAGAGCAACUUCAAAUCGAGCCUGACUUGACCUAUGCCGAGUACCCAGCCAAUGUUCUCGACCAUAAGGAGAGGCGCACCCGACGUCAAGUGGUGAAAAUGUACAAAAUCCUCUGGAGAAACCACACGGAGGAUGAAGCAACAUGGGAGACAGAAGAGUAUCUGAACAAGCACUUCCAAGGUUUUCUUCCCAGCAAAGGAGGUAAGGACUGCACACCCCCACUAGUUACCUCUUACACCUGAAUCUCGGGACGAGAUUCUUUUUAAGGGGGGUAGGCUGUGACGACCGACCCCAAAUCUUCCAAGUUAAUUAACUCCGAGUCCCUAAUCCCCCUCUCAGUUACCCGAGUUGAGUGCUCACCCUCAGUUCUGGUCCCGACCCCCGGUCCCGACCCCAGAGAUCCGACCCCUCUCCGCUGGUUCCCCGUUCCGACCCUGCCGACCCCAAACCCAUACCACCAGAUCCUUCUAAGUCUUUCCACAGUAUCUCUUUUCAAUCUGAGCAGUGGACCAACCAAGACUGACCGGUGGGCCCACAAAAUCUUUUCCCCAGAUCUUCCGAGACAGAUGCACUCGAGUAGCAUGCCCGCCUCAGAGCUUCUCCACCGCGUGGCUCAAGUUCUCCGACACCCGCCGCUCCGCCUCAUCGCCGGCCACGACCGGAUGGAUUCUCGCGCCCCCUUCCCCAAUUGCAGCGGAAGCUCCUCUGCUACCCUUUCUGCAGUACCUCACGGCUCGCGCCCAUCAUCACCCCGCCGGACCCCAGCUGCAGAGCCCGAUGCCUUCCAUCUUUUCCGCCGCCUCUCCACCGUCGCGCCACCCCAGAUGUGCUACGCGACGAUUCCUCCUCCGCCAACCCCGACCCCAGCCGCAACAGCUCCUUUUCCACCCUGUCAGAGCUGCCCCCCCCGACAAUCUAUUGCUUCGCGCUCGCCCGCGUGAUCGCAACCCGCCUGUCUUCUCACCUGUGCGCCCUCGCUUCUAGUGUCGUUCCCCCGGUCACUUCCAUCAGAUCCCCCGCACGACGACACCCGCCUCCACCAAAUCUCAACCACCGGCAAAACCACGCCUGCGCCGCCCUGUCUUCGGUGCUGUCGUUGUCAAGAUUUGCGGAUCAAGACUCUAGACUAGUAAAUUUCUUUUUUGUGCGUAAGGCUUCGGAUGGUGGCGUGGGAGACACGGGAUUAGACUGGUUCGGGCAAAGGAAGCCCUACGUCCAGUAUCGAGGCAGCUUGUGUUACCCACGCGGGGUUCUGUAGUAGGGGUUACAGAUGGGCGAGAGAGGGAAAUGAUCCCAGGUCUCUUGAGUGUGCUUGUGCUCUACGGGAGUGUGAGAGUGUGCUGUUGGCUUUAGGAAAAGAGUUCAAGUCCCCGUCUUGUGACCCCCAGUCCUCCUUUUAUAGCGCAAGAAGGGGCCCGGGGUUACAGUUGAGAUGGGCCUUAGGAGAAUAAGCAGAAAGGAUAAGCCAAAAAGAAAAAUAAUACAAGGGAGGGCCCCGAGGCCGCUGCUCUCACUCCGGCCCCCAGUCCCUGUCAACGCGCCCGACGAGGGAGGGCGAUUCCCUCCUGAUCUUGUCGAUGAUCUCCCUGGUCGCCGUCACUGUCGAAUGUGAUGACGAGCCUCAACCUCGGCAUCCGUGCCCGCCGGGGAGGAGGCCCGAUUCUGUUGUCCCGCCAAUUACCGUAAGACCCGGAUGUCGCGUCCCUGACGCUGCCGUUAGGAGCACGGGGCGCGAGAGCAAGCGAUGCGUCCUCCUGUGUCGUUCGGCGCGGCUCAUGAGUACCCUGUGGCGAAUCAGAAGGAGCCGCGGCUACUGCAGCCCGCGCCGCAUGGCCACGCACCGGUAUUCGUGACUGGUUACGUUGGGGACGCCGCUCCCCUCUUGGCUUUACAGGGCCGUAGCGCAUUUAUGGCGAGGUCGACAGGGGGACCCACGAGAUCGUUAUCCUGAUCCUCAAGCCCACGCCCGAGGAGAAUAUCCGUCUCGUGGACCCGAGUGAGUCCGACCCCCGCGUCCGGGGUCGGGCGAGGCGGAGUUUUUGGGGUGGGGGCCGGGCGCUCCCAACCCCGGUUCCCUGGGUCGGACGAGGCGGAGCCUUGCGGUGAGGGGUUGGGCGUUCCCGACCCUAGGAUCGCGGUCGGGCGAGGCGGAGCCUUGCGGCGAGGGGUCCGGCGCUCCCGACCCUGGGAUCGCGGUCGGGCGAGGCGGAGCCUUGCGGCGAGGGGUCGGGCGCUCCCGACCCUGGGACCACGGUCGGGUGAGGCGGAGUCCCUCCAUCUAGGGGUCGGGAUUGUUUGACCACGGGGACCCGGGUCAGGCGAGACGGAGUGGGGUGUUCUCUGCCUUCACUGGGUCGGAUGUAAUCGUAAUUACCGUAGGUGGGCCGGGGCCUUCAUGACAUUCGCUUUGAGUGGUAUUAGGAUGUCGUUAAUAUUUCCCCCCAACAGUAGCCCUCGAGCCUGUGGUGGAGCAAGAAUGCUCCUCCAGAGGCUUCUUUCAUCGUUUCGCUAGAGAUCUCUGCUCGCCCUGCAAGCUGUGGUUGAUCAAGGGUAGGGAGUCCUCACAUCGCGACCACACGCGUGGUCGUUGGUUGCGACGCUAGCCCCCGAGCCCCCGCGCGUUGCGGGAGACCGAUCGGGAGGCUAGAUCGGCUUUUGAUCGUUAUCCCUCAAACAUUCGUUCGCUGGGACGGAGGGGUUGAGCCAUGCCACGCUAUCCUCGUUGGACGAACCAUGGUGCUCGUUUGAGCUGCGAACGGGUUGGUUCGAGUGGAGUCCCGGUCCCCGUUCGGGGGGGUCGGCUCGGGCCAAGCUGGUGGCGUACUCCAGGCUCCAGCCGGCCAGUUCAUAUAGUUCUCGAGUCCGUUCGGUCGGAUCCGGGGGCUCGUUGCCUUUCCUCAUGGAAAAACCAUGAACUUUGAUGUCGGUUUGGACUCGAACGUGAGUUCGGGACGCCCUUGGAUUUCGCUCGCCUAGGUGGUAGCCGCUAGCGGACCCGUCCCGCCUUACCCCUCGCUCGGGGGAUGUCCUGAGGCAGCUGUCGAACCUGUAGCGGGCCAGCCUUCGAACCUCUGGAUCGUAAUGGGCCGUAGGGGCGUUUCCAGCCCCGUAUCCCUUAUUACCUUUUGGUGGGCCUCGGGCUGAAUCGGGGCGGAUGUUGCGUCUCGGGCCUAAUGUGGGGGUCAUCGCGUGCGCGUCUGCCGAGAGGCGGAGUUAUGGAGGGUGCUGACCCGCGAAUCGAGGAGGGGAGGAUGUCUCUACGGCCGAUUGUGCGCGCGGUCUUCGAAAAGAAAGUGGGCAUGAUGGGGGCGUACCUGGUGCCACAUUUGUGGCGACAAGGGCGUCGGUUCCACUCUCUUCGCGCCUUCCCUAUAAAACGUAGGCUCCGCCUGACUGGUUCCACCUGCCUUCUACUUUCAUGUCUUUUCACCUUCCACACUUGCGCUCAACUCAUCCGCGCCCGCUUCGUCUUCCUCCGCUCAGAGCUACGCCCUUUCUUCUCAUCCCCGUCGAGUUCUCCCCCCCUUCGGCGAUGGGAUCCUGGGGGAUCUCCCACUUCAACUCCUCGCGUGCCGAAGAUCUGGUGAGGAAAGGCCUCCUCUGCGAAAGGACGGAGGUGGGCGAGUGGGAGCUGCCAGGGUUGGAGCAGGUGCCGACGCCUCCCGCCGGCUACGUCGUCUCCUUCGCCCACUUCCACGAGCGGGGAUUCGCGACUCCGCCGAGCCGAUUCUUCCGCGGGCUCCUCCAUUACUACGGUCUCGAGCUUCAGCACCUCAACCCCAACGGGAUCCAGCAUAUCGCGACGUUCGUCGCACUGUGCGAGGGGCUCCUGGGCAUCGAGCCCAACUUCUCGCUGUGCAAGUACUUCUUCACGGUCAGCCUGUACCAGAUGACGGAGAGGAGGGGGAACCAGCAGCGGUCGCCCCCGGUGCCAAUCGGGUACGCCGGGAUCCACCUCCGCCAUACUCACUCCAAGGAGUACAUGGCGAUGAAAACCGCGACGUCCCACAAGGGGUGGCAUAACUAGUGGUUCUACGUGAAGAACUACUCAAACUCCCCCCUGCCAGGAUUCAUCGGCCGCACUAUCGACGUGGCGCCGGAUGUGUGGCCGUAUGGACCGGUCGAGAAGGAGAAGAAGCGGAUCCUCGACCUGCUGCAAGCCAUCGAGCAAUUGAAGAGGAGAGGUCUUACCAGAGCCGGGGUCAUCGGGGCGUACCAUGCCCGGCGGGUGGUGCCGCUGAUGCUCCGGGCUCGUUCGCUCACCGACAUGACUCCGGGCGCGUCGACUGAGGGUACCGUCCUGGCGACAGGUGCGCUCGCCGCCUCCGAGAUCCGACAGCCUAUCCGGGAAGCGUUGGAGGACAAGUACGCCGACUACCCGGUGCCCGGGCACCCGCCAAUGCGCCCGGAGGAGGACUUGGUAAGAAAUUUGUGCGCCGACCUUCUUUUUUCGUGUUUCUUGGUUGUCACUCUGACACGGGGCCACUUCGUGUUCGCAGGGCAUGCUGACUCGAGUUGUGGACUCGCACCCGCCAGUGCCGGAGGAUGCCGAUCGGCGGCUGCAAAACCAUCUCCAUGCUGAGGAGCAGAAACGCCGCAAGGACAAGGAGACGGCGAAAAAGAAGAGGAAGGCCGCCAAGGAGCUCCAACGGCGGCGGCGAGGGCGGGUCGUGUCGGACGACGAAGACGAUGAUGAUGACGAUGAUGAGGAUGAGGAUGAGGAUGAGGAUGAGGAUGAUGAUGAGGAGGAAGAGCUACCUUUAUCCCCUCGGUCGGGUGCGCUCGUAAUACGGGAGGCGCGCCCGCAAAUGGCCGUGAGGGAUGAGGCGGAGGGAUCAUCUGCCCGGGGCUCGGCUCCGCAAGGCUCCGGGGCCAUGCCCCAGGGGUCGGUGUGGAGCGCCCCUUCGGGGUCGAUGCGGCGCCUCCCAGGAGCCGGCGCGGGGCGCCCCCCAGGGGUCGGCGCGGGGCGCUCCUCAGGAGUCGGCGCGGAGCGCUCCACAGAGGUCGUCGGAGCCCGUCCCCACCGUCGUGCAGGAGCCGGCGCGGGGUGCCCCCCAGGAGUCAGUGCGGAGUGCUCCCCGGAGGUCCACGGAGCCCGCCCCCGCCGUCGCGCCUGAGACCCAAGAGCAAAGGAGUGGCGACAAGCGGCCGCUGCUGGAUGCCCCGGAGUCGGCGUCCGGCUCUGAGGCGAAGCGCGCGCGCCGUCCUUGCUCUUGGGGAACGUAAGUUGGAUUUCCUCGUGAACCUCGCUCCUUUCCCCACCUUGCGUUCGUUUCCGCUGACAUCCGUUCAUUGUCUCGCAGCGCCGUCCCCCGUGGCCUCGUUCUUCAGCUGGCGCCCAAAAAGGCGCUGCGGGUGUCGUCCGCCUCUACGGGGCGGACCGUGGUCCCGCCCGCGGCGAGCGGCGGGAUCCCUGGUGCGAUCGCGUGUCCCACCGCGGAAGCGGCCCCCGUGACGGCGACCGGCGGAGUGGCGGCGCCAUCGAGCGCGGGAGAGGGAGUGGACCCCGCUUAACCUUCCGCUUCCCCGGUCAACCCCUUGGUGCAGAGCGUCGCUCCCCAGGGCACUCAGGCCGGGGAAGUGAUCGACCUCGACGCCGACGAGGUGGAGGGAUUGGGGGCGACGGGAAUAGGGACUGAUGUUCCUGCAGCCGCGACGGGGACGACAGCGGUGACGGAGGAGGGAGUGUCUGCCUCCGCGGCUGCGGCGGAGGGGGCAGCAGUGACGGAGGCGGGGACCUCGGCCCCGGAGGUCCCGGCGGAGGUGGCACCGGAGGCGGAGGUGCCCGCUCGAGGGGCUCCAGCAGGGGCGGAGGAGCUCGCCUCGGCGGUUGCAGCGGAAGGCUAGGAGACCGCGGGGAUACUUGUUCCGCCGCCCGCGUCGGAGGCGGUGGCGCCGUCGGGUGGGUCCGCGGCGGCCCCGACAGUGACAAGGACGCAGGCGCCGGGACCGUCGGCGAACCCAGAGGCUUCCGGGUCAACUCCUGCUUCGGCUUUGGCCACUUCCGUCCCCAGGGCAUGGAGGGGGUCUGUCCUGCGUUGGUCGUCCUGUAAGGACCCGCCGAGGCACCUCUUCACCCUGGAUGACGCCGCGGAGUGGCGCAAGUGGCAGGCGGUGCAGGGCAGCCUCGCCAGCGCCCACGCGGCUCUGUCCUCGUUGUUGGGGGAGUUGGACAACGUCGUCCUCCCUGGUAGCCAGGUACGUCACCCCUCCUGUCAGUGAUUGUCCCUUUCCCGUUGCCUUGCCCCUGAUGGUGUAUUGCUUUGUAGGCUCUCCAAGAAUGCAGUUGGGGGAAAUCUGAUUUCCUCCUGUUGGAGCGGGGGCUCUGGGAGCGCUUCAACUUGGAGAGGGAGUGAACUAGGGAGCUAUCCAUGCAGGUUGCUGCCACCCCGGGGGUCAUCAACAACCUGCAAAGGCGCGAGCAAGCGGCGCAGGAGGAGGUGCGGCGGUCGGAAGCCAAACUCCAAGCCGUCGUCGAUAAGGCCCACCUCGACCGCGAGGAACUCCAGGCUGCUGCUGCCGAGAAGGCCCGCCUUGAUGCCGAGGAGCUCGGACGGCUGAGGGGAGAUCUUGAUGCCCUUCAGAAGACUGUUUAGCGCAUCCGGCGCGAGCGGCAAAAGGCCUGGCAGGAGCGGGAUUCCGAGACGGCCUGGAAGAACGAGGUGGAGAAGAUGGUCGGCCAGCUCGGGGCACAGGUGCAGGGGCUCCAGACCGCUGUGUCCCAGGGGGCUGACCGGGAGUGUGAGCUGAAGGCCUGGUCCAACGGUGAGAUUCCUUUUCGUUCCCGUGUCUCCGUGGUGUUGCAGUAAUUUCUAACUUGGUGGGUCUUUCCGGGUGGUUCUUGCAGACAAGAUCACCAGGCUGAGGGACCUACUUGACACGAAGCGUGGUGAGCACGGCGCCCUGCGGGAUGCGGUCCGCGUCGUCUGCGACGGCCUCGGCGUGGUCCAGGGGGAGGGGUCAAGCUCCUUGACGGCUUGUGUCCCCGGGAUGUACCACCGGACCCGCGAGAUCGCCGUGGAUGCGCUCCACACCGGCGUGCAGCGAGCCUUCGGGGUCUUCGGCUCCCAUUAUUCCGGCAUCAACUUCGCCGGGAUGAGCGGAGGAUACGCCGCUGGCUACUCUGAGGCUGAGCUGGAUGAGAUCGACGCGUCCGUGUUCACCCCGGUAGAGACCCUGGCGAAGCUCCUGGAGGAUGAAGCUGUCCCUCCCGAAGAGCCCCCGGCGAGCUAACUGUACCGGGCUGGCGCCCAAGUUGUAAAUAUGUUAGGUUCAAACUCGUUUUGUAAUGGCCAUGGGGGCCUUUUCCCUAACUUAUCGUAAAAAGGUUCUCGAUUCCCUUUCUUGUUCUUUGGACUGGAAAGUUUAGAGUGCGUUGCCGGGGAUGUCAGUAAGCUUUGAUGAGCGAGGGCGCCGUAGCCGCUGGGGCAUAGGUUUUUUCGCAGUUCGAUCAAUCUUGCCUGAACACCGUUCGUGCACUCUCUCCUUUUUAUGCCCAAAAGUUCAAAAAGGGAGGCUCGGUUCAGAAGGGAAAAAACAUUCUUUAGACGGUGCCAAGUGGCUUGAGCUGAAGCCCCUGAUAGCCCCUGAGGGAUAUGCGACCCUGGGGCGAAGCCAGGGUCGGAUAUCCCUGAGCUCGACGGGAAAAACUUGAAAAGAAACGGCUUGAAAUUCCUUUUUCCGCAAAAAGAAAGCUUCGAAUUUAUAGACAAGUCUAUGUACAGAACUUGGAAAUGAAAACUAGGGGUAAGAAUGCCUUAGCUGUUCUAUGUUCCAAGCAUUGUUGAAGAUCUGCCCGUCAGGGGUCGCUAGCUUGUAGGUGCCCGGGCGUAGUACUUGCGUGACGAUGAAAGGACCUUCCCACGGGGGAGUUAGCUUGUGCCGACCCCUGUUAUCCUGGACGAGGCGGAGCUCCAGGUCGCCGACGUUUAAGGCUCGGCCUUGUACCUUGCGGCUGUGGUAACGCCGUAGGGCCUGCUGAUACUUAGCCGAGUCCAGCAGGGUUACGUCUCGUGCCUCGUCGAGUUGAUCUUGUGCGUCUUCAAGCGAUGCCUGGUUCCCUUGUUUGUCGUACGCCUUGACCCUUGGCGAUCCGUAUUCCAGAUUGGUCGGUAGGAUGGCCUCGGACCCGUAAACCAUGAAGAACGGGGUGAAGCCAGUCGCCCGACUGGGGGUUGUCCUCAGGCUCCAAAGGACUGCGGAAAGCUCGGCGACCCACCGUCCGUCAAACUUUUUGAGGUGGUCGAAGAUCCGUUGCUUGAGACCCUAGAGUAUCAUGCCAUUGGCUCGCUCGACCUGCCCGUUCGUGCGGGGGUGUGCCACGGCCGACCAGUCCACUCGGAUGUGGUGGUCGUCGCAGAACUGGAGGAAUUUCUUCCCGGAGAACUGCGUGCCGUUGUCGGUGAUGAUGGAAUUGGGGAUUCCGAAGUAGUGGAUGAUGUCGGUGAAGAACUGUACCGCCUGCUCGGACUUGAUUUGCGCCACCGGUCUUGCUUCAAUCCACUUAGAGAACUUGUCGACGGCGACAAGUAGGUGGGUGAAGCCCCCGGGCGCUUUCUUGAAGGGCCCGACGAGAUCCAGCCCCCAGACCGCGAACGGCCACGUGAUGGGGAUGGUCUGUAGCGCCUGCACGGGCAGGUGAGUUUGGCGCGCAAAGAAUUGGCACCCCUCACAGGUGCGGACUACCUGGGUAGCAUCGGCGACCACCGUCGGCCAGUAGAAACCUUGCCGGAAGGCAUUGCCGACGAGGGUCCUUGGCGCGGCGUGGUGACCGCAGGCUCCGGCGUGGAUGUCUUGGAUCAGUGCCUUUCCCUGUUCGAUCAGGAUGCAGCGCUGGAGGAUGCCGGUGUGGCUUCUCUUGUAGAGCUCCCGAUCGAUAACGGUGAAGGAUUUGGCACGACGCGCGAUCCUACGGGCCUCCGUUUUGUUUGCCGGGAGCGUGUCGCAGACGAGGUAGUCGAGGUAUGGGGCUCUCCAGUCGGCUGGGGGGUCGGCCCCCACCGCGGGGUCUACCACGAUUUCCAUAACCAUGGGGCCGGAGGGAUCGGCUUUCGGGGCCGAGUCGGGCGAAGCGAUGCGGACCCUGUCGUGGCUGGUGUCUGGGCCUGGGACGAGAGGCGCGCUGCCGACCUCCCCUUGGUUGGGGCCCGACCCCGGGGCUGAGGGCGCUUCGCCGACCCUCGCCGGCUCUGGGUAGCGGAUUGAAGGCUUGAACUGGUCACUGACGAAGAUGCCGUCGGGGACGGGCAUUCGGCCGGAUGCUGCCUUCGCCAGCUCGUCGGCGGCUUCAUUGAAGCGCCUUGCGACGUGGUUGAGCUCCAGCCCGUCGAACUUGUCUUCAAGCUUGCGAACCUCGUUGCAGUAGGCUGCCAUCUUGGGGUCGUGGCAGCUCCACUCCUUCAUGACUUGUUUGACGACUAGCUGGGAGUCGCCCCGGAUGUCUAGCCGAUUGAUGCCCAGCUCGAUGGCAAUGCGAAGCCCGUUGAGGAGGGCCUCGUACUCAGCGACAUUGUUGGAUGCAAGGAAAUGAAGGCUGAUCAUGUACCUGAUGCGCACGCCUAGAGGAGAGACGAAGAUGAGAACCGCUCUGGCACGGGCCCUCAUCAGCGACCCAUCGAAGUACAUCGUCCAGUACUCCUGCUUCUCCGGCGUCGAUGGCGUUUGAAUCUCCGUCCACUCUGCCACAAAAUCAGCGAGUACGUGGGACUUGAUGGCGGUGCGGGGGGCGUAGGUGAUGCCCUGGUCCAUGAGCUUGAGCGCCCACUUCGCGAUCCGUCCCGUGGCGUCCUGGUUCUGGAUUACUUCACCUAGUGGGAACGAUGAAACAACCGUUACCGGGUGGGAGGUGAAGUAGUGGCACAGCUUCCUCUUCGUGAUGAGGACGGCGUAGAUGAGCUUCUGGAUCUACGGGUAGCGCGCCUUGGAUUCGGAGAAGACUUUGCUGAUGAAAUACACCGGGCGUUGCACCUUGAGAGCGUGUCCCUCCUUUUCUCGUUCCACUACCAGGGCCGCGCUAACCACCUGGGUGGUCGCCGCGAUGUAGAGCAGGAGGGGCUUGCCGUCAGUCGGCGGGAUCAGGAUUGGGGCCUUCGUCAGGAGGUCCUUGAGCCGGUCAAGUGCCUCCUGGGCCUCACCGGUCCAUUCAAAGCGGUCAGUCUUCUUCAGGAGUCGAUAGAGAGGAAGCCCCCGCUCACCAAGGCAUGAGAUGAAGUGACUCAGGGCCGCUAAGCAUCCCGUGACGCGCUGAACUCCCUUUAUGUUCCGGAUUGGCCCUAUGUCGCUGAUGGCUGCUAUCUUCUCCGGAUUGGCUUCGAUGCCGCGCACGAAGACGAUGAAGCCUAACAGCAUGCCCCUUGGGACUUCAAAAACACACCUUUCGGGAUUGAGCUUAAUACGCUUAUCCCUCAGCCUUUCGAAGGCUAGUUCGAGGUCGGGGACGAGCUGGUCGCCCCUCUUGGAUUUGACUACGAUAUCGUCAACGUAAGCCUCAACGGUCCACCCGAUGAGGUCCCCGAAACAUUUCAGCAUGCAUCGCUGGAAUGUAGCCCCCACGUUUUUGAGGCCGAAUGGCAUCUUAACAUAGCAGUAGGGGCCGAAGGGGGUGAUGAAAGAGGUAGCGAGCUGGUCGGACUCUUUCAUCGCGAUCUGAUGGUAGCCGGAAUACGCGUCAAGGAAGCUAAGGGUAUCGCACCUGGCGGUUGAGUCGACUAUUUGAUCUAUGCGUGGCAAAGGAAACGGAUCCUUCUGACACGCUUUGUUGAGACCGGUAUAAUCAACACACAUCCUCCAUUUCCCAUUCUUUUUUCAUACAAGAACAGGAUUAGCUAGCCACUCGGGGUGGUACACUUCCUUGAUGAAUCCGGCCAUCAAAAGCUUCUGGAGCUCCUCGCCAAUGGCCUUGCGCCUCUCCUCGUCGAAGCGGCGUAGUCCUUGCUUCACUGGCUUGGAGCCGGCCUUGAUGUUCAAGGAGUGCUCGACGACUUCUCUUGGAAUGCUGGGCAUGUUCGAGGGCUUCCAUGCGAAGACAUCGCUGUUCGCGUGGAGGAAGUCGACGAGCACGCUUUCCUAUUUGGGGGAUAGGGUAGCGCCGAUCCGCACGGUCCUGCCGUCGGAGCUGCUGGGGUCGAGGUGGACCUCCUUGAUGCCUUCGAUGGCCUUGAAUGAGGUGGCCGACUGCUUGGAGUCGGGCUGGUCCUCGGCGCCCUCCGCGAGCUGGACCGCUAGAUCUCCUGUGAAGGAGAUGGCUGCGGCAUACUCACAGCAUUCCACGUCGCACUCAUACGCCUUCUGGAAAGACGUGCCUAUGGUGAUGACCCCGUUGGGCCCCGGCAGCUUGAGCUUGACAUAGCUGUAGUUGGGGAUGGCCAUGAACUUCGCGUAGCAUGGCCGCCCCAAGAUGGCGUGGUAGGUUCCGCGGAACCCCACCACCUCGAAGGUGAGGACCUCCUUCCUGUAAUUGGAGGGGGUCCCGAAAGUAACGGGCAAGUCGAUUUUCCCAAGAGGCAUCGCCUGUUUUUCCGGCACGACACCGUGGAACGGCACCUUGCUGGGACGGAGGCGGGAGCGGUCAAUCCUCAUAGCAUCGAGGGUCUCGGUGUAGAGGAUGUUGAGGCCGCUGCCUCCAUCCAUGAGCACCUUGGUGAGGCGCGUCGUGCCGACGAUGGGGUCGACGACGAGGGGGUAGCGUCCUGGAUGCCGGACGCGUCCCGGGUGGUCGGACCGAUCGAAGGUGAUGGCCGGUCCCGACCAGUCGAGGAAGGCCGGCGUUGCCGGCUCGGCCGCGUAGACCUCUCGGCACUCCAGCUUCUGCUGGCGCUUGGAGUCGUACGCCGCCGGGCCGCCGAAGAUCAUGAAGCAGCCGUCCACCUUGGGGAAGCCAUCUUCCUUCUCUUCGUCGCCCUUCUUCUCUUCAUUGGGCUUCCGCUUCCGGUCGCCCUUCACUGGAUUACCUACAAAGUACCUCUUCAUGAGGUUGCAGUCUUUGUAGGCGUGCUUCGCGAGGAACUCGUGGUUCGGGCACGGUCCCUCAAGCAAUUUGUCGAAGAAGCCAGGAGUGCCCUCCGGGGGUGGCUGUCCUCGCUUGCGCUCGACAGCAACCACGAGGGGAGCCUCGCGCUGCUGUUUGCCCUUCUUCUUCUGCUAGCGGUUGGAGGUGCCUUCGUCAGCAUCCUCCUCCCACUUUGCGUUGCCUUUGGAGCGGUCGAAGAUCGCUCCAACAGCCUCUUCGCCCGAGGCGUAGCUGGUGGCAAUGUUGAGGAGCUCCUCCAUUGUCUGUGGGCCUCGGCGCCCUAGCUCGUGGAUAAGGGGUCAGCAGGAGGUUCCCGCUAAGAAGGCCCCUAUGAUGUCGGCGUCCGUGAUGUUGGAGAGCUCGGUGCGCUUCCUCGAGAAGCACCGGAUGUAGUCCCGGAGGGACUCAUCCAAUCCCUGGCGGCAGCUCCAGAGAUCCUAGGAGUUGCCGGGGCGCGUGUACGUGCCCUGGAAGUUUCCUAUAAAUAUCUCCUUCAGGUCGUUCCAGCAGCGGAUCUAUCCCGAAGGGAUAUGUUCCAGCCAGGCUCGUGCCGAGUUGGCCAGGAAGAGUGGUAGGUUGCGGAUGAUGAACAGAUCAUCGUCCGUCCCGCCGGCUUGACACGCGAGCCGGUAGUCACUGAGCCAAACCCCAGGGUUCGUCUCCCCCGAGUAUUUGGCUACGUUGGUCGGCUGCCUGAAGCGCGGCGGGAAGGGCGCGUUCAGGAUGCGCGCGGAGAAGGCCCGGGGCCCCAUCGGGUCGGGGCUCGGGCUGCGGUCCUCCUUGCUGUCGUAGUGCCCACCGCGGUGGACGUGGUAGCCGCGAUCUACCCCAUCCUCCCUAUCCGCGUGGGAGCGCCUCCGCACAUCCAGGGUGUCGCGGGCAUCGCGGACGGGUCCGACGCGUCGAUGAACGGAUCGAGCCCCACCUCCCGCGGGUGGGGGUGUCCGCCGGGCGGACGCGGCCUGGUUUGCCCUAGGAGGAGGCUGGUGGACAGACUCCCCGCAUCUCUCCGAGGGCGCAUCGGGCGCCGCCCUGCUGGCGUUUUGCCCGCGUCGCCGGGACGCGGAACUUUCCACCUGCUGGACGGCGGCGCAUUCGAGCAAGUCGCGCAUCUCUUGGCGCGCCCGUCGCUCCUCGGGCGUCGCCGGCUUGAGGAGUUGCCGGAGUAGGGCCGCCGCGGCUACGACGUUCUGGCUGGCGCGAGCGAAGAGCUGAGGACGCUCUUCAUCUGCGCAAAUGCGCUGCUGGACGUCGCGCGCCCGCUGUCGCGCUCCACCUUCGUGGCGGGGGCACUCGUCCUCCUGGCGGGACGCUGCGCGCGCCUCCGGCUGCCGAAGGCGCUCCGGUGCCCUUGGCAAGGCCCCGGUCGUGGCCGCGGCACGCGUGGGGGGGAGUCCUCUGUCUCCCUUCGGCGCCGUCAUCGUUGGACCCCUUGGAGUGUACUUCGGCCAUGAAGCACUCACGCAAGGGGUGGCGGCUCCCGCUGCUGGAGCUGGCGUCAGAGAUCAUCCUCGCCAUGCCCGCGGGCUUGUUGCUCGCCGGCGACACGGUCAUGGACCGCGUCAAGAGACGACUGUAAGUCACCGAGGCAUUGUGUAGCCCGAAGAGCCGACCACCUAGGAGGGGCCCUUCGGCGCGCGCCUGGCCGCUCGCCGUUGUCCCGGUGGCGGGGCCGGGGAUGGCGGGACGAGCGGGCAAGACAAGGAAAGGGAUCAGCUCGAUCCCCUCCCCGGUGGCGAGGAAGUCCAGACUCCCAAAGCGGAUCAGGGAGCCCGAAGCGAAGCUGGUGUUGUGGUUGGCCAUCUGAAGCUGGAGAUGUACGCGCAAAGGUCCCCUACCUGGUGCGCCAACUGUCGUUGUCAAGAUUUGCGGAUCAAGACUCUAGACUAGUAAAUUUCUUUUAUGCGCGUAAGGCUUCGGAUGGUGGCGUGGGCGACACAGGAUUAGACUGGUUCGGGAAAAGGAAGCCCUACGUCUAGUAUUGAGGUAGCUCGUGUUACCCAUGUGGGGUUCUGUAGUAGGGGUUACAGAUGGGCGAGAGAGGGAAAUGAUCCCAGGUCUCUUGAGUGUGCUUGUGCUCUACGGGAGUGUGAGAGUGUGCUAUUGGCUUUAGGAAAAGAGUUCAAGUCCCCGUCUCGUGAACCCCGGUCCUCCUUUUAUAGCGCAAGAAGGGGCCCGGAGUUACAAUUGAGACGGGCCUUAGGAGAAGAAGCAGAAAGGAUAAGCCAAAAAGAAAAAUAAUACAAGGGAGGGCCCCGAGGCCGCUGCUCUCGCUCCGGGCCCCGGUCCCUAUCAACGCGCCCGACGAGGGAGGGUGAUUCCCUCCUGAUCUUGUCGAUGAUCUCCCUGGUCGCCGUCGCCGUCGAAUGUGAUGAUGAGCCUUAGCCUCGGCAUCUGUGCCCACCGGGGAGGAGGCCUGAUUCUGUUGCCCCGCCGAUUACCGUAAGACCCGGACGUCGCGUCCCUAACGCUGCUGUUAGGAGCACGGGGCGCGAGAGCAAGCGAUGCGUCCUCCUGUGUUGUUCAGCGUGGCUCAUGAGUACCCUGUGGCGAAUCAGAAGGAGCCGCGGCUACUGCAGCCCGCGCCGCACGGCCGCGCACCUGUAUUCGUGACCGGUUACGUUAGGGAUGCCGCUCCCCUCUUGUCUUCACAGGGCCGCGGCGCAUUUAUGGUGAGGUCUACAGGGGGACCCACGAGAUCGUUAUCCUGAUCGCACAUCUAUUCCUCUAGUCUAAGGGUCAAAUCAUAAGCUUCUUUCCAUCCGACCCUUUUACCUUGUUCUUCUCCAACUCAAGUGAACUUCCUCACUUUUCCCAUAGCCUUGCUACAAUGUUCUGAGCUAGAACUCGCAAGUGUUGCUGUUGAAAUAAUCGUCUAAAUGCUAACCCCCUGCAUUGCAUUUCGUGUAGAGUUGCAUCUCGCCGACGGCUUCUAUGAGCUGCACCUUCCGCCAGAAGACGAAGCUGCAACCGAGCUCCCGCUUCCAGAAGCCGAAGCCGCCCAAGCAGAAGAGCAGCUUUCCCCCUCCUUGUUUGGAGGCAAGCCCCGGAGCAUGAACCCCAAUUUCCCAAACUUGCGCAUGCCUUCUGCAUCUUGUUUGUGCAUUUAUGUAUAGGAGUUGUUUGCAACCAUAGAUGCAUGACUUAGAUCCCUGGAGCUGAACACUAGUCUGUUGGGUCCGAGUAGUUGCUAUGCUUAAUAAGGAGCGGUAAAAGCUGAGUGAUUUCCUGUCACUCGCGAGUUGUAGGAGUUGGGUGGUUCUCCUUCUGUUACAACUAUAAGGACGAUGGAUGGGGCAGGGUUUGGUUAACUCUUUGGUGGUCGGCUGAUCACCCCGUCUGUCCAUGGAACUUGUUAAGGACCAACAGUGGUGGUGUUCGUGAUCAAGUGUUUGAAAGUACUAACCUCGUACUUAUUAUGGGAUGAGGAAGUCGAGUACCAGAUUGAACCUAAAUGUGAGCGGUCGCCCCAUUGUCCUUGGAACGGAGUUUCCCCUGGGGCCGCACGUGGUGGCAAGUAUGGUCACAGAACGGCAGAGGCCGGGUCUGUGGAACAUUGCACCAAAGGAAAUGGGCCCGACACGGGUUAGGGAAAUGAUUGGGAAGGCCGACACAGGAAGCGACCCUCGGUGGUGCGCGGAUGUGGUGAGGUUAGGUUCACCAUGCAUGGUUAAAGAACUCGAAUUGAUUCGUCUGCCUCUCACAGUUUGAGACUACUUGAUCGCUAUGCUACCCUGAGUAAUAAAGGAAUCUAAUGAUGACAUGGUCUCAAUGAUGAUAUAUAUACCUUUUGGUUGGUUCUAUGUUUGCUUAGAGUAAGUUGCUAACUUAGACCGGAUAAUGAACUUAGAACCUGAGCUAAAACUUGAAAAUAGGGAUCUACAUAGUGCUUUUGGCAAACAACCCCUCAGCCAAAGAGCCUUGCAUGUCUAGAAGUGGUGGAGUAGUUACUCCCGGUCGGUUAAAUCUUGUUGAGCUUAGUAGCUCAGCCUUGUUGUGGCUUUUCUUUUUCAGGUGAAGCCGCUGCUCCCGAGUCUUCUUCUGUUGGCACCGUGCCGCCCCAACUCCCUCCGGGUUGGACGGUCGAGUGGGAUCCUUCCUCGGACGGCGAGGAGAAGGAUCACUGACGUCUUGGCUGGCCUCACCAAGGACGUCCGACCCCUUGCAUUUAGCUUCCGCUGUUUUACCUUAUGUUGUUUCCUUUGAGCCGUGUAAAACUUUGUUUUCAUUUUGUUGUUGAGCUAAAUGGCCAAAUUUGUUCAACUCAGUGGACUUGUUGUAUUCUCUGGAACCGCUCACCUUCGUGUGAGUUUGCUAACUCGGUCCUAUUCAAGUGGUUAAAUCGGAUGAAAUCCGACAGCACUUCGUGUUAACUUGGCUAAGGCAUGAGUGUUGCGUGUUAGGCGACUUAACCAUGUUUAAUCAAGCUAAUCCGAAGUGGAUCCACCACAGUACCACUCUUCGUACGCCGGAUUGGAGACCUUGGCCUGCUUGUCGGUCACCUUGCUAUCAAUCUCGACGGGGGAGCUGCUGCGACACCAGUAAGGCACCCCAUCAGGCGUGCACCUCGGACGGUGGUGAGGACUUACACCUUCCACAUGGUGUGGUUGUUCUUCGACAGCUUCUCAGUGAUGACGAUGCCUACUAGAGGAUUCAUGGCUCUGAUUACCAUGUGAAAGUCAGAGGUGCAAUUGGAUGGGUGGAACGCCAUGACCUUCUUCUGGCUGAUGAUGCAUGUUAAUAUAGGUGAGGAAACUCCCCUCACUUGGAUUACAAGACAUCAUGGAUACGGUUAGUUGUGAUUCGACUAGAGAUAGAGAUACAAAUUACAAUAGCCUUAUCUAUAAGAUUCUACUCAACAAACCUAUCCAGCCAAACCCAACAUACUGCACACAUGUUUGUUACAAUUCAUUGUUACAAAUAUAUCUAACAAGGUCAACUCAAUCUCAUUGGCCCAGCCCAACGACAAAACAUCACCCCGGCCUUGCGACUAUGAGCCAUCGCAGACGCACCCUUCCGCUCUCUGCAAGUGGGCCUGCCUAGGACAGUUCUUCUUCCUCGUAGCGGCAGCGAUGGAGUUCGGGGAGGAGGGGCCCGCGGGGAUUCCAACACUGCCUACCUUAGAAGAAGAGGUGGAGGGCAGUAGGGAAGCCUGGAGGUGGAGGUGCAUUGCCUGUGUUACCAAUUGUUUUCCUAAGAUGGCUUGACUACAUACUACCGUCUAACCAUAAGGUCUUACUAGUAGGUAUCCCAUUCAUUUUUGUACAAAAAAAACCAUGUGAUCCCCUGAAAUACUAGCAUAUUUCAGAUCUACAACUAAUGACCAGCAUCUAAGCUAAAGGUCUUACAUAUUUGUUGUCCAUGUGAACUUAAAAAAAAGUUUUGAUCCACUUGAAGAUCGGCAUCUUGAGGUCUAUGCUUAUCUAUUGGCAUCUAUCCAAUGGGUGUUACUUAUUUGUUUCAAUAUGAUAACAAGUAUGCAAACAAAUAUCCGUGAGAUAUAACGUGCUUCAAUGCAGUGGAAAGUAUAAUGAUAACACUACUAGAGAACUGACUUUAGAUCCCAACCCCUUUAGUCUCAGUUUAAUUUCAGCUCGGGAGAAAAGGGGGUGCGCCACGGUAGGCUGGAAUGGGACAACCUUUACUCUCAGUUCUUUUUUUGCAACCGGGACUACAGGCCACCCUUUAGUCUCGGUUAAAACGGCUAGUUGCCGGGCACCGACGGCGCCACCCUUUACCCCCGGUUGGAGCCACCAACCGGGACAAAAGAUCCAACCUUUUGUCCUGAUUGGAUUUACCAACCGGGAUAACAGGUUUACUCCCAGUUGGUAAUUCCAACUGGGACAAAAGGUUGGAGCUUUUGUCCCGGUUGGCAUUACCAACCGGGAGUAAACACCAACCGGGACAAAAGAUUAGAUCUUUUGUCGCGGUUAGAUUUACCAAUCAAGAUAAAAUCUUAUCUACAAGAGGCCUUUCUUCCUCCUCCACUCCUCCAGCCCAAGCCACUCUACUCCACAAAGACAGAGAAGCUCAUCCUCUCCAUGGGGCUGAAGCAAGCAUAGGGGAGGUGCUGUUGAAAUUUUUUUCCUCAUUUUCAUGAGGAUUUCACUCAUCCAAAGUGUUGUGAAGGUUAGCUACUUCAUGCUCUGUUCAUUUAUUGUUUGUUAAGCUUUGUUUUAUACUUUAGAGAGGGAGAAAAAUGAGUUUGUUUGCUGUUAAGCACGUAGAGGAUUUGUAUUUAUACAUGUUUUUGAGCUACAAUGUGAUGGAUAGUUUGAAUGUGAGGGAGAAUGGACAGUAAAUGUGAGGUAGAAUUGAGAUUAUUUCAAUUUUAUGUAUUAUAGAAAAAUUAGAGUAAAUGUGUUUUUAAUACUUAUAAAUUAGCCAUAUAAAUUGUAGGUGUAAUUUCAUCCUUUAGUACUUUUCAGAUAGAGGUAUGGAAUUAGCCAUUUUUAGAAUAAGUACAUUAUAUGGGAAAUAUUGAAUUUUUUAAUAGUUUAGUUAUUUGUAAUUAAAUAUGAGCUAAAUAAUUUGUGUAUUUCUAUGUAAACUUUCCACAAUAUUUGAGUUUGUCACAGUGUAUCAUGUUGUUUGCUUCUGAAAUUUUAAUUUGUGUAUUUCUAUCUAAAAUUUUAGCAAUGUGAUGGAUAGUUUUAUUGUAAUCCAUUUUAUUGAUGCCUUGUGUAAUACGAUGUAGAUGGACCGGCAAUGGAUGUAUAAUGCGGACAGGCGGAGCAAGGUGUUUAUUGCUGGCAUGAAUAAUUUUCUUGAAGUGGCCAAAACGAACAAGCCAGAGAACGAGUUCAUAUCUUGUCCAUGCGCCCAAUGCAGUAACCAGAAGUGAUAUUCAAAGGCUUGCUGGGGUACUAUUCACAACCACUUAGAUACGGUUUCAUGUCCAACUAUUUGGUUUGUACCCAUCAUGGUGAAAGAGGGGUUGUAAUGGAAGAUGGAGAAGAGGAGGAGGAUGAUGACAACAUUCCGGACUGCGCUAUAGGCCAAUCUUUUGUAGAUACUACAAUGGGUGAGGUUGAUGAAGAUGAGUUUGCAGAAGAUGGCCAUACCAGUGACCUCGGUCAGGUGCUUAGGGAUGCACACAGAGAUUGCGAAACUCAGAAGGAAGCAUCAAAGUUGCAGUGCAUGAUAGAUGAUCACAGGAAAUUGCUACACCUAGAUUGCCAGGGAGGCCAUAAAAAACUGGGUACCACACUAGAAUUUAUGCAAUGGAAGGCCAAAAAUAGUGUAUCUGAUAAGGCAUUUCAGGGGAUGUUGGAAAUUGUCAAGAACAUUCUUCCCAAGAAUAAUGAAUUUCCAUCCACAACAUAUGAUGCUAAACAGAUUGUUUCCCUUCUAGGAUUGGAGGUUCAGAAGAUACACGCAUGCCCUAAUGAUUAUAUCCUUUAUCACCGUGCUGAAUAUGAGGAUCUGGAUGCGUGUCCCGUGUGCGAAGCGCUGUGUUAUAAGAUUAGGCAAGAUGAUCCUAGUGAUGUCGAGGGGCAACCUCCUAGGAAGAGAGUUCCCGUGAAAGUGAUAUGGUAUUUCCCUAUAAUACCACGCUUGAAGCACUUGUUCAGAAAGAAGGUGAACGCUAAGUUGAUGCGAUGGCACAAAGAAGAACGUAAGGAAGAUAAGAUGCUGAGACACCCCGUUGAUGGGGCUCAGUGGAGAUCAAUUGAUAGAGCAUUCCUGGAGUUUGAAGGUGAUCCAAGGAACAUAAGGUUUGGUUUAAGUACCGAUGGAUUCAAUCCAUUCGGUGAGUUGAGUAGUGGUCAUAGCACUUGGCCUGUAACCUUAUGUAUGUUUAACCUUCCUCCUUGGAUGUGUAUGAAACGGAAGUUCAUUAUGAUGCCGACGCUUAUCUAAGGCCCAAAGCAACCCGGCAACGACAUUGAUGUGUACCUAAGACCGUUGGUUGUUGAACUUUUACAGCUUUGGAAGGAAGAAGGUGUACGUGUGUGGCAUGAGGAUAAACAAGAGAUGUUUAACUUGCGAGCACUGUUGUUCGUAACCAUUAAUGAUUGGCCUGCACUAAGUAACCUUUUGGGAUAGACAAACAAAAGAUAUCGAGCUUGCACCCACUGCUUAGAUGACACAGAUAGCAUGUAUUUGAAGCAUUGUAAGAAGGUAGUCUAUAUGGGUUAUCGUCGAUUUCUCCAUGCUCACCACCAGUUGCGAGAAAGCAGGAUGCAUUUCAAAGGGGCGCCAGAAACUCAUAAAAAACCUUUACAUCGUAAUGGAAAAUGUGUUUUUGAGAUGAUAAAGGAUGUAAGGGUAGUAUUUGGAAAACAUCUUGGUAGCCAACCUGUUCCGAACGACGAUGACGGAUGUGCAGCCAUGUGGAAGAAGAAGUCAAUAUUUUGGGAGCUACCUUAUUGGUAAACCCUAGAUGUCCACAACGCAAUAGACGUGAUACACCUGACGAAAAAUCUUUGCGUGAACAUGCUAGGUUUUCAUGGGUGUUUAUGGGCCCUCAAAAGAUACACUGGAAGCACGACGGGACCUUAAAGAAAUGGGGCAACGGGAUGACCUACAUCCGAAAAAGAGAGAUAACGGACAGCACUACUUACGUCCUGCUAGUUACACUCUCAGCAAGGAAGAGAAGGAUAGCAUGUUUGAAUGCUUGAAUAGUUUGAAGGUCCCGUAUGGGUACUCAUCGAAUAUAGAGAGAAUAAUAAAUAUGAAAGAAAAGAAGUUCACAAAUCUCAAGGCCCAUGAUUGCCACAUGUUGAUGGCCCAGUUGCUUCCGGUUGUAUUGAGGGGUGUUCUACCAGAGAAUGUUCGAUUGCCACUCGUAAAGCUAUGCGCGUUUCUCAAUGCGAUUUCACAGAAGGCAAUCGAUCCAUUGAAGCUAACAAAGCUACAGAACGAUGUGGUACAAUGUCUUGUCAGCUUUGAGUUGGUAUUUCCACCAUCUUUCUUCAAUAUUAUAACUCACCUUCUGGUUCACCUAGUAAAAGAGAUUAAUAUUCUCAGACCAGUAUACCUGCUCAAUAUGUGGCCUUUCGAGAGAUUCAUGUCAGUCCUUAAAAAAUAUGUUCUUAAUCGUGCCCGUCCAGAAGGAAGCAUCACCAAUGGAUAUGGAACAGAGGAGGUGAUUUAGUUUUGUAUUGAUUUUAUUGACUCAAUUGACCCGAUUGGGAUUCCAACUUCACGCCACGAGGGGAGGCUGCUAGGAAUGGGCACCCUUGGAAGGAAAGCAUGUUUGAGCAAUGAUACUGAUUUGUUCAACAAGGCACACUACACUAUUUUACCGCAGUCAACCUUUGUGGCUCCAUAUAUCGAGCAGCACAAGCAAAUGUUAGUUUCCAAAAACCCGGCGAGAUCCGAUGCCUGGCUUACAAGAAGCCACGUGGAAACUUUUCCCUCCUGGUUGCGCAAACAUCUUAUGGGUAACUCUGAGAUUCACCCACAGCUUGCUUGGUUAGCCAGGGGACCUUCUAGCCCAAUCGUGAAAUUCUAAGGCUACGAGAUAAAUGGUUAUACAUUUUACAUGAGAGCCCAAGACUAGAUAAGCACGAACUAGAAUAGUGGUGUCCGCAUAGAUGCCAUUGGCAGAAAUAGUAGCAUGGACUCUUAUUAUGGUUUCAUAGAGGAGAUGUGGAAAAUCGAAUACGGACCGCUGUGCAUCCCUCUAUUUUGUUGCCAAUGGGUGAAGCUAAAUGGCGUAACCAAAGAUCAGUAUGGAAUGACAAUAGUGGACCUUAGCAAGACUGGAUACAGUGAUGAACCAUUCGUACUUGCCAGUGAUGUGCAUCAAGUUUUCUAUGUGAAGGACGUGUCUAGCAAACCCAAGAGAAAUCUAGAAGAUCCAUGGGAGCUAAAGCGCCACAUAGUCCUUCCAAGUAAAAGAAAACUUGUGGGAGUCGAGGACAAAACAAACCAUUCGCUGUUGAAGUUGACCCUAGCAUCCUGCUAUCCAAAGAAGAGGUUCCGUACUUGCGCCGUGAUCAUGACCAAGGAACAGUCGUGAAGAAGUUUUUUAAUGUUACAUUGUAAUGCGCUAAAUUUUCUUCACAUUUAUGAUUAAUUUCAUGUACUACUUGAUCCAAUUUCAUAUGUGCUUAAAUUAGUUGUUUUCGCGCGUAUAAAUUAUUUAAUUGAUAAUUUCUUGAUGAUAGUGAUGCAGUAAAAUAAUUAUUUAAAAAGGUAAUAUAACUAGUGUAGAAUUAAUGAGUCAUUCAAACUUAUUAUAAAUAUAAUUGCUAAUUAAAUAUAUUUUUGCAUGUUCGAAAUAUGUAAAGUUUUAAUUUUUGCUGUAUGAAAUCCAGUAAAAACAUAAAAAAAUAUAUUUCCAAAAAAGAAGAGGGAGAUGAGAAAUGGGAGAGGGACCGUUUAUCCUGGUUUGUAAGGUCUUUUUAUCUCGGUUUGUAAUUAGAACCGGGAUAAAAGGGUAAAUUUCAGUUUCCGCCUGGACGUGACCUUUUAUCCGGGUUCGAUUUACGAACCGGGGGGUUGCCCUUUUAUCCCGAGUGCGUCAAAAUCGGGAUAAAAGGGCAGGCCUUUUAUCUCGGUUGCUUACAAACCGAGAUAAAAGGGCAGGCCGUUUAUCUCAGUUUGUAAGAAGAACUAAGCUUAAAGGUCCAUUUCUUUCGAUUCAUCUUACAAACCGAGAUAAAAGGUAGGGGGUGGAUAAAAGUAAUUGGCGUUUCUACUCCCCCCGCACCCGGUAACUUAGUGAAAUUUUUACUACUCUCUAGCCUCCGCAUCGUCUCCGUCGCUGGCUCCGUAGGCAUCACACAGCUGCCUCCAUCCCCAUCGCCGCAUCAUCUCCGUCCGCGCUGUCGUCCUCCGCCUCAAUCCGCGUCGCCGUUCGUCGUCGUCCGCGAGCCAUGUCCUCUCCUCCAUCUGGUGCCCCGUCCUCUCCUCCAUCCGGCGCCCCGUCCUGCCUCCUCCGCCUGGUGCCCCGUCCUCCCUGCUCCGUCCACGCACCUUGUCCUCCCUCCUCCGUUCGGCACCUCGUCCUCCCCUCCUCCAUCAGAUGCCCGUCCUCCCUCGUCCUCCGUAUAAAUUUGGCAGUGAUGCAAGACUUUUUUAUUUAUUUUUUUCUAGUUAUAAAAUUUGGUAGAAAUUCAUUAGAAAUUGUACUAAUUAGUACAAAUUUUAUAGAAAUUCCAAUAAAUUAGUAGAAAUUUGUGUAAAUAAAUUAUGCUUCAAUUUUGAUAGAAUUCAGUAGAAAUUAGUAUAAAUUUGUAUGGUUUGACGUUUUUCUUCUAUGAGUUCAUGUAUGUACAUUAACUUGUAAUACAUUAAAGACAUUUCCUGUAAUUAAGUUUCAUUCAAGAAUUUUUAUGUAUUUUUUAAGAAGUUUUCAUGUAAGUUUAAUUUCAUGUACAGUUUCAUGUGUACGUUUCUAUGAUUUAAUUUAUAUAUCUUAACGUACAUGUAAUUAUGAUUUCAUGUGUGUUUGGAGUAGUUGAGAUGAUGGACGUCGAGAAUGCAAGGUUCAUGAUGGAGGAUAGUAUUGCUGGUAGAGAUCAUAACGUAACGUACACCAAAGAAGAGAGUAACCAGAUGGACACGUACCUCAACAUAUUCGCCGAUGGCAAUGAAGAGCCCGAGCAAAACCUUGCUGCGGCGGAAGAUACCGCCGAGGUAUAUAUCAUUAAUAAUGUUGUACCCCAUUUAGAAUGUCUUCUUCUUUAUUAUUAUGUACUAAUUAAUGAAUCUUGAACUAUUAGCCAUCUGGAUCGGCGAAACCUAAGAAGACACGAGGUCGAAGCAUGGUGAUGGAUGGAUCACAAAAGCUAGAGAUCACAAAAGUGUCAGAAGACGGCAGGCCGGUUGCUCCCGUCGAUGUGGCAAACAAGUACGUGACUCAGCUCAGGGCAAUUGUAAGGGACAAUGUGCCCAUCAGCUUCACAAAAUGGAGAGGCAAAAGCAAUGAUCCGGACGCGCUGCUGCAAACAGAAAGGAUAUGCUGUGGGAACAGGUCAAGCAACAUUUCAUAUUUCCCGCUAGAUAUAUUGAAAAGGAUGUGAAAGCGUGGACGUUGAAGAAGAUGGCCACACAGUUUCAAACAUUCAAGAAAUUUCUAGUUUCAAAGUACAUUAAGGAGGACAAAACUCCAGAUUUCAACAAAUUUCCAAAGUUCAGCAGCCACUGGAAGGCAUUUGUCGAGUACAAGAGGAGCCACGACGGUCAACAAAAAAUCAACACCAACGUUGAAAAUGCUAGUCGUAAGAAAGAGCAUCAUAAGCUAGGGCGAGGUGGUUACAAAAUAGUAGUGCCAAAUUUCAGAAGAUGGAACAAGACCUGCUCGAACGGGGUAUCGUACCAGCAACUCAUGAAUGGAGCCAACAAGCUAAAAAUUGGUUCUUCGCUCAUGGAGGCAAACUGAACCCAGAGGAUGAGACGUUAAUCUUAACUGAGGAAAUACGUCUCAAGGGCGAACAGCUCACCAAGAACAUUGAAGAUGUUAAGGCUGGGAGGUUGGUGGUGGAUCGAGAAAUGGAUGAGCUCACAUUGGCCCUUGGGAAUCCUAAGCACCCAGGACGUGUCUGCGGGUUCGGGAUCAUUCCGUGGAAGUACAGUUUCAAAGAAGAUAGAGGCUCGUAUAGAAGCCGCAAGCGAAGAAAGGAUCGGGCUGAGCAGAGUUGGUGGCGCAACCUAGAAUCUCAAGUGCAAUCUAUAGAACAAAGAAUGCAUGACGAAGUCAAUCGUUGAGUGGCCCUUUCCCAAUCAGAAGCACAACCCGAUCCACAGGACCAGCAAUAGUUCGCUGUUGAUUUCAUCAGGCAACACACCUCAUGUGAGUUGCAUGUACCGGUCGGCAACCUGAUUGUUAAGGUAUACUCUUAUACAUAAUUAAUAUUUAUAUAAUAAUCUUCUCAAUCCAUCGAUCCACCAUGCCUCAAGAUUGGAGUUUAAUAACAUCUUUAUUUCUGCUAUAUGUACAGGUAGCGUACGCGAAUGCCUUACCAUGCUGGGCAACGCAGGCGAGCCAUGGCAUGGAGAUUCCACCUGGCUAUGGUAGUGUCUCAGUAGAGCAGCUCGUUGAUUGCCAAUAUGAAGGCUAUGAGCUCCAGCUCCCGGGAGGUACUGGGGAAAGGACAUUAGGAGAUGUGGUUCAAGGUGGCAUCAUUCUAUGGCGCAAACGCUACAUCAGCAUCCCUAGUAUGGAGGCAGCACCCCUCCCGGAAGAACCCGAGCCGCAACCAUCUCCUCAAAUGGCAAGACCUAUUUCUCCACCACGGUCAAUUACAGGACCAUCGUCUAUGCAUGCUCAAUCAAAGUCUCCAUCUCCACAUCCAGUUGGCAACGACAACGACAACAGCACUCCUCCCCGCUCAUCGACGAUGCUGGGACUAAGAGGAGUCCCAAGCAAGGUACCUGCAGCCCCGACUGGAGACCUGAUUAUGAAGUCACGAUCAAUGGCUACCAAGCCAGCACAUAAAAAGAGGAAAACAAAUAAGGAGCUUGAAGUGACUCCUGAGGAACGCUGGAAUGCAUUGACUCAAGAGGAACGCUGGUCCAAAAUCCAAGCAGAAUGCAAGGAGUUGUUCAGGAAAAGGGCUAAACAAAAAAAAGCAAGGGCGAUGGAGCCACAACCAACAAUUGAUCCAACUAAAUUACAAUUUUUUCAGAAGAUGUCACAUUCAAACAAGGAGGCGAUGAAUAUAGGGAAAAAAGAAAAGGAAAGUCAUCUUCAAGUGUUGUUGAUCGCUACCUUCAUCAUCUACCAGAAGGAGAUGCUAGAAGGAUAGUAGCAAUGCCCAAGUCUCAACAAGAUCAAGUAUUGGAAUUCAUGAAAUAAUUUGGAGUGGGACUUGAUCAAUGUAUAGAGCUAGGUGGUCACAAGCCAGCAGCUUCACAACCAUUUCAACCGAGAUGGACGUUUGGGCUAGGAAAGUCUCUGGUAAGGCCUGAGUUGGUAGGAAUCCUAUCACCAAAGAUGUACGAAUUCCAUGAAUGGUACAUGAAGAUGUCCGCUGAUCAGACUUCCAUGUUCGCCCUUAAGGUAAAACGAAUAGAUUUUUACGGCGAAGGCGAGAAAUGCCUCUGGCUGGAAUUCAAAGAUUUAUACGAAGUUGUGGCGGAACCACCCAAAUUAACCUGACUAAAAGGCAUUGAAGUCGCCUGACACGCGAUUAUGCACUUUAAGCAAGUCAACUUGGUCGACCGUCGGAUUUCCUCCAAUAAACCACAUAACAGGAUUGAGAAGCAUCGCUCACGCGAAGGUGAGUAGCACAGAGGUUACAACAUUCCAUCAUGACAACAUAGUUCCACAUUUUAUUAUAUCAGAGUUUUCGAAAUUUAGAAUGAAAUUUGCAAGGUUCGAAGUCAAAGGAAAACAGCGGAAACUAAACGCCGAUACAUGACAUCAUGAUGGAGCCGAUCAUGACAUCAAAAACUCCUUCCUUCGCCGUCCGAGGAAGGAUCCCACUCGACGGUCCAGCCUGGGGGAAGCUGGGUCGGCCAAGUGGUACCCGCAACCAAACUAUUGACAUUACUUGAAAAAGAUUAGCCACAACAAGGCUGAGCAACUAGUACUUAGCAAGACUGACCCGUCAAAAAGUCACGACCGAGACCUAGACAUGCAAGGCUUUCUAGCUCUGGGGUUUUCUUGCCAAAAGCGUCUAAAGUUAGUCCUUACUUUCAACGUUUUAGCUCAUGUUCUAUGUUCUUUAUCCAUUCUAGAUUAGCAACUUAUACUGAACAAACAUGGUUUCCAAGCAAUUACUUAACAAACAUCAAGAUUAAAAUCAUCAUCAUGUUCCAUCUUCACUCAAUGCAGAAUAGCGAUCAAGUAGUCCCAAUCUGUGAGAGGCAGACGAAUCGAUUCGAAUUUAUUAACCAUGCAUGGCAAAUCUAAUCUCAUGACAUCCGCGCACCACGAAGGUGUUGGGAUACGAGGUAGGCUACACUAGCGCAAUUCAAAAAAUCUACCGCGUAUAACCAGGAAGAACUGCCGUAUAAGGAUCACGGGAUUACCACUCGACGCACUACUGGUGCGGAAGAUGUAGAUAUGCGUCGAUGCAGUGAAGACGAUCACGUAGUCGUACGUAGUCGAUCAACGUAGUCGUACGUAGUCGAUCACGUCCAGCAGCUCCUCAGCAGCUCGUCCACGUGCAGCAAGAUCGCCUCCGGUACCGCGGCUCGUCGUUGGCUCGUCGGCGGCUCGUCCAAGUGCUGCAGGCGCAACACCUCCCAGGUAUCCACACGUGCAGGGAGGAAGCGUCGCAAGCCGGACUGCUAGAUCCGCGAGUUGCAACAGGCGAGGGCGUGGGAGGCGCGGCAGGUGUGUUUUGCCAAAAAGGUGUAAACCCUAGGGCGCCCCCACCCCUCUAUUUAUAGAGGUUCCUGAUGGGCCUCUGGAUCCGAGGCCCAUUAGUACUUCUAAACCUAAUCCAACUCGGAUUAGAUCCGAAUUGGGCUUCCAGCCCCUUAAGUGUGUGACCCUAUGGGUUCGGAUACGUAUAGACAUGGCCCGAGUACUCCUACUCGGCCCAAUAGUCGGUAGCGGCCUCUAGCAAGACGUGCCAACUCCUAUACGCACACGAAGAUCAUAUCAGACGAACCAUCACAACAUAAUAUACAUGCUAUUCCCUUUGCCUCACGAUAUUUGGUCUAGCUUCAAGCCGACCGCUCUUUCUCGAUCCUGUGAUUCGGAAUCCCUUUGUAGGUUAACUCUUAACCGUACGUAGCAUGGCCAUGCAUUUUCGGAUCCGAUCACUCGAGGGGCCCAGAGAUAUCACUCUCAAUCAGAGAGGGGCAAAUCCCAUCUUGAUUGACCAUGUCUCAUAGCAUGCUUCUUGACAAACCCGAAAGCUACCUUUAUAACUACCCUGUUACGGCGUAGCGUUUGAUAGCCCCUAAGUAGGUCGAUCUAGAAUACAUGCGACAAUCUCAGGUCUAAGGACAAAGCGUAUAUGUUGUUUAAAGAGAGAACUACUUCUCGUGUUGGGUCAGUCCUAGCACAUGUCUCCACAUGUGUCCUCAUUAUUAGUUCAACAUCUCCAUGUCCAUGACUUGUGAAACAUAGUCAUCAACUAAUUCAUGUGCUAGUCUAAUAUUCAUGUGUGUCCUCACAUGAACUCCGACUAGGGACAACUUUAGAAUAUCCAUACAAGUAAAGAGUUUCACAUACAAUUCACAUAAUUGCAAAUCAAUUCAAGUAGCCUUCAAUGGAUAUUCAAUGAACACAACAUACAAAUCAUGGAUACAAAUGGAAUAUCAUCAUCUCUAUGAUUGCCUCUAGGGCAUACCUCCAAUAGUCUCCCACUUGCACUAGAGUCAAUCUAGAAGGUACCUAAUACCCAUAGCUCUUACAUGCGCAGCAUGCUUAGCCUGCGGGAGUGGUUUUGUCAACGGAUCAGAAAUGUUCAGAUCCGUGUGUAUUUUGCAUAUCUUGAUCUCACCCCGGUUAACGAAGUCUCGAAUGAGAUGAAAUCGCCGCAUUAUGUGUUUGUUCUUCUGGUGGUUCCUUGGCUCCUUUGCUUGCGCAAUUGCCCCAUUGUUAUCACAGUAGAGAUUCAAUGGGCUGGACGCAUUCGGGAACACACCAAGCUCAAUGAGGAAAUUCCUUAUCCAAACACCUUCCUUCACGGCUUCCGAAGCCGCGAUGUACUCGGCUUCUGUCGUAGAAUCGGCCACCGUCUCCUGCUUGGAACUCUUCCAACUAACAGCACCACCAUUUAGCGUGAACACAAAUCCUGAUUGUGACUUUGAAUCAUCUCUGUCGGUUUGGAAACUAGCAUCGGUGUAACCUGUUACAACGAGCUCCUCCUCACCUCCAUAGACGAGGAACAUAUCUUUAGUCCUUCUCAAGUACUUAAGAAUGUUUUUCACCGCUAUCCAGUGACACUCACCUGGAUCAGAUUGGUGUCUGCUUGUCAUACUUAGCGCAUAUGAAACAUCUGGGCGAGUACUUAUCAUUGCAUACAUGAUAGAUCCAAUAGCCGAGGCAUAUGGCACUCUACUCAUGCAAUCCCGCUCAUCAGCAGUCAAAGGACACUGAGUCUUGCUGAGAUGUAUGCCAUGUGACAUAGGCAAGAACCCUUUCUUUGCCUCUUCCAUGCUGAACCGCUUCAACACUUUGUCAAUGUAAGUAUCUUGGCUUAAACCUAUAAGCCUUCUCGAUCUAUCUCUAUAGAUCUUAAUGCCCAGAAUAUAUGACGCUUCCCCUAAGUCCUUCAUUGAAAAACUAUUUUUCAGUGAAGUCUUUACGGACUCAAGCAUAGGAAUGUUAUUUCCAAUCAGUAAUAUGUCAUCCACAUAUAAGAUUAGAAAUACUACAGAGCUCCCACUAACCUUCUUGUAAACACAAGACUCUUCUUCGUUCUUGGUGAAGUCAAACCCUUUGACCACUUCAUCAAAAUGAAUGUUCCAACUCCUAGAUGCUUGCUUCAAUCCAUAAAUGGAUCUCUGAAGCUUGCAUACCUUUCCAGCAUUUUUCGGAUCGACAAAACCCUCGGGCUGUAUCAUAUACACGUCCUCAGUUAGGUUUUCAUUCAGGAAAGCUGUCUUGACAUCCAUCUGCCAUAUCUCAUAAUCGAAGUAUGCAGCUAUAGCUAGAAUAAUCCGAAUGGACUUAAGCAUCACUACGGGCGAGAAGGUCUCGUCGUAGUCAACUCCUUGAACUUGUCGAAAACCUUUUGCGACAAGUCGUGCUUUAUAGAUGUGAACAUUUCCAUCCAUGUCCUUUUUCUUCUUAUAGAUCCAUUUGCACUCUAUGGCUUUAACACCAUCAGGCGGGUCAACCAAGUUCCAAACUUGAUUGUCUCCCAUGGACUCUAUUUCGGAUUGCAUGGCAUUCUGCCAUUUUUCAGAGUCUAGGUCCAUCAUUGCUUCUGCAUAUGUCGCAGGCUCAUCAUUGUCCAACAAUAAUAUUUCCCGCAUUUCGUGGAGCCUUGCCGACCUUCGUGGUUGUGGCGGUGCUUCUCUUGCCAUGGGUAUCUCAACUUGUUCUGCUACGUUAGCAUCACUCAUUGAUUCUUGCCCGAUCAGCUCAUCUUGAACUUCUUCAAGAUGCACUGUCUUUCCACUCUUUUCUCCUUUGAGAAACUCUUUCUCUAGGAAAACCCCAUUCCGAGCGACAAACACUUUGCCUUCUGAUCGGUUGUAGAAAUAAUAUCCCAAAGUUUCCUUUGGAUAUCCCACAAAAAUGCACUUAUCUGACUUGGGUGUGAUCUUGUCCGACUGAAGUCGCUUGACAAACACUUCACAUCCCCAAAUCUUUAGAAAAGACAAACUAGGAACCUUUCCAGUCCAUAUCUCAUAUGGUGUCUUAACUACGGAUUUAGAUGGUACCCUAUUAAGUGUGAAAGCUGCUGUUUCUAGAGCGUAUCCCCAAAAUGACAACGGUAGGUCCGACUGGCUCAUCAUUGAUCGAACCAUGUCUAACAAAGUUCGAUUACGUUGCUCGGACACACCGUUUCUCUGAGGUGUUCCAAGCAGCGUAAGUUGUGGAACAAUUCCGCAACUCUUUAGAUGAUUGCUAAACUCGUGGCUCAAAUACUCGCCUCCACGAUCAGAUCGUAAGGUCUUAAUUUUCUUGCCACGCUGAUUUUCAACUUCAUUCUGAAAUUCCUUGAACUUUUCAAAGGUUUCAGACUUGUGCCUCAUCAAGUAGACAUAGCCAUAUCUACUAAAAUCAUCAGUGAAAGUUAUGAAGUAUUGGAAUCCUCCUCUAGCCGUCGUGCUCAAUGGUCCGCAUACAUCACUAUGUACGAGUUCCAACAAGUCUACUGCUCUCUCAGGAAAUCCUGUGAAAGGCGUCUUGGUCAUCUUGCCUAGCAAGCAAGCCUCACAUGUCUCAUAUGAUUCAAAAUCAAACGAAGUUAGAAGUCCAUCAGAAUGGAGCUUCUUCAUGCGCUUUUCACUUAUAUGACCUAAACGACAAUGCCACAAGUAGGUAGGACUCAAAUCAUUAGGCUGAGGCCUUUUAGCACUUACAUUACAGACAGGUGAACCAUCAAGAUUUAAAACAAAUAAUCCAUUCACAAUGGGUGCAAAAGCCAUAAACAGAUUAUUCUUAGAGAUCACACAACCAUUGUUUUCACUCGCAAAUGAAUAACCAUCCUUCAUCAAGCAUGAAAGAGACAAAAUGUUUCGACUUAAACUAGGAACAAAAUAACAAUUAUUCAACUCCAUAAUAAAUCCUGACGGGAGGUGGAGUUGCAUCGUCCCGACGGUCAAUGCAGCAACUCUUGCAUUAUUGCCCACGCGGAAAUCAACUUCUCCUCUUUCCACGCUUCUACUUCUUAUCAUUCCCUGCAUCGAAUUGCAAAUAUGAGCAACCGAUCCGGUAUUAAAUACCCAAGAAUUAAUAAUUGUAUCAGCGAGAAAUAUGUUGUCUAUAACAUUAACAACAAGCGUACCUGAGGUAGAAGUACUCUUACUUCCGCCAUUCUUCAAGGAAGCUAGGUACGGCUUGCAGUUUCUCUUCCAGUGACCAAGUUCAUGAUAGUAAAAGCACUCUUUGUCUGGAGCAGGUCCAGGUCCAGCUUUAACCUUGGGCGGUGGGUUUGGCUUGGACGUUCCAGCCUUGCCCUUCUUCUUCCAAGAAUUGCCCUUCUUCUUAAAGCUAGGCUUAUUCUGUAUAGCCAUCACAUGGCUGGUACUAGCGCUUUUCUUGAUGUCUACCUCUGCUGUCUUGAGCAUACCACACAGUUCAUUCAAACCCUUCUCCGUCCCAUGCAUAUGGUAGUUCGAGAUGAAGUUCCCAUAGCUAGGCGGAAGAGAUGAAAGAAUGAAGUCAGUGGCCAACUCUUUGCCCAUUGGGAAGCCCAGCUUCUCCAAUCGCUGAGUGUAACCAACCAUGUUGAUUACAUGUGGUCCUACUGCUGCGCCUUCUGCUAACUUGCACUCCAGAAAGGCUUUGGACACAUUGAACCUUUCGGUCCUAGCCUGUGUUUGGAACAUGUCCUUGAGCGCCACGAUCAUAUCGUGCGCCUCAUGAUUUGUUUCGAACUGCAUCUGCAGCUCGGGUUCCAUGCAAGCAAGCAUAAGGCAGCUUACCUCAAGAUUAGCAUCAAAUGCCUUCUUGUAAGAAGCCUUAACGGCAGCAGAUGCAUCAUCAGCAGGUACUGGUGGUAGUGGGGUGUCUAGAACAUCUUCCCUUUUAUCGGCCCUGAGAACAAUUCUCAGGUUUCGGAUCCAAUCCGAGUAGUUUGUUCCAUUCAACUUGUCCUUCUCAAGGACCGAACGCAAAGCAAACGAUGUGGUGGUGUUGCUAGGUGCCAUUUAAUCUACAACAAAAGUAAUGCAAAAUACACUAAGACAAAUGUAUCCAUGAUAGAGCAAAUUACAUUAAACUAUUUUAACAGAAUCUACUCCCACUAAAAUCAAUAUCCCUCUAUUGAAACUUAGUGAUUCAGGAUCCACAACUAACAAGUCCACUAGUGAGCUUUAGCAUCACCGCUAGCAAACAAGGUAGAUCGGUAAGCAACUUUUGCUAAUCAUAUCACAUAUGACUCCUGUUGUUGGGUGACAUCUCCAUGUCUCGGCACCCAACCUUUAUGCCCCAAGGUCCUUAACCGUUACGAUGACCUCGUUAAGCAAACCAACCCUUAUGCGUGUAAGUGUCCGACACAAACCCGUCUAGUCAAGGAAAACUAGUGGUACCCUAAUUUCAUAGACCCACCACUAAUUGUACAAGACAUGGGACGGUGCAAGUUUUAGUUGGGAGGGCAUACUAACUUAAACUUUGUGAGGGAUCGUUCUACUUCUAACAUCACAGCAUGCAGAAAGUAAAACAUAAACAGAAUAGCAUUCACACAGCUGUGACACAGUAUGGCCCGUUUUUAUAUGGUGAUCUCCAUCUCCAUAGAACCUGUUCACCAUGGUGAUCUCCAUCUCCAUCCUCCUGGUAAUGAGUCCUCCAAGAACUAGAACAUGCUAUUACGCCUAACAGCUAGUAAAGAAGCUAGUAAUGAAGAUUACAUAGUUGCUUGGAUCAUCACAGAUUGGUACACAGACCAUUAAAUACAAUAAAGUGACAACACAUAUGGCUCCUGCCGUGUUGCCAUAUGCGCGACACGCAGGUCACGAAUGAGUUACACACAUGCAUCAUAUACACAAAGGGCCAUACUGAUCACAAGAUACAUACAUCCUGCAAAACAGAGUUAAGCGUCCUAACGUUCCAAACUUCAGAUGCCCGAAACUCUAUCUUCCAAGCCGAAUUUGGGAAAUCUAAUUUCACCGAAAACUGCAAAGCCAUUGAAUUUCAUGUGUAACUUUUUCUGUAGAUCAAUUUUCAUAUAAAAUUCGCCCCGAUCCGAGAUCGUACCGAAAAGUUACGGCUAAUUUACCGAAGCAUACGCAUACGGCAAAAAUCCCGACCCCGGCAGUAGAUCUCAUCUACUAUUGCACAUCUAAUGCGCCUGGCGUAUGACCCUGGAUCUCGAUUCGACCAAUCAUAUUGAUCUUCGCUCACUACAACUGGAUUUACGUGUAUCACUUAACUCCGAUGGUGGAAACCGACCGGUAGGAGUAUGUCGUUACACUACCAUUGCAGCAAGGGCACGAAACCAGGACAUAGAUCAAACGAAAAACUCGCAUAUCUCCAUAUGCACACAUCCCGAAUCCAAAAAUAAGCAGCUAUGGCUCUGAUACCACUGUUGGGAUACGAGGUAGGCUACACUAGUGCAAUUCAAAAAAUCUACCGCGUAUAACCAGGAAGAACUAUCGUAUAAGGAUCACGGGAUUACCACUCGACGCACUAAUGGUGCGGAAGAUGUAGAUAUGCGUCGAUGUAGUGAAAACGAUCACGUAGUCGUACGUAGUCGAUCAACGUAGUCGUACGUAGUCGAUCACGUCCAGCAGCUCCUCAGCAGCUCGUCCACGUGCAGCAAGAUCGCCUCCGGUACCGCGGCUCGUCGUUGGCUCGUCGGCGGCUCGUCCAAGUGCUGCAGGUGCAACACCUCCAAGGUAUCCACACGUGCAGGGAGGAAGCGUCGCAAGCCGGACUGCUAGAUCCGCGAGUUGCAACAGGCGAGGGCGUGGGAGGCGCGGCAGGUGUGUUUCGCCAAAAAGGUGUAAACCCUAGGGCGCCCCCACCCCUCUAUUUAUAGAGGUUCCUGAUGGGCCUCUGGAUCCGAUGCCCAUUAGUACUUCUAAACCUAAUCCAACUCGGAUCAGAUCCGAAUUGGGCUUUCAGCCCCUUAAGUGUGUGACCCUGUGGGUUCGGAUACGUAUAGACAUGGCCCGAGUACUCCUACUCGGCCCAAUAGUCGGUAGCGGCCUCUAGCAAGACGUGCCAACUCCUAUACGCACACGAAGAUCAUAUCAGACGAACCAUCACAACAUAAUAUACAUGCUAUUCCCUUUGCCUCACGAUAUUUGGUCUAGCUUCAAGCCGACCGCUCUUUCUCGAUCCUGUGAUUCGGAAUCCCUUUGUAGGUUAACUCUUAACCGUACGUAGCAUGGCCAUGCAUUUUCGGAUCCGAUCACUCGAGGGGCCCAGAGAUAUCACUCUCAAUCAGAGAGGGGCAAAUCCCAUCUUGAUUGAUCAUGUCUCAUAGCAUGCUUCUUGACAAACCCGAAAGCUACCUUUAUAACUACCCUGUUACGGCGUAGCGUUUGAUAGCCCCUAAGUAGGUCGAUCCACAUCUAGAAUACAUGCGACAAUCUCAGGUCUAAGGACAAAGCGUAUAUGUUGUUUAAAGAGAGAACUACUUCUCGUGUUGGGUCGGUCCUAGCACAUGUCUCCACAUGUGUCCUCAUUAUUAGUUCAACAUCUCCAUGUUCAUGACUUGUGAAACAUAGUCAUCAACUAAUUCAUGUGCUAGUCUAAUAUUCAUGUGUGUCCUCACAUGAACUCCGACUAGGGACAACUUUAGAAUAUCCAUACAAGUAAAGAGUUUCACAUACAAUUCACAUAAUUGCAAAUCAAUUCAAGUAGCCUUCAAUGGAUAUUCAAUGAACACAACAUACAAAUCAUGGAUACAAAUGGAAUAUCAUCAUCUCUAUGAUUGCCUCUAGGGCAUACCUCCAACAGAAGGGUCGCUUCAUUUGUCAGCUGUCCCCAUCGAUCCCUUAGGCACGUGUCAGGGCCAACUUCCUUCGGCAUGCAAUGCUCCACAGUCCUGGCCUAUUGCUGCACUGUGACCGCACUUGCACCCACAUGAUGCACCAUGGGAACGACGUUCCAAGGACAGCCGGAGGGUAUGCCACGCCCCAGUUCAAUCAGGUACUAGGCUUCCCCAUCCCAUACUAGGUAUGAGAUUAGUACUUUCAAACACUUGAUCACGAACGCCGACACGUUUCGACCUUAGUUCAUUUUCAUUUAGACAGAUGGGGCAAUCCACCAAGUAUCAAACACAAGCUUGACCCCGUCCGUCAUCCUUAUAGUUGCGACAAAUCUAAAAUAUUCAACUCCUAUAACUCGCGAGUGACAGGAAAUCACUCGACUUUUACCGAAACCUAUUAAGCAUUGCACUACUCGACCUUAGCAACUAGUAUUCAGACAAGGUACUAAGUUUAUGCAUCUAAGGUUUCAUUACAACUCCUCAAAACGUAAAUACGCAAUCAAGUAAUCAAUAAGUGGCAUGAAAGUAAAACAGGGAGUUCAUGCACCGGGGCUUGCCUUCAGAAAAAGCUUGCGGGUCCUCGGGGUCUUGCUCCGGUUCGGGCUCUCCUUCGCAGGGAUGCAGUUCCUCGGCGGGGUCUUCUUCCGGUGCUGGAUGAAGCUCGUACGUUCCGUCGGCGAGAUUCAACUCUACACGGAAAUGCAAUGCAGGGGUUAAACAUUUUAGAUGGUUAUUUCAACACACUCAUGUUUUAACACGGACACUUGUAGCAAAGCUACAGGAAAGGUGGGGGAGUUCAACUUCUGUUGGUGGAGAGCAAGAUGAGAGGGUCAGAUUGGGGAAAACUUAGGGUCUGACCCUCAGGUUUAAGGAAAACCGUACCGAGGUCCUCAGACUCAACACAGAGGAAUCCCCGAAAAUAUCUCACCGAUACCCUCGGGUCAAAGAAAAAGUUACAACCGAGCCCUCGGGCGAGGCGGAGAAAGGGUCGGCGAAACUUGGCAGGGUCGGGCGAGGCGAACGGGAAAAGAUCGGGCGAGACGAAAAGAAAAGGGGUCGGGCGAACCGAUACAAAGGGGUCGGGCGAACCGAAACAAAGGGGUCAGGCAAAACGAAAAAGGACAGGGGUCGGGUGAGACGGAAAGGAAAAAAAAAGGGGGUCGGACGAGACGGAAAGGACCGGGAGGUUAAGUAGCUUACCUCCAGGUCUACCGGUGAAGCCUUGGGGCCGAACAGGAGUAGGCUAGGGUGGGAAGUCGUACGUGCUAAGGCUUGGGCAGCGGCGAGACUUUGACGGUGGUCCGGCGGCGGCGGUGCUUCUUGCGGACACCAGCAAGCUCGAGUACCGCGUGGAGGAGUGGGCGGCUGGUGUGUUGGAAGAAGCGGCUGGAGGGUGGCGGCGAAGUCGCCGGAGUGUGGGGUGGCGCAAAGGGGGUGAGCUCCACGGAAGCUCAGCGGCGGCACGGGGAGAAAGUGGUGGCUCAGAGGAGAAAGCAGGGCGCAGAGGAGAAAGCGGCGGCGCAGGUGCGGGCGGUGGCAAGGGGUGGCAUUGCCGGUGAGGGGGUUCCCUUUUAUAGGGCCGGGGUGGCGCAGAGGGUCGAGGUGGGGCUCCGGUGGGGAAAGGAUAAGGCCGGGAGCGGCGAGUGCUCAGGCGAGGUGGCCAUUGAUCGACGACGCCAUUGGGCAGAGGAGGCGGAGCUCUGGGUGGUCUUCGGCAGCGAUUGGCCUUGGGCGGCGCGCGUCUGGAGCUUCCGGUCUGUCGGGCGGGCGAGGCGGAAGGCUACCGUGGGGGUUGGGCGAGCGGGCGGAGGCGCGGGACGUCAGGGGCGUCUCAGCUUUCUCAGCGAACGGGCGGAACAGGGUUGGCGGGGUAGAGCCGUGGCAGGUGGAAGGCGACCUGCGCGCGGCCGGCGAUUGGCUAGCCCUGCGCUCGCUCCGUCCUGUCGCGGGCGCGGGUUGGGCGUCGUGGCUCUCGUCCUGGCGCUGUCGCGCUGGUGAUACGGCGCCGGUGAGCUGCCGGUGGCCGGCGGCCACGCGGCGCGCGACGUGCGAGCGAACAUGCUCAGGCACGCGGGCGUCGAGGCUCCCUUCGGGCAGCAAGCCCGACCAGCUUUGGAGUGAUCCUUCUUCGAAUCUUUCAACACAACUCCCGAAACUCCCUUAAACAAACUUGUUCAACUCUGGUCAUUCUUCAAACUUUGUUUAAGGUGUUGGUUUAGAUUGUGAAAGGAUUCGAAGAUAUUUUACGCCAAAGUUAGACAAAAAUCUGGAAUUCCAGACUUAGGAUUUAAGGCAUCCGGGGUGAGUUGACUAGUUUACCUCACUUUGACCGGGAUUUUGAACAAGUUCGGGUCUGAUUUGGAUCUAGGUCAGUGUAACAAAGUUGGAACACUCUCGAGGUACUACAACUUCUAUUAAGGCUCUGACUCGAGUUUAGAUAGGAAAACAGGAGAUGAAAGCUUGCAAAGAUGGAGGAAAACUCGAAUUCCAGGACUUGGUUGCUGUUUUUGACUCCCUUCCACUCCGAAUUAGUCAAGGUGCCUUUAACAAAAAUUGUUGGAAUUUAAAAGUUUUACAACUCUUAUUUGGGCAGAAACUUAAGUUUGUAUAUAGAAAUUCAAGCUUUAAAUCAAACUCCAAAAGGAUCUUCUUAAGUUUAUAAAGGUCAUUUCACUUCUUCAAUUAGGGAUUUAUCACCGGUUUAGUGUUAAAAGUACUUAAUUUGGUAGAGUUGUUACAGAAGUGUACCAUCAAGAUGCCCUAGACGUCUCUCUCAUCAGCGUCUGGGCUCUGUAAAUAUUCGUUUAUCUAUAUGUAAAUUUUGGACCAUAUCAUUAUUUUUUAUGCAAGCGUCGCCCUACUAACUUUGUCUUCCUUUUUAUGUAGGCGACUAAUUCAGAAGUGCCGAGAAGAAGGAUACUUGCAUGUUGGCUUCAUGGAUCCAUCCGUAGUUAACCAAACCCAACUACGAGAUUUUAUAGAUAAAAUGUUGGUGGAAUGUUUCAAUAUGCUGGACCUUCAAGGUGGCCAGAGCUACAUACUACUUCCAUACAACUUCGAGUAAGUGUUUGUACGUACGUAUACCAUCUAUCUUAGUAUCCUUUUCCUUAUCUGAUUAAUGAAUAUUUACGUACAUAGUUACCACUGGAUCCUAAUAGUAAUUGAGCCUGAUAGAACCCGAGUUACCAUCCUUGAUUCCUUGCGAAAACCACUAGCGGAGUACUAAGAGAUUCAAGACAUUCUACACUUGUAAUUAAUAAUUCUGGAUCUUUAUCUCAAUACAAAAGUGUGUUUCCUAAAUUUUCACCUAACACUAUACCAUUCGUUAUUUUAAUUCGUAGGGCAUGGAAAUAAUUUGUCAAAAAAUGAUGCCAAGGUGCAUUCCAAGAAAAACUUACAUGGGACAUAGACUUCCCGGUUCGUAUGAAGUUUGCAUAUUUUGUACAUUCUAUAUGAUGAAUAUUUUAUAACUUAUUUUUUUCCCACUGAAGUGCUUAAUACAGGAACAAGGGAAUAAUCUGUGUGGGUACUAUGUCUGUGAGAACAUGCAAAGUUUUUUGUCACACAAGGCCAGGUUGACGUCGCUGGAAAAACAGGAAGUACGUAAUAUAAAAUAAUACUAUUAAUAGUUAAUUGUUUUCUAGCUCCUUAUAUUUAAUUGUUCGUGUAACAUUAUUUACUUCCAAAUUACAUAUGCAUAAUAUUCGAGACAAGAUUUUGGAGAAGAAAAGAAUACACACAAUAUGCGAAAGUCUCGUAGGAUUCGUGCUGGACGAGGUGAUAAAUCCACAAGGAGAAUUUGAUUCCGGUGGAUGAAAUUAACAAGCACCAAGCAACACCUCGACGAAGAUCCUAGAGUUAUAUAGCUAGCUAGCUAGGAAUUAAUUGUACUAUAUAUAUAUAUAUACUAAUCAAGAAUUGAACAUAUACUAGCUAAUUGUAUAAGAAUUGUAUAUAUAAGUAUGUAAUAGUUAAGAGUCGUUUAAAUACUAUAUAUAGUUUGAUUGAUUUCAUUAAUUAUAAAAAAACUCUCAACUAACUAAAGGGAUAUGUAAUGCACAAAAUUAUAGUUAUAGGCGCCAUGCAAGCGGCUGCAUGGCGCUAUAUAUACGCACUUUAGUCCCGGUUUGUUACACCAACUAGGACUAAAGGGGUCUGUCCAGUGCCUGGUGUGGCAGCCCAUUAGUUCUGGUUGGUUUUGCAAACCGGGACUAAAAAAGGGUCUUAUAUCCCGGUUCAGGGACUCGUGAUAAAAGACCGCCACCUUUUAUCUCGACGGGUUAAUUCUGGAUGCAUUUUCGGGAGAUAUGCACCCUACGAACCGGUACUAAUACCCAGUUCUCUAAUAGUGUAACAUAAUUAUGUUAUUUGAGAAACUAUACAGAUGAUUUUUUAUGUUUGUUCCAAACAAUGCAAUGUAUAUCACUUAUAUCGAUCCAGUGAGCUAGUGAUAAAAUUCUUCUAGUGCACCUUUCUGUCCCUUAAAGAUAAGGAUUUUUUCCGGAUAGAUUAGCAUAGAGACUAAACAACUUAGUUUGCAUGAGAGGGGUUAGGAAACUGCAUGCUACGUUGCUGCUCCAAAUAUUAGACAUGCACAAUUUAUUACAAACUCCAGCGUAAUUAGUGGCCAAUUAAUUGAAACAACAAAAAGGACAAAGGAUGCAAUGCUGGAUGUGUGUCAAGAUAAACCAGUACAAGAAUAAAUAAUUGCAUCUUGAUCAAUCAUUACCGUCUCUAAUAUUCAAAGCCUAUAUAAUAGGACCGAUCCAAACAUGGGCCUACAAUAAUUUCUGUAAUAUAUAUAUAUAUAUAUAUAUAUAUAUAUAUCAAUAAUUAUAACAAACCAUCAAACCAACCAACUUAUGAUCCCAUAAAAAAUCAUGGUCCUGAGAUCUAUUAAUAGAGAACACGUAGCUUCCUUACCAUCCCACCUACACACCACAUCUGACUAUAUAGAGGAUGCAAUCCUUUUGUACUAAAUCUUGGGGGACCAUUUUAUCCCGGUUUGUAAUACCAACCUUUUAUCCCGGUUGGUAUUACAAACCAGGAUAAAAAGUUUUGAUAGAUUUAGUUAUUUUUUAGCCACCCGUGGAGGACUCUUUUAUCCCGGUUUGAAACACCAACUGGGAUUAAAACUCCCCUUUAUCCCGGUUGGUAUUACCAACGGGAAUAAAAAGGGUUCGAGGGCUUCAAUUCUUUUUUGCCACCUGUGGGGAACCCUUUUACCCCGAUUAGUGUUUUCAACCGGGAUAAAAGACCUUAUUUUAUCCCAGUUGGUGUCGUGAGCUUUAGUCUCGGGUGGUAACACCAACCGGGAUUAAAAUGGUGACCUUUAGUCCUGGUUGGUCUUACCACCCGGGACUAAAAGGUCCCUCACGGGUAGCUGAUUUUUUCACCCGGGACUAAAGAGUCCCCCAUGGGUGGCUGAUUUUUUACCCGGGACUAAAGGGGGUCUUUAGUCUCGAUUGAUAUUUGACCCGGGACUAAAGCACCUUUUGUCUCGGACCAACUUUAAAUCGGGACAAAAGGGGGUGCAUGUCUCGAUUGCAUUAUCCCGGAUUGGUUUUCAGGAGAUUUUCACCCUACCAAUCAGGACUAAUACCGAGUUUUCUACCAAAUAAUCUUAACUACUGGCAUCUAACCAAAUUAUCUUACUAUUAACUAUUCCCGUUCAUUUUUUUGAAUAAAAACACACGUGAUCCAUUUAAAGAUCAGCAUCUUGUAGAUGUACACCUAAUUAAAGGCAUCUAAUCAAAGGUCUUACAUAUUUGUUAUCCAUGUCAUCAACCUACAAAAAGUUAUGUCCACUUGAAGAUCGGCAUCUUAAGAUUUAAACUUAAUUGUUGGCAUCUAACCAAUGGGUCUUACUUAUUUUUCAAUAGGAUAAUAAAUAUGCAAACCAAUAUCCAUGAGAUAUAAUGAGCAUCGCUGUGGUACAAAGUACAAUAAUUGCAUAAUUCCGUUGUUUGGAAAACUAUAGAAAAUAUUUUCUUUAUAUUUGUUCCAAACAUAUGCAAACUACUACACUUAUUUGGAAGAAUGGGUUUUGUCCUGAAAUUAUAAUUGAGUGCUUGAAUGAUUUGGAAUGGACAAUUAACUAGUCAAGAAAAUUAACUUGAAACCCUAUGUCACUACUGGAAAGAAUAAAUUCGCCGAGUAUAAUUUUUUCACCGAGUGCAAUAAUGCGGGCACUCGGCGAAGGCCCCGUUUGCCGAGUGUAUUUCUCAUAACACUCGGCAAACACAAUGCACUCAGCGACAAAGCGAUUUGCCGAGUGCCAAAUAAGAAAACACUCGGCAAAACCCCGUCGACACUCAGCAAACAUAAUACACUCGGCGAACUAUUGAUCACAUGACCUGCACGUGCGCCGUCCGGUCGAAACCGUGACGGACGUUAGUAGGUUUGCUGAGUGUUGUGAUGGGACACUCGGCAAAGCUGCGAUUAUGCCGAGUGCUAGGGGAACACUCGGCAUAUUUUAGGGUUUGCUGAGUGUUUUUUGACACACUCAGCAAAAGUAAUUUUUUUUCCCUCCUCCACCCUUCAAACUUUUUACACUCCACAUGUAUGGCAUUUGGCACUGCAUGGUAGAAGGUGGACUAUUUAUUGACCUUUUUGCUAUAUUUAAUCAAUUAAUUUCAUUUAGAGUAAUUUGUUGAUUUAAGUCAAACUUGAACUGCAGGUGAUUGGAAUAAUGGAAUAAUAUGAGUAGAAAAAUCAUAUUCAUGUUAGUGAGUCCAAAUUGAGGUCUCACCCAGAAAAUGAAAAGAAAUUUCAAACAUUUUGUUAAGGAAACACGACUACGAACGUGUGGCCAAAUGAUUUUUUAAUUCUCAAAGAUACAAACGAAGUUUGAAAAUCACGAGAGUUUAUUAUUUGUCAUACCCAUGCCAAACCGACAGCCGUCUUUAGGGUUGGGAUGUUGUGUACAAGGUAUCGCCACACGGUAAACUACCGAGCUGUGGGUAAGUACUCCUCGUACUAAAUUGUUCAAUAUAUCACCUACUUUCGACAUUCUUGAAAUAAUAACUAUAUACGCGUCUAUAUGCAGGAUUUCUAUAGAUGCCAGGAGGGAUUCGAGGCCAAGGCGAAGGCCGUUUGUGAUGUAGCUGCCAAGAAGCUCGUGAAGGACAUGCAUUACGAGGCGCGCAUCCAGGCCAUCAUCGAAUUCCACGCUCAAUACAGACAGAUGAAGGUUAGAAAAGAGGAGGCAAGAACAAUGAACCUGACUAAGGACCAAUUCAUGAGGGUAAGUAAAGAACGUUGAUACUUACUAUUUAAGAUUAAUUAGGCUCAUUUUCUUUUUCAUAUGUCACACGCUUGAUGAUGUAGGUGCCUCCGUGGUGGUGUCGUGCGCAUAUGCCGUGCUAGGAGAGGAUGGUCGACGUGUGGUUGGAGCCCGGGUGGUUGGAGAACCACCUUGCUUGCCGGCAGCGGUGUUUGCAGAUGCCGAGUGCACCACACCAUCAAGGCAGCCUAAGCUUUGAUGAAUAUAGAGAAAAAUGGGUACACAACUUCAAUUCUUUAUUGUAACGUUCAGUUCUGCAUAAUUCCUAAUCAUUUUGUAUGUUUUGCCGCAGUCGACGUCACAUGAUGGCCGACCUUGCUCCCAGCUCAAGGCAUGGGUCCUCUCCAAAAAGGGCAAGGUGACGGCCGAUAUCGAUUUCAACCCAGACGACCCGUCCGAGGCGUACAACCACCCUAGCAUACACAGCCGCGUCAGCGAGUAUACAAAGAUGGCUAGGGAGGUUCACGAGCCAGACUUCGAUCCGAGCUCCGAGGACAUUGAUGGAGAAAUCAUGAUGAGGGUGGGAGGAGGCAAGAAGCAUGGCCGAUAUUGGAUUGGUGACGGCGUCAUCGACACGGCCUCUACUCCUACUCUCUCCCAGAUCCGAGCUAGGAGCACGGACUCGAGCUCGGCGAUACGGCCACGACCCACCACUGCACAGUUCCAGAUGGAGGCUCUCCAGGUUCUUUCUCUUCCAUUCAUCGUUCAUUUGUUGUUAUACUUUAGCUUUGCAUUAUAACAUUGCAAUGAAAAAUUGUAGGUGCAGGUGGAAGAAGCAAGGAAGAAACAAGAGGAGAUGGUGGCGCAGAUGGAGAACAUGCGGCGGAGGAUGGAGGAAGAAAACCGGAUUAGGAUGGAGCAGAUGUUCCAUUACAUGCAGAAUUUUGCUUCGAGCAUGGGACAGUCUUUGCCUCCGCCACCGCCGAUGAUGUUCCCUCCGCCUCAGCCACCCACGACUACUCCUGUGAGUCACUUGACACAUUGUGCUUAAGAUUCAAUACUUUAAUUUUGACAACUUUAGAUGUUAGUUCAGAAUGUCCUAUCCUAUGUGCAAAAUCAAUCGGCGGCUUCGAAUAAUGAAGAUCAAGAUUUAUCGCAGUGGUCUCCUUGGCCUCCACGGAACUAGACUUGGUUGUGAACUUGGUUGAAACUAAAUUGUGACUUGAACUUGGAUUUAUGGAUUGUUUUGCGCUUAUGUUGAAUUAUGCAUGUGAUGUUUAUGAAUAAUGUUUCUAAUGGUGGUUGUGAAUUAUGCCUGCGAUUGUUUAUUACAAAUGCCUAUGAUGAUGUGUAUUAUGAAUUGAGAGGGGUCCGUUAUACGUGACAAAAUGGGGAAAAAAGGGGGUUCUGGGCACUUUGCCGAGUGUUACACUCGGCAAAGAGGGGCCUUUGCCGAGUGUUUUGGCUUUAACACUCGGCAAAGGGGGCACUUCCAGGUCCGGUGGGCAAGAGUUUGCCGAGUGUUAAAGCCAAAACACUCGGCAAAGAUCACCUCUUUGCCGAGUGUCAUGGAGACGACACUCGGCAAAAGGGGCCCCAUUUGCCGAGUGCUGACACUCGGCAUACGCGUGGUGUUUGCCGAGUGCUGACACUCGGCAUACGCGUGGUGUUUGCCGAGUGCUGACACUCGGCAUACCCCUGGUGUUUGCCGAGUGCCUGCCAUCCGGCACUCGGCAAAGCCGCCGUUACCCCCCGACGCCGUCAGCGCCUAUUUCGCCAAGUAUUUUUUUUCGCCGAGUGUUUUUGGGCCGUCGGCAAAAUGUUUGCCGAGUGUUCGAGUUUUGACACUCGGCAAAGUAGUGUUUGCCGACACAAAAUUUGCCGUGUGUUGUUUGCCGAGUGUUACACUCGGCAAAGCCUUUGCCGAGUGUUUUCAUGCCUUCGCCGAGUGCCUGUGGCACUUGGCAAUUUGUGUGUUUCCCGUAGUGUGUAGUCAAGAAUUGCACAGUUUGGCGAUUAGUUAUUAGAAAUAAUCUAACUUAACCCCCAAAAUUCUGACCUAUAUUACAUACCUUUAUCAUUAUAAAAACAUAUCUGAAAAUACUCCUAUGUAUGCUUCUAAAUUAUCCGCAUCUACCGCAGUUAAUAUCAGAAACUCACAAUACAGAUAACAUAUACAUAGAUGCAGGAAGCGUUGCGGUUAACAAAGCAUAUAGAGUUACCAAGAACUAUAGUAUGCCAGAACUAGAUAGAACCAAGAAACUUAUCAGCGCGAACAAGCAAGUUGUUGGAAUAUGAACAAAUGUGACAUAUGCAGUGAGAAUCUGGAAAAGGCACCAUCUAUCACUUAUAUCAAUGAAGCGAGCUAGGGACAAAAUUAUACUACUCCAACUUGCUGUGCCAUAGCUGAUCUGUGGGCCCACUGUGGUAGCUAGUAAAAAGGAACAUCAGUUGCAUAUAGAGGGGAAACGUCCACAACUAAAGUGCCAGUGUGCCGCUGGCCCGUCUACCACACGUACCUUGCCCGGACUUUUGGAAUUGCUGAUAUGCUGGCACAACUAAGACAAACAAGAGACUAGCUGGAUGUCAAAUUUCAUUAUAAACUCUAUAUAUACUCCUGUUUCACAAUACUAAUAGUUACCCCAUCACCCUCUACCUUUGUCUAUUGCAUCUCCAGCCACAGUUACCCCAUCACCAACCAAUCUCUGGAUAAUACAUCGAUUCAGGGUUGUAACACCCUACCUUCAAAAUCUACUCAGUCCCCAGCUCCUGGCAUGGAAAUGAGCCCAUAUAUGCAUAACACCUAUCUUGCACUUGCCAGCACCCAUCCACCUAUCUUCGUCUGAGCUCAUCUCUUUCUAGCACCCACCUAUGCCCAUCCCCUUCUUGCAUCUCUUGCGGCUGCUGCCACAGGAUCCACCGCCAUAGACAAUUCUCUCGGUAACCCAUCAAUACUUGGGCUCAUGCAUCUACACCAGCCAAUUGAUCUCCCCUGCCUAAAUCACGCUGCCACCGCCACCUUACGUAACUGUCCAUGCUCUGCCAACCUCAAAUAUGUUGUCAUGCCGCACCACUCACCUUCCCUAUAACACCAACUAACAAUGAUCCCCAAACUCCAAACACUCAAACCCGAACCCUAAUCUCGCUGGAGGCUGUAGGGAAUGAGGUCGCACAGCCUUUGAUUGAAAAAUGGAGGAUGAAGCAAAAUUCAGAAGUGCGGGGCAAGGAAAUGCUUGCUGAAAUUAGGUGUAGAUUUCCUAGACCAAUAAGUAUUGUGGAAUAGAGGAGCAGUACUACACAGUAAAAAUAUAUCAUUAUUUUGUACAUAUGAUGUAGGCAAUAAUUGCGACUUUUUUUUUAGGGUCAACGCAGGGGGGGGGGGGACCUACCUGAAAUUUCAUUGGAGCUGGAAGACCCAGGUGGAUUUUCAGAGUUCGUAAGUAAAAGACCUAGGAAAAGACUGAUUGCGUAAUUACAUGGUAAACAUUUGGCACCAGAUUCAACAACUAUUCUUUCCUCCCUCUUCCAGCGGUGGCACCAUAGUCUUGCCUCUUCUUUGCAGGUAGCACGCAGACGUCCAAGAGAUGGCUCCAUGUUCAACACUGUUCCUGUGUUUCCAGAGUUGCCAGGCGCAGAGAAGCACAAAGGUGGUGUAGUGUAGGAUGGGAAGAUUUGCCGGACGGGGAAGUUCAGUCACCUUGCAGCCUGCAGUGUCAAUCUCCAUCGACUGCCAGAAGGAACUCCCGAAGGGGCAGGCGAACAGAAGGUGGUCACUGGUUUCCUCCGCCCUUUUGCAGACUUCACAGGUAGCAUUGGAUAGAACAUUCUUCAUACGUACGCAGGUUCACCCGGCUCUGGAUUCGGUCCUGCACCAGCAGCCAGGUGACGAACUUGACACGCGGAGGCGCCUUGUUCUCCCAUACGAUUCAUGGAAGACGCAUGGUGCAGGGCCAAUUGCCUGCAUCGUGGCCUUGUAGACCGGCCCUGCUCUCAUGGUGCCGUCAUCGCUCAGCAGCACUGAUGCUUUGUAGUCGUCGCCAUCUCCCAGCUGGAUGUUUUGUAGUAGUUCCUGCAUUAGCCGUGGAACAAAGAGCUGGCGCAGAUUAGAGCUCAGAUUAAGUGCACUUGACGCUUACUCUUUUCUUCCAUGUACUAUUUUAUAUCUUUCAUUUAGUGUGUAAGAUAUUAGAACAUGGGGUGGUAUCAGCACAUGGUUGGCGUGGCGGUGAAGUUGUACUAUGAUUGGAGGGCCACUAUCACAUGUGCUAGUUAAAGGCCAGACCAACAAGACGUCAACCAGACCAUACCGGGCCUCUAUAUAAAGGAACCCGAACCUAGAUAAACGUCCACACCGAAAAUGGCUGCAACACUCUUGUCCUCCUCUAUGGCUCUCGCUCUGCUUCCACUCCUGCUGCUAGCAGCCGCGUCCAUUCCCUCUCUGGCUUCAGCUUCACCUUCCCUCGACCAUGGUUUGGAUGGCGAGGAGCUGCUGAUGCUGGGGAGGUUCCAUGGGUGGAUGGCGGCGCACGGCCGGUCAUACGCCAACGAGGAGGAGAAGCUUCGCCGCCUCAAGAUAUACCGAAGCAACAUGGAGUUGAUCGAGGCGGCCAACCAGGAUGGCCGGAUGAGCUACCAGCUCGGCGAGACACCGUUCACCGACCUCACCAAUGAUGAGUUCAUGGCCCAGUACAGCAGCAAUCUGUUGUCCUCGGUGCCGCCGGAGGAGGAGAUGAUCAGGACUCGCGCUGGCCCCGUCCAUGAGGGAGGUGGCCAUGGCGGUGAUCUCCCUCUCGCCGCCGGUAAGGAGCCACCGCGACCCGCGUCCUACCAACCUGACAUCAUUGCCGGCCAGCAUUGAUUGGAGGAUGAUGGGCGUCGUGACGGCAGCCAGGAAUCAAGGCGCUUGCGGUAAGUAUGCCAGUGACAUCCAAAGCCAUGCAUGCGUGAAAAUUUACUGGUGCAAGUGUCUACGUGCUUGAAGGGUCUUGCUGAGCGUUCGCGUCGGUGGCGACGAUGGAGAGCGCACAGGCAAUACGCACACGAACAGUGCCUUCACUCCAGUCGGAACAGCAGCUGGUAGACUGCGACGGGUACGGCUAGACUUGUCACUGGAUUUGCAUUAUCCAUAGUCCAUUUGAACUAUUUUAUCCUUAGACUCUAUUGGACUGCAUCAUAUUGGUUAGGUCCAAACCUAACACAGACUUGGUUGAUCCCUUUCCAUCACCAUCUCUAGGUACGACCUAGGCUGCCGUGGCGGCUUUUUGGGCAAUGCAUUCCGAUGGGUGAUCCAGAUCGGGGGCAUCAUCUGGGCCCCGUUGUACCCCUACAUCGGUAUGUCUGGUAUGUGCCAGAGAUUCAAGCCUGCUGCGGUUAGGCUUCGGAGCUACCGGUGGGUUGUGCCCAACGAGGUGUCGCUCAUGCAGGCCGUGGCGCAGCAGCCCGUCGCGGUCACCAUCUGACGCGAGCAACCCCUGUUUCCAGCAUUACUACGUAUAAAUUGUAUACAGAUCCCAAAAUAAAUAUUCUCGUUUUGUUGUGUUCCUAAUGAGUCAUAGUUCUGUACAAAAUAUGUAUGCUCAAGCUACUCACUACGGGAAACCUCAAAGUUGCCGAGUGUAAUUGCUUUGCCGAGUGUAUUAUUGCGGGCACUCGGCGAAGGACCGGUUUGCCGAGUGCAAUCCUAGAAACACUCGGCAAACAUAAUACACUCGGCGAAAACACGAUUUGCCGAGUGCCACCAAAAAAACACUCGGCAAACACCCACGGGGCACUCGGCAAAGAUGGGGCACUCGGCAAAGUCUUGAGCACGUGACUUCCACGUGCCGCGCUGGGCCGCCGCCGUGACGGACAUUAGGCUUUGCCGAGUGUCGACGGGGGGCACUCGGCAAACUUGGAGUUUGCCGAGUGUCUCCAUGGGCACUCGGCAAAUAUGCGAGUGUGCCGAGUGUCUCGGUGGGGCACUCGGCAAACCUGAGGGGUUGACGAGUGUUUUUUGGCACACUCGGCAACAAAAAAAAAACCCUCCUCCCACUAGUGUGCCGAGUGUUGCGAAACGUUUCCCCCGAGUCCAGUGCGGCCACGCGUGCGCCGCGCCCCCUGACGCGGCCGGCCACCACCAGGGCUCCCGCUCUCCGAGCCCUUUGCUCUUCUCCCUAUCUCCCCCGCCACUUAUUGCAGCCGCCUCGCGCACGGCACGCCGAAAGCUCGCGUCCUGUCAGUGGCCUCGAGUAGCGUUCCCAGUGCACAGCGGGACGGAACGAAGCCCGACCGCUGCGAGAUUUCAAACCUUGGAUUGCGGCUGCUGCGAGAUUUCAAACCUUGGACUGCGGCCGCGUUAGGGGAUGCCUGAGUGCGCUAGUAUGCCGAGUGCUAAAAAGGACACUCGGCAAACCUACUAGUUUGCCGAGUGUCGUGAUGGGACACUCGGCAAACCUAUUAGUUUGCCGAGUGUUGUGAUGGGACACUCGGCAAAGUGGCAAGUAUGCCGAGUGCUAGAGGGAACACUCGGCAUACUUUAGGGUUUGCCGAGUGUUUUUUGACACACUCGGCAAAAGUAAUUUUUUUUCCCUCCUCCACCCUCCAAACUUUUUACACUCCACAUGUAUGGCAUUUGGCAAUGCAUGGUAGAAGGUGGACUAUUUAUUGACCUGUUUGCUAUAUUUAAUCAAUUAAUUUUAUUUAGAGUAAUUUUUUGAUUUAAGUCAAAUUUGAACUGCAGGUGAUUGGAAUAAUGGAAUAAUAUGAGUGGAAAAAUCAUAUUCAUGUUAGUGAGUCCAAAUUGAGGUCUCACCCAGAAAAUGAAAAGAAAUUUUGAACAUUUUGUUAAGGAAACACGACUACGAACGUGUGGCCAAAUGAUUGUUUAAUUCUCAAAAAUACAAACAAAGUUUGAAAAUCACGAGAUUUUGCAAGAUGCUAUGAUUUCAUAUGCAGAGGCCAUGGUAAAAAAUUGACAAGGUUUCGCACAAGUUUUAACAUAUGAUGUUUAGAAUUCGAAGCAUCUCCGGAGAGGAUUCGUAGAAGUUGGAAGGAUCCAGUAAGAUUUUGAGACGAAUCGAUACUUGAAUUUGUCAUUGAGUCCCAAUUUAUUUUUAUAGGCUAUAGAGAACAUAGAUUGGUUCAUGUCAAAUUUUGAGAAUUUUUCGGAUCCGUUUGGUAAUUUUUAUUCAUUAAUUGCACGUAUAUGAAUUUAAUAGAUAUAAAUUUAAUAUGAGCUAUAAAUCCAUGAAAUAAUGGAAUAAUAUGACUUAAAAAAUGAAAUACGCAAUGUUUAGUGAAUUUGACAAGGUUUUUGCAAACUUUACAUACUUUUAAUUAAUAAAACCAGUUUGGACAUGAAAUAAUAGUACCUAUUUGCCGAGUGUCACGGGAUGGCACUCGGCAAAGAGCCUAUUUGCCGAGUGUCAACCCUGGGACACUCGGCAAAUGUCGCCGCGGUCCACCUGUCAGCCGCAGUUUGAAAUCCGAAAAAAAAAUUUAAAACAAUAAAAAAAAUUGUUUGCCGAGUGCUCCUGAUCUAGCACUCGGCAAAGCCUUUGCCGAGUGCUAGAUCAGGAGCACUCGGCAAAGCGGGCACCCCCACCACACUUAGCGCAUCACGCGCCUCACGCGGACAAGCACAGGCACAACACGCACACGCCCACGCCCGCCCGGCCCCCCGCGCCCGCUCCGCCGCCCGGCCCGCGCCGUCGCCGCUCGCCCGCGCUGCCCCGCGCCGGGACCCGGGCGCCAGCCGUCGGCCCCCCGGCCUCCCCCGCGCCGUCGCCGGCCGCCCGCGCGCGGCCGCGCCCGCUCCGACCUGCCCAGGCCGCCCCCGGCCGGCCGCCCGUGCCGGCCCCCCGCGUCCGCUCCGGCCAGCCCCGGCCGCCCCCGUCCGGCCGCGGCACCGGCCCCCGGCCACCCCCGCUCCUCUGUUCGUGGCCGUCGCCCCUCCGUCACCCCUCCGGUAAGUUGCUAUGCCGCUACACAUCAUAAAUUAGAGUAGGCAUGAAAUUAGAAAUUAGAAAAUGUUGAAAAGACUAGAGAGGUGGUAGGAUGUGGUAGGAUUUAUUUUAGAAAUUAGAGGCAUGAAUUUAGAAAAUUAGAGAAGAAGGAAGAGUGGAAAUUAGAAAAUGUUGAAAAGAAUAGAGGUGUGGUUGGUUGUGGUUGUGGUUGUUGGCCAUCGUGCUAACUCUUUGGUGAGAUUAUGGUUGUCGGCUAUCAUGCCGUUUAUUAUGUUGCAGGUUUUGGAAACCUCCCCGUGCAGGGGAGUUGCUGCCGAAAUUUUGACUUAAACAGUGCUCUGUUUCUUUUGUUGCAGGAGAGGCUUACAAGGACCGUCCUCGACUUGUCACUUUGCAGGAUAGCAAGGUGAGGCAUGCUACACCUCUCUUUUCGUAUAAUGUUCGUAUAUCACGUAACCUAGUUAGGCAUCUCCGGUUCGAAAGAGAUACGUUUGGAAAUAUGCAGAUCUUUGCAUAUCUAUAAUCGUAUCUGUUUCGAAUUGUCCACGUUUUUUGGACAGCCGGAGGAUGUGUAGGUGGGUUUAGUAUCCAGGUAUAUUCCGGUUCGAGAUAGAGUUUCGGCAGCACCUUCCUGUUGUUCUCCAGAUACACAAUCUCCUGUCAAGGACGUGUAUUUGGAGAACAGCGGGGAGGUGCUGCCGAAAUUUUAUCUCGGGUCAGAGUAGACCAUGGAUACUAAACCCACCUACACAUUCUCGAGUGGGAUUAGGACCUAUCUUUACCUAGUAGACAAUAUAGGAACGUGUAUAUGUAAUGUGAAUUUUGUAUUACUCGCUUAAAUGGUAGAGGAUGGAGGAUCGUCAGUGGAUGUACACGGGUCGCAGUAGUCAGAAUACGUUGACCAAUGAAUGGAUUGACAAGACGGAUGCUUUCUUGGAACGGGCAUUUGCAAGUGUCAAAGGAGCUCGAUCGACUUGGUGUCCGUGCAACAAAUGUGGAAACAUGCGUCGGCAAACCAAGCUAGACAUGGGCAAACAUCUUGUGAAGAAUAGAUUUACGUCAGACUACACCAGGUGGACCUACCAUGGUGAAUCUGACCGUGGGAGAGAGGAGGUCCUGAGACAACGCAUCGAGGAAUUUGAUGAUGAUGCCAGGGUGGGAGACAUGUUAAAUGACUACCAUGAAGCACACUUCGAAGAAGCACGUAGGGAGGAGGAGCCAGAGGCUACCGCUAAGGCUUAUUACGAAAUGUUGUCUGCGGCAUAGCAACCCCUUCACGGCCAUACCAAGGUUUCUCAACUAGAUGCCAUUGCACGCCUAAUGGUUGUGAAGUCUCAGUUUAGUUUGAGUCGAGACGCGUUUGAUAUUAUGUUGACAGUUUUUGGAAGCCUGCUCCCGGUUGGUCACAUCUUGCCAAAGAGCAUGUAUGAGGCACAGAAACUCCUUCGUGCACUUAAGAUGCCAUACGAGCAUAUACAUGCUUGCCCGAAGGGAUGCAUCUUAUUUAGGAAAGAGUAUGCGGAAGCAAAAUACUGUGUGAAGUGCGAAUCGUCUAGGUUUCUGGAGGUAGACUGUGGUGACGGUCAGAAAAAGCAGCUCGCAAUUCCUGUGAAGGUUCUACGGUAUCUUCCUUUCAUACCGAGGAUCCAACGGCUUUUCAUGACUGAAGAAUCCGCGAAAUAGAUGACAUGGCACAAAAAUGGCUGUCACUAUAAUCCUGAGAAGCUGGUACACCCAUCCGAUGCUGAAGCCUGGAAAAGCUUUGAUGCGAUUUAUCCUGCAAAAGCUCUAGAGGCCCGUAACGUACGCGUUGCGUUGGCAACUGAUGGGUUCAAUCCUUAUGGAAUGGCGGCCGCCCCGUACACCUGUUGGCCCAUUUUUGUUAUCCCCCUGAAUCUCCCCCCCCGGCGUCCUAUUUCAAUGACAUAAUAUAUUCUUGUCGUUGAUAAUUUCAGAGCAUCCGGGGAAUAAUAUGAGUGUGUACAUGGAGCCUCUGAUUGAUGAUUUGCUCCGUGCUUGGGAGGAAGGGGUAUAGACAUAUGACCGAUCCACAAAGACAAACUUCAAGAUGCAUGUUUGGUACCAGUACUCACUGCAUGACUUGCCGGCAUAUGGGAUUUUCUCCGGAUGGUGUGUUCACGGGAAGUUCCCAUGCCCAGUAUGUAAAGCAUCUUUAACGUUCAUUUGGUUGUCGAAAGGUGGCAAAUAUUCUUCGUUCGACAAACAUCGACAAUUCCUCCCUCCUGACCAUCCAUUUAGACGAGACAUCAAGAACUUUACCAAAGAUGUUGUAGUUACAGCCCCCACACCGCCGAUGAUGACAGGGGCCGUAGUUCGUGCUCAGUUAGAUGCUCUCAAGGUCAAUAAUGAAGAAGGUGGUUUUUUGGGAUAUGGCGAGCAACAUGCUUGGACGCAGAAGUCAUGCUUGUGGAAGCUUCCCUAUUUUGAUGAUCUUCUUGUUCCACAUAACAUUGAUGUAAUGCACACGGAAAAAAAUAUCGCCGAGGCAAUUUUUGGUACAAUAAUGGACAUUCCUGACAAGACAAAGGAUAACGCAAAAGCUAGAGUGGAUCAAGCGACAUUGUGCAACAGACCACAGCUAAACAUGGCGCCUCCAAGAGCUGGCAAGUCGUGGAGGAAGCCUAAGGCCAAUUUCGUUCUGACAAGGGCCCAAAGGAGGGAGGUUCUAGAAUGGUUCCAAACGUUAAUGUUCCCUGAUGGCUAUGCAGCGAACUUGAAGAGGGGAGUGAAUUUAGCAACUAUGCGAAUCAACGGGCUCAAGAGUCAUGAUUACCAUAUAUGGCUUGAGCGCCUACUUCCGGUGAUGGUUCGAGGCUAUGUCCCUGAGCAUGUGUGGCAGGUGCUAGUGGAGUUGAGCAAUUUCUUCCGUCGGCUUUGUGCGAAGGAGUUAUCUCGUACUGUGGUUGCAAAAAUGGAAAGAAUGGCGCCUGUGUUGCUCUGUAAGUUGGAGAAGAUCUUUCCUCCAGGCUUCUUCAAUCCAAUGCAGCAUAUGAUUCUACACCUACCGUAUGAAGCACGAAUGGGGGGGCCUGUGCAGGGUCGUUGGUGCUACUCAAUUGAGAGAUGUCAAAAGGUUCUUCGAACUAAAUGUAAGAAUAAGUGCAAAAUUGAAGCAUCCAUUGCAGAGGCAUACAUUCUGGAGGAGGUGUCAAACUUCACAUCGAAAUACUACGCUGACAACUUUCCUAGCGUGCAUAAUCCACCUCCUCGUUACAAUGCCAGCGAAGAUGAAUUAAGCCUUAGCAUUUUCCGAGGGCAACUUGGAAGUGCAAGUGGUGCGAUCCGCAAGACCCUAAACCAUGAAGAGUGGCGCUCUAUCAUGCUGUAUGUGUUGACCAACCUAUCUGAAGUGGAGCCGUACAUGAUGUAAGUUCUCAUAAACUUGUUUCGACGUAGUCACGGUAUCUCUUGCCUAAACGUAUCUUUCUCGUUGCUAUAGGCAAUUUCAUCAUCAAUUCUGGCGUAAAUCAAGGCAACCGUACCCGCACGAAGCUGAGACUCUUCUUAAAGAGGGUGCGGGAAAUGGAAUGCCCGAUUUCAUUUCUUGGUUCAAACAGAAGGUACAAUUUCAUUUCUUCGAACAUUCUCGUUCUCGUACAUAUGAUUAAUAUAAUGAACUGCCCUGUUUGAACUUGCAGGGCCGAACCGAUGCGUCUAUGAAUGUCGAGUUGAGACAGGUUGCCGAUGGCUGUGACUAUAGGGUCAGGUCGUUUGCCGGUUAUGACGUCAACGGAUAUAGGUUUCACACAACAAGGCACGAGCAGAGUCGGCCCAAUCGAAGAACCACAAAUACCGGAGUUUUCACACCAGGCUCCGAUGGGGUCGAGUAGUACGGAAGAAUUGAAGAAAUAUACGAACUCACUUUUCAUGGGUGCAAACCUCUUAAUCCAGUUAUAUUCAAAUGCUAUUGGUUUGAUCCAUCUGUCGUGAGACGGGCCCCUAACCUUGGGCUAGUAGAAAUUCGACAGUCAUCCAGGUUACCAGGAGACGAUGUCUAUAUUGUGGCUCAACAGGCCACGCAAGUUUAUUAUUUGUCAUACCCGUGCCAAACCGACAGCCGUCUUAAGGGUUGGGAUGUUGUGUACAAGGUAUCACCACACGGUAAACUACCUGUACCAAACAAUAAAGAUUACAAUAUAGACCCCGACACGUACGAAGGAGAGUUAUUCCAAGAAGAUGGGCUCGAAGGGAGUUUUGUGAUAGAUUUAACCGAAGCGAUUGGAAUGGAAGUAGACAACGAGAGGGUUGCUGCAGAGGACGGUGGAGACGAGGUUCAGAAUGUGAAGGACUUAGAAUUACUUCAACGAUUACAGUUAGCUAAUGACAGUGAUGAUGACAUUCCUUCUUCGAAGCACGAGCUUGACUAUAUCGACACGCGUGAUAGUGAUGAUGAGACUUAUGAUCCAGCUAAUCCCGAUCAUGAUGAUUAUUUCUAAUACAUGUAUGAUUCGUACUAAUUUAGUUAUAAUUUAAUUAUAAUUUGCAUAUCUUUGUAAUUAUGUGUUGUUUGCCUAUGCUGACUCGUGUACUCUUUUUAAUUGUAGGUCAUUGAGCAAUGGUGGGCGGUAUGAGGAAGCUCACGUCGAUUUGCGAGAGACUGGCCGCGUCAGGGACUGGUUCAGGGUCAGGGUCAUAUUCAGGGAGCGGUCGAGGGAGGCGUCGAGGCAGGCCUCGACGUAGGGUUGAGGAGGAGGAGGAGGUGGUCCAGAGGCCUCGAGGGAAGGGUAAAGCGGCGAGGCCCCCGUCGCCUGAACCUGAGGUGGAGGAGGAGGAGGAGGAGGAGGUACCUUCCGCUCACGCCUCUGGGGACGAGGAGGAGGAGGAGGCGGAGGAGGAGGAGCAGCAGGAGCAGGAGGGGGACGGGGAGGCAGGGGAUGCCCAGUCCAAGAUAUGGUUGCGAGGUCCCUCAUCCCUCCCGAAGCGACCGAUACCUGAGCAUUUAUGCUCGCUGAUUAAACCGGUUGGGACCAAGUAAGUAACUUUAAAUAUUCUUAAUAUUGUUCUUAUGUUGAAAGUUACAAAAACUAAUAAUUCAUAUUAAUGACUUGUGCAGGAGUUGGAUUAAGCUCAGUGGGGGUGACCACAACCGUAAGGCCAACGGGAUCCUUGGCCUUUUGUGCAGGCUUCACUUCCCUGGCUUGGUGGUGUACGCCGGACAGCAGCAGCCGGCCUACACGUGGGACCACUACGUCGCCGCCCCCGACGUCCCUGAUCGUCAAUAGAGAUGAUUCCCCAACAUAGCGGAGCGGGUCAAGGCCGAGCUGUGGGUAAGUACUCCUCGUACUAAAUUGCUCAAUACAUCACCUACUUUCGACAUUCUUGAAAUAAUAACUGUAUACGCGUGUAUAUGCAGGAUUUCUAUAGAUGCCAGGAGGGGUUCGAGGCCAAGGCGAAGGCCAUCUGUGAUGUAGCCGCCAAGAAGCUCGUGAAGGACAUGCAUUACGAGGCGCGCAUCCAGGCCAUCAUCAAAUUCCACACUCAAUACAGACAGAUGAAGGUUAGAAAAGAGGAGGCAAGAACACUGAACAUGACUAAGGACCAAUUCAUGAGGGUAAGUAAAGAACGUUGAUGCUUACUAUUUAAGAUUAAUUAGGCUCAUUUUCUUUUUCAUAUGUCACACGCUUGAUGAUGUAGGUGCCUCCGUGGUGGUGUCGUGCGCAUAUGCCGUGCUGGGAGAGGAUGGUCGACGUGUGGUUGGAGCCCGGGUGGUUGGAGAACCACCUUGCUUGCCGGCAGCGGCGUUUGCAGAUGCCAACUGCACCACACCAUCAAGGCAGCCUAAGCCUUGAUGAAUAUAGAGAAAAAUGGGUACGCAACUUCAAUUCUUUAUUGUAACGUUCAGUUCUACGUAAUUUUUAAUGAUUUUGUAUUUUGCCGCAGUCGGCGUCACAUGAUGGCCGACCUUGCUCCCAGCUCAAGGCAUGGGUCCUCUCCAAAAAGGGCAAGGCGACGGCUGAUAUAGAUUUCAACCCAGACGAUCCCGUCCGAGGCGUACAGCCACCCUAGCAUACACAGCCGCGUCAGCGAGUAUACAAAGAUGGCUAGGGAGGUUCACGGGCCAGACUUCGAUCCGAGCUCCAAGGACAUUGAUGGAGAAAUCGUGAUGAGGGUGGGAGGAGGCAAGAAGCAUGGCCGAUAUUGGAUUGGCGACGGCGUCAUCGACACGGCCUCUACUCCCACUCUCUCCCAGAUCCGAGCUAGGAGCACGGACUCGAGCCCCGGGAUAUGGCCACGACCCACCGUUGCACAGUUCCAGAUGGAUGCUCUACAGGUUCUUUCUCUUCCAUUCAUCGUUCGUUUGUUGUUAUAAUUUAUCUUUGCAUUAUAACAUUGCAAUGAAAUAUUGUAGGCCCAGGUGGAAGAAGCAAGGAAGAAACAAGAGGAGAUGGCGGCGCAGACGGAGGAAAUGCGGCGGAGGAUGGAGGAGGAAAACCGGAUUAGGAUGGAGCAGAUGUUCCAUUACAUGCAGAACUUUGCUUCGAGCAUGGGACAGUCUUUGCCUCCACCACCGCUGAUGAUGUUCCCUCCGCCUCAGCCACCCACGACUACUCCUGUGAGUCACUUGACACAUUGUGCUUAAAAUUCAAUACUUUAAUUUUGACAACUUUAGAUGUUAGUUCAGAAUGUCCUAUCCUAUGUGCAGAAUCAAUCGGCGGCUUUGAAUAAUGAAGAUCAAGAUUUAUCGCAGUGGUCUCCUUGGCCUCCACGGAACUAGACUUGGUUGUGAACUUGGUUGAAACUAAAUUGUGACUUGAACUUGGAUUUAUGGAUUGUUUUGUGCUUAUGUUGAAUUAUGCAUGUGACAUUUAUGUAUAAUGUUUCUAAUGGUGGUUGUGAAUUAUGCCUGUGAUUGUUUAUAUAUAAUGUUUCUAAUGAUGAUGUGUAUUAUGAAUUGAGAGGGGUCCGUUAUACGUGACAAAAUGGGAGAAAAGGGGGGUUCUGGGCACUUUCCCGAGUGUUACACUCGGCAAAGAGGGGCCUUUGCCGAGUGUUUUGGCUUUAACACUCGGCAAACAUGGGCACUUUGCCGAGCACUUUGCCGAGUGCUGACACUCGGCAAAGCCCUGGUGUUUUGCCGAGUGCCUCCCGUCUGGCGCUCGGCAAACCUGCCGUUAAACCCGACGCCGUCAUCGCGUAUUUCGCCGAGUACAUCUUUUCGUCGAGUGUUUUUUGGCCGUCGGCAGAAUGUUUGCCGAGUGCUCGCAUUUUGACACUCGGCAAACUAGGCUUUGCCGACAGGAAAUUUGCCGUGUGCUCUUUGCCGAGUGUUUUUGGGCUUUCGCCGAGUGCCUGUGGCACUCGGCAAAGCUUCUGGUUCCCGUAGUGACUAUUGUAGAUCGUUUGCGAAACUAAUUUUCUUAGCUUCCUUGUAUCAUUUAUAUUCCAGAUCUGUAACUUGAACUCGUGGAAUAUAUGUGUUUUCCCACUGUUUUGGAUUUAUUCCUUGUUUGCUGAUUGAAUCUUGAAAAGUUCAUAGUAAAUAGCAGAAAAAUGAUAAAAUGUUGGAACUACAUUUGUUAGACUAGUUUUCCUGUACAGAACCUCCGAAAAAUUUUCUCCAUGUCUUCAUUGCCGGCACUUAGCCCAGAACGCCUUGCACUGUUGCACAGUCCGCAACUAACUCUUCUCUUCUACUCUUUUUGCACGGAAGUUCCCUGAAAUCAUAUCAGAAGUCUCAAAUUAUUACACACGCCAUAGCUUUUCGUUGUACACCUCAGAAGCCCUCGAGAAGUAAAAUUGACCAUAAUUUAGCCGUGUAAUCGGCCAAUGCCACAUCAAAUAGUCAAAUCAAGUAGUAAGCAUUUGCCAGAUCAAGUAUUCUGCAUCUCAAGUAGGAGUUAACAAAAGCAGCAAAUGCAUUUCUUCCAAUGUGACGGAAAACAUAAAUAAGCCGGAUUCUCCAAGCAAGUGUAGCCCCUGUGAUAGAUCAUGCAACGGAAAAAAUAUAUCAUUUGGUCAUACCUGAGAAUUGGGAUGGGAUUUUGGGAGGGAUACAUGUAUUUGUAACCAGUUCGUUCCUUCACAUAUUGUGGUCGUCGGUGGCAUGGUGCAGCUGGGUUUUGCCAUCCUAUUUUCGAUAGAAAAAACAAGAUCAUUUAACAUAUGUGCACAGGUAUAUGCAUGUAUACAUUAGCUUCUAAACCGUAAAAGAACUUGAAUUAGUGUGUAUCAUGGCUGGCGAAGGGAUGCGGCUGAUGGACUCCGUGCUUGCGUCGUCGUGCAUUGAUUGGAGGAUGAUGGCCGUCGUGACGGCAGCCAAGAAUCAAGGCGCUUGCGGUAAGUAUGCCAGUGACAUCCAAAGUCAUGCAUGCGUGAAAAUUUACUGAUGCAAGUGUCUACGUGCUUGAAGGGUCUUGCUGGGCGUUCACGUCGGUGGCGACGAUGGAGAGCGCACAGGCAAUACGCACACGAACAGUGCCUCCACUCCUGUCAGAACAGCUGCUGGUAGACUGCGACGGGUACGGCUAGACUUGUCACUGGAUUUGCAUUAUCCAUAGUCCAUUUGAACUAUUUUAUCCUUAGACUCUAUUGGACUGCAUCAUAUUGGUUAGGUCCAAACCUAACACUGACUUGGUUGAUCCCUUUCCAUCACCAUCUCUAGGUACGACCUAGGCUGCCGUGGCGGCUUUUUGGGCAAUGCAUUCCGAUGGGUGAUCCAGAUCGGGGGCAUCACCUGGGCCCCGUUGUACCCCUACAUCGGUAUGUCUGGUAUGUGCCAGAGAUUCAAGCCUGCUGCGGUUAGGCUUCGGAGCUACCGGUGGGUUGUGCCCAACGAGGUGUCGCUCAUGCAGGCCGUGGCGCAGCAGCCCGUCGAAGUCACCAUCUGACGCAAGCAACCCCUGUUUCCAGCAUUACUACGGCGGCGUGUACGACGGAAGGUGCUUCUGGAACGGCGUCUACAUCGGUGGGGCGUGCGGGACGGCGCCGAGUCACGCGAUAGCCAUCGUCGGCUACGGGACCAAGCCGGGCGGAACCAAGUAUUGGAUCGGCAAGAACUCGUGGAGUGGGAGUUGGGGUGACAAAGGUUUCGUUUACCUCCUCAGGGACUCUGCACGCGUAGGAGUGUGCGGCGUUGCUCAGCAAGCGCGCUACCCUAUCAUCUGAUCAUCCCAGUCGCCAAAUCGCCACGCACCUCAUAUGUUUGCCUCCAUGUGCUUGCAUUCAUGUUUUCACCAUACCUUGCUGUUUACUCAUGUAUACUCCAUUGUUGCAGUAUGAAUGCUACAUGUGUAUACGCGUACUGUAUGUUUGUACUUUAUACAUGUAUCAUCGUAAGGGUUAGGAUGCUACACAUGCAUCCUUGCCUAUGAAUAAAUACUCUUUGUAUAAUGGACGUCCAACUUAUAAGAUGUCUGGAAAAUAGGAUCUAUAUAUCUAGGUCAUAGGUGUCGUCCGACCGAUUCCACUACUACAGAACAUGUUAUCUGUGCUAGCCAAAAGCGCACCAGCACGGAAAACUGUUGUGUCAAUCAUAAGUAUUUUUACCUGAAGGUUAUACACAGAAGUAAAGUAAAUGUGGAAGAAUACACAGAGAACAAGUAUGGAAAUUCAUUCACUUUAGAGUACAAUGCAAUUUCCCAUUGUGUGGCUGCUGAAUCACGUGGCCUCGAGAGGCCUCCGGACAAUAAGAGAAGUUUCAAUUUCAAGUAGCGUUGAAGGGAGGCAUACAAUUGAAGGACUCGAAGGGCAACAAGAGGGGUUGAAUGCGAGCCGAUUCAAAUUUUCUCCAAGAACUUCAGCUAAAAACCCACAAGCCUCUCUUCUAGCAAAAUCAAGUCCACUUAGCUAUGCACAAGCUAAUAGACCUAGGAAUGAUGCUAGGAACCCAAUUUGAGAAUAGCGGAAGCAAGAAAAACUCCAAACAAGCUCCGGAAGACAAACUUUGAAAACCAACAUCUCUGUGCGGAAAAAUUCGGAGGAACCUUCGGAAAAUUCCGGAUGUGCGAAAAUUUCUGGAGGUCCGGAGAUUUCCGGAAUUAUGUCAGGAGGUUUCCGGAAUUCCAAAACAGCCUGCGCGAAGAUGGUAGAAAAAUCUGAAACGGGGUCAAACGACCUCCAAAAAUCACAAAAUUUGAACCAUAGCUUCACAUCUUAGUAAAGAAGCUUCUCCUAUGAAAGCAUCCCCAAAAGAUUUGCCAAUCAAGAAGAAUUCCAAAUCUUGUGAAGAACUCUAUUUUCUCAACCCCAAAACUUGAAUCGAUCCGAUCUUUGAACUCGUGAUGUUUCAAUUAAAUCCCUUCGGUGGAAAGGUUCAACUCACAUCCUAGUUCAUUUUCAAACAACUGGAUUGAUUUAAAACUUCCCACAAAACAUGAAUCGACCAAAAAUGUGAAGGCAGCGGAGAGGAAGAAGCAAAAACGUGAAGAACACAAACGCAAAUUGCAAAUCCAAACGGGAUGCAACAAGAUAGCAUGAAAUAGAUUUUUGGAUUACUUCACCAUGUCUGGUUACAAGCCACUCCUUAGCACAAUCAAAGCUAGGAUGGCAACAAGAUCAAACAAAGAUCCACUCUUCUCUCCCUCUCUCCCUCUACCAAAGACUCUCACAAAACAUAUGAGUAGCCUACCACCAACAAGCCUAAGGAGAUGGCUGCCCCAACAGCCCCUCCUCAUAUAUAUAGACAUUUGGCAAAUGUCCAAAUACCCUUACAUUAAGCAUACAACCCAAAUAUCUCUAGGGGUAAAAUUGUCUAACUUUUUCCUCGUACAUUCGAUGGACCCGACACCUUCACGACUUAGCUUCGUCUUGUCACAAGCUUCGCGAUGGUACCACGUGUGCUCCAACUCGAUCCGUCCAGCCGCACCAAACUCGCCCCCGGUUUUGAGGCCCAAACCGGCAAACCUGCCUGCGCGGUGGUUUUGAGGCCCAAACCACCCAAACCCUCUGCACGCCUACCUGGCGCGACUCACCCCCGAUUUUGAGGUCAAACCGGUCAAACCCUCUGCACACCCUCCUGGCAUGACUCACCCCUGGUUUUGAGGUCAAACCGGUCAAACCCUCUUGCAUGCCCCGCAAGCCAUGACUCACCGAUGUCGACGCGUGUCCAGCCUCUGCCAAGCCUUUGACGCCUCCAAGUCUUUCGCUCCUGGCUCUCGGGCCGCCUAUUCGACUCGCCUCCAUCCCGCUUGACUCGACCGACGCCAUCUCCAUCCCGUCCAUGUACUCUUGCUCUUCCGUGCACCAUGUGGAUCGCCCAUGACUCUGCCCGGACUCCUCGGGUCCCUCGAUCCAAGCCUACUCAUGUCCACCCUUCACAACCCUAGUACAUCAGCAUGGACCUUUCGCGCUUGACCAUCACCUCAUGCCGUGGACCGCCAUGUCGCAUCCUACACCUGCACAUUACAAGCCAAGAGACACAACACACAAGAUAUGUUUUAUACAAACACCGCAACACAACUCACACCUCCAGUUAGCCGUUAGCUUAAGCAAGUGCAUAUGGAAUAUGGACUUAACCGGUAAAGCCUGAAAUCAUCUAGUCAAUCACUCAUCACAGAUAGACCAAGGCACAUCUCAACUUGGUCUCUCAGUCUCCCCUUUGAUAAGUGCAUUGACAAAAGAUGAUUUGAAAGCAAAAGAGAACUCAUUCAAGUACCCAAAAGACAAGUAAGAGCAAACACAAGGCCACUUGAAAUGAGAAGGGAUUAUGCAAGCUCCAAACAAAAAACUUUCAGUUCCUAAAGAAAAAGGGCAAAGAGUUAACACAACUGAAAAGUCAAGCGAAAGACACAAGAGCUCCAUGCAUCCCAAAACCUUCAAACACAUUUCAACAAUUGUCAAACGCUCAUCACUAUCAAAUCAAGAUUCAUAUUAACUUGAUUUCUCAAUCUCCCCCUUGAUGAGUGUGUUGACAACAUUCAAGCACAAAGAAAUGGUUUGAGAGGCAAAAGUCAAAAAUCUCAUUCAAGUGAUCGAAAGCUAAAUAAAAACAUAGAUCAAAGUCACUUGAGAUGAGAAAAACCAUAAAAGCUAAGUUGUGAAACCAAUUAGGCAAACCUCCCAUUCAAGUGAUCGAAAGCCAUAAAAGCUAUGAUUAAAGUCACUCGGCAUGAGAAGACAUGGGCAACGGCUCGACACAACCGAGAUAAAUAACACAUGAUCCCUCAAUAAGAGGUAGAAAGAGCUCAACACCAAUCAUGUGAAGGUUGAAAACACAUGAUCCCUCAAGAAGAGGUAGAAAGGGCUCAACACCAAUCAUGUGACGAUCGAAAUCUCAAACCAAAUGCCGGUUCCUCAAGAAGAUGUAAAAUCUCAACACAACAAGCAAAAGAGCAAAAGAGAGCACAAAACUCACAAGCUCGCCCUGACACAUGCACUCCCCCUGGAAACAUGCCACAAUGAAAUGCAUGCACAAGAGCAAAAGAAUGCAUGCUCCCCCUCAAAUGCAACACUCCCUAUUAAAUGCAAGACUCCCCUUAAAUGCAAACACAAGAUUCACGUGGGAGCACAAAAUGCAUCCCAUGAGGUGUACAACCUACCAAACUUCUUAAAUAUAUCACAAAGCACUUGCAAAGUCUACAAGUGAGAUAAUACAAGCAGGUAGAUCAUAAAGAGCAAUUGCAUCGCCAUAAAGAGGAUAUUAUGAUAUAAGCAAAAUACGAAGCAAGCUGUCAAGUUUUGCAGUUCAUAAAAGUAUCACCACAUGAGCAAGCACCUAGUCAUGAGUCACUCAAGCAAGAAGUAAACAAGGCCAUCAGAGCUCAUACAAGGAAGAUACAUUCUGAACAAGAGAUCAUUGCAAACACCCAUAUAUGCAUCACAAGUCAUGUCAAGGCUUGUCGAAACCAUGUGCCUACUUGUUUUGGUAGACAUCAUGUAACAACUAAGCAAGCAAGGAUAUCAACAUUAAGCACAAAAACUUGGUGAAUUACUGAUUUUUUCUUAUCAUCAUUUUUCAUCAUUCACAUUAAACAAGUUACAUGAAGUGCCUUUGCGGCACAAAGAAGCCAUGCUUCCCCAAGGAAUGCAUCAUGGGCUAAACAUUUGCAAUGAUACCUAGAUCUUUGAUCCAAUUGAAAAGAACAUGAAUUCCAAGUAGAAGCUAAACAUGGAGCUAGCAUUCAAGAAAGAGUAAUGCAUAAAUAGGUAGCUAGUCAUGGGUGAUAAGCAUUUCAGAAUUCAUUAUUCAAGAUGAACAUUUGAUUCAUGAAAGCAUUUAGCUCAACAUGGUUAUAUGACAAUAUCAUCAAGAGCAUAUGCUGCACAUUGCUACAUAAUCACCAACCAAUGCACUAGCUCACAAAUAGCAUAAGGAAAUGCUAAGGAUAUAUAGAAGAAGCUCAUCUAGUGCAAAAUGUACAAGGUGCAAUAUGGUACAGAUACAAUGCGAUGCUAAAAGAGACGGGGUUCGACUAAAAUCAAGAAAGCUCAUGAGGGGUCAAACCAAUCUAGGAAAAGCUUCGUAGCAAAAGAAGAACUGCCAAGGAUCCCAAUUGAGUACCAUAGAAAAGAUACCAAUUGAAGGAUCAAAAAUUGAUAUCACUUGAAGAAAAUGAAAUCCAAUUGAAAGAUCAAAUGUGAUACCAAUUAAAAGAUCAAAAGCAGAUCUCAAAAAUCAAAGCAAGUCCUUGGUCCAAACUCCCCCUCGAAUGAAGCUGAACUCCCCCUCAACCAAAGACACCUAGCAAAAAAAAGCUAGAAAAAGAAGGGGCAAAAGAAAAGCUCUAACUCCAAUAAAAAAGCAGAGAAAAUGCAACCCAAAGACAAGACAGCCCAAAAGCAAGAUAAACCCCAAUUCAUGUCACACAAUGCAAUGAUGAUACAAAUGAGAGGAAUUAAAGUAUUGCAACAUGAUUCUACAUUUAUGAAUAAAAGAUUGGGCAAGCAAACAUGUCAAUAAGGUGCAAAGGACUAUACAAAGAUACUAAGCUAAAAUGAUACCAAAUGAACAAUAUGCCAUACCCGAUACAAAAACUAAGCUAAAGCAUGGCACGAUGUUCAUGUGGAUCAUCCACCAAGAUAUAUUAAAAAGCUAGCAUGACAAGAUAUACAUGAAGAUCACACAUGCUAACAUGAAAAGGUGGCUAGCCUACCAUGGUAUAUUCAUAGCAUGAUACAAGUAUAAAUCCACAAGUGAGUAGUAUACACGAAAGGAAAAACUCACUAUACAAGUGUACAUCCAAAUGGUGUGGAGAACCGUCAAGUCUUGAUCACCUCAAGCAAAAGAUUCAAGUCCCUUCGAGCUCAUGUCCUCCACCCGCAUCCCCGUACCUACACAUGAGGGGACAAAGAAGACUGAGUCUUGGAUCCCAAAGGGUUAGCAAGCAUAUACUUGGGAAUCCAAAACUUAGUCACAUGGGUAAAAGUUGCACUCAACUUAUCAUGUGGGUUAGCAUAAUGCAAAUGCUGGUUCAAAUGUGAUGAUUUUGAAACACCCUUGGAAACAUGACUCAAAGGAGCAACUCGAGAAGAAGAACGAGUGCUACCACUAGCAAAAAGGCAAUGAUCCCCGAGGUCUUAAGAGAAGAACCAACACAAGCAUCAUGAGAACCAUGUCGUGGACCAGCAUAGGAAGAAUUAGAAGCAUGUCUAUGAGCAUGACCUAACUCACUAGAAAAGGAGUCAUAAAACCCAUCAAUGAAAUGUGGCUUAUCACUAGGCUUACAACUGCUCAUGCCAUGAGACGGGCCAUGAACAACCAAAGGCAUAGAAACACGAGUUUGCCGCAUUUGUCUUGCACGACAAUAACAAAAGCUCUCUUCAUGCCCAUCUUUCUCACAAUGGGAGCAAUGGUACAAAGGCCUUUUUGGAGGCAUGGUCCGAGAGGACAAAUCACCAUUCUCAUCCAAGUGAGAAGUCCCUUGGGACUUAGAGCAAGAAGCAUCAACAACACCAUUUGACCUGGUGCCCACAUUAGGUUCACACGUGCCAUGGGAACGGCUACGUGGCUUCCUAAACGUUUUGGCAUGUACACGUCGCUCGUGCUUGACACGACGAAAGCAAAACUCAACGGUAUGCCCAUCUUUCUUGCAAAAGGUGCAAUGGAACUUCGGUUUGGGAGUAUGAGUUCUAAAAAUAUGAGACACACCCUUGCCACUUGAAUUGUCUUGGGAAAUACCGGAAGAAGUAACAAGCUUAGGAAUAGCUAUAAAAGAGCUAUCCACAGUAGUAGCACCAGUGUUAUCAUCCAAAGACUCAUGCUCAACACAAGAAGCCAACCCCAAUUAGGAAGAAGCAAUUUUGGAAGCAUCAACAUCGGAGUGACAAGAGUUGCGAGAAUCAAAAGACUUAGCACAAAGACUCUUGCAUCUUGUGGCCAAAACCUCAUUUUCAUGUUUGAAGUGAUCACAAGUACCACAUGGAGCAUUUCUCAAAUUAUCCAUCUCCUUUUCAAUGCAUUUAGCAUAUGUGGUAUGCAAGAGUUCAUUUUCUUUUUCAAGGUUGGCACUCAUCUCAUUGUGCUCAACCAACUUGGCACUCAUAUCAUCACACAUUUGCUUCAAAGCCAAAACUUCACUUUCCAGUUCAAUGCAUGAUGUUCAAAUAAGACCACAUGAAGAAACAUCAUCAUUCACAUCAAGCAAAGCAUCAUGAUUAUCACAAGAAGUAAGGCAAGCAUCAUCAUCAAGAACCAAAGAGCACAUGCUACAAGGCAUAGACUUCAUAUCACAAAUUUCAGCCCUAGCAUGCUCAAGUUGUUCAACACAUGUGGUGUGAGUUAAUUUUAAUUCAUUAAUUUCAGCAAGCAAAGACGCACAUGAAACACAUGGUAAAGAAGCAUUUAACUUCAAUAAAGUAAUUUCAUCUCUAGCUUUAUCAAAAUCAUUAUUCAAAGCAACACAUGAAUUACAUGGCAUAGAGGUAUUCGAUUUCAACAUGUCAUUUUGAGAUUUCAAGCAAUCAAGAGAAGAGUUCAAUUCAUCAUUCUUUCUAAGCAAGGCAUCACAAAAAUUGCAAGGAUUUAAAGCAUGUGACUUCCAAUGAGCAAUUCCACAUUUCAACCUAGCAAGAGAACAUUUCAUCUUAUCAUUCUUUCUACGUAAAGCAUCAGAAAGCUCUAUGUUUCUCUCAUUCUCAUCUUCACAAUCAUCAACACGAUUGCAUAGAACCAUGAUGCAUUUUGCAAGUGUACCUUGGCUCAUGUCUCUUAGCCCGCGGUAGAACUCGACCUUUGUGUGGUCACCAUCCUAGUAGUUCUCGAGGAGAUUCAUCAUUGCCUCCACUUCGGGUUCCAACUCAAUCUCCGAACUCCUUCUACCUGAGGACAAUGAAACACAAGAAGAAGAGCUUGGUGCCAUGGCUCAAAGCACCGGUUAGGAUUAGCCAAAAGCAAGCUCAAAUCGCGAAAACCAAAUCCGAAAGAAAAAGCACCCUUUCGCUUGUCGCCCCGUGGAUCACAAAGCCGAUUAAGGUUGUGUGAUCCUUAACCAAGCUCUGAUACUAAUUGAGGACCGGAAAGGCGACCAGAGGGGGGGGUGAAUGGGAGCCGAUUCAAAUUUUCUCCAAGAACUUUAGCUAAAAACCCACAAGCCUCUCUUCUAGCAAAAUCAUGUCCAGUUAGCUAUGCACAAGCUAAUAGACCUAGGAAUGAUGCUAGGAACCCAAUUUGAGAAUAGCGGAAGCAAGAAUGACUCCAAAAAAGCUCCGAAAGACAAACUUUGAAAACCAACACCUCUAUGCGGAAAAAUCUGGAGGAACCUUCGGAAAAUUCCGGACGUGCAGAAAUUUCCGGAGAAACCUUCGGAAAUUUUUGGAGGUCCGGAGAUUUCGGAAUUAUGUCCGGAGGUUUCCGGAAUUCCAAAACAGCCUGCGCGAAGAUGGUAGAAAAAUCCGAAAUGGGGUCAAACGACCUCCAAAAAUCACAAAAUUUGAACCAUAGCUUCACAACUUAGUAAACAAGCUUCUCCUAUGAAAUCAUCCCCAAAACAUUUGACAAUCAAGCGGAAUUCAAAAUCUUGUGAAGAACUCUAUUUUCUCAACCCCAAAAUUUGAAUCGACCCGAUCUAUAAACUCGUGAGGUUUCAAUCAAAUCCCUUCGGUGGAAAGGUUCAACUCACGUCCUAGUUCAUUUCCAAACAACCAGAUUGAUUUAAAACUCCCCAAAAAACAUGAAUCAACCAAAAAUGUGAAGGGGGCGGAGAGAAAGAAGCAAAAACAUGAAAAACACAAACGCAAAUUGCAAAUCCAAAUGGGAUGGAACAAGAUAGCAUGAAAUAGAUCUUUGGAUUACUUCACCAUGACCGAUUGCAAGCCACUCCUUAGCACAAUCAAAGCUUGGACGGCAAAAAGAUCAAACAAAGAUCCACUCUUCUCUCCCUCUCUCCCUCUACCAAAGACUCUCCCAAAACAAAUGAGUAGCCUACCACCAACAAGCCCAAGGAGAUGGCUGCCCCAAUAGCCUCUCCUCAUAUAUAUAGAUAUUUGGCAAAUAUCUAAAAUGCCCUUACAUUAAGCAUACAACCUAAAUACCUCCAGGGGUAAAAUUGUCCAACUUUUUCCUUGUACAUCGGAUGGACUCAACGCCUUCACAACUUAGCUUUGUCUCAGCAUAAGCUUCGUGAUGGUGCCAUGUGUCCUCCGACUCGACGCUGUCCAUCCGCACCGAACUCACCCCCGGUUUUGAGGCCCAAACCGGCAAACCUACUUGUGCGGUGGUUUUGAGGCCCAAACCACCCAAACCCUCUGCACACCCACCUGACGUGACUCACCCCCAGUUUUGAGGUCAAACCGGUCAAACCCUCUGCACACCCUCCUGGCAUGACUCACCCCCGGUUUUGAGGUCAAACCGGUCAAACCCUCUUGCACGCCCCGCAAGGUGUGACUCAACGAUGUCGACGCGUGUCCAGCCUCCACCAAGCCUUUGACGCCUCAAAGACUAUCGCUCCCGGCUCCCGGGCCGCCUACUCGACUCGUCUCCGUCCCGCUUGACUCGACCAAUGCCGUCUCCAUCCCGUUCAUGUACUCUUGCUCUUCCAUGUACCAUGUGGAUCGUGCAUGACUCCGCCCGGACUCCUCGGGUCCCUCGAUCCAAGCCUACUCAUGUCCACCCUUCACAGCCCUAGUACAUUGACAUAGACCUUUCGCGCUUGACCUUCACCUCAUGCCGUCUACCGCCAUGUCGCAUCCUGCACCUGCACAUUACAAGCCAAGAGAUGCAACACACAAGAUAUGUUUUAUACAAACACCGCAACACAACUUACACCUCCGAUUAGCCGUUAGCUUAAUCAAGUGCAUAUGGAAUAUGGUCUUAACCGGUAAAGCCUCAAAUCAUCUAGUCAAUCACUCAUUACAAAUAGACCAAGGCACAUCUCAACUUGAUCUCUCAACAAUGUUGCAACAUAUCACAACAUGUCGAGAAGGUGGUACCCAAUAAUGCAUAUUUUGAAAAAAGGUGGUUCUGAUCAAAAUCCUUUGGAUUAGUUCAAGGAGAUCGAUAUCUAGAGCAGUUCUUGUACUCCACAGUGCCUUAGGGAAUUUUACAUAUGUUCAGAUGUGAGACCUUUUGAUAUCAUUAAUCUCUAUACAAUGAAUAAUCAACACGUUCGAUGUGAUCUAUUGCAAAGAGAUCCAGAUCUCUAUACUGCUCUUGAUGCACCGGCUCGUGUUUGUUCAUCCACGUGCUGUCUCCACAAGAUGACACAAGGUGCGUGAUGCACCAAGAAUUGGCUGGACACGCAAUGCAAAUUAUUUGAUACAUCAUACUUUCGGAUCUAGUUUCUGGGGCCACAGAAGAAUUGCGCUGCCAGAGAUGAUCUACUUGUUGUUUUUUUAAGAAAAAGGGUUCACCCAGUGUGUGAAGGGGAGAUUAGAUCACACAUGUGUGAUAAAAGAUAUUAUUAAAGUUUAGUCAUACGACUAGGGCCAUAGUUGCGAAUUUAAGUUCUACCACCACACAAAUAUGCCCCUACAUUGGUCCUAGCCUACCAGUCAUCUUUCCGACCGCCGGCGGCCAGCGGCAUCCCACCAGCUCGUCGUGCCUCCCACUCAACUCACACCCGGCGCUGGGCUUUCCUGGUUCCCUUCCCUAACCCCAAUGUCCAUGGUGUCGCCUCAACAAAGAAUAUGAACAAGGGUGCUGCUACACCUGCCAGCGACUUGGAAGGGUUUUCUAUGCCCGACGACGAUAAGUCGUGCGCGUGAUUGGUAGUAUUCUCGGAAUUUUCCUACACACUGACUCGCAGAUAUUAAUGGCGCAAUGUGUUAUUUGGGGCCAGUAUAAUAUACUAUCAACAAAAUGGAUCCAUGAAAUAUAUUCUUGCCCUCGUGCAUCUCACCCAUAUGGUAAGAUUCAAACGUGGAUCCGUACACACAUAUAGGAUGCAUGCAUAACCCCACACUAUAAACCACAUAUUAUGUGACGUGAAUAAGAAAUAGAAAAGGUGCUUGUACAUGGACACCCCUUAGAUUGAAAGAACACUGAAGACGCUGCAGGUACAACACUACUGAGAGUUCCACUUGGGCAUCUUAUUUCCUUCAAAUUAUUAACUUAACAGGUACUUCAGAGAAACUUCCUGUGCAAAUUUCUCAAAGCACAAUUUGAUGUGUUUUGUUGCAUCUUAAAUAGACAUAGGGCCACCAUUAGCCUGUAUACAACAAAGUAAAAUCAAGGCUAAUGUUAGAUCAUAAGCAGACAGUUGUUCUUUGUCAGUAGUCUAGACAAAUUUAGUUUUACUGCUAGAGUCACUACAGAGACUGGUGGAAAAGUGAGCAUUAGUCUAUGUUGGAUAGCCUCAUAUAUCUCAAAUAUACAACUGGGACUAAUUUUUCAAGACUAAAGGUCCCUCCAGGUCACUCACCCAGGACUAAACACAAUACCAACCGGGACUAAAGAGGCCGCCAUGCAGGCGCAUGCAUGUGGCCCCUUUAGUCCCGGUUGGUAUGGUUGGUAAUACCAACAUACCAACCGGGACUAAAGACCUUUUUUCAUUUUACCCUGAAUUCCUUUUCAUAUUAAUGCUAAUUGUUGCUUCACUUAUAUAUAUACCUAUACGUAUACAUCCUUAGCAUACAUUAUUUACACAUAUACGCUUGUAUUGUAUGCAUGUCAUAUAUAUAUUUCAUGGUAGUAUAUGCAUAAUAUUAAUUAUAACUACUAUAUAUACAAUUAUUAGUAGUUUAUACACAUCAAACUAGUAUUUAUACAAUUUCUAUACAUACAAUAAUUUGUCCUCUUCAUUCUUAGGAUCCUCCCAUCGUGGUGUUGCUCGGUUCGGCUAUUGAAUGUCCAACGUAAUAAAAUUCUCCAAUGGGAUUUAUCAUCUCGUCCACCAGAAAUCCUAUGAGAGCUUCUUGAUUACCAAAAGCCUCUCCUUCUCUAAGAGUUCUUCUCUAAUAUGCAUCAUCUGUAAUUUAGAAAUAUGUGAAUGUUACACCAACAAUUAAAUAUAAGAAGUUAGAAAAUGAUUAAUUAUUGAUAGGUUUAUUUUAUGCACAAUUAUAUCAUUCGAUAUCACCUUGUCCCUCACAAAAUGGUACAUGUGCUCAAAGAUGUAGUAUCCACAUAAAUUAUUCACUUACUCCUAUCUCAAGCACAUUACUGGAAAAAAACCAUUUAUGAAAUAUUCAUGUUAUAGAAUGUACAAAAUGUGCAAACUUCAUACAUACCGGGAAUGAUGUACUGAAUGUAAGUUUUUCUUUGAAAUCACCAUAGUGAUGCUUACAGAAUCGUUUCCAUGCAUUGUGAAUUAAAAUAAUGAAUGAUACAGUGUUAGGUGAAAAUUUAGGAAUCAAACUAUUACAUAGAGAUAAAGGUUCGAAAUUAUUACAAGUUAAGAAUUUCUUGAAUGUCUUUGUACUCGUCCUUUGGUUUCCUCAACGAAUCAAACACAACAACGUUGAGUUGAUCAAUCAUAAUUGUAAGGAGAAUCCAGUGGAAACUAUGUACAUAAAUGUUCAUAUUAGAACUAACUAACAUUAAUUAGGUAAGGAAAAGGAAAAUGAAAAUAGACGGUACCCACACUUUACCCACACUUACUUAAAGUUGUAAGGCAGUAGUAUGUAUUGCUUGUGUCUCGAAGUGCGACACGUGUCAACGUGUCAAGGCAAGCCAUUUGAAGGAGCAGGUACCUUGCAACCGCUACCUAUUCCAUCGUUGAAAUGGGAAGAUAUAUUAGCAUGGAUUUCAUUGUGGGAUUACCCGUUACCUCUCAGUGACAUGAUUCUAUUUGGGUUAUAGUGGAUUGCCUCACUAAGACGGCACACUUUCUUCCUGUUCAGAUUGCCUACACAACCCGAAAAUAUGCAGAGUUAUACCUAGACCAUAUCGUCUCCUUACAUGGUGUUCCGAAGACGAUCAUCUCUGAUCGAGGUGCUCAGUUUGUGGCACGUUUUUGGGAACAACUGCAAUCGUCACUUGGCACCAAGUUAAUUCGUAGCUCCACUUACCACCCUCAGACUGAUGGCCAAACAUAAAGGAUAAAUCAAAUCCUAGAAGACAUGCUACGCGCUUGCGUCGUACAUUUUGACAAGAAUUGGGAUAAAUGCUUACCAUUGGUAGAGUUCUCUUACAACAAUAGCUACCAGUCUAGCUUAAACAUGGCACCAUUUGAAGCCUUGUAUGGCCGAUGGUGUCGAACACCAUUGAGUUGGUCACAAGCCGGAGAGAGAAGAAUUUACGGACCCGACUUGGUGAUGGAAGCCGAAGAACAAGUAAGAGUGAUUCAGGCACAUCUAAAAGCCGCUCAGUCACGUCAGAAAAGCUAUUCCGACAAAAGUAGGAGACCCUUGCAGUUUGACAUUGAUGAUCAUGUAUACCUCCGAGGCUCCCCGACCAAAGGAGUGCAACAGUUUGGAGUAAAGGGGAAAUUGGCACCCCGUUUCAUUGGCCCUUAUGAGAUUGUGGAAAUAUGAGGACCCGUUGCUUAGUGGAUCCAACUACCCGAACAGAUCUCAGCUAUUCACGACGUCUUCCAUAUCUCUCAACUAAAGAAAUGUGUCCGAGUCCUGAUUGAAAUCUUGGAGCAGGGACAACUUGAAAUCGAACCCGACUUAUCCUAUGCGGAAUAUCCUGCCAAAGUCCUCGAUCGUAACAAGAGGUACACCCGACGGAAAGUUGUGAAGAUGUACAAGAUUUAGUGGAGUAACCACACAAAAGAUGAAGCGACAUGGGAAAUAGAGGAAUAUUUGAAUAAGCACUUUUGAGGUUUUCUUUUCAGCCAAGGAGGUAAGACCCACAAACCCCACUAGUUCUCCUUGCACUCAAAUCUCGGGACGAGAUUCUUUUUAAGGGGGGUAGGCUGUAACUGUUGGGAUACGAGGUAGGCUACACUAGCGCAAAUCAAAAUUUCUACCACGUAAAACCAGGAAGAACUACCGUAUAAGGAUCACGGGAUUACCACUCAACGCACUACUGGUGCGGAAGAUGUAGAUUUGCGUCGAUGCAGCGAAGAUGAUCAAUGUAGUCGUAUGUAGUCGAUCAACGUAGUUGUACAUAGUCGAUCACGUCAACGUCCAGCAGCUCCUCAGCAGCUCGUCCACGUGCAGCAAGAUCGCCCUCGUGCCGCGGCUCGUCGGCGGCUCGUCGUGGCUCAUCGGCGGCUCGUCCGAGUGCUGCAGGCGCAACACCUCCAAGGUAUCCACACGUGCAGGGAGGAAGCAUCGCAAGCCGGACUACUAGAUCUGCGAGUUGCAACAGGCAAGGGCGUGGGAGGCGCGGCAUAUGUGUUUCAACAAAAGGUGUAAACCCUAGGGCGCCCCCACCCCUCUAUUUAUAGAGGUUCCUAACGGGCCUCUGGGUCCGAGGCCCAUUAGUACUUCUAAACCUAAUCCAACUCGGAUCACAUCCGAAUUGGGCUUCCAGCCCCUUAAGUGUGUGACCCUAUGGGUUCGGAUACGUAUAGACAUGGCCCGAGUGUUGGGAUAUGAGGUAGGAUACACUAGCGCAAUUCAAAAUUCUACCGCGUAUAACCAGGAAGAACUGCCGUAUAAGGAUCACGGGAUUACCACUCGACGCACUACUGGUGCGGAAGAUGUAGAUAUGCGUCGAUGCAGUGAAGACGAUCACGUAGUCGUACGUAGUCGAUCAACGUAGUCGUACGUAGUCGAUCACAUCCAGCAGCUCCUCAGCAGCUCGUCCACGUGCAGCAAGAUCGCCUCCGGUACCACGGCUCGUCGUCGGCUCGUCGUGGCUCGUCAGCGGCUCGUCGGCGGCUCGUCCAAGUGCUGCAGGCGCAACACCUCCAAGGUAUCCACACGUGCAGGGAGGAAGCGUCGCAAGCCGGACUGCUAGAUCCGCGGGUUGCAACAGGUGAGGGCGUGGGAGGCGCGGCAGGUGUGUUUCGCCAAAAGGUGUAAACCCUAGGGCGCCCCCACCCCUCUAUUUAUAGAGGUUCCUGACGGGCCUCUGGAUCCGAGGCCCAUUAGUACUUCUAAACCUAAUCCAACUCGGAUCACAUCCGAAUUGGGCUUCCAGCCCCUUAAGUGUGUGACCCUAUGGGUUCGGAUACGUAUAGACAUGGCCCGAGUGUUGGGAUACGAGGUAGGAUACACUAGCGCAAUUCAAAAUUCUACCGCGUAUAACCAGGAAGAACUGCCGUAUAAGGAUCACGGGAUUACCACUCGACGCACUACUGGUGCGGAAGAUGUAGAUAUGCGUCGAUGCAGUGAAGACGAUCACGUAGUCGUACGUAGUCGAUCACAUCCAGCAGCUCCUCAGCAGCUCGUCCACGUGCAGCAAGAUCGCCUCCGGUACCGCGGCUCGUCGUCGGCUCGUCAUGGCUCGUCAGCGGCUCGUCGGCGGCUCGUCCAAGUGCUGCAGGCGCAACACCUCCAAGGUAUCCACACGUGCAGGGAGGAAGCGUCGCAAGCCGGACUGCUAGAUCCGCGGGUUGCAACAGGUGAGGGCGUGGGAGGCGCGGCAGGUGUGUUUCGCCAAAAGGUGUAAACCCUAGGGCGCCCCCACCCCUCUAUUUAUAGAGGUUCCUGAUGGGCCUCUGGAUCCGAGGCCCAUUAGUACUUCUAAACCUAAUCCAACUCGGAUCACAUCCGAAUUGGGCUUCCAGCCCCUUAAGUGUGUGACCCUAUGGGUUCGGAUACGUAUAGACAUGGCCCGAGUGUUGGGAUACGAGGUAGGAUACACUAGCGCAAUUCAAAAUUCUACCGCGUAUAACCAGGAAGAACUGCCGUAUAAGGAUCACGGGAUUACCACUCGACGCACUACUGGUGCGGAAGAUGUAGAUAUGCGUCGAUGCAGUGAAGAUGAUCACGUAGUCGUACGUAGUCGAUCAACGUAGUCGUACGUAGUCGAUCACGUCCAGCAGCUCCUCAGCAGCUCGUCCACGUGCAGCAAGAUCGCCUCCGGUACCGCGGCUCGUCGUCGGCUCGUCAUGGCUCGUCAGCGGCUCGUCGGCGGCUCGUCCAAGUGCUGCAGGCGCAACACCUCCAAGGUAUCCACACGUGCAGGGAGGAAGCGUCGCAAGCCGGACUGCUAGAUCCGCGAGUUGCAACAGGUGAGGGCGUGGGAGGCGCGGCAGGUGUGUUUCGCCAAAAGGUGUAAACCCUAGGGCGCCCUCACCCCUCUAUUUAUAGAGGUUCCUGACGGGCCUCUGGAUCCGAGGCCCAUUAGUACUUCUAAACCUAAUCCAACUCGGAUCACAUCCGAAUUGGGCUUCCAGCCCCUUAAGUGUGUGACCCUAUGGGUUCGGAUACGUAUAGACAUGGCCCGAGUGUUGGGAUACGAGGUAGGAUACACUAGCGCAAUUCAAAAUUCUACCGCGUAUAACCAGGAAGAACUGCCGUAUAAGGAUCACGGGAUUACCACUCGACGCACUACUGGUGCGGAAGAUGUAGAUAUGCGUCGAUGCAGUGAAGAUGAUCACGUAGUCGUACAUAGUCGAUCAACGUAGUCGUACGUAGUCGAUCACGUCCAGCAGCUCCUCAGCAGCUCGUCCACGUGCAGCAAGAUCGCCUCCGGUACCGCGGCUCGUCGUCGGCUCGUCAUGGCUCGUCAGCGGCUCGUCGGCGGCUCAUCCAAGUGCUGCAGGCGCAACACCUCCAAGGUAUCCACACGUGCAGGGAGGAAGCGUCGCAAGCCGGACUGCUAGAUCCGCGAGUUGCAACAGGUGAGGGCGUGGGAGGCGCGGCAGGUGUGUUUCGCCAAAAGGUGUAAACCCUAGGGCGCCCCCACCCCUCUAUUUAUAGAGGUUCCUGACGGGCCUCUGGAUCCGAGGCCCAUUAGUACUUCUAAACCUAAUCCAACUCGGAUCACAUCCGAAUUGGGCUUCCAGCCCCUUAUGUGUGUGACCCUAUGGGUUCGGAUACGUAUAGACAUGGCCCGAGUGUUGGGAUACGAGGUAGGAUACACUAGCGCAAUUCAAAAUUCUACCGCGUAUAACCAGGAAGAACUGCCGUAUAAGGAUCACGGGAUUACCACUCGACGCACUACUGGUGCGGAAGAUGUAGAUAUGCGUCGAUGCAGUGAAGACGAUCACGUAGUCGUACGUAGUCGAUCAACGUAGUCGUACGUAGUUGAUCACGUCCAGCAGCUCCUCAGCAGCUCGUCCACGUGCAGCAAGAUCGCCUCCGGUACCGCGGCUCGUCGUGGCUCGUCAGCGACUCGUCGGCGGCUCGUCCAAGUGCUGCAGGCGCAACACCUCCAAGGUAUCCACACGUGCAGGGAGGAAGCGUCGCAAGCCGGACUGCUAGAUCCGCGAGUUGCAACAGGUGAGGGCAUGGGAGGCGCGGCAGGUGUGUUUCGCCAAAAGGUGUAAACCCUAGGGCGCCCCCACCCCUCUAUUUAUAGAGGUUCCUGACGGGCCUCUGGAUCCGAGGCCCAUUAGUACUUCUAAACCUAAUCCAACUCGGAUCUGAUCCGAAUUGGGCUUCCAGCCCCUUAAGUGUGUGACCCUAUGGGUUCGGAUACGUAUAGACAUGGCCCGAGUACCCCUACUCGGCCCAAUAGUUGGUAGCGGCCUCUAGCAAGACGUGCCAACUCCUAUACGCACACGAAGAUCAUAUCAGACGAACCAUCACAACAUAAUAUACAUGCUAUUCCCUUUGCCUCACGAUAUUUGGUCUAGCUUCAAGUCGACCGCUCUUUCUCGAUCCUGUGGUUCGGAAUCCCUUUGUAGGUUAACUCUUAACCGUACGUAGCAUGGCCAUGCAUUUUCGGAUCCGAUCACUCGAAGGGCCCAGAGAUAUCACUCUCAAUCAGAGAGGGGCAAAUCCCAUCUUGAUUGACUAUGUCUCAUAGCAUGCUUCUUGACAAACCCGAAAGCUACCUUUAUAACUACCCUGUUACGGCGUAGCGUUUGAUAGCCCCUAAGUAGGUCGAUCCACAUCUAGAACACAUGCGACAAUCUCAGGUCUAAGGACAAAGCGUAUAUGUUGUUUAAAGAGAGAACUACUUCUCGUGUUGGGUCAGUCCUAGCACAUGUCUCCACAUGUGUCCACAUUAUUAGUUCAACAUCUCCAUGUCCAUGACUUGUGAAACAUAGUCAUCAACUAAUACAUGUGCUAGUCUAAUAUUCAUGUGUGUCCUCACAUGAACUCCGACUAGGGACAACUUUAGAAUAAACAUACAAGUAAAGAGUUUCACAUACAAUUCACAUAAUUGCAAAUCAAUUCAAGUAGCCUUCAAUGGAUAUUCAACGAACACAACAUACAAAUCAUGGAUACAAAUGGAAUAUCAUCAUCUCUAUGAUUGCCUCUAGGGCAUACCUCCAACAGUCUCCCACUUGCACUAGAGUCAAUCUAGAAGGUACCUAAUACCCAUAGCUCUUACAUGCGCAUCAUGCUUAGCCUGUGGGAGUGGUUUUGUCAACGGAUCAGAAAUGUUCAGAUCCGUGUGUAUUUUGCAUAUCUUGAUCUCACCCCGGUUAACAAAGUCUCGAAUUAGAUGAAAUCGCCGCAUUACGUGUUUGUUCUUCUGGUGGUUCCUUGGCUCCUUUGCUUGUGCAAUUGCCCCAUUGUUAUCACGGUAGAGAUUCAAUGGGCUGGACGCAUUCGGGAACACACCAAGCUCAAUGAGGAAAUUCCUUAUCCAAACACCUUCCUUCGCGGCUUCCGAAGCCGCGAUGUACUCGGCUUCUGUCGUAGAAUCGGCCACCGUCUCCUUCUUGGAACUCUUCCAACUAACAGCACCACCAUUCAGUGUGAACACAAAUCGUGAUUGUGACUUUGAAUCAUCUCUGUCAGUUUGGAAACUAGCAUCGGUGUAACCUGUUACAACGAGCUCCUCCUCACCUCCAUAGACGAGGAACAUAUCUUUAGUCCUUCUCAAGUACUUAAGAAUGUUUUUCACCGCUGUCCAGUGACUCUCACCUGGAUCAGAUUGGUGUCUGCUUGUCAUACUUAGCGCAUAUGAAACAUCUGGGCGAGUACUUAUCAUUGCAUACAUGAUAGAUCCAAUAGCCGAGGCAUAUGGCACUCUACUCAUGCGAUCCCGCUCAUCAGCAGUCGAAGGACACUGAGUCUUGCUGAGAUGUAUGCCAUGUGACAUAGGUAAGAACCCUUUCUUUGCCUCUUCCAUGCUGAACCGCUUCAACACUUUGUCAAUGUAAGUAUCUUGGCUUAAACCUAUAAGCCUUCUCGAUCUAUCUCUAUAGAUCUUAAUGCCCAGAAUAUAUGCCGCUUCCCCUAAGUCCUUCAUCGAAAAACUAUUUUUCAGUGAAGUCUUUACGGACUCAAGCAUAGGAAUGUUAUUUCCAAUCAGUAAUAUGUCAUCCACAUAUAAGAUUAGAAAUACUACAGAGCUCCCACUAACCUUCUUGUAAACACAAGACUCUUCUUCGUUCUUGGUGAAGUCAAACCCUUUGACCACUUCAUCAAAACGAAUGUUCCAACUCCUAGAUGCUUGCUUCAAUCCAUAAAUGGAUCUCUGAAGCUUGCAUACCUUUCCAGCAUUUUUCGGAUCGACAAAACCCUCGGGCUGUAUCAUAUACACGUCCUCAGUUAGGUUUCCAUUCAGGAAAGCUGUCUUGACAUCCAUCUGCCAUAUCUCAUAAUCGAAAUAUGCAGCUAUAGCUAGAAUAAUCCGAAUGGACUUAAGCAUCACUACGGGCGAGAAGGUCUCAUCGUAGUCAACUCCUUGAACUUGUCGAAAACCUUUUGCGACAAGUCGUGCUUUAUAGAUGUGAACAUUUCCAUCCAUGUCCUUUUUCUUCUUAUAGAUCCAUUUGCACUCUAUGGCUUUAACACCAUCAGGCGGGUCAACCAAGUUCCAAACUUGAUUGUCUCCCAUGGACUCUAUUUCGGAUUGCAUGGCAUUCUGCCAUUUUUCAGAGUCUGGGUCCAUCAUUGCUUCUGCAUAUGUCGCAGGCUCAUCAUUGUCCAACAAUAAUAUUUCCCGCAUUUCGCGGAGCCUUGCCGACCUUCGUGGUUGUGGCGGUGCUUCUCUUGCCAUGGGUAUCUCAACUUGUUCUGCUACGUUAGCAUCACUCAUUGAUUCUUGCCCGAUCGGCUCAUCUUGAACUUCUUCAAGAUGCACUGUCUUUCCACUCUUUUCUCCUUUGAGAAACUCUUUCUCUAGGAAAACCCCAUUCCGAGCGACAAACACUUUGCCUUCUGAUCGGUUGUAGAAAUAAUAUCCCAAAGUUUCCUUUGGAUAUCCCACGAAAAUGCACUUAUCCGACUUGGGUGUGAUCUUGUCCGACUGAAGUCGCUUGACAAACACUUCACAUCCCCAAAUAUUUAGAAAAGACAAACUAGGAACCUUUCCAGUCCACAUCUCAUAUGGUGUCUUAACUACGGAUUUAGAUGGUACCCUAUUAAGUGUGAAAGCUGUUGUUUCUAGAGCGUAUCCCCAAAAUGACAACGGUAGGUCCGACUGGCUCAUCAUUGAUCGAACCAUGUCUAACAAAGUUCGAUUACGUCGCUCGGACACACCGUUUCUCUGAGGUGUUCCAGGCGGCGUAAGUUGUGGAACAAUUCCGCAACUCUUUAGAUGAUUGCUAAACUCGUGGCUCAAAUACUCGCCUCCACGAUCAGAUCGUAAGGCCUUAAUUUUCUCGCCGCGCUGAUUUUCAACUUCAUUCUGAAAUUCCUUGAACUUUUCAAAGGUUUCAGACUUGUGCCUCAUCAAGUAGACAUAGCCAUAUCUACUAAAAUCAUCAGUGAAAGUUAUGAAGUAUUGGAAUCCUCCUCUAGCCGUCGUGCUCAUUGGUUCGCAUACAUCACUAUGUACGAGUUCCAACAAGUCUACUGCUCUCUCAGGAAAUCCUGUGAAAGGCAUCUUGGUCAUCUUGCCUAGCAAGCAAGCCUCACGUGUCUCGUAUGAUUCAAAAUCAAACGAAGUUAGAAGUCCAUCAGAAUGGAGCUUCUUCAUGCGCUUAUCACUUAUAUGACCCAAACGACAAUGCCACAAGUAGGUAGGACUCAAAUCAUUAGGCCGAGGCCUUUUAGCACUUACAUUACAGACAGGUGAACCAUCAAGAUUUAUAACAAAUAAUCCAUUCACAAUGGGUGCAAAAGCCAUAAACAUAUUAUUCUUAGAGAUCACACAACCAUUGUUUUCACUCGCAAAUGAAUAACCAUCCUUCAUCAAGCAUGAAGGAGACAAAAUGUUUCGACUUAAACUAGGAACAAAAUAAUAAUUAUUCAACUCCAUAAUAAAUCCUGACGGGAGGUGGAGUUGCAUCGUCCCGACGGUCAAAGCAGCAACUCUUGCAUUAUUGCCCACGCGGAAAUCAACUUCUCCUCUUUCCACGCUUCUACUUCUUAUCAUUCCCUGCAUCGAAUUGCAAAUAUGAGCAACCGAUCUGGUAUCAAAUACCCAAGAAUUAAUAAUUGUAUCAGCGAGAAAUAUGUUGUCUAUAACAUUAACAACAAGCGUACCUGAGGUAGAAGUACUCUUACUUCCGCCAUUCUUCAAGGAAGCUAGGUACUGCUUGCAGUUUCUCUUCCAGUGACCAAGUUCAUGACAGUAAAAGCACUCUUUGUCUGGAGCAGGUCCAGGUCCAGCUUUAACCUUGGGCGGUGGGUUUGGCUUGGACGUUCCAGCCUUGCCCUUCUUCUUCCAAGAAUUGCCCUUCUUCUUAAAGCUAGGCUUGUUCUGUAUCGCCAUCACAUGGCUGGUACUAGCGCUUUUGUUGAUGUCAGCCUCUGCUGUUUUAAGCAUGCCACACAGCUCAUUCAGACCCUUCUCCGUUCCAUGCAUAUGGUAGUUCGAGAUGAAGUUCCCAUAGCUAGGCGAAAGAGACGAAAGAAUGAAAUCAGUGGCCAACUCUUGGCCCAGUGGGAAGCCUAGCUUCUCCAACCGUUGAGUGUAACCAACCAUCUUGAUUACGUGUGGUCCUACUGCUGCGCCUUCUGCUAGCUUGCUCUCAACAAAGGCCUUAGACACAUUGAACCUUUCAGUCCUGGCCUGUGUUUGGAACAUGUCUCUAAGCGCCACGAUCAUAUCGUGCGCCUCAUGGUUUGUUUCGAACUGCAUCUGCAGCUCGGGUUCCAUGCAAGCAAGCAUAAGGCAGCUUACUUCGAGGUUAGCAUCACAUGCUUUCUUGUAAGCAGGUUCUUCUGGUAGUGGGUUGUCUAGAACAUCUUCCUUUUUCUCAGCCCUGAGAACAAUUCUCAGGUUGCGGAUCCAAUCCGAGUAAUUUGUUCCAUUCAACUUGUCCUUCUCAAGGACCAAACACAAAGCAAACGGUGUAGUGCUGCUAGGUGCCAUUUAAUCUACAACAAAGUAAUGCAAAAUACACUAAGACAAACGUAUCCAUGAUAGAGCAAAUCAUAUUAAACUAUUUUAACAGAAUCUACUCCCACUAAAAUCAAUAUCCCUCUAUUGAAACUUAGUGAUUCAGGAUCCACAACUAACAAGUCCACUAGUGAGCUUUAGCAUCACCGCUAGCAAACAAGGUAGAUCGGUAAGCAACUUUUGCUAAUCAUAUCACAUAUGACUCCUGUUGUUGGGUGACAUCCCCAUGUCUCGGCGCCCAACCGUUAUGCCCCAAGGUCCUUAACCGUUAAGAUGACCUCGUUAAGCAAACCAACCCUUAUGCGUGUAAGUGUCCGACACAAACCCGUCUAGUCAAGGAAAACUAGUGGUACCCUAAUUUCAUAGACCCACCACUCAUUGUACAAGACAUGGGACGGUGCAAGUUUUAGUUGGGAGGGCAUACUAACUUAAAAUUUGCGAGGGAUCGUUCUACUUCUAACAUCACAGCAUGCAGAAAGUAAAACAUAAACAGAAUAGCAUUCACACAGUUGUGACACAGUAUGGCCCGUUUUCAUAUGGUGAUCUCCAUGUCCAUAGAACCUGUUCACCAUGGUGAUCUCAAUCUCUAUGUUCCAUGUGCACCAUUCUCCUGGUGAUGAGUCCUCCAAGAACUAGAGCAUGCUAUUACACCUAAUAGCUAGUAAAGAAUCUAGUAAUGAAGAUUACAUAAUUGCUUGGAUCAUCACAGAUUGGUACGCAGACCAUUAAAUACAAUAAAGUGACAACACAUAUGGCUCCUGCCGUGUUGCCGUACGCGCGACACGCAGGUCACGAAUGAGUUACACACAUGCAUCACAUACACAAGGGGGCCAUACUGAUCACAAGAUACAUACAUACAUCCUGCAAAACAGAGUUAGGCGUCCUAGCGUUCCAAACUUCGGAGGCCCGAAACUCCAUCUUCCAAGCCGAAUUUGGGAAAUCUAAUUUUGCCGAAAACGGCAAAGCCAUUGAAUUUCAUGUGUAACUUUUUCUGUAGAUCAAUUUUCAUAUAAAAUUCGCCCCAAUCCGAGAUCGUACCGAAAAGUUACGGCUGAUUUACCGAAGCAUACGCAAACGGCAAAAAUCCCGACCCCGGCAGUAGAUCUCAUCUACUGUUGCACAUCUAAUGCGCCUGGCGUAUGACCCUGGAUCUCGAUUUGACCAAUCAUAUUUAUCUUCGCUCACUGCAACUGGAUUUACGUGUAUCACUUAACUCCGAUGGCAGAAACGGACCGGUAGGAGUAUGUCGUUACACUACCAUUGCAGCAAGGGCACGAAACCAGGACAUAGAUCAAACAGAAAACUCGCAUAUCUCCAUAUGCACACAUCCCGAAUCCAAAACUAAGCAGCUACGGCUCUGAUACCACUGUUGGGAUACGAGGUAGGCUACACUAGCGCAAUUCAAAAUUCUACCGCAUAUAACCAGGAAGAACUGCCGUAUAAGGAUCACGGGAUUACCACUCGACGCACUACUGGUGCGGAAGAUGUAGAUAUGCGUCGAUGCAGUGAAGACGAUCACGUAGUCGAUCAACGUAGUCGUACGUAGUCGAUCACGUCUAGCAGCUCCUCAGCAGCUCGUCCACGUGCAGCAAGAUCGCCUCCGGUACCGCGGCUCGUCGUCGGCUCGUCGUGGCUCGUCAGCGGCUCGUCGGCGGCUCGUCCAAGUGCUGCAGGCGCAACACCUCCAAGGUAUCCACACGUGCAGGGAGGAAGCGUCGCAAGCCGGACUGCUAGAUCAGCGAGUUGCAACAGGUGAGGGCGUGGGAGGUGCGGCAGGUGUGUUUCGCCAAAAGGUGUAAACCCUAGGGCGCCCCCACCCCUCUAUUUAUAGAGGUUCCUGACGGGCCUCUGGAUCCGAGGCCCAUUAGUACUUCUAAACCUAAUCCAGCUCGGAUCUGAUCCGAAUUGGGCUUCUAGCCCCUUAAGUGUGUGACCCUAUGGGUUCGGAUACGUAUAGACAUGGCCCGAGUACCCCUACUCGGCCCAAUAGUCGGUAGCGGCCUCUAGCAAGACGUGCCAACUCCUAUACGCACACGAAGAUCAUAUCAGACGAACAAUCACAACAUAAUAUACAUGCUAUUCCCUUUGCCUCACGAUAUUUGGUCUAGCUUCAAGCCGACCGCUCUUUCUCGAUCCUGUGAUUCGGAAUCCCUUUGUAAGUUAACUCUUAACCGUACGUAGCAUGGCCAUGCAUUUUCGGAUCCGAUCACUCGAGGGGCCCAGAGAUAUCACUCUCAAUCAGAGAGGGGCAAAUCCCAUCUUGAUUGACCAUGUCUCAUAGCAUGCUUCUUGACAAACCCGAAAGCUACCUUUAUAACUACCCUGUUACGGCGUAGUGUUUGAUAGCCCCUAAGUAGGUCGAUCCACAUCUUGAAUACAUGCGACAAUCUCAGGUCUAAGGACAAAGCGUAUAUGUUGUUUAAAGAGAGAACUACUUCUCGUGUUGGGUCAGUCCUAGCACAUGUCUCCACAUGUGUCCACAUUAUUACUUCAACAUCUCCAUGUCCAUGACUUGUGAAACAUAGUCAUCAACUAAUACAUGUGCUAGUCUAAUAUUCAUGUGUGUCCUCACAUGAACUCCGACUAGGGACAACUUUAGAAUAACCAUACAAGUAAAGAGUUUCACAUACAAUUCACAUAAUUGCAAAUCAAUUCAAGUAGCCUUCAAUGGAUAUUCAAUGAACACAACAUACAAAUCAUGGAUACAAAUGGAAUAUCAUCAUCUCUAUGAUUGCCUCUAGGGCAUACCUCCAACACCGAGUACUCCUACUCGGCCCAAUAGUCGGUAGCGGCCUCUAGCAAGACGUGUCAACUCCUAUACGCACACGAAGAUCAUAUCAGACGAACCAUCACAACAUAAUAUACAUGCUAUUCCCUUUGCCUCACGAUAUUUGGUCUAGCUUCAAGCCGACCGCUCUUUCUCGAUCCUGUGAUUCGGAAUCCCUUUGUAGGUUAACUCUUAACCGUACGUAGCAUGGCCAUGCAUUUUCGGAUCCGAUCACUCGAGGGGCCCAGAGAUAUCACUCUCAAUCAGAGAGGGGCAAAUCCCAUUUUGAUUGACCAUGUCUCAUAGCAUGCUUCUUGACAAACCCGAAAGCUACCUUUAUAACUACCCUGUUACGGCGUAGCGUUUGAUAGCCCCUAAGUAGGUCGAUCCACAUCUUGAAUACAUGCGACAAUCUCAGGUCUAAGGACAAAGCGUAUAUGUUGUUUAAAGAGAGAACUACUUCUCGUGUUGGGUCAGUCCUAGCCCAUGUCUCCACAUGUGUCCACAUUAUUAGUUCAACAUCUCCAUGUCCAUGACUUGUGAAACAUAGUCAUCAACUAAUACAUGUGCUAGUCUAAUAUUCAUGUGUGUCCUCACAUGAACUCCGACUAGGGACAACUUUAGAAUAACCAUACAAGUAAAGAGUUUCACAUACAAUUCACAUAAUUGCAAAUCAAUUCAAGUAGCCUUUAAUGGAUAUUCAAUGAACACAAUAUACAAAAUCAUGGAUACAAAUGGAAUAUCAUCAUCUCUAUGAUUGCCUCUAGGGCAUACCUCCAACAGUAACAAUGCUUAAAUAGGUGUUUUAAACUUAAGAGCAAGUCCUUUGUGCUUAGAGAAGAGCUUUGGCAACUUUUAGGCAAAGUCCAAGUCUUGGGGCUCUCGAUUUAGACGUUUCCAAUAUCAUCUAGAGCUGAGCCCUAUACCAAAGUUUUAGAGCUUCGGGACCUUAACAACUUUGCUUUAAGGAGCAAGUUCGAAAGAUGCCCUGAAAGGCUUCAAAAUCUAGGUCAAAGUUCCCUAGUUUGGUCAACUCAGCCUCUUUAGCCAUUCCGGCUAAGUCUGGAAUUCAGCCUGACCUGGCGCCUUAGGGCAGGUUUAUCUUUGGAAAGUAGAACAGAACAUCAGGAAGUCCUUUUGUAGAAGUUAGGGAACUAAGUUCCUACAAUAACUUUGUUAAUUGGACCUUGGUCCAAUUCACCUCCGAAGCUUCCCAAAUCUGCAGCUCAAAUCAGCUCAGAACCCUGAAAACCAGCCAAACCGCCAUUUUCCCUAAGUCCUGAAACCGGUGUUCCUCCAAACUUUGGAGCUUUGAAUCUCCAAAUCCACCAUGCUUUUGAACUCCGUCAAAUUACAAGAGUUGGACCUUGGUCUAUGUACUACAACUCUUGUAAAGGGAGUCAACAUGACGCAGUUUGAAAAUCCGGAGAUCAAGAGGCAGGAAGAUGGGCCUGGCAAAAGAUCUCGCGCAUCCGUCGGCCAGACAGCACCAGAGCGCGCGUGCGCCACGCGUAGAGCUCCACCGCCGCAUGGCAUAACCUCACCGACGAGCGUCGCCUCGCCCAGUCACCGGCCGCGACACGAUAGAUCAGCGCGCCUCUUUCCCAGUCGCGCGCAGAAGAGCCCUGCAGACCCCUUUGCCCCAUCUCGUCUCGCUCGAGGCCUCGCCGGCCGCGCCAGGUGCCCUGCCCGCAGCUCCGCCGUCGCCCCGGCCACUCUGUAACCGAAGACCGGCUGCUGCCAUGCCGGUACCGCCUCACCUCCCGUGUGCAUCCGCCUCACCCAGAUCCCCGGCCGCGCGCCCCAACGCCUUUCGGCCCUCCCGUCACACCUCAGUCGCGCUGGCCCCGCGCGCACCCCACGACGCUACCGUCUCCGCCAACCGCCACGCAGGCAGUGACAGCUCCUCCCCCCGCCUUGCCAAUAGCGUGCCCCGUCAGAGCCGGUAGUUCCGCGCAUGCUCACGUCACACCACUCAUCCUGUCACCUCUCUGCAGUGCCCUUCCCUUCCUCCUGUCCACCAAUGGCGCCAUCGCCAUGGAUGGCUGCAACCACACAUGCGCGCAGACCUAGCAUAUCCGUGUGCCCAGCGAACCCGCUUUGCCCCCGACCCCAAAUCCUUGCUGCCCAACCAGAGCAAGAUUGCGUCCGAGCUUGCCAAUGGAGGCGCCGACCAAUCGCCGCCGCGGCAGAGCACUUCUUUCUCCCUCGAUCUUAUCCUCUCGCCGCUCAAGCUCAUUUCCUUCCUCUGAGCACUUCUGCGCAGCUAUAAAAGGGGUACUGAAGCCUCUUACCAGAGUUCCCUUCAUUACCACCGCCUUUGCCGCACUACAUGCUUUGUUCUUCUCUACCGCACUCGCCGCUGCACACUCCUCUACUUCGCGCUGAAGCACCGCCGCCUGAGCUCUCUGUGGAGCUCCCCCUUCCGUCCAACACCGCACCUUGCCAACCCCAGCAGCUGCUUCGCCAUCCUUUCACGCAGCGCUAGAGCUUGCUUGUUGUCCACAAGAAGCACCACCGCCGCCAAAACGCCGUCGUUCCUCGUUCCGCCUCGGCUUGUUUCUUCCCAACCCCGAGACCUCGUCAGUGUGACCGGAGGUGAGUUUCUGACACCCUUCCAACUCACCCAACCCUGUCCGACUCGCCCAAGUGCUGUCCACCUCGCGCUGACUCACCCAAGUGCUGUCCGCCUCACCCGACUCGCUCGAGUGUUGUCCGCCUCGCCUGAGGGCUCGGUGUGUCUUUUUCUUUUGACCGAGGGUAUCUGUGUAAAAUUUUGAGGACUUCUCUGUGUUAAAUCUUAGGACCCUGGUACAGUUAUUCCUUAGGUCUAAGGGUCAGAUCGUAAGUUUUCCCCGAUCCGACGCUUUUAACUUGUUUUAAAUCGAUAGAAGCUUGGAAAUUGCAUCUUAAAUCAAGGAAAAAUCAGAAAAAUGUGAAAUCACUUGGGUUGGAAUCCUCGUUCUGAGUAGAAUCCAAUAAAGUGGGUUUCACACCUUUUCCUAUAGUUUUGCUAUAGUUUUGGGUUUAAAUCCUUGCUUACUAUUGAAAUCACCGUCUAAGUGUCUCACCCUUGCAUUGCAUUUCGUGUAGAGCUGAAUCUCGCCGACGGCACAUACGAGCUUCACCCAGCGUCGGAAGACAAAGUCGUAGCUGAGCUGCCGCUUGCAGGAGUCGAGCCCGUGCACGUCGAGGAUCAGUUCGCUACCACCCCGCUUGAAGGCAAGCCCCGGCGCAUAACCCAGUUUUUCUAAACUUGUGCAUGUCUUCUAUUGUUAUGCGUGUGCAUUUACGUUCCAGGAGUUGGUUGAAACCAUAGAUGCAUGACUUAGUUUCCCUUUGAUCUGAACACUAGUAUGAUAGGCCGAGUAGCUGCUUGCUUAAAUAGGACUCGGUAAAAGUCGAGUGAUUUCCUGUCACUCGCGAGUUAUAGGAGUUGCUUGCUUCAUUUGUUACAACCAUAAGGACGAUAGAUGGGGCAGGGCUCUAUGAACUAUUUUGGUGGUCGGUGGAUUGCCCCGCCUAUCUACAUGAAAUUGGAUUAAGGUUGGAAAGUGAUGGUGUUCGUGAUCAAGCGUUUGAAAGUACUAAUCUCAUAUCUAGUAUGGGAUGGGGAAGCCUAGUACCUGAUUGAACCGGCAAGUGGAUUAUACCCCUGCUGUCCUUGGAAUGUAGUUCCCAUGGUGCAUCAUGUGGAUGCAGGUGCGGUCAUAGUACGGUAGAGACUGGGACUGUGGAGCAUUGCAUGGCAAGGGCAGUUUGGACCUGACAUGCGCCUGGGAAUUGAUGGGGACGGCCGACAAGUGAAGUGACCCUCCGUGGUGCGCGGAUGUCGUGAGAUUAGGUUCGCCAGGCAUGGUUAAGAAAUUCGAAUCGAUUCAUCUGCCUCUCAUAGUUUGGGAUUGCUUGAUCGCUAUGCUACACUGAGUCAGAAUGGAAGAUGAUGGUGAUCUAAAUAUUGUUACUUGUUUAAUUGCUUGGAAACCAUUGCUUGUUUAGUAUAGCUGCUAACUUAGAUUGGUAAAUGAAUGUAGAACUUGUGGCUAAAAUAUUGAAAGUAAGGAUCUACUGUAGUCGCUUUUGGCAAAACAAACGCCUCAGCCAAAAAGCCUUGCAUGUCUAGAAGUUGGUGGAUUAGAACCACCCGUCGGUUAAGUCUUGUUGAGCAUAGUUCCUUAGCCUUGCUUGUGGCACAUCUUUCAGGUGAUGUUGAAGCCCCUGAGUUUGCUGCCUAUGGCACUUAGCCUCCCCAGCUUCCUCCUUGGUGGACGGUCGAGUGGGAUCCCUCUCAGACGGUGAGGACAGGGAUCAUUGAUGUCAUGAUCGGCCUCAUCGUGACGUCCAACUUCGGCGCUAGCUUUCGUUUGUUUAUUUCUGCUGCUUAAGAACUCUGCAAACUUUGUUUGAAUUUUGAACCUGGUGUUGUAAUAAAUUAAUGUACUUGUUUAAUUUGGAUGAUCUAUUAUAUUCUCUGGAACCACUCACCUUCGUGUGAGCUCUGCUUCCUUGGUCCUGUGUAGUGGUUUAUCGGAUGAAAUCUGACGGACCGCCGAGUUAACUUGAUUAAAGCAUAUGAUUGCGUGUCAGGUAACUUAAUUGUGCUUUAGCAAAGUUAAUUAGGGCGGUUCCGCCACAUAUAUAUGGUAUAUAUGUAUACCUUAAUUGUGAGGUUGCCAAAUGGCCUUUACAGCUCACAUGAGGUGCACUGAGUGAUGUCAUCCAUAGGGUAACAUUGGUUGUCUUGCACAACCAUGGGUAAGCUUGGCAUGUUCUUAUCAGGGACCCCUGUGGAAGCACAUCUGCUUCGGUGUUGAGAAGGGCUGAUGACAAUGUUGGGAUCCAGCAGCGCUAUAGAUUGGGCCAUCUCAGUAACUGCCAGAGCCACUUUAGCUUAAACAUGCGCUGCCACCUUUAUCUUAUUCAUGCACUUUAGCUUCUAACAUGCACUGCCACCUUUCCUCUUGCUAUAUCUUUCUUCUCUUUCAGCUUCUGUAUGUGUCGAUGUCCCUACGAAAAGCAUACUUCCAUGGAACCACACUGAAGCCUUGGCAGCAUGCUGGGUGCUUGGGAUUCCUGAGCGCCAAAGUGAGCUCAUCGAUCUCUCUAUCAGGCUUGAACUUUCCCACUUUAGAAUCUUCAAUGUUUUUGAUAAGCCUGAGGACCUUCUCACAUAUUGUUUCGUUGAAAACAAGUGACCCCAUCCUUAGGGUUUAAGGGUGCCUUUGUGAGCGUAAUACCAAUUCUUCGAUCGAUCAGGCCAGUCAAAAGUCGCUAAUACGAUACCUCGAUCGAGUAGGUCUUGUUCCAUCUUUCUCCAUCUAGGAACUGCACUCUUGUAACUACCUUGCCCUAGAUGAUGAUGAUACUCCUUCUGACGGGCAUUGCCUGUGUUGAUCUUAACCUUGUUCGCACUAUCUUCAGUCCUCUUGUAUUCCAAAAAUGAGUUUUAGUGAUCUCUUAACUUUGGCCAGGCAUUAAAAUCUGGAGUUCGGCCCUUCUUGAUAUAGUUGGUAUUCAGAUUUUUCUUGAAGGUCUGAAAUUGGGUUGCCAUCUUCUUGAGCGUCUAGUUCUUUCACUAAGUUUUCAUCGAUGCCGUCAAGAAGUGUGAAGUAUUUCUUGACAUCUGCCCACAACAUAUCUUUCUAUGUCUGCGAGAGCACGUAUGGAUCAUCUUAUUUACUGGACUUCAAUUCUCGAAUGCUGAUGGGCAUGUUGUCCCUUACAAUAGUCCUGCAUUGACUUGCGAACUUUCUAGUGACUUUUUCGGGAGCAAUUAGCUGGCCCUCUUCUAUCACUUCGGUGAUAUGAAGCUUUCCCUCCAUUAUCUUUGUACGACCUCACAGCUUCUUUCGCAUCAAUGAUCCAGAGGGCUAAAAGUUGAAGAUUCAUUAAUUAGUGCAUAGUAAUAGUUAAUAUGAAGUUAUAGAUAGGGUAAAAUGAUAAAUAUGAUAUAUACCUCGCCGGAACCUUCCAUCACGACAAUGUCUUGUUCUGCAUUGUCAUCAACACCGUGCUCGUGCUCAUCAUUGCCAUCACCGGACAUAUUGACGAACAUGUCCGCCUAGCUACCCUCAUCCUCGGUGUAGGUUCUUGGAACGUUUGAGCCACUACUGCCAGCAAUAAUCUACUCUGUUAUAUAACUUUCGUCCUCUUCGUCUUCCAUCUCAACUAAUAAUGACAUUAGUUAUACACACAUGUAAUCAUAGAUACAUUAAGUUAAACAUAGUAUAAUAAAUAUAUAUACAUGAAAUCAUACUAAUUUGUACUAAUUUCCUAAGCAUUUAUAGUGAUUUCUACUAAUUUCCUAAGAAAUUAUAACAAUUUUCUGAAGCAUUUAUAGUAAUUUUUACUAAUUUCCUAAGCAUUUAUAGUGAUUUCUACUAAUUUCCUAAGCAUUUAUAAUGAUUUCUACUAAUUUCCUAAGCAUUUAUACUAUUUUAUACUAAUUUCCACUAAUUGUCUAGGGCAUUUGCACUAAUUUUAAUUCUAGUAUAUUAAGCAUUUUUCUAAGCACUUAUAAUUAAUUUACACUAUUUUCUAAUUUAUAAAAUUUUUCUAAGUAUUUAAACUAAUUUAUACAGUUUUUUAAAUAUUUAAAAAAAUUUAUACUAAUUUUCGAUGGAUUUAUUCUAAUUUAUACAAUUCUUCUAAGUUAUAUAAUUUACUAUUUUAAUUUUCUAUGAAAUAAAAAACGCUAAUGCAAGCCGUAGUUGGAGGCGGCGCGCCCGUACCUCAUUGCAGGGGGGCGUCAGGGAUGAGUGCGGCGGCGUGCGGUGGUGGAUGGAAGGGUCGCGGGCCCGUGUGCGGGGCUGGGGGACGGUGGGACGGCGCCGAUAGAGCUCAAUUCAGCCCGCGGCAGCGCACGGUGGUCGACGGUGUUGAGGGCGGCUCUCUGCGAUGCUGGGAUAGGGAGGAGGGUGCCGCCGGGGAGGAGGCUGCCGCCUAGGAGAUGGGGCGCGUAGGCGAAGGGGGAGGACGGCCGUGGCGGCCGACGGAGAGGGUCGGGGUGCUGCUGCCGGGGGGCGCUGGAGGCAUCGUCGAGGAGCCGGGGGAGGCACCGGGGUGGUGCCACGAAGAAGACGCCGGCCGAAGCGACGAUGAGGUCGAGGGGAUGCCCGCAGAGGAGCUAAUGGCAGCGCUGGUGGCGAUAGGGGCGACGAAGGCGGCGAGGAUCGUGAAGUUAGCUAAGUCCUGAGGAGGGAGGAAGGGCUUGGAUAUUUAUACUCCCACCCUUUUUGUCUCGGUUGGUCGUACCACCCAGGACUAAAGGGUCUUUAGGUGGUAUUUCCAACUAGGAGUAAAGAGAGCCUUUAGUCCCCGCUGGUAAUACCACCCAGGACUAAAGGAGGUGAAGUUUCAUCUCCCGCGCGCUGCCCCCCUUUAGUCCUACUGCCCCUCUUUAGUCCCGGGUGGUAUUUCCAACCGAGACUAAAGGGUCCCUCGCCUUUGACUUCCCUGCAUAACCCAUUAUUUCCACCCUUUUAUUUCAACAAUCAGUUUACUCAAAAUGCUGCAAAUUUUACAAAUAUGUAAUUAAUGUACCAGAGUAGAUGAGAUGUUGAAUAUAUUUUUUUAAUUACUAUUUUUAAGAUGUAAUAAAAACAGUACUAAACUAUAAUUCUUAAUAUGUUUUAAGUUGAUUUAAUACUUUUGCUUAAUCAAGAAAAAUGAAAAAAAUCAAUGUUUUAAACAUGCAAAAAUAUAUCCAAUUAGCUUAUGUGAUUAAGUUAAUAUAUUGACCAUAUAAUAUUUUUUAACCUUAUAUUGUUGUUUAUAUUGAUCGAAUAAUCAUGUGAUGAGCCAAAAACUCUCAUAAAGGAUGAUGAUAUAUAGUCCAUUAUAUAAAUGAGUUUUACACAUCACUAAAAUAUAAUAGAAAGGUUCUGAUGAUCAUAGAGCAUUACAAUGUAACGUAAAAAAACUUCUUCUUGAUGAAAGUUCCUUGAUCAUGAGCGCGGUGCAAGUACGGAGCCUCUUCUUUGGCUAGCAUGAUGCUUGGGUCAACUUCGACAGCGAAUGGAGGUGCCAUCAAACUGAUACUAAUCAUCGGACUGGUAUAUUUUGUCCUCGACUCCCACGAUUACUCUUUAACCUGGAAGGAAUAUGUGGCGCUUUGACUCCCAUGGUUUUUUUAUCUUCUGAAUUAUUCUUAGGUUUGCUAGACAUGUCCUUCGUAUAGAAAACCUGAUGCAGAUCAUUGGCAAGGACAAAUGGUUCAUCUUUGUAUGUAGUCUUGCUCAGGUCGACUAUUGUCAUUCCAUACUUAUCUUCCGUUAUGCCACCUCCAGUUAGCUUCACCCAUUGACAACAAAACAGAGGGAUGUUCAGCGGUUCGUAGUCAAGUUCCUAGAUCUCCUCUAUGAAACCAUAAUAUGAGUCUCUCAAUGCUGUCUAGGACAUCUAUAUAUACGGAUACCACUAUUUUGGUUGGUGCUUUUUUGUCUUGGGCUCUUGUGUAAAAUGUAUAAUCAUUUAUCUUAUAACCUUGCGUUGACGUCGGAUUUUGACACGUGUUUGGAAUCGGUGUCAAAGGAGGAGAAAGGGAGCCGAUGCGGCGGACUAGAAGCUACAGUUGUGAAUCGGCUGAUUAAAGCUACAAUGUUUUGGCCGACUGGCGGAAGGAGUCAAUGGAGGCUGGCCGAUUGGGAGCCAGAACGGCCUGGCCAUUUUUGGCCUAAGGUGGGCCAGGAUGAAGAUUUGCUGAAGAAGGAGAUUGGCCCGUGGAUAUAUAAUAACCAACUCGGAUACAAGUUGUGUUUGUAAAUAUUUAUUAUCGUUUAAAAUUAGAGAUAGAUCCUAGUCAGUUAGGAAGUCAGUUGUGGUAGGGUAUAAAUAGCUGCCUCAUGAGGCUUGUAAACAACAAUACCAAUCAAUACAGCAAAUCUAUUUUUUUCUCGUACUUUACUUUCAAGUCGGCAUCUUCGCCAAAACCUUUUUCUUUCACGAGUUCGUACGGGUUGGCAGGGCUGCAUCGACACGAUCUCCGGCUGAUUUUGUAAGUUCUGCUUAUCGAGUAAUAUCUAAGCUUUAACUUCAGGUGCAUCGCUGUUGUUUCGUUUAGAUUUAUUCACCCGUUAUCGAUAUCAACUAGAACUAUAGGUUUUAUCUAUUGUUUUAGUUUUAUCACCAGUUAUCCACCUUGAGAUACGAACUAUCGGCUUUUUCGUCAUUAUUUUCUUUUAUCACAUAGCCGAUUAGAUCUAUUUCAAGUGUUGCUUUGUAGCGUUGUUUGGAUUUCUCUAGUAGUUUCUUUGCAAUCACUACAUGGUCAUCGGCUGCCCUAUAGCCGGUUACUCUCACAGUAAAUCGACUGAUUCGCUGAUAUGCUUUUCAAGACAGAUCGGAACUUUAGUCAAUCGAGACCUCUGGAAUUUAACACUUUUCUCUCCUUGUCAAUCAACAGGUCAGAUUGACAAGCACGCCGCGCGAAAUGCACGAGGGCGAUAACCCGAACAGGAGUUAAGCAGAUUCUCCCGGGUCGUGUGUCCGACGCUGAAAGUCAUUGGCCGAUUUUUAGUGCCAACACCUUGGAAUUUCACGAUUGUGCUAGAAGGUCCCCUAGCAAACAAAGCGAGUUGUUCGGGAAUCGUGGAGUUACCCAUAAGGUGUUGAUGCAACCAAGAGGGAAAAGUAUCCAUGUGAUGAUGUAUAAUCUAGGUAUCAGAUUUCAUCGGGUAUUGGGAAAAUAGAAUCUACUUGUGUUCUUCAAUAUACGGAGCCACCAAGGAUGAUUGUUGUAGAACCGUGAAGUGUGCUUUAUGGAACAAAUCACUAUCAGUGCUCAAACUUGAUUUCCUUUCAAGGGUGCCCUUCCCUGUAGCCUCCCCUUGUGGCGUGAUAAUGGAACCCCAAUUGAACUAAUUGAGUCAAUAAAAUCAACACAAAACUCAAUGACGUCCUCUGUUCCAUAUUCCUUGGCGAUGCUUCCUUCUAGAUGGGCACGAAAACCUCUCGAAAGGCCAUAUAUUGUGCAGGAAUACUGGACCUAGAAUAGUAAUACCUUUGACUAAGUGAACCAGGAGGUGCGUCAUAAUAUUGAAGAAGGAUGGGGGAAAUACCAACUCAAAGCUGACAAGAUAUUGUACCACAUCAUUCUGUAGCUUUAGUAGCUUGGUUGGAUCAAUUGCCAUCUGAGAAAUCGCAUUGGGAAAUGUGCAUAAUUUUACGAGUGCCAAUCGUACAUUCUCUGGUAGAAUACCUAUAAGUGCAACCGGAAACAACUGGGUCAUCAACAUGUGGCAGCCAUGAGCCUUUACAUUUGUGAACUUUUUUUCUUUCAUAUUAAUUAUUCCCUUUAUAUUCAAGGAGUACCUAGAUGGAACCUUGAUACUAUUCUUACAAUCAAACAUGAUAUCCUUCCUUUCCUUGCUGAGAGUGUAACUGGCGGGAUGUAAGUAGUGCUGUCCUUUAUCUCUCUUUUCCGGAUGUAGGUCAUCUCGUUGCUUCAUACGUUUGAGGUCCUGUCGUGCUUCCAAUGUAUCUUUUGAGUUCCCAUAACAACCUAGGAAGCCUAGCAUGUUCACGCAAAGAUUCUUCAUCUGGUGUAUCACAUCAAUUGCGUUGCGAACCUCUAGGAUUUUCCAAUAAGGUAGCUCCCAAAAUAUAGACUUCUUCCACAUGGGUGCACAUCCGUUAUCAUCGUUUGGAACAGGUUCGGUACCAAGACCCUUUUCAAAGACUACUCUUACAUCCUUUAUCGUCUCAAAUACACGCUUUCCAUUAUGGUGUGCAGGUUUUUUAAUAAGUUGUAUUUUUAUUAAUGUAAUUUUUUAUAUAAUAUGAAAAAGUGAUUAUUUUGAAAAUUCUCUUAAAUGUAAAAAAAAUGAUUGGCAGUGUUCAAGGACCUCACAGUUAGAAGUCAAAUCCAAUCUUUUAAAUUCAAAAUGUCACAAAUUUAUUAAAUUCAAAACAUCAUUUCAGUGUCAGUACGUCCCCGCCACGAACAGUUUCUGGCCUUUGUCAAGAAGCAAGGCUCCGACGUCGAGCUCAUUUGGGAAUCGGGUGCCAUGUCAUUGCCUUACUUACAACUCCUGCCAUCUUGUAUCACCCACCCCUGAUGUCGUGCAUACCUAAUACGUGUACGUCUCAAUGUUUCCCCUGCGUGCAAGAGCGACAAAGUUCAUCACAAUCCACAAGGCUUGCCGAACCAACUAAGGGGAUGGUUGGCAGCACUCCACUCCAGAAAAAAUAGCUCCACUUCAUCAACUCCACAAAAUUGCCUGCCAACAAACACGUCCAGCUCCACAAACUCCAGCUGUAGAAAAAAUGUGGAGCUAGGGGUUAGAUUCACAUUUUUCCUGGAGUACCUUAACAUCAGUUUCAGACUUCCUCAUGGAGUUAGGGGUUAUUUACCCACCUUUGCCACUCGUUACACAACAUAUCAGUUCGUUUCUAAUUUUUUCUUUCUGCUCUCGCUAUCUCCAUUUCCUCCCUCUCGCUGUCACCUGCCAGCACUGCGCUGCCUUCGCCAGUCAGCACUGCGCUCCCCACGCGGCCCUUGCCCAAUGGAGCCGCGCUAGUGCGCUACCCACACCGUCGUCGCCCUCCGGAGCCGUGCCGCCCUCACCCCCCUCGGCCGUGGCCACGCCGCCCCUGCUCGUUGAACCUCGCCACCCCUGCCCAUGUUGGUUGCGUGGCCCCUGCUCGCCAGACCUCACCGCCCCCACCCACUAGGGCCAUGGGGCUUCGCCCUCUUAUCCUUUCCACAUUGCCGACCUCAUCUCUUCCUCCUCCUCAUUCUCCCCCUUUCUUCUUCCUCCAGCCGGGCCAAUCCAAAAGUAGAGCCGAGUCUAGCACCUUUGAUCCGCCACCCAAAUUCACCCCUUUCCCUCCACCAAAACAAAUUGCCACCAACCGGACCUCCCUCACCUCUCCAGCUCCACCCUUAGCCACUCCUCACCGUCGGCCAUGGCUCCUGCGGCCGUGGGUUGAAGUUUCCCUGUUUGCCGGGUGCCGCGAGCCAGUGUUGGCCACCCUCACGUUGACGGCCAAGCUCCGACCACCUCUCCCCAAGACGACCGUCUUGGUGAGCUAUGCACGAUGCACUGAUGCUCAUCUCCCCCUCGUCUUCGCUUUUCUGGUGACUUUCCGUGGUGGUUCACCGCAUCGCCCCCCCCAAUCGCGUCGCCGCUCGCUGCCGGCCUUGCUCCGACCAACGUUUGUGCGCGACAACCACAUGGGUAGAUGCGCCUCGUGUUGCUGAUCACCUUGGUCGUGUUGUCAUCACCAGCUGGCCGCCGGUCAAAGCUGGUGAACUUCAGCUUUGACUCGGUCUUGACCGGCCUGGAUCUGUUGACCCUUGCCCCACGCGUCAGCGGCCGUAGAGGAGGGUGGCUGGGUAAAGCUGAGUAGGAAAAGUUUGAGUAGGGUCUUGGUUUUUCGGGAAAAGAUGAGAGAAGAGACUAACACGUGGACCCAUUCACAAAGGGUAAAAUAGACUAUUCACAAUAAGUCUUCAUAUUUGUGGAGCUGCGGCACUGCAAUCAGCCAAACACAUACAACAACUCCAAUAUUUUUGUGGAGUUGGUGGAGUGGAGCUGAGGUGGAUUGGAGUUGGUGGUGUGGAGCUAUAAAAAUUUUUAGUGGAGUGCUGCGAAACACCCCCUAAAAGUCAUUUCCAAUGUGACACAAUUUUUUUUUGGCUUCCGGUAUUUGUACUUUGGAGACCCUGAACUAAAGUCCGGAUAUGACAAAAAGAUCAGUAAUUGUAUGGAGUCACUGACAAUAGGUUUAAGUGACCACGAAUUGCUUGUGUCUGUGCUCAUGGACGUGCGACAUAACUCUAAUAUGCCUCUGCUUACCAAUAUAGUAGGGUACUUUAUAUGCAGUGCAUACUCAGUUCCACUAACAAUUUAACAUUUCAAAACGUGCAUAAGUCUAAUAUAAUUGUUGCAAACUUUAAUUUAACAUAUUUCUUUCAAACUUCGUAUACUUGUUCACACAUCUUACCCAAUGCAUAUGUAGAUACAUACAUAUGUAGCAAUUUAUCCUUGCAGCGCCACAUGUUGCAACACAUUUACAAGCGCUAGUAUAGACACUAACAAUACUUGCUGGGCCUCUAGUAAUGCGUAAUGCAUUGCUAAAGGGUUAUUCGUCAUGUGACAAGGAGAUAUGGUGCCGCUAGGUUUCUACUAUGGGCAGCUAGGGUUCUUCCCUGGUCCUCCGUAGAAUAUGUAAGUGCCCCAGUUGAUGCUAUUGGUGCCGCUCUGCACGUUGUAGCAGUUGGGCUGCUUAUUCCCCAAUCCCACAACAUUUGGUGAAUUGAGUUUGUUGAACGAAUCGACCACUUGUAUGUUCCUGAUGUAGCUGGCCUUGCUGUACCCUUCCCCAGGGAAGUGCCCACUGCCCAUGUCUGUCGAAGUUUGGCCGGCGUAAGGCGAGUACACCUCUCCGCCCCACAUGACAUAGGAUGCACUAAUUUGCAAGUAGGAGAAAAUGGUUGAUGGCCAAUAACCCAAAAUAUGGUUUCCUACUUGCAACCACCAGUUGCCCCCCUUUGGAUCCUGCAGGCAAAAAAAUUACUGGAGAGUCAGACAGGAUUAUGGCAAGGGGAUAUAGUUCAAAAGGCUAACAUGAGAGAUCUAGUUGCAUUUGUGGAAAAAUCUGUUGCGUGCAUGGGAACAACUCGACUCAUGAAUGAGGCCACAAACAGGCCAACGUCAUCACGGUUGUAGCCUCAACUUACAAUUGAACUUUUGCCUCGAGAAAGAACAAGAAGCUGGCACACUUUCGGUGUCCAUCCAUGAAUUUGAUUUGCUAUGCUCGGAAUGUGAAAGAUUUUUUGGUUUACCUUCCAGAUUAAAAUAGUUAUUUCAUAUUGUGAGCCACCGUAUCUGGAUACAGGGGAGAAGCUACCACCGAUGGCGAUCUGAUUGUUUGUUUGGAUGAACCCUGAGCACUGUAGGUUAUAGCAACCUGUUCUUCGAUAUGCAUCACGCUACAAUAUUCCGUAGCAAUAAAGAAUUAGUAACUUAUAUGCCAUUUCCUAACUUACUGAUAAAGAUAAAAAGGAAUGUGAUGCUUAUCUUACAGUCCAGUAUAUGAAGAGUCUUGUAGAUCUAUCCCCGUACAACUCAGGGUAAACCUGCAAUUUUGUGGAGAGAACAGACCGUUAGCCAUACUGAAAGAGAUUGCAUGACUUAAUAAUAUGCAUUACAACAUGCAUAGGAAUCACAAAAUUUAUUGCCAAGAGUUUGUCAAAAUACCUAUGUAGAUACAUUUUAAUUUGGUCCUCGUAUGAAGUAUUUCCAUUAAUUACUAAAUGCUCUAUAUUCUCUUUCAUCCCAACUCUUAGUUUCUCCGUUUUCGUCACACCUUGGAUACGUGUUUACUUAAAAGCUUAGCUUCAUCGAUUUCACUUCCUAUUGCAGCCUUCUAUAAUAACUUGGUGCUAUGGCUAUUGCUAGUUUCGUCAUUUCAAGAUCUGUCGUUUCCGUUCACCUCCUAUGAGCUACUGUUCUAGGCUAUGAUGCGGAUGAAAACUCCCAUUCCUUUAGUGGUAGGUGAUGUGCUCGUAAAAAACCACACGCCUUUUGGUUACUUUAUUAAUCUAAAGAUGUGCGAGCCUAGUCCUUCGAAGCUUUCAUAGGGAUUGGAUGUGCAAGCAUGCCUUCAUAAAGGUGAGUAUUAUGUGCAUCUGUGCGACUCAGGUGUUUAUAGUGGGUGAGUGUACAUGCAUAUAUGUGAGUGUCUUUAUCUAUUCUGUGUUUUUGCAAAAAAAAUUGAACAUGUGUAAACACAAGAGCUGUAUAUCACUGGUAGAAAAGUGAGCAUUAGACCCGGUUGAAGAGACGCAUAAGUCUCGAAAAUCCAACCAGAACUAAUCUUUCGAGACUAAAGGUCCCGACCUUUAGUCCCGGUUAUCUCACCCAGGAUUAAAGCUUACCUUUUGUCCUGGUUGGUAUUACCAACUGGGACAAAAGGCUUCCAAAAAAAUAAAAAAAUUUGUGGGCCGUCCCCAUUGUGCCUGCUCGCGUCUCUACCACUAGCUACAGCUCUGCCUCAACCACCACCUCCUCGAGCUCCAACUCCACCACAGAGAUAAUCAAAUCAAGAGCAUAAAUAAUUGACACUUCACAAAUUGAAGCAUGAAACAUGCUCAUCUUACAUGACUAUCACACAAGUAACAGAGCACACAACCAAUCAAUUCGCAUAUGAUCUGAUUCACAAGUCACAACACAUGAGUUCGAUUUGAUUCACAACACGUGGUGGAUUCAUCAGCAAAAAUCACAAACAAAUCAUUAAUAGAGGUGAAUCAAAUCUAGCUGCUCGCUUGGGAGCAUGAGGCACGCUAGGCCGAAGCCACUUGCACUUGCACUAGGGCCGCCCGCGCCAUGACGGGCCCUUGUCCACCGGUACCGCGCCGGGCCGUCGCCCGCCGGCACCGCAUUGGGCAGCUCCGCCCACGCCGGGCCAUCUCACAGGUAGGGAGCUAGGAGGAGGAGGCCGGGGAGGUGGGGAGGGAGGGAGGGAGCAAACGGAGAGGAGGAGGUGGGGAGGAAGGGAGGGAGCAAAGAGGGAGGAGCGCUAACUAAGAGGCUGGGGAGGGAGGGAGGGAGCAAACGGAGAGGAGGAGGUGGGGAGGAAGGGAGGGAGCAAAGAGGGAGGAGCGCUAACUAGGAGGCUGGGGAGGGAGAGGGAGCAGAGGGUGGAGCGAGUUGAGGGAGAGGAGAGGAGCAUAUAAGGGAGAGAGAGAAGUCGGAGAGAUAAAUGCUGGCGUCAUGAAUUAGUCCUGGUUGGUGGCUCCAACCGGGACUAAUUCAUUUUAUUCCAGCUGGUAGCUCCAACCGAAAUUAAAAGCUCCACUUUUGUCUCAGAUGGAACCACCAACCGGAACUAAAAGGGCUCUGAGUUAUUACCAAUUUUAGACCCGGGACUAAUACCUCUUUAGUCCCGGGUCCGAUUCGUUUUGAGAUUUUUGUCAAGGAUCAAAAGUGGUUUCUCUAGCUCUGUAGCAAAUCUACUUGCCCUUCGCCCCUGGUAAUAAUGCUGCUAGAACAACUCAUGAAAGAAUAUUUUUUAGGUAAUUCCUACUCGUCGUAGCUGUGGCUCUUUCAGCAUCACAUAUACCAUGGAGGCUGAAAGUCAGCGUUUCACAGAACAUUUAUGAAGGUGGGUUAAUGUUUCCCUUGGAGGUCUAACCUGCCAUCCUGCUUCAAUUGUAUUGAGGUCGUUGCCGCUAUAGGAACCCCCAGAGAUCCAGAGCUGGGCCAAGCUGAAAUCUUUGGCCCUCCCAAUAGUUGGUUCCCACAGAUUGAUGCUGGUUUUGGUUCCAUAGUACCUAGCCUUCGGUGUAUACGCUAUGGCGUGCUGCUCAAUGAGAGAGCAAACGAAGUUAAAUGAUAAAUUUUAAAAUAAUAAUUGUACAAUGGUGAUUCUUGAAUAGGUGUUGUACCUGGUGGCCAAUCGUCACAUUGUGCUUGUUAGGGUCAUCAAUAACGGAAAAGAAGUUCGGUAUGCUCCUUGGCCUCUUCUUCCCAUACCUCUUGAUAGAGCUAGCCCUCAGGACAUCCUCCUCCUUGGUCCUUCGGAUUGGUAUUGUGUUUGGAGGGCAGCAUUUGCCAUUCUGAUGCCAUGUUUGGGUGAUUGAAUGUGGUGCGAUGUUGGAAUCAUCGCUCAGGCCUUCUGGGUGGUAAGAAGGCCGCAUCUGGAAGGUGACGAUGCACGCAAUGUGUUUAUGUGGUGUUGGGGGGAACUGCAGCUAGUCGAUCUGCACCCAACAAUGAAAUGAAAAGGGCAAUGGUGCAGCUGAGAGGAACCUGGAUAGUAUGGUUCUUGAGGAGUGGAUGAUCGAAUGCAGGCUGUUUGGAGAUGGGCACACAGUCUAUGAUAUCUCCAUCUGCACUCUGUUGUUUUCAUAGAAUCAGUACUCGCAAUAAAAGUAGAAAAGAAGAGAGGAUUAUGCAUACAUUAGGACUGGAAUGAAUCCGAAGGUCAUAUGAAAAUUUUCAGUUGCAAAAAGUAAGUAAAUAUAUGUGGAUCAUUUUUGUAAUAUAGUGUACUGCACGCAAAUCAUGAAGCUGCUGAAUGACAACACAAGAGAAUGAAGAGUACCUCAAUGCUUGCGAGAGGAUCCUUGUUGAGCCUCUUGAGGAGGCUUCGCACCUGCCGCCGCCGCUGCUCCGACGUCCCGGCAGCGCCCCCCGCUGCCGCCACAACUGCGAGAGCCACGACGAGCGCGAUCAAGCACGCUCGCGUCACUGCCAUUGUAAGAUCCUGUUGUUAUCUCGGUUUCUCUUCAGCAUGAGCUUUUAAAAGGUAAGAGAUGUACGUCUCGGCCGGCCUGGCUCUGGCGUACGUCAGAGUAUUUGUUUUAGGGAUAUGGACUGAAACAAAGUUAUCUUAGCUACUACCUUCUAUAAUCAAGAUGUAUAUUAUAUAUGUGGCGUCAGAGUAUUGUUUUUUCAUACGCUUUGACAUAAGAAGAAGAUGCUUCGAAAGUUGCUAGCAUGUUCGCGGAACCACGGAUGGAUUGGUAAGAGCUGCUCUCCUUCUGACAUGAAUUGACAUUUGCCAGCACCUGAUGCCGAGGUUUCAUGCCGUCGAGGUGCUUUUGUAUAUUGUCACCAAGGUAUUGAGGUGCUGUGUUUUAAAAAGCUUUCUACUCCAUGGAUUUUUAAAGUAUAUACGUGAGCUCAGAAAACAAAAUCAGCAAACUGAUUCCAAGAGUUGACAAACUCCAUGGACAGACGUUGAUUAUGUCACUUAACUAUCUAGCCACCAAUCGGUUAGUUGCUAUAGUUGACCUUGAAUUUGUAAAGAUGCAAAUGCAGAGACAUUAUCCAUUUAUAUAGACGAUUGUACAUCCAAGUAGAUAUAUAAUGUGGGUGCAGACAUUACCCAACUAGUAAAUGUCUUAGUCGUCCGUCGAUCUAUGGUUAAUUGCGUUGCAACAGUAUCCCGCGUAUAGGCACUAUUCAGUCAAUGUCACAGAAAUUUCAAAGCUCUAAUUCGCUCCUUUCGGCAGAUAAUCGACCACAUCCUUCCCUUUGAUUGCGUGAUUAUCGGGUGUAGACUUACUCCAAAUCUUUUGUUAAGUGAUUAUUUGCUGCUAACGAUUAUUCAACUUCGAGGGUAAAUACUUAAAUUAAUCGUAGCGUAUAUUUAACUUCAAGCAAUGUGAUGCCAACAAAUAAUUAAGCCAAUCUGUUAGGUGCUGAUUACGAGGACAUACUUGGUCCAAGUCUUUUUAGUGAAAGAUCACAACUUUUGAAUGUUCAACUGACAUUUUUUAACAUGUUAACUUUUGAAUCGACAGUCUCUCAAAUGAUUUGGAAGUUUGACUUGAGACGGUUGUUGGGAUGCAAUCUCAAAGAGACUCGUGCUCAAAAGAUGGAAUGGGAAAAACACUUGCCAUCUCUGGAAAAUCAUCCCUCCCUUUACAACGGGGUAGGACUCCCCUUUUAUAGUGACUCGGAGGUCAUUUUACAUACCGUGAAUACCCUUUCUCACCUACUACAUUACUGGAAUAUGUUGUACAUAAAGGUCUUUGGGGUAACGUGUACAAAUUAAACUCUCCUGCAGAGUCACGUAUCUCACGUCUCCUUGUAGUCACGCCUCCUUGUAGUCAUGCUUAUCACGUUUUUAUGUAGUCAUGCUUCUCACGCCUUCGAGACUUUAACCACGAGGCUUCUUGUUUUCGUCUAAGUCUUCAGCUUCAGAACCUUAUUAGCUUCGCAUUGAGGAGACUCCUUAGCCUCAUGUCUUCAACCUUAACGCGCACAGCUCAGUCUAGACCUUGAGUAGAAAACAUAACAAAAAACACAGUGCUUGAGAUUAGCUUCGAGCGUUCAAGGGCAAGUUAAUUCAUAUCUUAGCCAUCAGCAAAUAAUCUUUAGCCUCGAAGUCGAAAUGACAAAGAAGAUGCAAGGUUAACGUAGUUUACACGCUUAUUUAGAACCUGCAAGGUUAAGUAAGUUUUGUCCACUGAUCUUGAUCUUGUGAGGUUAGCUAGUUUUUGCUAAUGAACACCGCUCAAGGUUGAUCAAUUUUUGGAUGAUCCCCAACAAUAGCCCCUCGUGGGUGAGGGUCGACUCUGACGGGCUGAACCCGCGACAAAGGAUCACUCUACCAAAAAACAUCACCCUCGAGCAUCGGAGAAGAGAUGAGCCAAUAGUUAACUUUUGUGACCUACGUGCCAACUUCCAAUUGAUUGAUGGUUCGUUUUCAGCUUGAGGUUCAAGGCUCCCUUUCAUGCGGGUCGCUUUCAGAUUGCCUUCGCGUUUUGCUGCUAUACAAUGCACCGUCAACUGAGCUUUUUAAGAUUCGUGCUUGCUUUGUUGUUUUCCUCGAGCUUCAAGGCCUCGAAGGUACUGUUGCUGUUCAUGUUUUUUAUUCUUGCUUAACUUCAUUUUGUUAUUGUUGGCGCUAGAAAUCGGUCAACCGAAUCCCCAGCAUCUGACACACGACUCGGGAGAAUCUGCUUAACUCCUGUUCGGGUGAUUGCCCUGGUGCAGUUCGCGCGGCGUGCCAGCCAAUCUGACCUGUUGAUUGGCAAAGAAGAAUACGUGUCAGGUCCAGAAAUCACGAUCGGCUAAGUUUCCGAUCUCGAGAGAGCUUAUCAGCGAAUCGGCCGAUUUGCCGUAAUAAAGAAAUCGGCUAUAAGGCAGCCGAUCACUGUAGCCUUGUAGACAGAAAACUACUGGAGUAAUCGACACAAUGCUAUAAUAACAACACUAGGAAUAGAUCCAAUCGGCAAUAUGUAAAAUAAGCGAAUUCAAUAGCAAAACAUAAAGAAAGCCGAAACCACCAAUUCCUAGCUGGAUAACUGGUGAUAAAACUAGAAAGACAGGUAAAACCUAUGAUUCUAGUAAAUAUCGAUAACUAGUGAAUAAAUCUAAACGAAACAACAGCGAUACGCCCGGAGUUAAAGCUUAGAAUUUACUCGGUAAACGGAACUUACAAGAUCGGCCGGAGAUCAAGUUGAUGCAGCCCUGCCAACUCGUACGAACUCGUGAAAAAGGAGAAACUAUUUGGUGAAAUCGCCUGCUCGAAAGUAAGUGCGAGGAGAAAGUAGUUGGUUGUAUUGAUUUGUUGAUGAUUACAGAUUUACAAAGGUAGCUAUUUAUAGCCCCGUACAGAUGACUCCUUAACUGACUAGAAUUCUAUCCCUAAUUCAAAUAGAAAACGAAUAUUUACAAGCACGAUUCAUGCUAGGUUGGUUAUUAUACGCUUCAUGGGCUGAUUUCCCCCUUAUCCUUUUAUUCUUUUCCAAGCCCUUACCGGCCCAAUUAUCCCAACCUCCUAAUCGGCUGAUUCCUUAUCGGCAAAAGGCAACCGAUUGGGAACCCGGUGCGUUCGAUCCGAACCCCAAGGGUUAAGCGAGGCAGAAGUCAUCGGCCGAUCUCGUACUGUAGCACCAUUCGGCCGAUUCCCAACUGUACUUUUCCAAUUUCCUCUCUUCCUGGCGCCGAUUCUACUAGUGACGAAAUCUGGCGUCAACACAUGGCCCCCAGUUUCAGAGUAAAACAUAGUCUUUUACUUCGAAAUUCUUUUCAACUUCUCCUCCGAAACAGCCGCAAUGAAAAUAUCCUUCCGUUUCGCGGUCUUCCAGCUGAUGAUUGCAAUCUUUUCGAAACGGGCGCCCACGACAACCACUACUCCCGAAAAACUCAAAACGCCGGCGCGGUAAAAAUUCCAUUUUUACCCCUCUUCAGGCACCCUUUAAAUAGCGGUUCACCCCGCACUUCACCUUCAAGCUCACAUCUUUCUUCCUCAGCGCGCGCGCCUUCUUCUUCCUUCAGCACUUUUCCCUUGUCGCCGAAGCUUCCCAGCGCCAUCCUCCUGUUGCUUCUUCUCUUCCCCUCCAAUGGCGGCUCCUUCAGGCAGUUCUCCAGCGCGCGAUGCUCCAGAAAUAGCACCCCCGGCGGUAGUGGCGACAGCAGUUGCUCCAUCGUCAGAAGAAGGAGCUUCAUCGGAGAUCCCAAUGGCGAUCCCCAUCGCGGCCUCAUCCUCCGCAGCUGCACCGGCGGUCACGCUGACUACUAGGAACUUCAUCCCAGAGGUUAUUACCGAAUCCUUCCUCUAUCGGCAAUGCAUUUACUCUUAGAUCUGUUUCUUACUUUUGCACCCUCUCUUUCCUUUUUAGGCAAUUAGACACCGCAUCACCAUCCAUCUUACUGGAAAUCCUGGCCUUAUUUUCCUCGGACUCAUGGGGAACCCAGAUCCAAUAGAGCUCAUCAAUCUAGAAACCCACAGAAUCCGCUUCAAACAAUCCACCAUGGACCUGGAUCACUGGUUGGGCACUUUUAGAUCUUGGCCGAAUGAAACCCCAGGUUGGAGGGAAUGGUACCAACGGAUAGCCGAGCCGAAGAGGGUCUUAUGGGACGAGCUCAAAAUCGGCCAGUGUAUCAACCUGUCUUUGUCCCAGAUGGAGAAAAAUGAACCGUUGGUAAUAGCGGCCUCUUACUUUUGGUCUGAUGCCCUCAAUGCUUUCUUGUUUGGGCAUGGACCUAUGACUCCCACAUUGGCCGAUGUGGUUCUACUGACCGGCCUUGAUAUUUCCUCCCCGGACACACCUUUCCGCCUCUUAGCCGCAACAUCACAUCGGCUGGACACAAGAGGAAUCGGCGGGUGGAAAGGAUUUAUCAGAUGCAACAAAAGAGCCGGGUCUGUUGAGAAUAGGGAGCACACGGCCUUUUUAAUGAUGUGGUUAGAAAAACAUUUCUUCUGCGGAAGAGCAGCCGGCCCAUCAACCAACACCCAGGCUUUAGCCGAAGCACUAUCGGGAGGGACCCCUGUUCCCCUUGGGAAACACUUACUAGGGGUGGCGUACCACAUGCUCCACCAAAUCGGCAUCAAACUAUCCAAGGGGGAGCCGAUCGGAAAUCCAGGCGGACCCUGGUGGUUCAUCAAUUUAUGGCUGAACCUUUAUAUGAGCAAGAUCACUCAGCAGAGGGUGGACCAUAUGAUGUUCCCCAACAUUGAAUCGGCAGAAGAUCCUACCGAUCAUUGCCGAUGCACCUCCUAUGGCGAAGCGGCAUCGGCCUUUCCAGGUUGCACAUACUCUGCUACAAAAGUGGCCGAGUACUUCCGAUGCUUUUACAAUGGCUUUAAUGAAGAUGCAACCGUCUGGUUUCCUUAUCAGUGGGAUGACCCAAUCUUUAAACUCCCAACCUGCUUCGACUCAACCACUGGCCGAUUCAACGAAGAACUCACCGAUGAGUUAAUCAAGCCAGGAAUCCUGCCAGCCAACUUCUUCUCGGGGAAGGAUGCCCCCACGUACGAGUUCUACAAUCCCUCUAUUGCAGCACACCAACUCGGCAUGGGUCAGCUGCCGAUUCAAGUAUAUUUCGCUGGCCGAGUCAAGUUCAGAGAUGGGCUCACAACAGGUCUAGACUACAGUCGGGUACGAGACCGCAUCCCGGACUCCAACACUAUUGAUCUGAACAACUGGAUAGUAGCCCCCUUCGCUGUCCAGCCAUUCAAACUUUGGUGGGCCGAAUGGAAACAAUUCCUCUUCUGCAAUUCGGCAUCGGCAUACUGCAAACUCCUGGAUCCAGCCAACAUCGACCCGAAUGCCGAGGUAUUUUCCUUAGCCGAUUUUUCUCCUUUUUUCAACGCGAAUGAACACUAAUAUUUUACUAUUUCUUCAGGCUGAGAAUCGUACUCCUCCAACACACAGCCGGAGUGGUCGGCUAAUAGAGGGUCAUCAUCCAUACACCUCCUACCCUCUCAUCGGCUAUGACGCUCCGUCCGUGGACGUGAUUGCUGGUCGAUCAAAACAAACUCAGAAGAGAGUCACCAAGAAGACCAGCCGCCGAGUCCGAGCCUGUAUAGAAUCGGCGGAUCCUCCCAUGCUCGUAUCGGCAGAGACUCCGGCCGCGCCACCCCCUUAGGCCACCAGAGACAUUGACACUCAAGUCAUCGCACAAGCCGGGGCAGCCGCCGCGUCAUUGUUGUUAGAGGCCAUUCAGGUAAACUUAUGUUUUAAUCCUCCCGAUUGUCGUUUUGAUAUUAACCCUUCUUAUCUUAGACUGCACAGAAUACUCCUAUGGACACACAACAAUCGGCAGCAACCCAAUCGGCCGUCGACGCGCCCCCGCUUCCAUCUGUCGAGGUACAACACUAUUUCACCGAUUCCCCUAGUAUUCGCAUAAUAUACUUACUCAACCUUCUAACACAGGUCAUCGGUACGCCAAGCGCUCCUCAACCACUGGUCCUCUCUCGGGGAGCUGGUCCAAGCACCGCGCCGAUCAUCGUGGAGUCUUCCUCUUCUGAUGAACCUAUGGUACAGGCCCCUGAGCAGGGAACAACGGCUUCCCGAACGCAACUUGAAGAGAUUCGCUUCAAAGUGGUAAGACAUCUUUCAAGCUUUAUUUGGCCGAUUCGCUAUCACCAUCAGCCGAUUUAUUUUUUCUUCCUUAUUAUUUCCAGGAACAGGACACUCCUGACAAUAGCUUCUUCUCUUUCGCGGUCGCCCUUUCUAACGACGAAGAAGUCGCUUCCCACCAAGUCGCCUUGAGUUCCAUCCCUGACGACGUCCGAGCCAAGCUUACUAGUAUCCGAUCCCUUCUUCAAGGGGACAUCGGCCGACUAGUAGAAGAUGCUUCACCAAUUCGGCAGCUUUUCGGUGACGUCAGCGGACGAGUGCCAGAAGAAGCGGAGGAAGCCUUGGCGCCGGCUGCAUUCAUCGAGUCCAUGAGGAUCCCAGUCUUCAGAGCCCUUCGUCACAUGGCUGAUCGCGCCAAGCUGGCCAAGACUCGUGAAGAGGAGGACGCAUUCAAACGUCAAGCUCAAGAGGUGCACCAGCGUAUCCAUUUUCUGGAGGACUCCCGCCCAGGGAUCGUCGGUGAGAUAGACCACCUCAAUCGUCGAAGGGAAGAACUUGCCAAGGAAAUGGAGCAGGUGACCAAGGCAAUCAGCACCGAAGAGAAAAGGCUCCAAGAACUCCCUUCCGUCAUUGCCGAUUUGAAAUAGGAGAGGCAGCACUUGGCCCAUGAAGCCCUGAAGCUCCACCGUAGUGCAUCAGAGGUCCCCGGAUCGGCGGAUGAAGACCAACGGGUCCUGGACUCUGCCGAUCAGAUCCGGCGUUGGGCGAUUGCGGCUAUCGAUACCCUUCUGGGUAAUCUGUAAAGCACUGACUAUUUUGUACGAACAUUUAAUAACUACUUUGACCGUCCUUCGCGAUGCCCUUUUUAUUUAUUGCUCUUCUUACUUCCGAUGGGGACGCACCCUUACCAAAUUUCCACGCCUCUUUCUCUUAUAAAUACCGGCCUAGACUUCCCCUUCCGAAAGCAUCCGUUUGGCUUCGGUCUUAUUUUCUCAAUCUGUUCUUAUCGGCGCGACCUUCUGUCAUGUCUUCGUCGUCUUCUUCUUCCUCUGUUAACCAGGUGAAAACUUUAUCCUUCUCCUUCGUUCAACUUUUCUAAAGGAGAUCACUUUUUUACUCAUUCUUUCUCCAGCGUCGACGCCUUAGCCCCGAACUUGAGCGUGCCAUCGAGGUUAUACACUCUGAUGAACCCUUGUCAUCAGAGGAUAAGGAUUUAAUCAGGGCUCAUCAUGACGAACUUCGAGAACACAUCUCCACCGACGCCCGUCGGGUACUGGACUUUCUAGAAAGCAACACCCGUCGGCGACCUCAAGCCGACAGAAGUUAUCCGCUUCCUCCGCGAGUCGCUCUUGAAGACACAGCGGCAGGAACAUCCCGCCCAGCGGUGGACCGGAGCCACCCUCUCCCCCGUCAAGUCAAAGCGGAGGCUUCAAUGAAGGAAAUAGAAGAAGAGUACAUCCGUCUCAUGAUAGAGUUAGGCCAGACCGAAAGAGAGCGCAAGAAAAAGAAUAAUUAGUUAUUAUUUUUUGUUCUAAGGGCGACUUGUAUCUUGUCGGCCGUGUAAUCCACCGUCCGUACCGAAUGAAUACAUCGGCCGAUUUGGACGAUUACAUGUUUGAACCGUUUUACAUCGGUUGUGUGCGAUUGUAUUAUGGUCAAUCCCUUAUGCUCCGACCCAUAUACUAGGGUAGUAUCUUUUUAAGUAUCUUCCGUUCAGAGCCCUAGUAAAUUCUUCUCCCUCGAUUGUUUCCAAAAUAUAAGCAUUUACUGGAGAACAUCUGCCGAUUUUAUACGGCCCUUCCCAUGUAGGAGACCAUUUUCCGAAUUUAGGAUCUUUCGACCCAAUCGGCAAUACUAACUUCCAAACCAGGUCCCCAUGAUAGCCGAUGUUACGGCUCUUAACGGAAUUGCUUCCACCCAUUUGGUAAAGUAGUCGGUAGCCACCAGAAUAAAUUUGUGUCCCUUGCUUGACGGUGGAUAAAUUUGGCCGAUAAGGUCUAUUCCCCAUCCUUUGAACGGCCAUGGUUUGAUAAUGGGAUUCAUGGCCGAUGCGGGUGCACGUUGGACAUUCCCAAAUUUCUGACAAUCCUGGCAUCCCUUAUAAUAUUUGAAACAAUCUUCUAGGAUCGUUGGCCAGUAACACCCAUUAUUCCUGAUCAUCCAUUUCAUCUUAUGGGCCGAUUGGUGUGCUCCACAUACCCCUUCAUGGAUUUCUCCCAUCAGAGUCUUGGCCUCCUCCGUUCCCAGGCAUUUGAGUAGGACACUGUCGAUCGUUCGGUAGAACAGGUCGUCUUCGAGCAGUACGUACUUAGUAGCAUGAAAACGUACUCGUCGUUCCACCUUUUUAGAUGGAUCUUUCAAGUAGUCGGCAAUUUCUUUCCGCCAGUCAUCGGCCGCGAGUUCCAGAGCCAUGGCGCCUAGAAUUGGCCGAUACCCUGAUGCGUGCUGGGCGAGCUUGUUGGCAUCCUCGUUGUGGUCCCUUGGGAUGUGCUCGAUUACUGCCGAUUUAAAUUCUUUUAAGAGCUGUAGGCAAUUUUCAUAAUAAAUCCUUAAUACAUCGUCCUUGCAUUCGGACCUUCCGGUUAAUUGAUCCACAAUAAGCAUGGAAUCCCCGAAGACUUCUACAGAAUCGGCCUUGACUUCUCUUAAUAGUUGUAAGCCCUUCAAUACAGCUCGGUACUCCGCUUGAUUGUUAGUGGCGGUAGCUUCUAUCGGCAGAGAAAAAUCGUAGCUUGCCCCCCGAGGCGAUAUGAGACCGAUGCCGAUUCCUGAUCCGACCCCACAUGAUGACCCAUCAAAAUAUAAAGUCCAAGGCGCCGGCUCUACAAGGGUAACCUCUGGUCCGCAGUGUUGGGCGACAAAAUCGACCAUUACUUGACCUUUGACGGCUUUUGCCGAUUCAUACCGCAGGUCAAACUCUGACAAAGCUAAGAUCCAUUUGCCGAUUCGUCCUUUCAAUAUCGGCAGUGAUAGCUUGUAUUUUACUACGUCAUCUUUGCAUACGACCACGCAUUCUGCCGACAGUAAAUAGUGCCUGAGUUUGGUGCAUGAGAAAUAAAGAUAUAGGCACAAUCGCUCCACCGGAGGAUAUCUUGUUUCAGCGUCCAGGAGUCUUCUACUGACAUAAUAAAUCACUCGUUCCUUUCCUUCGAAUUCCUGGACUAAAGCCGACCCAAUAGCUUUUUCAUCGACUGAUAAGUAUAAUUUAAACGGCUUACCAGUUUGAGGAGGAACCAAUACCGGUGGUGAGACCAAGUAUUGCUUCAUAUCUUCCAAUGCUUUGCGUUGCUCCUCCCUCCAUAUGAAUUCCUGAUCAGGCUUCAACUUCAACAGUGGUGUGAAUGCCUCAAUCCGCCCAGAUAGAUUAGAUAUGAAUCUUCUGAUGAAAUUCACCUUGCCGAUUAAAGACUGCAAUUCAGUUUUAUUCUGUGGGGCCACGACUUUGUUGAUGGCCGCUAUGGUCUUCCAAUUUAUUUCUAUUCCCCGUUCGUGCACCAUGAAUCCUAAGAACUGUCCGGCAGAUACGCCGAAAGCACAUUUAUUGGGGUUCAUCUUCAGCCCGUGUUUCUUGGUGCACUCUAGCACUCUUCGCAAAUCAGCCAGAUGCUCUUCAUGUCCUUUGGACUUGACUACGACGUCGUCGAUGUAGAUUUCUACCAGAAUGCCGAUAAGUUUGUGAAAUAUGUAGUUCAUGGCUCUCUGAUACGUGGCGCCGGCAUUCUUCAAGCCAAAAGUCAUCACCACCCACUCGAAUAGACCAAGGUGGCCCGGGCAUCUGAAGGCCGUUUUGGGUAUGUCCUCUUUGGCCAUAAGUAUCUGAUUGUAUCCAGCGUUUCCGUCCAUGAAGCUGAUAAUCCUGUGCCCCACGGUAGCUUCGAUCAGCACAUUGGCCGUUGGCAUGGGGUAACCAUCCAUCGGUGUGGCCUGAUUAAGAUUCCUGAAAUCAACACAAACGCGUAGCUUUCCGUUCUUCUUGUACAUUGGUACAAUGUUGGAGAUCCACUCGGCAUAACGGCAUUGCCGAAUAAAUUUUGCUUCAAUUAGCUGAGUUAUUUCAGCUUUUAUGUCUGGUAGAAUCUUAGGAUUGCAGCGCCGUGCAGGCUGUUGGUACGGCCGAUACCCUGGUUUUAUGGGUAGCCGAUGUUCAACAAUAGAUCGAUCUAAACCGGGCAUCUCAUGAUACUCCCAAGCAAAACAAUCCUUAAAUUCUCUUAACAAGUUCGUCAACUUACAUUUGUAUUCUGGGUCUAAAUUUGCACUAAUAUAAGUCGGCCUAGGUUUGGUACCAUCGCCUAAGUCUAUCAUCUCUAGUGAAUUGGCCGACGUGAACCCGUGUCCUAGCUUCCCAUCUUCUCAGGCGAACUGAUCCAUUUAUUCUGAGUCUUCGGAGCCGACUGCUCGGAUCGGCUGUAGGCCAAAAUCGGUCACCUUCAGGAAGUCGGUCUCCCAUACUCUGCCGGAUAUGCACCUGACGGUUUCGCAGCUCCACUGCUGCGUGUCGGCUGCCGCGAUGUUGUUUGCGGAAUCGGCGUUGACUACCUCGAUGUUGUCGCCGACCCAUUGUACAAGACAUUGAUGCAUUGUUGAUGGGAUGUAGCAAUUUGCGUGUAUCCAGUCCCGGCCGAGUAGCAUGUUGUAGGAUCCCUUGCCAUUAAUAAUAAAGAAUGUGGUGGGAAGGGUCUUACUGCCGAUGGUGAGGUCGACGCAGAGGGUGCCGCGAGCGGGAGACACGUUGCCUUCGAAGUCUUUGAGCAUCAUGUCUAUCUUGGUCAAGUCAUCAUCACUCUUUCCAAGCUUUCGGAGCACGACAUACGGCAUGAUAUUGACUGCAGCUCCUCCAUCUACCAUUAAUCUGGUGAGAGGGCGGCCGUUGACAUGCCCUUUGAGGAACAAUGCUUUCAGGUGUUGUCGUUUGUCGUCCUCGGGCUUCUCGAACGUGGCUAUCAUUGGCUCCAGGGCCAACUGUGCCAUCUGUUCUUCUAUUACCGACAUAUCCUGUCGAUCGGCAGGAGUCAUGAAUUCCAUCGGCAGUAUGAAAACCAUGCCGACAUCGGCUGCCGAUUCAUCACCCGCCGAUUCAUCGUCCCCUUUAUCGUUUCUUUUGGGGCGCCAUACCCGAGGCCUUCCUUCCUUCUUGUCCGUCGUGCUCUGUUGUUCCUCUUCCUGCUGUUCCCAUUGGCGAAGACGUUGGAUUCUUCGUUUUUGAGAUUUGGUCAAUCCAUCGGGACACCACCUGGGGUUUAUUGGUUUGGCUCCUGACCUGGCGCGUUCCCACUCCGGUUCGCGUCCCAAAGGGUUCUCGUCUGUCACCCGAGCGUCGGCCAUCUCUUCAAGCCGACUGUGGAUGUUGGCCCUAUUUUCUGGCUGGUCGCGUCGAUCAAACUUGCCCCCCGGCCUGUCACGGCGUCUGUCUUCUGACUGGUCAUAUCGGUCACUUCUGCCCCCCAGCCGAUCACGCACGGGAGGACGCUGAUCAUCUUGGUCGCGCCGGUUCCUGCUGAUCAGUUCUGGUCUUCCGUCUCUGGAGCGAGACCUGUUAAACGGCCGAUUACCACGAUACGGGCCGUUGCAUUCUGGGCAAUUAUCGGCCGAAGGUAGCCUGAGGUUGCUUUCCCAACAGUGGAUGAAGAAAGGGCACCUCCAAUGAUCUUCGUGCCGUCGCAUCGCUUCUUCCCGGGACCUUGAGCGUUCAUGUUGAUGCUGAUAUUUCUGGAGCAAGAACUGGGAAGUAAUGCGUGGCUCUUCCGAUUCGCCGUCUUCAUACUCCAUCCGCCGCUUUCCUUUGACGUCCUCAGGCGUCGCUUGAUUUUUGGGGUCUACGGCACCACUCUUUUUAGCCGAUUCGGACGUCAGCACCUUUGUUUGGAGUGAGUUCCUCCCCAUAUCAACCAUGUUGGUGGGAAAGGGGUGCUGGUCGAUCUUCAUCGGCUUGGCAGAUUUUGUCGGCACUUCAAAUUUAAGUCUGCCCUGCUCAAUGGCCGACUGUAUCUGCUGCCUGAAGAUUUUGCACUCAUUAGUAUCAUGGGAUGUGGCGUUGUGCCACUUGCAAUAUUUCAUCUUUUUUAGUUGUUCGGCAGAAGGUAUUGUAUGAUAUGGCGAGAGCUUGAUCUGCCCUUCCUGUAGGAGAUGGUCGAAGAUUUUAUCGGCCUUCGUUGUGUCGAAACCGAACGCUUCUGGCUCCUUUUUGCCGAAUGGGCAUGAUAUCGGCUUCUUUCCCUUGACCCACUCUGCCAGUCCGACCUCAGCAUCUUCUUCGGCCUCAACCUCUUCUAGGAAUGCCACCUUCUUCUGGAAGUUCCUCCGUGGAUCGAAAGAACGUACCUCCUGUCCAGACAAUCGGUGGACGAUUUGGCUUAAGCUCUCGAACACCUGUGAUGCGUAUUUUUCUUUGAUGUGGGGCAGGAGACCUUGAAAGGCUAUAUCAGCCAGCUGUGCAUCGUUUAGAGCCAAAGAGUAACACUUGUUCCUGAUUUCCCGAAACCUCUGUACAUAUGAGGAUAUCGGCUCGUCGCUUCUCUGCCUGAGGCUGGUCAAAUCGGACAGCUUCAUCUCAUGCACUCCGGCGUAGAAGUAUUUGUGAAACUGUUUUUCCAAAUCAGCCCACGUGAUAAUAGAGUUCGGCGGCAAUGUCGUGAACCACUGGAAGGCCGAUCCGGACAGAGAUGACGAGAACAACCGCACCCGUAGAGCGUCUUGCGUAGCUGCCUCUCCGCAUUGGAUGAUGAAUCUAUUCACGUGCUCUACGGUUGAAGUAUCAUCCAUCCCUGAGAAUUUGGUGAAGUCAGGAACUUUAUACCGAUGGGGAAACGGCAGUAGGUCAUAUGUAGACGGGUAUGGUGUCCUAUAGGUGUAAGUUUGUACCUUCGGCUUUAAGCCGAAUUGUUCCUGAAUCACCUCUGCAAUACGUGCCGACCAAUCUGGCUGUUGCUGGUGAACCGUUGGCUGCGGUAUUGGCACGUGCUGGUAUACCGGGGGUGGAAUAGCCUUAUGCUGAGUGAAAGCAGGUGGCAUCUGAGUGAAAGCCGGCUGUGAAUUAAAGGUCGGCUGUUUGAAUGAGCCACUUGUUUCAUCAUACAGUACGAGCUCUGCUGUUUUGUUCAUCUCUGGCGCGACAGGCUGGUAUGGCGGCAUGGGUGGCCGAGUGGCCGCCUGGAAAGAUGCCUGAAAUUGUGAGCUUCCCUGACUGGCCGAUUGAUUCUGACUGGCCAUGGCUGAUGGUGCCCCCCAAGGCGAUGGGCUAACCGGAGGGAACGGCGCAGAGGACAGCUGGAUGGAGUUAUACCCCAUAGGAACUGACGAUGAGGAAGCGCCCGAACCUCCAACGGAAAAUUGGAUCGGCUGAGAAACUGAAUUCAAGUAACCCUGGUUUGGUGGAAUCGGCUGAGUAUAUGUCGGUCCCCUAUAUCCUUGAGGUAUCCCACCAGCGAAGGAGUUAACAACGGCGUUGUACACCGUAUUUGCAAGCACCGGGGAUUGAUCAAUGAAGGCGUGAUAAACGGACUGUUGGACCAUAUCGGCCAUCUUGUCCGAGUCCUCAGAGAUUGUGAUCUGGCGGGGAGCUGGAAACGGAGUCUUCUUGAUAGUCUCCCCGCUUCUGGAGCGACUGAAAGACUGCAGGCAAGCUUUCCGGAACUGUGCCGUAUGCUUAUCCAGUUCUUCCUUCCGAUCGUUCUUUAGAUCUGCUUCCGUCACUUCGAUAACGUUAUCUUCGGAGACUUCAGCAGCUUUCGACAUGGCGGUGGUUGUGUUGGUCCCACUGGGCGUGCCAAAAGUGUGUUGGCGCUAGAAAUCGGUCAACCGAAUCCCCAGCGUCUGACACACGACCCGGGAGAAUCUGCUUAACUCCUGUUCGGGUGAUUGCCCUGGUGCAGUUCGCGCGGCGUGCCAGCCAAUCUGACCUAUUGAUUGGCAAGGAAGAAUACGUGUCAGGUCCAGAAAUCACGAUCGGCUAAGUUUCCGAUCUUGAGAGAGCUUAUCAGCGAAUCGGCCGAUUUGCCGUAAUAAAGAAAUCGGCUAUAAGGCAGCCGAUCACUGUAGCCUUGUAGACAGAAAACUACUGGAGUAAUCGACACAAUGCUAUAAUAACAACACUAGGAAUAGAUCCAAUUGGCAAUAUGUAAAAUAAGCGAAUUCAAUAGCAAAACAUAAAGAAAGCCGAAACCACCGAUUCCUAGCUGGAUAACUGGUGAUAAAACUAGAAAGACAGGUAAAACCUAUGAUUCUAGUAAAUAUCGAUAACUAGUGAAUAAAUUUAAACGAAACAACAGCGAUAUGCCCGGAGUUAAAGCUUAGAAUUUACUCGGUAAACGGAACUUACAAGAUCAGCCGGAGAUCAAGUUGAUGCAGCCCUACCAACCCGUACGAACUCGUGAAAAAGGAGAAAGUAUUUGGCGAAAUCGCCUGCUCAAAAGUAAGUGCGAGGAAAAAGUAGUUGGUUGUAUUGAUUUGUUGAUGAUUAAAGAUUUACAAAGGUAGCUAUUUAUAGCCCCGUACAGAUGACUCCUUAACUAACUAGAAUUCUAUCCCUAAUUCAAAUAGAAAACGAAUAUUUACAAGCACGAUUCGUGCUAGGUUGGUUAUUAUACGCUUCAUGGGCUGAUUUCCCCCUUAUCCUUUUAUUCUUUUCCAAGCCCUUACCGGCCCAAUUAUCCCAACCUCCUAAUCGGCCGAUUCCUUAUCGGCAAAAGGCAACCGAUUGGGAAUCCGGCGCAUUCGAUCCGAACCCCAAGGGUUAAGCGAGGCAGAAGUCAUCGGCCGAUCUCGUACUGUAGCACCAUUCGGCCGAUUCCCAACUGUACUUUUCCAAUUUCCUCUCUUCCUGGUGCCGAUUCUACUAGUGACGAAAUCUGGCGUCAACAGUUAUUCUUUUUAAUUUUCUUCUUUUGUACUUUUCAGCCGGCUCGUAUUAUGCAAACGGCGAGGUUGAUGUUUGCCGAGGAACAAGCGGAACAAACGAGGUUACGUGACGACAUUGCUGAGGGGCACGAGUCAGACGAGGCUACUAAUAUUGAUAGUGGGGAGGAUCUUUCGAAUGUCAAGGCUGACCCAUCAGAAUUAAUUGCUGGCAAGGACGAUUAUCCUCCUACUUUGCACUUUGGGCGAUCACUGGCCUUGUAGAACACGAUCAAUUUCUAUGUGAGCGAGGGAUACUUUUCCAACGGUAUUGCUAGGCCUCCUGGCGGCGAGGUUGUGCCAAAGCUAGUAAUUGGCGAGUCUGUGGUAUCCAGGGACUUUUUCACCAUUGGUCUGCGAUUUUCAUGUGACAAAAUGCUGCUUGUGAUUUUGGAGAGAUAUAAUGCGAAGUUUCACCAGCUUACACCCAACUCUUUUGUGGCACUUUCCAAGUUCUACUGGGUUCAGUGCACUUUUGGAGGCACGAUCGAUGUUGAUGGUUUUGUGAGGCUAUUUGAGCUUCAUGUUUAGAAAAAGAAUGUGGAAUUUGACGAGGAGGAUGGCAUUUUUUAGAUGCAAUUUGGCUGCUGCACAUUCAUGACUCGAAGGAAGAAUGAGAGCAAAAAAGAUUUCCAGAGUUGAGCUUUCUUCAGCAUAGAAGAAUAGGUGGGAUGAUGAUUGGCUCUGAUAUUGGUUUUGUAUUAGGAUGGAUAUAUCUGAGACUUGUGGCUAUAGUCAGCCAUUUUUUACAUUUUUUUACCUCACUGUCGCCUAUGGAUGUCACAACUGCUCCCUCAUUUGCGAGGUCAAAAGCUUUUAAAAAGUGCAAACAUGCUUUUAUGGUAGCUUCAUCAUCAAUCACUAGGCGAGAUUUAGUUGAGAAGUUUCUUGCAGCAUACAUUUGGCCCCUUUCCUAUGGAUGGGAGCCAAAGGACAUUGUUAUGAAGCCUGUAACUUGGUGUUCUAGUCUAGUCCCCUAUCCUAUCUUUGGAUUGACUUUGCCAAAAGGGGUUAACACCGGCAUUUUCAUUGAUGAGGUUGAGAGGCGGGCUGUGGACAUUAUUGGACCCUGCCACGAGAACGAGCACAUGUCUGCUCAUAAGCUUGUUACACACAGUCUCCGAGUGAACCGUGCUUUCAGAGAGGGGUAUUGAGGUUGAGCCUUGCGCCAAGCCUCGCAAGCCCUUCAAGCAGAUGCGCGAGACUAGCGCGACUAGGUCAGUUGAGAUGGGAAUUGUGGCAAAGGGAAAAAGAAGAAAACUGAGGACUUGGCUUUUAAACCCAUGAGCGAGGCUGGCAAGAAGUCCACGACCUCCAGCCUCGAGGCUCUUAAGAAGAAUGGUAUGCUCAGCCAAGGCACUUCUAGUGACGAGAUAAUCGUCCUUGGUGAGAAAUUGAAGUUUGUUAAGGGCUCAGCCCAUAACUCAUGACCUCGAGGCUAAGCCAACAACUACUAGGUCAGAACUCGAGGCUACCGGUGCUCUUGCUGGCAUGAAGGUGAAGAAAGAUGGCGAGAAAACUGGGAAGCUACCAGCACCGUUGCCAGCUAGCAGGUCUAGAAUUGUCAAAGCCAUGGAUGAAGAGGAAUACGCAGGUUUUCUAAACGAGGAUUUGUCCCUGGCCUCAUCUCGGCACCCUGAAGCUAAGUCACCACUGAAAGAAAUGCAACUCAAGGAUGCUAUUGUUUCUCCAUGCCCUGAAGCUAAAUCUCCUCCAAUAGAUGUGCCACCCAAGGCUGCCGCUGAUGAAAAAAUGGAUAAGCCUGAUCUGAUGCCUAUUGAACUAGGUAAAAAUGUUGUUGAAUUUUUGCCUAAGUUAGGCCUUGUUGAUUCUAGCGGCGCUUCUGUUAAGUUUUUGAAGGAGUUACAAAAUACUGUUGGUGUAGCUGGAGAGGCGUAUAGUGAACCCCUACUACUUCUUAGGGUGGAACCUUUUACUAAGAGCUCCACUCUGCCUCUGUCCAUUGCUAGCUACGACAAGGCGUUUGGCACUAACAUCAAAGAAAAAUUGUUAUCUAUCCACGUGCCUAGGUCAGGUGAGGAUGAUGACCCUUACAAUCCACCACUAUUGUGGGGUAUUAAGGAUUCACUCUGUGCUAUAAAUGUCUUUGUGGCUUCAAUCCUGAUGAUCUAGCUAGGAUAAAGGCUACCCUCGGAUACAAGGUACCGUUUUCGUAACUUUUGGCAAUGUUUUAGUUAGUCUAUUAAUUUGUUUUUUUCCUUAUUUUUUUACUUCUUUAUCGUUGCUUUUCUCUUCUAGGCUGUGAUUGCUGGCAAAGUUGCUGUUAAAAGUCUUAUGGAGAAGGAGAGAGACAUGCUCAGUCGCAGCAUCAGGUUGAUGGAGCUCGAGGCUAAAGUUGCGAGGCUAAAGAAAGAAAACAGCACUCUGAACAACCUGAAGACUUCACUUUCCGAGGUCAACACUGAGCUGCAGGAAAAUAAGGAACUGCUUGUUAAGACAUGCAACCUCGUUCAGAGGGUAGAGGGUUUAGAGAAGAACUCGCAAGAUAAUCUUGGUGUUUUGGAGAAACUUCAAAACACUAUAGUGUCGGAUUUAGUAGCCCGACAGUCCACCAGGAGGUUACCCAAGUGGUUGAUUUGUAGGUGAGGGCGAUUGCAAAACCAAGAACUCGAAGGUGAUCACGAGAACAUGAAGGGGUCACGAGGGUUUUACACAGGUUCGUACCUCCAGAGAGUAACACCCUACGUCCUGUAUGUUGGAUUGUAUUGCUCAAGAUUGAUCUAAUUGGCUCGAGAGGCUCCCUCAGCUGCCUUAUAUAGGCUGGCGACCAAGAGUUACAAGUCGGUUUGAACUUAAUCUACACAGUAGUUACAUGGAAGGUAAUCUAAGUUAGAUUACAAUACGCGUCCCAUGAUAUCCGGGUAGAUUUGUACCAUCUAGUUGCCUUGACUUUUACUCCAAGUAACUUCAUUUGCUCAGCCCGCACGUCCUGCUUGGGCGGGCCCACUUGUCAGGUCCAGCCUGUAUCCUAGUUGGUGGGGACCCAUGAGGUACUCAUAUCCCUCAAGCCCCCGAGCAAUGUGUAGAUGAACAAGAACUUGAGGUCAUCAUAGCGAAACUUGAAAUUAGGUCAGCUGAAGCUGCGAUGGCGUCAUGGUGACAGAGAGGCUGUGUAGUGCUCAAAAAAAGAAAAUUCGAGUGAACACAGAGCCAACGUGGAGAGCGAAGACGAGUGCCGAGUUGAUGGGCACCGACGUCCAGCAGGUCAAAGAGACAGGCACUCAGUAGGAGUAGCCCCCGAGCAUUGAAGUGAUUAGAAGAAUCGGUCCAAUGGUCAAGAAAAAAGAAGUUAUCUCUUGAAGUAGAUCUCAGUGCCCGAGCAAAAAGAUAGGCAUAGCCACAGAGGCCUACUAACUAGAAAUGCGUGCCCAAAUCUCUGGAGAUAAGAACUAAAGCAAUGAUAGGUAAGUGAAAAAAGUCCUUGUUCACAGGAGUACUACACCGUCGGAGUAGCUUCACGGGAGUACUAUCCUUCAGUACUUGAAGAGAAGGCCGAUCAUCAUGUGAAUACUGUGGAGCCCCAUUGGUAUGGUGGAGUUAUGUCGUGCACCCUCACGAGUGUACUGUAGCGUCUUGGAUGCUAGCUGGAGGCCCAGCUAUAAAUAGACCACCAUUCAUCUAGGAGAGUCAUGGCUCGAGUAGUAGCUCUUGUAGGAUUGAAGCUUGUAGAUUUCGAUAGGAGUAGCGCCCGCCCAUAAGCCUGAUGCCAGAAGAAUUCUCGUGAGGAACACCAGGGUGCUCCUUCCCUUCGCAGUCUCUGCAAUAGAGUUGGGGGGUAACAACGCUAGAAGAAUCCUCAUGAGGAGGCUGUAUCGUGAACCCUACCAACUUUGUCCAGGACACCGCUAGGGAAGCAUGAAGCGUAGAUUUCUUGUAUUGUGCUUUUUUUAUUUUUCUGCGUUGUAGCUUCUUAUCCUCGGAUGUCAGCUAUCCCAGAGCUAUUCAUAGUCUUUUGUAAUAUGUAAUGCUAGGAAUUUGAUUUUAGCUAAAUGAAGAUAUGCCUUUGCAACUAGUUUUGGUGAUUUAUGGGGCCAUAGAGGUUGGAAAACUAGCUGUGCUGAGGAAGCUAGCCGAGUAGAAGUAAGCGUCCAGCACCUGAGGAUGAGGACGGGAAGUGCCGCUGAGGCACGCUGAGUAGAUUUAGGUGUCCUGGCCCCGAGGAUGAGGACUGGUAGAGCCACAGAGGCAUACCGAGUAGAAUUAGGCAUCCAGCCCUCGAGGAUGAGGACUGCCGGAGCCACGGAGGCGCACCGAGUAGAAUUGGGUGCCCAGCCCCCGAGGAUGAGGACUGGUGGAGCCACGGAGGUGUGUUGAGUAGAAAUUUUGCCCGACACGUUGUGCUACAUUAAUGAAGGCACGUGAUUUCCGUUUAUAACUCACGCCGUCAUCCCCUUCAAAAGCGCGAGGGGCACGGAGCCGUUAUCAUUCUUAUCUUCAAUCUCUGUCAGCAUCUCUGCCUUGAGCCCACUAAGCACUUCGCUGCUUGUCUCACGAACCCUAGGUUGCACCGCCGCAGUCUGCAUCCCACUCAUGCACAUGCCAUUACCGCCGUGUGAGCUGCUGCGCCGCCACCGCCUGAGCCGCUGCGCCGCUAAAUCUCAAGGACUCAAGCUCAAAGAGAUGGCGCAACCCAAUGCCCCAGAGCCUUCUUCGAUGUGGAUAAAGUCUAUGAUGACGUAGGAGUGUAUCCAAGCCCUCAUCGACCAUGGCCUCCUUGUGCCACAAGCACUACUUGAGUGGAAGCCCACCGUCGGUCAGGAGUUCCCGUCUGAGGACACGACGGAGGCGGUGGUGUUCGCGCCGUUCUUUGAGCGCGGAUUUGGGAUCCCCACAAGAGACUUCUUCCGCGACCUCCUCAACUACUACAAGAUUGAACUGGUACACUUAAAUCCGAACUCAAUCCGGGACAUCUCCGUCUUCAUCUAUCUGUGUGAAGCAUUUUUGGGCAUCCCCCCCAUUUUAAUCUGUGGUGCCACUUAUAUCAACUGAAACCAGUGAUUACUAAGGAAAAAAAGACAAGGUUAUUGGGGGUUGUUGUUUCUCGCUACGACCCAAGAGGAUGCAGGAGCAAUUUGAUCUGCAAUUAAGGGAGUCCAAAAAGGGGUGGCAUGCCGAGUGGUUCCUUAUUGCGAAUAAGAAACCCGAGCUGCCGCCACAUAUGGGGUAUAGGCCAGUAUCAGUAUCUGAGUUGCAAAAUCUGCCUACCUCGGAAUAACAGGUUCAAGUGGAUGAACUAUCUACAAAGAUCGCUGAUCUGAAGGCACAAGGGCUGACAGCCGCAGCCAUCAGCAUCAAUUUCUGUCAGAAGGCAACGCAACCAAUCAAAUACCAAGUACAUCCAUCGUACGAGUACUCGGGACUAGAGGAUCCAAUCCGGGAGGUCCAUGGGAAGGUGCCCAACAAAGAGGUUAUCAGCCGGGUGUGUGAGUUCUUGAAGGGUGUCAUUAGUAACAGGGACGUCCCCAAGGCCUUCUCAUUGAAGAGGCCGUCGCCUACCUCGGUAAGACUGUAUUCAGCUUUGUUUUGAUGCAAUGUGUGUCUGCUUGUGAUGUUUCUGACUUGAAGUAUUGAAUUGACCAGGAUGACGCUUUUGUUUACUUUUUCCCAUCACCACUGCUUGGAGGGGCCGAGGUGAGGCCACCCAAGAUCUGUCCAUCUGAUGUGUUGGUUGUGCUGCUUGCCGACCUUGAGUUUGACUCGAAGUCCUCUUUUGGGUCGGUCGUGAGUGCGACGAAGGAGGCUGGCAAGGAGGAAGGCACCGAGCAGGUUGGGCAGUAGACCCAACAGGACGUGCGCAAGCGGCCCCUUCCCAAGGCUCCUUAGCCGAGUGGGAAGAGGAAGAAGAUGGCCGACAAGAAGAAGGAGAAAGCCGCACCGAGUACUGCUAUCUCAACCAUGUCGGUUAGCGAGGCGGAGUCCGACGUACCGAGCUCGGUUACAAAGAAGAAGAAGUCGGAGCUCGAGGAGACCACCUUAGCUGAAGCAGCACACCUGAAGGAGGCAUUGAAGGCGAAGAUGCUCGGCAGGGCUAGAGAAGAUAAAGUGGCACCGCCACCACUGUUGCGCCCCAAGUACCGAAAGUAUAGGAAACACACUAUGUAAGUAUUGCUUUCUCGUGAUGUUUGUAUUGUAAUUGUGAUUGCUGGCUGAAACUUGUGUGAAUUGCUUGCUGUGUCGACGAUGUAGGAGCAGCGUGUAGUCUGAUGAUGGUGGUGUACAACUAACCAGCUGCUUGGCCCAGACCGAGGUGACUUGCAGUCAUAUUGAGGAUCAGCCGUCGACCAUGGAGGGUGGUCGUACUGAAGAAGUUGUGCCGAGUUUGCCGCCACAACAAGAUGAGGUCGGCUCCAAGGCUGCCGACGACACCAUGGUCGACCCCGAGGUCACAAAGAAGGCAGAGGACGAUGUCAUGGUCGGCCCUGAGGUCGAGAAGAAGGCUACUGAGGAGGCCAGAGCUGGCCCUCAGACUAAUGAGUUGCCCAAAGAUGACCUAUUGCCAGGGAUGAUCGCCGAGGAAGUUGACUUUGGUGUGAUUUGUGAAGAAUCUGACCCCGAGACCUUCUCCGAUGAGGCUUUGGCGGGAGACAUGGUGCGGGACAAGGAAGACUUGUUCAACCUAUGAAAACUCUCCUUGUAUGCUGGCAAGCUGAUCCAUGUAAGUGCACUGAGCGACUGUCAUUUGAUUUCAAAUUUGUUUAUAGGACUUUGAUUGUUGUGGUGCAAAAUAGAAUCUGGCCACCCGAGAGUAGAAGAGGGCGAAGGGUACUCAGAAAGCCGAGCACUAUUGCCUAAAGGCAGAGCGCCUGGAGCCAUGCUCAAGAAGGCGAACGGGAGUCCCGAGCUCGAGAAGGAAAUGACUGACGCACUCAUGAAAGGUAAGUUGUGCCGACCUCUUUUAGUCACUUUUUGCUUUGGCAACCUCUAAUGCUGAUGUGAUCCUGUGUCGGUUUACACAAAUUCUGCAAUGAAGAUAGCCAGACUCCAGUGGAACCUCAAGGAGUGUGAGGACUCCAAUGCACACCUCCAACAAGAGCAUGACAUGGCGGUCAAGCGUGAGUAUGCAGUAUCACAGAAGCUGGCUUAUGAAGCUGAAGCGCACAAGGAAACUGAGCGUUGCUUAGAAGCUGCUGUAAGUAACCUUUAGAAUGACCAACGUGUAAUUGCAGGGCUGAAGGUAGAGCUUCAGGAGCUACAGAAGCCAGCCGGCUAUGUGAUGGACAUGGUCCAUCAUGACGCCAACCCAUCCGCGCCAACACCAGUUUUGGACCGUCUGAAGGCUGAACCUAGUCGGCUCAAGACAUUGUUGAAAGAAACUGUUGUGGAGUGCGUCAAGAGCACCUUUGCCUUGAUAGCAUCGCAUUUCCUCAAGCUAGAGUUGGAGCAUGCUGUGACGGGAGUUGCUGCUAACUUUAAUGAGGACUUGAUUCCUGAGCUAGCCGAGCAAUAUCACAAUGCGGCAAAAACCAUUGUAAACGACCUGGACCUAUUUUGUGAAUCGUUGAAUGCAAUGUUUUUAAUUAUAUGUGCUGAAGGAAAACUCCCUCCCUCCCUUGGUGUAUACGACAGGACAACAUGUGGCUGACGCCUAUAGCCGCUAAGCACCUAGUCUCGCCUAACCAACAUCCUGCUAAGACCGGAUCUCAAGCUUGUAGAAGGGGUGAACGCGAGGUUGUCUAGGUUUCGCUAGCUAGGAUGCCGACCACACGAGUUAGUUGUAUAGCCUCAAGAGGGGGAGGAGAGAAAAGGCGAGGCCCAGAGGUCGGCCUGUGACAUUCCUAGAAUUCAAAAGGGCAAAAUAAGAAUUCAAAAUAGUAAAGCAAGAGAAAUUAAGAAGAAAAUUUGGGACAAAUCAAAGUUGCAAAAUGCCAAACCGAAAAACCCAUCAAAUUCCCUAAGUGUUCAAAAACACCCUAAUAAGAACUUAUUUGGGGAAGGAGCUAAAAAUAUCAAUUCAUAUGUAAACUCAACUUUUGGCCAAUAUAAAAGUUGUAGAACUUUUCAAACUAAACAACUUUCAUUAUUUGCACUUUCUCUGAUUUUGAGUGGAAGGCACUAAAAAAUUGGAUCAAAUUUGGUUAAAUUUGGGGCAAAUUCAAAUUUCAGCCUAGCCAGCGUUCCACGAAAGUUUCCAUGAGUUUAACUCCAAAUCCAGCCCGAAUUUCACCUGGUAGCCUUUGUAAAAGUUGUAGCCCAUAGUUCCAACUCAAACUUAUGUAUUUGAACUUUCAAAGUUUAGUUUCAAAAUAUGGAGCAAAUUUGCGCCAAAGCUGCUUCCCUCACACACCACCAGCGACACCCAUGUGCAUGAAUCCGGGGUGAUCGCGCAUGACACGUCGCGUCGUGCCGCGCCGCUGGCCAGCGCCACCAGGCCAACCCUCGCUGGUGACAAGACAAGUCACGCCCGGCGCUUGCCCAACCUGUGCGCGUGAUUAUCCUCCCCUGGCGCGGCAUAUCCCGGCUGGCCAACCCACGGCCGCGCAUGCUGGCGCACCGCACGCGGCCCCGGCCACUCCCCGCGCGACACCUGGCUGACCUCCGCCACUCGGCCAACCACCGCCAAUGAUGUGAUGGGAUGAUCCAGCCUUCGCCUAGUCUUUGGCCACGCUAUCUUCUUCUCACCACACCACAAUCUGCUUCGGCCAACCACAGCACAUGGCCCACGCGCGUGAAUGCCGCACGCCACCGCUGGCCUCUCCCGGUGCGCCUCUACCUAUCGCCUCUGACUGGCCACCACACUCUCACCCAACCGCGCGCUGAGCGCACGUUGCACGUCGCCAGCUCGCUCACGCUCUUCUGCUGCUACAAAAGGGCAAUGCCUAGCUCGCCGGCGCUACCUUUCACCGCCCCUACACCGAAACUCUACCGCCGCCCGCAGCGCUGCCCAUGCAGCUAUUCCCUCCAAGCACCCCUUCCACUGCCCAAGCUCCCCAAAGCCACCUACGACCACCAUUCAACCUUCCUGACCCUGCUCCCGGCCAUCUCCGCCGCCGCCGUCGUCGGAGAUGACGAGCCCCCGCCGCGCCCACCACCUCACCGCCGACUGCCGCCGCUAGCCCUCCUCCGCCCGUGACUUCCACAGGCCGCCGACCCUCAAUGAGCCCCUCAAUGCACUUAUGCUCCUAGCUCACCCUCUCCCCACCAGAGUGCCGCCAGCCAAGCCCCGAGGACCACAUUGCAUAGCCCCAAAUCUUUCCAGGGUCUAAGCCAUGAAAUGUAAGGGCCCGAUUGUGAAUCUUUAAAAGAUCCAAGGGCCUAAGCACGAAACGUAUUUUCCUUUUUUUGUUUAAAUUUGAUUUAAAUAGCUGAAACUCAGGAAAUGUCUUGAAAAAUGUAGAAAAAUGGAAAAAAUAUGAAACUUAUUUUGCUAGGUUCCUAAUGAUGUCUAGAUUGACGUAAAAAUGUUCAUGUGCAUGUUACUGUCAUAUAUCUGACAUUAGAAUUUAUUUUGCAUAAAAACAAAUAAAUGCCUUAUAACUCAUAGGAUGCUCUGAAAAAUGUGAAACCACUUUUGUUACUUUCCUUUUGACAUGCAUGUUCAGGAUCUAUAAUUUGUGCUACUGGAAUAGAUGAUGUUCAUACUGUUUUGAAAUUCAAAAGCUUAAUUGAUGUUUUAAUCUUGUUAUUUGCAUGAUAAAUAGUGGAAACUAGAUAAAAAUGCAAAAUAAAUUUGUUAGGUUCCUAAUGUAAAUGUAUAACUAGUAAAAAUACUUGCUCCAAUAAAAUAUAUGUUUUACAUUGCUUUAGUAAAUACAUGUGGUUUAAUGUCCUUAUUAUGUGAUAAAUAGUUUUCAUGCCCAUUAAACCCUGAAACUUAUACAGUAGCAUAGGUUUGUGUUGGUAACCUUUCUGUAAAAUUUGUGGAACCAGAUGGAUGAUGAAACUCUAGUUAAAAAUCCUUCUUCGUGUUGUACAAUUUAAUACUGUUUGGUUUUUAGUAAAUUUUGUAGAUGUCAAAUGCAUCUUAAUUUUUUUCAAUACAUCACUUGUGUAGAGGGAAAGCUUCUGUAAACAUUUUAUAUUCAUAUAUUAACAGAUGCUUCCAGAAAUAUUUAUUGAUGUUUAAGAGCUAGCUUAAUUUUUAAUAAAAAUUGCUACUAGAAAUGGUAGGAUAGCGAAAUGAUUAAUUAUAUUUUUAUUCAAAAAUAGGAUAACUUUUGAAAUGAUUGCUAAACAACACCAACAUGACACCACCUUUCUUGUAUGAAUUCUAAGUUCUUAAAAUCUUAUAUGUGUACAUAAUCACUAUCAGAAUGGAACCCAAGUUUUAAUCACAACACACCUUGUUUUGCGAAGAAAAGAUUUUUAAAAUCUUGUCUAGGUGAAUGUUGUCAAAAUUCACAUUAAGCUUUUACAAUGUUAACGAAAUGCAACCUACACCUUGAAAACUUGUAAAUGAAAUCUUAUGCAUAUGCAUCUCAUGUAGAAGCUAAUCUUGCUGACGGUACGCACGAGUUGGUUCAAGAAGCUGAAGAGGAACACUCAGCUGCUAUGGUGAACUUGAUCGAGGCCACACAAGACCUGAGCCAAGCUUUGGAAGAGCCACAGGCUAGCGUAGUACAAGAAGGCAAGCCCCAGAGCAUAACCUUGGUUUCUAAAAUUAUGCAAUACUUUUGUUACUUAUGUUUGUGCAUUAAGUUCAUUGGAGUUGCAUGAAACCUUAGUUGCAUGCUCCUAGUACCCAUGUGUUGAAUACUAGCAUGAUAAGUCGAGUAGCUACUAUGCUAAAUAGGGACAUGGUAAAAGUCAAUUGAUUUCCUAUCACUCGUGAGCUAUAGGAGUUGCCUGUUUACUGAUGUUGGAAUCAUAAGGUUGACGUGCAGGGCUUGGUAAUAUAUUUUGGAAUUGGUGGUUACCCCAUCUAUUUAGAGGAAAACUGCUCAGGUCAAAAUGUGUUAGAGUUGUGGUCAAGUGUUUGAAAGUACUAAACACAUACCAAGUAUGGGAUCGGGAAGCCUAGUACCUGAUUGAACCAGCGUGGACCUUUUCCCCACUCUCUCUGAAACCAGGUUCCCCUGAUGCAUCAUGUGGGUACAAGUGCAGCCUCGGUACAGCGUUGUCCGGGACCGGUGGGGCCUUGUAUCCAAGGGAAGUGGGCUCUGGACAAGCACCGCAAAUUGAUGAGAACCACUGAUAUAUGUGAACCCGUCGUGGUACGCAUAUGUCGUGUGUUUAGGUCCACCUUGCAACGUUAAGAAACUCGAUUCGAAUCGUCUGUUUCUCAUAGCUUGGGACUGCUUGAUCGCCGUUUUGCACUAAGUAAGAAGAGGAACAAAGGUUGAUGGUUAAUAUGGAUGCUUGAUUAAUUUGCUUGUUUCACCAUGCUUGCUUAGAAUAGGUGCUUACCUAGAAUGGUUAAUCAACUAGAAUUUGAUGCUAAAACUUGAAAGUUAGGAUCCACUUUAGAAGCUUUUGGUAAAAAUCAACCCCUCAGCCAAAAAGCCUUGCAUGUCUAGGAGUCGGUGGAUUAGAUACCACUUGAUGGGUAAGUCUUGCAGAAUAUUAGCAUACUCAACCUUGCUUGUGGCUAUGUUUUCAUGUAAUGUUUUCUUUGGAUAUGGUUGCCAGUGUGACUCGGCCGUCUCAGCGUCCUCCGAGUUGGACGGUUGAGUGGGACCCAUCCUCGGUCGGUGAGGAUCGUGGUGAGUGAUAUCAUGGCAAGCUUCACCAUGGUAUUAUGUAUUGUCGUUAGAACCAUCAUUUUCUUUUUCCGCUGCUAUGAACUCAGAACUACUGUUUUAUGCAUUUGAACAUCCAAUUUGUAAUAACCUAAUUUGGUACCUGUAAUAUGUUAUCUGGAUUGUUGUAAUCUCUAGACUCAUCUUAGUGCGAGCUUUGUAUGGUUGUUUUUAUCAGAAACACGUGGUUGUAUCGGGUUAAACCCGAUAGACUACCAUUUUAAUUCAAUUAAAGUGUUUAUUCGUAUUUGAGGUGAUGUUGGGUACACUUUAGCUGGAUUAAUUUGGGUGGUUCUGCCACACGGCCCCAGGGGAAGCCCCUGAGCUUAUGAGUGAGCGGGCUGCUAAACAGACACCCCUGAGGAUCAGGGACAGCUUAGAAAGGGGAACAGUAAGGCAGUACGUACGCAGAAAAAGACUGCAAUGGUUUUAUUUAUUCAAUAUAAAAGGGAAACAGAGUACAUAGCUUUAUAUAUCUAAGGGUAGAAGUGUUGUAGAUGCUCGAUGUUUCUACGGAUUGGGGACGCCAGAGCCGUCUGCCCAUUAUAGUCGGUAGGUGCUUGGUUGGAUGACCUCUUUGACGAUGAAAGCACCUUCCCAAGGGGUGGCUAACUUGUGUAUGUCCUUGGUGAACUGGACCUGGCGAAGCACCAAGUCACCAACGCUAAAGGAGCAUUCCCUGAUAUUCCAAUCAUGGUAGCACCGUAUCUACUGCUCAUGGCGUGCGUACUGGAUGAGGGCCACCACACGAUGCUCUUCAAGGCUGUCGAUGUCGAUCUUCCAACUCUUUUCUGCCUCACCCUCCUGGUAGUACUGGAUAUGCGAAACGCCAAAGGCCACAUCAGAUGGCAAGACGACUGAGCCAUACACCAUAAAGAAAGGAGUGUAGCCAGUAGCCCGAAUCUUCUAUGUUCAUAGGCCCCAGAUGACUUGGGGUAGCUCGCGUAGUGGUAGCGUAUUUGGACAUGUCAUCGAAGAUGCGUGACUUGAUGGAUUGGUGGACCAUCCCGUUUGCUCGUUCCACUUGACCGUUGCAAUGUUGGUGCACUACUGAGGAGUAGUACACAUCAAUGAGAUUGUCUUGGCAAAAGUCUUAGAACAUAGAGCCUGUGAACUGCGCGCCAAGGUCGGUUAUAAUUCUAUUAGCCACUCCAAAGCGGUGCAUGAUUUCCUCCACAAACUGAGCUACUUUAGCUGACUCAAUGCUGGUGAUAGCCUUGAUCUCAAUCCACUUUAUAAAUUUGUCAACUGCCACAAAGAUAUGUGUGUAGCCGCCUGAAGCGGUUUUGAAUGGCCCGACCAUGUCCAACUCCCAGCAUGCAAAAGGCCAGGAUGGUGGGAUGGUGCGCAGAGCCUAAAUUGGAAGGUGCUGCUACUUGGAGAAGAAUUGACACCUUUUGCAUCGUUGGACGAGCUCCUUUGCACUGGCUACUACUGUUGGCUAGCAGUAACUAGAGAGGAAGGCUUUGCCGACCAAAGUGCCCGAGGCAGCGUGGUUGCCAGUCGUUCCUGAGUGAAUUUCAUGUAGUAGAUCAAUACCCUCACUGCAUAAAACACAUUUCAUCAGUAUCCCUAUGGAUGCAACUUUUCUAUAGAGCUCUUUGCCGAUGAUGAUAUAAUUUAUACUGUGUUGAGAUAGUUUUUCAUGCUCUAUCUUGUCCUUUGGAACCAUCUAGUCGGUGAUCAAGGCUAUGAACGGGGCACGCCAAUCUUCUUCUACCUCAAUCAUCAUUAUGUUAGUGGGUAUUGGGUUGGCCAGAAACCUAAGCGCCAGCAUCAUUGGCCUAGUCCAGGUCCAGGAUUUUGAUGGAAGGUUUGCAGAGAUCUUGUACGAAUACACUAGCCAGAACCUAUGCACGCUUGGACCCGAGCUUCAAUAAGACAUUGGCAGCAACGUUAUGGUCCCUAGGGAAGUGAUGGAACUCAAGGCCAUCGAAGUGGGCCCCAAGUUUACAGAUUUUUGUGCAAUAAACAUCCAUGGAUUCCUUGGUGCAGUCCCAAUUCUUGUUGAAUUGCUCGAUGACAACCUUGGAGUCACCAUAAGCGAGUAUACCCUAGAUUGCAAUGGACACGGCGAUGCGGAGGCUAUGGAUUAAAGCUUCGUACUCGACGCCAUUGUCGGUGGCCUUGUAGUGGAUCUGGAGCACAUACUUGAGCUGCUCGCCUUUGGGGGAUAUAAAGAGGACCCCCACGCUAGCUCCUUCAAGAUUGAGGGCGCUGUCAAAGUACAUGGUCCAGUGUUUUGGCCUCUCCAGGGAGGGCGGUUUCUGGAUCUAUGUCCAUUCAGCUACGACGUCGGCUAGGAUCUGUGAUUUGAUUGCAUGGCGCGGCCAAAAUUCGAGGUCCAACUAGCCGAGCUCCAUAGACCACUUGAAAACUCGGCCAUUGACAUCCCUGUUAUGGAGGUUUUCACCAAUGGGGAACGUGGAUACCAUACAGAUCUUGUGCACCUGGAAGUAGUGACGCAACUUUCUUGAUGAAAUCAGCAAUGCGUAGAGCAGUUUCUGAACCUGGGUAUAGCGGGUCUUGGAGUCGCUGUGGACUUGGCUGAUGUAAAACACCGGGCAUUGCACUGCAUAAGCAUGCCCGUGUUCCUAGCGCUCCACAACUAGCACGGUGCUGACAACAUGCGUCGUUGCAGAGAUGUAUAGGUACAAUGUUUCUUGGUCAGCCGGGGCCGUCAUGACGAAAGGAGUGGUGAGGAAAGCCUUGAGCUCUUCGAGCGCCUUGCUAGCCUCAUCAAUCCACACAAAUUUGUUCACCUUUUUGAGGAGUUUGAAGAAUGGUAGACCUUUUUCCCCAAGUUGGCUAAUGAAGCGGCUAAGGGCUGUCAUCAUGCUAGUGAGCUUCAUAACGUCCUUCUUUUUAGAUGGUUUCGUCAUGUUUCGAUUGCAUCCACUCUGACGGGGUUGGUCUCGAUGCCUUGCUGGUUGACCAUGAAGCCCAGGAGCUUGCCAAACAGGACACCAAAGACACACUUGUCGAGGUUAAGUUUCCAGCGGUAGGCUCGGAGGCCAUUGAAGGUCUCCUCAAGGUUGGCUAUGAAGCUUUCCUCGUCCUUUGUCUUGACAACCACAUCAUCAACAUAAGACUCAACGUUCCUAUGCAGCUGUGUUGCGAGGCAACCCUGGAUUGCCUUCUGGUAGGUGGCACCGGCAUUUUUCAACCCAAAGGUCAUGGUAUUGUAGCAGUAGAUGCCGAAGGGUGUUAUGAAUGUCGUCUUGUCUUGGUUGGCUGGAUUAAGGGCAAUCUAGUGAUAGCCCAAGUAGCAGCCAAGGAAGAAGAGCAGGAUAUGUGUGGCGGAUCCACUUCGGAUCUACUUCGGAUCUACUUGGUUAAACAUGAUUUAGCCGCAUGAUACGCGACGCUCAUGCCUAAACCGAGUAAACACGAAGUGCCGUCGGAUUUCAUCCGAUUUAACCACUUGAACAGGACCAAUUAGCAAACCCACACGAAGGUGAGCGGUUCCAGAGAAUACAACAAGUCCACCGAGUUAACAAAUUACCCAUUUAGUUUGGCCAUAAAACACAUCAGAGUUUACAAGGUUCAGAAGAAAACAAUAGAAGGUAAAACACUAGCAGAAGCGAACUCGUCAGGGUCGGACAUCCCUGGUGAGGCCAACCGGGACAUCAGUGAUCCCACUCCUCGCCGUCCGAGGAGGGAUCCCACUCGACCGUCCAACCCGGAGGGAGUUGGGGCGGCCAAGUGCCAACAGAAGGAGGCUCGGAGGCAGCAACUUCACCUGAAAAAGAAAAAGCCACAACAAGGCUGAGCUACUAAGCUCAACAAGACUUAACCGACAGGGAGCACUCUAAACUACCUCUUCUAGACAUGCAAGGCUUUUUGGCUGAGGGGUUUGUUUGCCAAAAGCGCUAGAUGUAACCCUACUUUCAAGUUUUAGCUCCGGUUCUAAGUUCAUUAUCUGGUCUAGGUUUGCAACCUAUUCUAAGCAAGCAUAGAACCAACCAAAAGGUAUAUAUAUCAUCAACAAAACCAUGUCAUCAUCAGAUUCCUUAUUUACUCAGGGUGACAUAGCGAUCAAGCAGUUUCAAACUGUGAGAGGCAGACGAAUCGAUUCGAGUUUCUUAACCAUGCAUGGCGAACCUAAUCUCACGACAUCCGCGCACCACAAGGGCCGCUUCCUGUGUCGGCCGUCCCCAUCAAUUCCCAGGCGCGUGUCAGGUCCAAACUUCCCUUGGCAUGCAAUGCUCCACAGUCCCGGCCUCUGCCGUACUGUGACCGCACUUGCACCCAGAUGAUGCACCAUGGGAACCUCGUUCCAGGGACAGCAGGGGUAUAAGCCACGCCCUAGUUCAAUCAGGUACUAGGCUUCCCCAUCCCAUACUAGGUAUGAGAUUAGUACCUUCAAACACUUGAUCACGAACACCACCACUGUCGGGCCUUAGCAAGUUUCAUAGACAGACGGGGCGAUCAUCCGACCACCAAAGAGUUACCUCAAACCCUGCCCCGUCCAUCGUCCUUAUAGUUGUAACGGAAGGUAAACAUCCAACUCCUACAACUCGCGAGUGACAGGAAAUCACUCGGCUUUUACCGUCUCCUAAUUAAGCAAAGCAUCUACUCGGUCCAACAGCUAGUGUUCAGAUCAGGGGAGCUAAGUUAUGCAUCUAGGGUUCCAAAAAACUCCUAUACAUAAAUGCACAAGUAGGUUAAAGAAAGCAUGCGCAAGUCUGGUAAAACAUAGGGAUUCAUGCAUCCGGGGCUUCCCUUCGAGCAAAGAGGAAGGGAACUGCUCGACUUCUGGGGCAGCUUCGUCUUCUAGGGGCAGGAGCUCAGCUACACUGUCGUCUUCUGGUGCCGGGUGUAGCUCGUAGUAGCCGUCGGUGAGACGCAGCUCUACACGAAUGCAAUGCAUUGGUUAGCAUAGACGGUUAUUUCAACAGCAACACUUGCAAGUCUGAGCCCAGAAACUUGCGACAAGUUACAGGAGGGUGGGGAGGUUCAAUGGAGUUGAUGGAGAUCAAGAGGUAAGGGUCGGAGGGAAGGAACUUAUGAUCUGACCCUUAAUCUAGAGGGUUUGAUGUACUAGGGGUCCUCAGACUCAAUGCUGAAAGGUCCUCAAGUUUUACACAUACACCCUCGGUUCAAAGAAAAAGAUACAGCCGAGCCCUCGGGCGAGGCGGAGAAGGGUCGGCGAAACAGACAAGGUCGGGCGAGACGGAACUGGGGUCGGGUGGAUAAGAGGGGUCGGGCGAAGCGAACAGGGGUUGGCAGCCUACCUUCAUCUUACAGAGGAGGCUUGGGUGGAAGAACUAAGGGCUUGGGACGGCGGCGAGAAUGUCCAGCAGUGGCGGUGCUUCUUGUGGAUCACAAGCAAGCUCUUGGGCAGUACUGAAAGCAGUGGCUGGUGGAUCGGGAAAGCGGUGGUGCUUGAGCAGAGAGGAGAGUUCCUCAGACUUAGGUGGUGGUGCUGUGAGCUUGAACAGGGAGCAAGAGAGAUGGCAGCUAGGGCAAGGGAAACUCCGGUGGGGCUUGCGCAUCCCGUUUUAUAGCUGCGCGGAAGAGGGAAGGGGGAGCGGCGCGAAGGCCGGGGAAGAAGCAAUGGAGUGCUCUGCCCGGGCGGCGAUUGAGCGACGAGGGCGGUGGAGCAGGACUUCGGGGAUGACGCCGGUGGUCAUUGGGCACUGACGUCAGGGCGGCGCAGGCGCGGGUUUGCCGGUGGUUGAGAUUUGGCGGAUGUGGACAUCGUCGUGCGGUGGAUCUGAUGGAAGUGACCGGGAAAACGGUGCUAGAAACGAGGGCGCACAGGUGAGAAGACAGGCGGCUGCGGGCGCGCGGGCGAGCGCGGAGCAACAGAUUGUCGGGGCGGCUUCUGACAGGGCGGGAAAAGGAGCUGUUGCUGCCGCGGUCUAGGUUGGCGGAGGAAGAAUCGUCGGGUAGCGAAGACCGGGGCGACGCGACUGUGGCGAGGUGACAGAAAAGACGGACGGCAUCGGGCUCUGCGGCCGGGAUCUGGCGAUGUGAUGAUGGGUGCAGGCAGCGAGGCGCUGCAGAGGGGCUUCCGCUGCGAUUGGGGAAGGGGGCGCGAGAAUCCAUCCGGUCACGGGCCGAAGACGAGGCGGAGCGGCGGGCGUCGGAGGAGUUGAGCCACGCGGUGGGGGAACUCUAAAGUGGGAAUGCAACUCGAGUGCGCCUGUCGCGGAAGAUCUGGGAGAAAAGAUCUCGUUGGCCCACCGGUCAGUCUCGGUGGUCCACUGCUCGAACUGGAGGGCGAUGCUGCGGGAUGGCUUAGGGAGAUCCGACGGUAGGUUGGGGGUCGGCGGGGUCGGAACUGGGGAGACCACGGCGAGGGGUCGGAUCGCAGGGGUCGGAAGAUCUGGAGGUUGAACCCUUAGGCUUGGAAAAACUAAGACAGGUGAUCAGGGCUCGGAUUAAGAUUGAUGCGAAGGAUUUUUUUUCCGAGGCCGUCACAAUAUGUUCGACUUUUCUCGGAGGAAACUGGUGAGUGUGAGUUCCUAUUUCUCUGAGAGGUCAGCCCCUAUGAGGGUUGUCUUGGUCGGGUCUUCAAGGCUAAGGCAAAUCUUCUUGACCCUGGGGUCAGGCUGCAACGCCAUGGAGGUCGGCUCCUUCUCAGGGAUUGUUAGUUGGUCCUUGCUCAUCUUCUAGGCCUCGGCUACCAUGGCGAUAGCUUUAGCUGAUAGCUCUAGGGCUUCUGCAAGCUGCACAGCUUCGAUGUCGCAUCUAUAUGAUGUCUCCACAUCGCCAUAGAUAGAGAGGACUCCGUUUGGGGCUGGCAUCUUGGAGAUGAGGUAAGUGUGAUGUGGGAAUGCCAUAAACCUCGCCAGCAUAGGAUUGCCAAGGAUAGCAUGGUAGGAAGUCUUGAAAUUAGCCUCCUCAAGCAUGAGGUUCUCCAUGUGGUAGUUGGUUUGUGUGCCAAAAGUGACUGGUAAAACAACUCAGCCAAUGGGGUAGGAUCCUUUUCCGGGGAUGAUGCUGUAGAAAGGUUCUUCACAGGGCUGGAGUCGCUCAAAGUCGAAGUCCAUGCAUUUCAAGGUCUAUGUGAAUCUGAUGUUGAGGCUGCUGCCACUGUCAAUCAGCAUCUUGGGGAGUAGGUCCCAAUCUAUAGUUGGGCAGACCACUAGCAGGUAGGACCCAAGAUCUGGAAUGUGGACCCAAUGAUCUUGCUUGGAGAAAGUUAUAGACUAUUCUGACCAUCGUAGAUACUGAACUGGCUGUACAGAGACAAAGUGCACCUCUCGCUGGCAUAGCUUUUGCUGGCGGUUACUACAAAAUGCAUUGCGGCUGCCCACAAUGAUGUUGACUUGGCGCUCAGGCCACUAGAAGUCCCUGUUCUGGUCAGCACUGGGUCGUUGGGCAUCUUGAUGUGGCUGAUCGCGGCUCUCUUCUCUGUUCUGGUUGUCACGGUUGUCACGCCUGCUGGUGUUGCGGUUGUCGCGGUUGUCACGCCUGCUGGUGUUGCGGUUGUUGCGGUUGUCAUGGUGCCAACCGUUGCGGUUGUUACGGGCACUGUUGUUAUGGUUGUCAUGGUCAACUUGGCGACGGUCGUCAUCAUGGCUACGAUAGUCAUGCUUGUUGUUAUCCCGACAGUAGUCGUUGCAGCGUGGUCACUUGUACUCCACCAGGGUGUCAAGCUCUUUCUUCAGGACUGUGCAAUCUCGGAGAGUGUGACAUGCGUCCUUGUGGAAGGGGUACUGUGGUGUCCCGCCCCCCCCCCCGGGGCCGGGCCCGCUUACACCUGGCAGCUCUCUAGGAUAUCAAGAAUUCCCUCACAGACCAACACAAGUCUUUUCUACGUACUUUGCCCUCACUCAUGCACACCCGGGAAGAACUUCCCGGUCGGUCACCCAUCCCGAAAUUGCUCCGGGCCAAGCACGCUUAACCCCGGAGUUCUUUGAGGAUGAGCUUCCGGAAAAGAAGUUGCAACUUAUUGGUAUGAGUAUUCUAUCAAUCCUAUUAAGCCUUGGGCCAGGAUGUCACAUACUCACCAACUUAGAAGACCGACGCCCUCGUCGGUCAACCCCAAGCCAGGAACGUCCCCUCUUGGCCACGUCCGUGUGUCUAGUGCCAGCGCAUGUGCCAUGCUAUGUGACCACUCUAGGCCCACACCAGCCAUGCACACCAUGCCUGCGCAACUGCGACCGCACGCGCCCGUGAAACCGCGAGAGUCAGCUCUGAUAUCAACUGUGGCGUCCCGCCCCCCCGGGGCCGGGCCCGCUUACACCUGGCAGCUCUCUAGGAUAUCAAAAAUUCCCUCACAGACCAACACAAGUCUUUUCUGCGUACUUUGUCCUCACUCGUGCACACCCGGGAAGAACUUCCCGAUCGGUCACCCAUCCCGAAAUUGCUCGGGCCAAGCAUGCUUAACCCCGGAGUUAUUUGAGGAUGAGCUUCCGGAAAAGAAGUUGCAACUUAUUGGUAUGAGUAUUCUAUCAAUCCUAUUAAGCCUUGGGCUAGGAUGUCACAGGUACGGAGCACUAAGGGUUCCAUUAAAUUCUUCCCGGUUGAAGGUGGUCUGCCUGGCCAGGUCACCUUCAGCAGCAUAGACCUCUGGGGCCCUUUUUUGGAGUCGAGGCUCUGAACGUGCUUGGGGUUCAUCGUGAAUUGGCUGAUCGUAGUCGUCAGCCAGGCGGUGUUUAAUGUUCUGGAAUUGAACUUUUGCCGCCUUUUCGAUGUCAGCUUUUCUGUUGACAACUUUCAUCAUCCACUCGACCAUCUUUGGGGCAGCCUCAUACAACUUUUUGAACAUGGGCCGGUUCAUCAGGCUAGAGCGAAAGUACUAGAUGAUAUCACGAUCUUCGAUGCUAGCCAAUCUGUUACGAUUUUCAAAGAAGCGGUUGGCAUAUUCUCGAACAGGUUCGCCUAUCCUUUGGUGGACGUGGCCAAGUUUUUCCCUAUUACCAGGUCAACUGUAGGUGGCCUGGUAAUUCUGAGUGACAGCUCUAGCGAUCUGUCCCCAACUAUCAAUGUUGUUUGGAGAGAGAUACUCCAGCCACAAGAUCGGAGCUGGACCCAUCACCACCAUACUUUUCGUUGAUGGCCAGCUUGAAUGUGCUUGGCCAAUCAACAGCCCUGAGGUGUGGAGUGAAAGCAGCGAAGCCAUCGAUUGUCAUGUCAUCAUUGUAAUCAUUGUUGAGGUAGUACUGGAUAGGAGGGGCCCUGCCGCGUCCACCGUAGUUGCGCCUGGGUGGGUACUAGGCAUCCUCGGGAGCACCAUACAUGUAGUCAUAGUCAUGCCUGGGUGGGUUGUAGGCAUCUUCAGGGGUGCCAUACACGCGGUCAUAGUCGGCGCGUUGGCGCAUCUCAUCUUCUUGGCGAUGAUGAUCCCUGCGCUCUGCAUCACGGUUAGGCACAGGAGCACCAUAGUCGCAAUCAUACUCGGCAUGGCAGCGGAGCUCAUUCUCAUCACGCUCGUUGUGGCGAUUAUUGAGGUCGGUGCGUAUGUCACGGUUCUAAUGAAGGUCAUGCACCUCAUCACAAAGAUCCCAUUGCCAUUCUAGCUAGUCACAAUAUCAUUAUUGCCUCUCCCGCCGUGAUGUAGUUAUCGUUGUUGUCGCACUGACGGCCGUUGUUGGCAUUGUUGUUGACGGGCGGGUUGGCGUUGUUGUUGACUGGUGGGUUGGGUUGGAUAGCAUUUUGCUCCCCCGCCUCUUCGUGGAUUGGUUCCAAUCAACCAUCUGCAUGAUCGCCUCGGCAUUGGUCGGAUCCGCUAUGCUCAUACUGGCUUUGAGAGUGCCUGGAAGAUGUGGACCGAGAAUGGUCGGUUGUUGAUCUACUCCUUGAUCUAGGCAUUGGCGACUUGGAGUUGCUCCUGAAUCCAUCGCAUUUGGUCUGAAUCUGGAAAAUUUUCCAGCUUAGCAAAGGCAGCCCCCAGGUUGGCCUGGGGUGUGGCGAAGACGUUGUGGCUGGCCUACUCAACGACCAGUAGGUUGCAGGUGCGCAUAUGGUGCCUGCGUCUUUCCUGAGCACCACCUUGGUCGACGUUGUUGUAGUCGUUGCGCGGCUGCUGGCACUGGUCACCUGAUGCAUCUGUGUUAGCAACAAGUUGCUGUUGGGUGUCGGCUUGCUCCUGUUGGCGCCGCGCUGCACGGUUCUGGUUCCUAGCAUUACGGCCUUCUUCUUGAGAUUUCGUUUCACCAUCCCGGGGUGGCUUAUCAGUGGAGAUUAUGAAAGCUUCAUGAUCUUGCGUGGAAUAGUUACUCUCAUCAUCGCUUCCAUAGGGAUUUGGUGUCAGGAUGAUGUGAGGCACUUGGAAUUCACCACAGUCCAAAAACUGGGCGGGUUCGGGCAGGUCUCUAGAUUGGAUCUAGAAAACCUGAUCAAGCUUGGCGGAGUACUCGACGGCCGAGUUCUGUAGGCCAAAGGGGUUGCGGGACAAACCCUGCACCGACCUGGUUUCACGCGACACUGCCUUGGACAGUUUUAUGCACUCAGCGAUAGUGCUACUGAUGCAAUCUAGCCUAGCGAUCAGGUCGGAGGGCACGAGUGGGCGGGCGCUAGUGAGUAGAUCUGGAUCCUUCUCAGAGAGAGAGAGAGUUUGCCGACCUGCUAGGCAACUGUCAUGAUGAUCCUUGGGUGGAGAACUUGUCCCGCCAGAACUGAUUCGACGGGAGUUGAGCUGGUGCUAGACGCCAAGUGGAUAGAGGUCGUCGAGUCGACGGGAGUCGCCAAGUUGAUAGAAAAAGCGGUCGGAUCGGAAUCCACCAGCAUGGUCCUGAAUUGAAUCUGGACUGGGUUGGUGAGGAGGUUCUUCAUGUUCUUAGGAAGAACAAUGUCGGGACGGGAUGCCAUCAAGGUCACAAAAAUGAUCUCGCAACCACCCCUACCUAGCACACCAACUAUCAGAUUUAGUAGCCCAGCAGUCCACCAGGGGGUUACCCAAGUGGUUGAUUUGUAGGUGAGGGUGAUUGCGAAACCAAGAACUCAAAGGUGAUCAUGAGAACAUGAAGGGGAUACGAGGGUGAUUGCCUCAGGAGGCUCCCUCGGCCGCAUUAUAUAGGCUGAUGACCAAGAGUUAGAAGUUGGUUUGAACUUAAUCUACUCGGUAGUUACAUAGAAGGUAAUCUAAGUCGGAUUACAAUACGCGUCCCACGAUAUACGGGUAGAUUUGUACCAUCUAGUUUCCUUGAUGUGUACUCCAAGUAAUUUCAUGUCCUCGGCUCGCACGUCCUAGUCGUGCGGGCCCACGUGUCAGGUCUGGCCAGUAUCCUAAUUGGUGGGGACCCAUGGGGUACCCAUAUCCCUCAUAUAUAGACAGAUUCAACAACUAUCCUAUCUUUGAAGAAAGCUUGUGCUGUCAAGCAUAAAGCUUGCGAGGAAAGAGAUACGAUGAUUCAUACACUUGCCAAGAACCUUGAAGAGCAGAAAGUUUUUGUUGAGGAAGCAGAGCAACUACUAAAGAACAGAUUUACAAAAAUCUACAAAUGAUAUAAGGUGGCUCUCAUAGAGUUUGGUGCUAAACCUCCCCUUUCCCCACCAACGAGGAUGCCAAGAAGAUGUUGAUUGGAUGGAUCAAGAGUUUGAGUACUUGCUUGGAGUUACAAAUUGAGCUAGCAACUAUGCUACCUAUUUCUGUAUCGAGGGUAUGCUCAAACUUUUGGAGAACGAGGGCUGCUCUAAUUUUCUCAAAUUUGGGGCACGUAGUUAUCAGUUUCCUUUGGCCUUGAAGUGUGAUGACCGACCCCAAAUCUCUUUAGUUAAUCUUAAUCCGAGUCCCAAAUCCCCCACCUCAGCUCCCCGAGUUGAAACGCAAAACCUCCAGUCCCGUCCCGACCCCUGAGGUCCGACCCCUCUCCGCUGGCUCCCCAGUCCCGACCCCGCCGACCCCAACUCACCGCCGGAUCCUUCUAAGUCUUUCCGCAACGUCUCUCUCUCUCUCUCAAUCUGAGCAGUGGACAAACCGAGACUGAUCGGUGGACCCACAAAAUCUUUCUCCCAGAUCCCCCACGGCAGACGCACUCGAGUAGCCUGCCCGCCUCAGAGCUUCUCCGCCACGUGGCUCAACUUCUCCGACACCCGCCGCUCCGCCUCAUCGCCCGACCCCUUUUUGUGCGGUUCAUUUCGCCGACCCCUUUUCUUGUGCUGUUUUGCCUAACCCGACCCUUGGCCUAAGGUCAGAUGUAAUGGAACUCCUUGAAUCCGGCUAUGGUUCACCUGAAGUUGUGUGCGGAGUUAAGAUAGAUGCUAACUAAGAUGGCAAGAGGACAUAUGUAUCUCCUUUAUCCAGCUAUGUUGUGUUACAUUGUUGGCAAGAGUCGCAUUGAGAAUUUAACCUAUGCAUUCCCAUCUGUUUGAGAAUUACUUCUGAGCUUAUGGAAUUGAUGGGGCGUUGACUCUUGCAGAUGGCGCAUCGCACCAGAUCCGGCUCUGUGCCCAGCAGCAGCGAGCAGAGACAAGAUCUUCCCCUGCCCCCACCUCCAUCUCCACUAGAGGCAAUCUUAGUGGCUCAAACUGAGCUGCUGAGGCAUCUUGUACAGGGGCAACAGCAGCAGCAGCCCCAUGGUGGAAGGGCUCAACAGCAACCUCAUGUUGCUUGCUAUGAGGACUUCUUGGGGACGCAACCCCCUUUGUUCCAGAAGACACAAGACCCGCUCGACGCAGACGCCUGGUUUCGCACCAUCGAAUCCAAGUUCGAGCCUCUCACCGCCCAGUGUCCCGACCAUAACAAGGCCCGGUUUGCAGCCCAACAGCUGCGUGGUUCCGCCUGGCUCUGGUGGGAUCACUACCAUGCUAUGUUGCCAGCCGACCAUGUUGUCAGCUGGAACGAGUUCAAGACUGCGUUCAGAGGACACCACAUUCCGGAAGGUCUCCUAGAGCGCAAGCUCAAUGAGUUCCUGACUCUUACCCAGGGAAACCGAGAUGUCCUGCACUAUGCCCAAGCUUUCAAUGACCUGUGCCGUUAUGCCGGCUAUCAUGCGGACACAGACGAGAAGAAGCGGGACAGAUUCCGCCGAGGACUAAGCUUGGAGCUCAGGGAGAGGUUAAACCCCAUUAAGGUGGAUACCUACAACAAGUUGGUCAAUUUGGCCAUCUCCCAAGAGGACUACAUGCAGGCUCUCAAAGCCGACCAGAAGAGGAAGGCCUCCGUGGCAUUUCCAAGCCAGCCCGCUCAAAGGUUCCGGAUGGUUCCUCCUCAGGCACCCAGCUGACCUCAGUAGUCGGGAAGAUGGGUUGCCCGACCUCCGCCAGCAGCAGCACCUCAUUUUCCUGGCUUCCAACCACAGGCGCCCUGGCCGACCCUACAGCCACCACCGCGUCUUGCAACUGGUAACCGCUGCUUCACCUGCGGCAAUGAAGGGCAUUUCGCCAAAGACUGCCCCAGGAACAGAAAUCAGCAGCCUGGUCAGAACUCCAUGGCGAACAAAGGAAGAAGGCCCAAGGUGCAAGUUCGACAAGGACGGCUCAACUACACCAGCUUGACCGAACUCCCCGAAGGUGCGCCAGUGAUGACGGGUACAUUCCUUGUCUUAAAUCAAGCUGUUGUUGUUUUGUUUGAUUCGGGAGCCUCCCAUAGUUUCAUCGGGAGUAAGACUAGAGAAAGAUGUGAGCUGAGUACCGGUCACACUAAAGGAUCAUAUGUGAUCUCCACUCCUGGAAGGAAGAUAGCCUCAGACUAGAUCGUUACUCUUGUACCUCUCCAGCUAGGCCAAACUCUUUUCAGGGAAAAUCUUAUCAUCCUUGACCUGGAAGGAAUAGACAUCAUCCUUGGGAUGGAUUGGAUGACCAGACACCGAGUGGUCCUAGACACAGCUACCCGAACCCUCCACAUCAACUCACCCUUUCAUGGCAGUUCUACCCUACCCUUGAAACACCCUAAGUCCGCACUUCCUUGUGCGUAUCCUCUAUCGGGAGCCCGGCUAGAAAGCCUUCUCGUUGUCUGUGAGUAUCUGGAUGUGUUUCCAAAAGAUUUGCCUGGCAUGCCACCCGAUAGAGAUGUGGAGUUUUCCAUAGAGUUGAUUCCCGGCACCGCUCCGAUAUCCAAGAGACCCUAUCGGAUGCCGCCUGCUGAGCUGGCCGAGUUGAAGACCCAGUUGCAUGAUCUGUUGGAAAAAGGCUUCAUCCGACCCAGCACAUCACCUUGGGGCUGCCCAGCCCUGUUCGUGAAGAAGAAGGACGGGAGUCUACACAUGUGUGUGGACUACCGACCCCUCAAUGUGGUGACUGUCAAGAACAAGUACCCACUUCCACGCAUCGAUGUCUUGUUUGAUCAGUUAGCUGGAGCAAAAGUGUUCUCCAAGAUCGACCUUCAUUCCGGUUAUCUCCAAAUCAAGAUCCGACUCUGUGACAUUCCCAAGACUGCCUUCUCCACAAGAUAUGGACUCUAUGAGUACUUGGUCAUGUCUUUUGGACUCACCAAUGCACCUGCCUAUUUCAUGUAUCUCAUGAAUUCGGUGUUCAUGCCCGAGUUGGACAAGUUUGUGGUGGUGUUCAUUGAUGAUAUCCUAGUGUACUCGAAGAACAAAGAAGAACAUGCCGAUCAUCUUCAUGUAGUUCUCCAACGGUUGAGAGAUCAUCAGCUCUAUGCUAAGUACUCCAAGUGUGAAUUUUGGUUAGAUAGUGUCAAGUUCUUGGGACACACUAUCUCUAGGAAUGGCAUAGCCGUCAACCCCAGCAAGGUACAGGAAGUCAUGGACUGGAAGCCUCUCGCCUCAGUGCACCAGAUCCGCAGUUUCCUUGGACUAGCAGGCUACUAUCAGCGCUUCAUACCGGAUUUCUCCAAGAUAGCUAAGCCGAUGACGGAGCUGCUGAAGAAAGAGGUCAGAUUUGUGUGGAACGACAAGUGUGAAGAAGCCUUCAAGACCCUGAAGCACUUGUUGACCACAGCCCCAAUUUGGCUCAACCCAACCCCUCGAGGCCGUUUGACGUGUACUGUGACACCUCUGGCACUGGACUUGGGUGUGUUCUUAUGCAAGACAACCGAGUCAUUUCCUAUGCCUCACGGGCGUUACGACCUCAUGAGCUGAACUACCCGACCCAUGAUCUUGAGUUGGAAGCAGUGAUCCAUGCCUUAAAGAUAUGGAGGCACUAUCUGAUGGGCACCCACUGCAACAUCUACACUGACCACAAGAGCCUCAAGUACAUCUUCACCCAAGCCGACCUCAACAUGCGCCAAAGAAGAUGGUUGGAGUUGAUAAAGGACUAUGAUGUGGAAGUUCACUAUCAUCCCGGCAAGGCCAAUGUGGUGGCCGAUGCUCUUAGCCGCAAGACUUUUUGCAACUGUUUGUCGGCAACAAACUUCACCGAGACACUAUGUCACGAAAUGGGAAGGCUUAGUUUGGAAGUUGUUUCCCAUGGAACCCUCGGCCACAUAUCUCUUGAGUUUAUUUUAGAAGACCAAAUCGGGUCAGCACAGUUAAAGGAUGAGGAAGUAAGGCGGAUCACCAGGAAGAUUUCCUUGAAGAAUGAAGGGUAUAAGCAGUUUCGGCAGGAUGAGACUGGGAAAGUGUAUUGUGGAAACUGACUGGUUGUACCGUCCGACCCCAACCUUAGGAACUAGAUCCUAGAUGAAGCUCAUCUCUCCAAGUUCUCAAUUCAUCCUGGCAGCAAUAAGAUGUACCAGGAUCUCCGUCAAACCUUCUAGUGGAGUGGAAUGAAACCAGAAAUUGCUCGGUAUGUUUCAGAAUGUGACACCUGCCAACACGUCAAGGCCAGUCAUCUAAAGGUAGCAGGUACCCUGCAGCCCCUACCUAUUCCCUCUUGGAAAUGGGAAGACAUCAACAUGGAUUUCAUUGUUGGACUGCCCCUUUCAUCGCAGCGACAUGAUUCCAUUUGGGUUAUAGUGGACCGCUUGACCAAGUCUGCCCACUUCCUUCCUGUCCACACCACCCACACGGCCAAGAAGUAUGCGGAGUUGUAUCUUGACCGCAUUGUUUCCCUACACGGUGUGCCUAGGACGAUCAUCUCUGAUCGAGGAGUUCAAUUUGUAGCACGCUUUUGGGAACAGCUACAAGCAUCCAUGGGCACCAAGCUCAUCCGUAGCUCAACCUACCACCCUCAAACUGACGGUCAGACCGAAAGAGUUAAUCAGAUUCUUGAAGACAUGUUGAGAGCUUGUGUCAUCCAUUAUGACAAGAAUUGGGACAAGUGCUUGCCAUUGGCAGAGUUUUCCUAUAACAAUAGCUACCAAACCAGUUUGAAGAUGGCACCAUUUGAAGCAUUGUAUGGUCGGAGAUGACGGACACCAUUGAAUUGGUCCCAAGCUGGAGAAAGACAAACCUAUGGUCCUGAUUUAGUGGUAGAAGCCGAAGAGCAAGUGAAGAUAAUUCAAGCAAAUCUCAACGCUGCCCAAUCUCGACAGAAGAGUUACUCCGAUAGGAGAAGAAGACCCCUGCAGUUUGACAUUGGUGAUCAUGUGUAUCUUCGAGUCUCCCCGACAAAAGGAGUGCAACGGUUUGGAGUCCAAGGAAAAUUGGCUCCCCGUUACAUUGGCCCAUAUGAGAUUGUGGAAAAUUUGUGGACCAGUUGCCUAUCGGAUCCAACUCCCAGAACAGCUCUCGGCAACGAGGAUGCCAAGAAGAUGUUUGAUUGGAUGGAUCAAGAGAUUGAGUACUUGCCUCGAGUUAUAAAUGGAGCUAGCAACUAUGCUGCCUAUUUCUGUAUCGAGGGUAUGCUCAAACUUUUGGAGAACGAGGGCUGCUCUAAUUUUCUCAAAUUUGGGGCACGUAGUUAUCAGUUUCCUUUGGCCUUGAAGUGUGACGACCGACCCCAAAUCUCAUGAGUUAAUCUUAAUCCGAGUCCCAAAUCCCCCACCUCAUCUCCCCGAGUUGAAACGCUCAACCUCCAGUCCCGUCCCGACCCCUGAGGUCCGACCCCUCUCCGCUGGCUCCCCAGUCCCAACCCUGCCAACCCCAACUCACCACCGGAUCCUUCUAAGUCUUUUCGCAAUGUCUCUCUCUCUCUCUCUCUCAAUCUGAGCAGUGGACCAACCGAGACUGACCGGUGGACCCACAAAAUCUUUCUCCCAGAUCCCCUGCGGCAGACGCACUCGAGUAGCCUGCCCACCUCAGAGCUUCUCCGCCAUGUGGCUCAACUUCUCCGACACCCACCGCUCCGCCUCAUCGCCGGCCACGACUGGAUGGAUUCUCGUGCCCCUUUUCCCCAAUCGCAGCGGAAGCUCCUCUGCUACCCUUUCUGCAGUACCUCACAGCCCGCGCCCAUCAUCACUCUGCCGGACCCCGGCUGCGGAGCCCGACGCCUCCCGUGUUUUCCGCCGCUUCUCCACAGUCGCGCCGCCCCGGUCCGCGCUACGCAAUGAUUCCUCCUCCGCCAACCCAGACCACGGCCGCGACAGCUUCUUUUCCACCCUGUCAGAGCUACGCCCCCAACAAUCUGUUGCUCCGCGCUCGCCCGCACGACUGCAGCUGCCUAUCUUCUCACCUGUGCGCCCUCGCUCCUAGCGCCAUUUCCCCGGUCGCUUCCAUCAGAUCCACCACACGAUGACGCCCGCCUCCGCCAAAUCUCAACCACUGGCAAAACUGCGCCUGCGCCGCCCCGUCCCUGGUGCCCAAUGACCGCCGGUGUCAUCCCCGAAGUUCUGCUCCGCCGCACCGCUGCUCAAUCUCCGCCCCGGCAGAGCACUCGAUCGUUUCUUCCCGGUCUUCGCGCCGCGCCAAACUUCUCACUCUUCUGCGCAGCUAUAAAAGGGACUGCCAGAGCUCCGCCGGAGUCCCCUUCGCCAUCGCUGCCCUUCCGCCUUGCUCUCUGUUUCGUGCUCAAAGCGCUAUCGCCUAAAUACCUGAGGAACUCUCCUCUUCGCUCCACGCCGCUGUUCCCCCAAUCCACCCAGCCGCUUGCUCCUCUGUGCUGCGCGAGAGCUUGCUUGUGGUCCACAAGAAGCACCGCCGCCGCCAGAACCCUGCCGGACCUCAUCGCUGUCCAAAGCUCCAAUUCUUCCACCCAAGUCUGCUCUUUUUCGACCCCAAGCUUCACCUGUAAGACGAAGGUAAGCUGCCGACCCUUUUUCCACCUCGUCCGACCCCUUCUAUCCGCCCGACCCCUGUUCCAUCUUGCUCGACCCUAUCUGUGUCGCCGACCUUUCUCCGCCUCGCCCGAGGGCUCGGCUGUAUCUUUUUCUUUAACCCGAGGGUAUAUGUGUAAAAACGGGGACUUCUCGGCGUUAAGUCUGAGGACCCCCAACACAUCUAUCCCUCUAGUCUAAGGGUCAGAUCAACAGCUUCCUUCUAUCCGACCAUUUUUUUUCCUUGUCCUUCUCCAACCCAAGCAAACUUUCCCACCUUUUUCCGUAGCUAUGCUACAAAGUUUUUGAGCUAGAACUUGCAAGUGUUGCUGUUGAAAUAACCGUCUAAAUGCUAACUCUUGCAUUGCAUUUCGUGUAGCGUUGCAUCUCGCCGAUGGUGUCUACGAGUUGUACCCGGCGCCAGAAGACGAAGCUGCAGCAGAGCUCCCGCCUCCAGAAGCCGAAGCCGUCCAAGCAGAAGAGCAGCUUCCCUCCUCCUCGUUCGAAGGCAAGCCCCGGAGCAUAAACCCAGUUUUCCCAAACUUGCACAUGCCUUCUGUUCCUUGUUUGUGCAUUUACGUAUAGGAGUUGCUUGAAACCGUAGAUGCAUGAUUUAGUUCCUUGAUCUGAACACUAGCUGUUGGACCGAGUAGUUGCCAUGCUUAAUAGGAAGCGGUAAAAGCCGAGUGAUUUCCUGUCACUCGCGAGUUGUAGGAGUUGGUUGUUUCCUUUCUGUUACAACUAUAAGGACGAUGGACGGGGCAGGGUUAUGGUUAACUCUUUGGUGGUCGGCUGAUUGCCCUGUCUGUCUAUGGAACUUGUUAAGGCCCGACAGUGGUGGUGUUCGUGAUCAAGUGUUUGAAAGUACUAACCUCAUACUUAUUAUGGGAUGAGGAAGCCGAGUACCGGAUUGAACCUAGACAUGAGCGGUCGUCCCAUUGUCCUUGGAACGGAGUUCCCCUGCGGCCGCACGUGGUGGCAAGUAUGGUCACAGAACGGCAGAGGCCGGGUCUGUGAAACAUUGCACCAAAGGAAAUGGGCCCGACACGGGUUAGGGGAUUGAUGGGGAAGGCCGACACAGAAAGCGACCCUCGGUGGUGCGUGGAUGUCGUGAGGUUAGGUUCACCAUGCAUGGUUAAAGAACUCGAAUCGAUUCGUCUACCUCUUACAGUUUGAGACUGCUUGAUCGCUAUGCUACCCUGAGUAAUAAAGGAAUCUGAUGAUGACAUGGUCUUGAUGAUGAGAUAUAUAUACCUUUUGGUUGGUUCUAUGUUUGCUUAGAGUAAGUGCCCACUUAGACCGGUUAAUGAACCUAGAACCUGAGCAAAAACUUGAAAAUAAGGAUCUACUUAGUGCUUCUUGGCAAAUAAACACCUCAGCCUAAGAGCCUUGCAUGUCUAGAAAGGUGGAGUAGCUUUACUCCUCUCGGUUAAGUCUUGUUGAGCUUAGUAGCUCAGCCUUGUUGUAGCUUCUCUUUUUCAAGUGAAGUUGCUGCUCCCGAGCCUUCUUCUGUUGGCACUUGGCCGCCCCAGCUCCCUCCGGGUUGGACGGUUGAGUGGGAUCCCUCCUCGGACGGCGAGGAGAGGGAUCACUGACGUCCUGGCUGGCCUCACCAGGGAUGUCCGACCCCAAUGAAGUAGCUUCCGCCCGCUUGUUUUACCUUCUGUUGUUUUCUUUUGAACCUUGUAAAACUCUGAUGUUUGUUUUAUGGCCGAACUAAAGGGUUAAGUUGGUUAACUCGGUGGACUUGUUGUAUUCUCUGGAACCGCUCACCUUCGUGUGAGUUUGCUAACUCGGUCCUGUUCAAGUGGUUAAAUCGGAGGAAAUCUGACGGCAUUUCGUGUUAACUUGGCUUAGGCAUGAGUGUCGCGUGUUAGGCGACUUAACCAUGUUUAAGCAAGCUAAUCCGAAGUGGAUCCACCACAUGAAGCUUGACAAGCAGGAGAUGUCCAAGAAUAUAAAAAUUGUGAAGAUGAAUUUCUAUAAGCAACUUUGGGCUGCUUCUGGGCACGAACACACGAGGCUAGUUGCCCAAGAUCGUCUUGUGAAGGUUGGGGCUUUUUGAAUUUGUUGUUUUUUGGUUUUGCGUUUUCUUUUUGGUUGCUUUUUAAUUGAUCCUACUUUGAUUCUUAAACAGGCCAAGGGAGAGGAGUCGAGGGUUGAUGAUGAAGGCGAUGGCUCUGGGCGUCAAGAGGAAUAGUGCUCGAAGCUAGGAAAGAUUGUGCAUUGUAUUAGGCUUGUGCAACGAAACAUUUUGUGCCUGCCAGAUUUGUUGGCUAUAGGCUUUUUGUAAAUGAUGGCUACUUAACCCUUACUGUUUCAACAUUGCUAGGUGCUUGUGUUGAUUACCUUUGCUUUCGAUUUUAUGCACUUGUGUGAAUUCGUUUACUUUGGGGUUGAUUAUUUGUGAGAUUUUCUUGGAUUUAUAACAAAACUUGUAGCAUAAAGGAACGAGCGGCGUGUUUCUUUAGAAAAAAUGUCAGCCCCCCUGUUCUUUUGUGCGGAGGUUUUGCCAAGGUUGUUGAGCAUUCGCAAUGUCUGCCUUUUAAGUCAUUGAAUUUUUAGGCUCAAUGCUAAGUUAUGCGAUGAAAAACCUUUGUUGUAUUUGUGGCAAAAUCCCAAGAACAAAGGGAUGAGUACCGUUUCAUUUUUGAAAAGAAAAACAUCAAUCCCCCAUUCCUUUGUGUGAUGGUUUCGCUUGAGCAACAAAAGCUCCAUAGUGUUCGCUCAUGGUAAAAGAACAUUUUUCACGCAUAGGGAUCAAAUGUUUUUUUUCUAUUAAAAACGUCACCCCCCGUUUCAUUUCCUUGCGUGAAAGAUGUUGAUUUUUGUCUUUGAGGUUUCCGGUUAAAUUAUAGCUUGGGAAGUUUUGGGAUAAGUUGACAAAAAACUUGUUCUCGAGUUUUGUUGACUUAGAAAUAUAGCGAGAGCUUGGUCGAUGUCGCAACUCUUGGUUGCUUCGACCAUAAAGUUUACAAAGGUUCGAGGUUAGGUAGAUUUUUAUUAACUUGAUUCUAUGAUUUUUUAAACCCGCGAGGUUAGAUAGGAAUUUUUUAUCGUGAAAAAGUGCGAGGCUCGGUUGUUGAGGGCUGCUGCUAUUUUACUAUAGCUUUUGAAUAGAAAUGUUCGCACGUAUAAGGCGUAUAAAAGAUGAGGCUAUGCAACUAAUUGUUGCUUUGAUGUAGCUCUUGCACAAAAAUGCAAGUUCUUAAUUGCACGGAAAUGCGAGGCUAGGCAACUUUUUGUUGCUUUAAUGUACUUGCACAGAAACGCAAGUUUUUCGUCGUAGAAAUGCGAAGUUAGGCAACUUGUUGUUGCUCAAUGCACUUGCGCAAAAACGCAAGUUUUUCCUCACACAGAAAUGCGAAGUUAGACAACUUGUUGAUGCUUUUGAAAGUGUACAUGAUUGUUAGGCGCAAGUUAAUACUCUCUUUAAGAGUUGAUAAUCAAGAGUCAUUGGGGGAAUUGUAUUUCAUUAAAUAGUUAAAAGUUUACAAGCAUUCGCCUCGUUAAAAACCUUGCCUCCAGAAUGAAGCCCCCCUAGCAAGGAAAAGAGUGUGGUCUGUUUCUGAGAAAAUAAAUGCGAUAAAGUAAAUUAGCUGCCCUCGACAUUGUUUAUAGCUUCACAAGUCAGGGGCGUAGCUAAAUGUGACGACUAAGGGUAGUACUUGCGCAAGUUGUCCACGUUCCAUGUAUGUGGCAACUCUACUUCAAGCUGGUCUACGGUAGAAAGAUCCUGGCCUGUUGCUUCGAGUGAGAAUACAUGGUCCUUCCCAUGAUUCUUGUAAUUUCCCGAGGUUCUCCUAGUUUUUCUUCUUCUUGAUGACGAGGUCUCCUACCUUGAUUUCUCUUUGGAUCACUUUUUUGUCCCUCCACUUUCUUGUUUCUUGCUGAUAUUUGUCAAGGUUUUCUACUGCUUGCAGUAUGUCAAGCUCUAUCAUAUCUUUUUCAACCUUUUCAUUAUCUGAGCUAGCCUCGAUUUUGAGCACUCCCAGGCUUUCAUUCUUGAUUUCAUCAAGUGUCAUUGCCUCAGAACAAAUUAAGAGCUGAAAAGGUGUAAAACCCGUCGCUCUUGAUGGUAUGGUGUUGUGGGACCAUAUUACCCUCGGGAGCUCGUCUACCCAAUUUCCUUUCUUUUGAUCAAACAGACAUUUUUUGAUGCUUGAAAAGAUUAUGUCAUUUUCUCUUUCCACAGCUCCAUUCGAUUGAGGAGGCAAAUUUUACCUUAGUACCAAUGCUUGCACAACAUUCCUUGAAAUCAAUGCAGUCAAUUGCUUGCCAUUGUCCACUAUUAGUUCUCUAGGAAUUCCGAAUCUGCAAAUGAUGUUUUGCCAAAAGAACUUUUGCACUAAGCUUGAGGUUAUGUCUGCUAGCGGCUUAGCUUUGAUCCACUUGGUGAAGUAGUCGACUGCCACCACCACAAAUUUGCAGUUGACUUGAGCGGUUGGCAGUGGUCCUACUAAGUCCAUGCCCCAUCUUUGCAGCAGCCAAGUUGGCGGUAUGAGCUAAACUCGAAGUGAGGGUGCCAUCUUUUGAACUCCUAUUUUCGAGCAAGCCUCGCAGCUUCUUACCAAGCUUCGAGCAUCAAGGAUUGCAGUAGGCCAGUAGAAUCCUUGUCUUAUGGAUUUUCCCACCAAAGCUUUGGUCCCAAUGUGCAAACCACAAAAGUAUUUAUGAAUUUCAGCUAGUAACUCCUUUCCAUUUUCUAUGGUUAUGCACCGUAGCCAAGGAGAUGAUAUGAUUGAUUUAUAUAGCUCUCCAUUGACUAUUGCUUAGCCCCUGGCCCUCUGUUUCAUUCUACUUAGCUGAACUUCAUUGUGAGGCUCAAAAUGUCCCCUAAGAUAGGCCAUGAUCAAGGCCCUCCAAUCAAAUCUUGUGAUUGCAUUCACAGUCUUUGAGGGUGGCUCUUUAGUUGAUGGUGUAUAGAUGGCCUCGUAACAGGAGGCAUGGGUUGACUUUCUGCUACUGCCUUUGCUAACCUAUCUGCCUCAUCAUUCUCUGCCCUCGGGAUGUGCUGUAUAGUGAAACCUUUGAAGUAUUUCUCCAUUGCUCUUACCGCGGCCAAGUACUUGAUAAGCUCUGGCUCUCUAGCCUCGCAACUCUUUUCAACAUGCUCUUGAAUUACUUUGGAGUCUAUUUUUACAAUAAAUACUUGUUGGCCCGGGGCCCUCAUUUUUCUUAGCCCGAGAAGCAAUGCUUCAUAUUCAAUGGUGUUUAGCAUCACCUGCAAAAUCAAGCCAUGCAGUGUAUCUCAUUUUGACGCUCGAUGGUGAAGUGACGAUAGUUGAGACCCAGGCCCCUUGUCACACCAGGCUCCAUCACAAUGCAUGAUCCUAGGUACCUCAAGCUCGGUUUGGCUAGCACAUGGGGAUGUCCAAUCUACUAUAAAGUCUGCUAAGACAUGAGAUUUGAUUGCACAUCUUCUUUCAAAAUCCACAACGUACACUGAUAACUCUGAUGCCUAUUUGGUUAUUCUACCCGAGGCCUCUCUAUUUGUGAAGAGAUCAUGCAGCGGUUGAUUAGUAACUACCACAAUUCUGUGACCCUCGAAGUAGUGCCUUAACUUGCAUUCUGCCAUUACUAUAGCAUAUGCAAUUUUUUCCAACUCUGAGUAGAACAGUUUUGAUCCUGACAGCAUCUUUGGUGCGAAGUAAACUGGAAUUUGUUUCAGUUUGCCAUCAAUCUCCUUUUCUUGGACUAAGGUGGCGCUAACUGCUGAGCUCGAGGCUGAUAAGUAUAGUAGCAAAGGGGAAUUUGGCUCGGGCGGACAUAGCUUUGUCAUGGCUUUGCUCUGUUGCUCUCCCCCACUCAAAUUUCUUGGAGCUUCGCAACACUUGGAAAAAUGGCAAGCUUCGUUCAACAGCCUUUGGGAUGAACCUAUUGAGGGCUGCUAUUCUCCCUGUUAGCUUUUGCACGUCCUUAACCGAGGUUGGCUCUUUCAUGUCGACAAGGGCUUGAAUCUUGUCCGGGUUAGCCUCGAUGCCCUUUGUUGAAACUAGGCACCCUAGGACUUUGCCUCGCUGGAUUCCAAAUACACACUUUUCUAGAUUCAUCUUUAGAUUUGCUGCUCUCAAGUUAGCAAAGGUUUUUACGAGGUCGAGUAUGUGAUUCUCCCGCUUGUCACUUUUUACUACAAUGUCAUCAACAUAAGCCAGGAUGUUUCUUUGGAGUUGGCUGCACAUGACUAUUCCUGUCAUUCUCGUAAAAGUUUGCUUCGCAUUUUUAAACCCCUCAGGCAUUCUCAUGAAGCAGUAGGUUCCAAAUGGAGUUAUGAAACUUGUUUUUUCUUCAUCUUCCUUCUUUAUUCUGACUUGGCGGUAGCCUAAGAACAUGUCCAGCAAUGACAACAUCUCAAUGUUUGCAGCAUCGUCUACCACUUUCUCUACUCUUUCUAAUGGAUAAUCAUCUUUUGGGUAGGCCUUGUUCAGAUCAGUGAAAUCUAUACACAUUCUCCAUUUGCUAUUCUUCUUUUUGACUGGUACCAUGUUAGCCAGCCAUUUCGGGUACAUGACUGGGCAUAUGGCAUUUGCAUCAAGCAGUCUUUGGACUUCUAAUUUUAUAGCUUGCACUUUUUCUUCUGAGAUUUUUUUGGAGCUUUUGCUUUUUUGGUUUUGUGCCUUUGUUUAUUUCGAGCUCGUGCUCAAUUAUAUUUCUAUGAACCCCUUGCAGGUCACUAGCUGACCAAGCGAAGACAUGUUUUUUUUAUUUAAGAACUCAAUUAGUUUUUUUUCUCUUCUUCAGGCUCAAGGUUAGCCCCUAUCAUCACAAAUCUGUAUACGAUGCAGUCAUCUAGCAGAACUCUUUUCGUUUUGCCAUCUACGCUUAAUUUUACUUUUUCUUGUCCCUCUUAGGCUCAACGUAAGGCUUUUUCUUUUCUUGUUGUUCAUCCUCAUUGGGACUUGUCAAAUGGUGCACAUUUUUCUAGCCCGGGGUUUCACCUUUCUCAACAUUUCUGGUGGUUUGCUAAUCACCAUAAACUGUGAUCACCCCUUUCAUGGCUAGGAUCUUCAUACAUAGGAACAGUUGUCUUAUUGUUGCGUUGAACUUGUUGAUGAACCCUCUGCCAUGGCUAGCAAAGUAUGGGUAGCACAUUUCAACAACGUCGAAUGUUAUGCAUUCCAUUCUAGUGUUGUCUAGAUUUCCUAAUGAUACAGGGAGCAAAAUUUUUCCCAAGGCUUUAACUGGCCUUCCCCCGAAGCCAAGGAAUGGCACUUCUGUUGGCUCUAGCAAAUGAGGAUCAAUCUUCAUUUCUCUAAACGUGUUUGCAAAGAUGAUGUCCGCAAAGCUUCCGUUGUCAACUAGGACUUUUCCAAUUUUCCACCCAGCUAUGAUGGCCUUGAUCAUGAUCGCACCAUUUUGUGAGGCUGUCUUCAAUUUGAAAUCUUCUUCCGUGAAAGAGAUGGGCAUGUGCGCCCACUCUGGCUUGACCAAAGGCCCAUCAGGUAUGAUUGUAUUCACUUGCCUGAAGUAAUCUCUCUUUUGUCUUUUAUUUUCAAACUCAAGGGAAGAUCCUCCAGCUAUUGGCAUUAUCAUGCUAUAGGUGGGCAAGGCGUUUGGGCUGUCUUCUUGGCGUUCGAAUUGCGAGGAUCCCCCUGCUAUUUGCAUUAUCAUGUCAUAGGUGGGUAAAGCUUUGGGGUUGUUAUUCUAUGUGUUGUUAGGUUCGGCUUUAGGAAUCUGGUUGGGUAGAUUUGAUGGAGGUAGUGAUAUCUCGUGUAGAGGCUGGGAAGGCACGAAGCUUGCGGUUUGCGAGGCUUGCUGAGUUUAAGGGUGGAAUUGUGGUGAAUGUUGCCACAUCAUGGCGGGUUGAAAGUUUGCGAGGUUAGUGUUUGGGAAGUAUGGUUGUUGUGGCCAAAAAUAAGUAUGGUGGAUGGUUUUGGGUGCCGCAGCUGCUUUUUUGUCUUCGGCUAUUCUUUCAAAGGUCUUUUUGAUUUCUAGGUAAAAAUCAGUUGCGUGGUCAAGCUGCUUGCCAUGGAAGGUACAGUAGAACAUUCGAGGUUGGUUGCUCUAGUUGUGCGGCCUUGGAGGCCCUCUGCCUUGGCCUCUUCCCCUUCCAACGUAACCACCUCUCUACACGAUGCCAAAAUUUGGUGGUUGCUGCUGCUGAGGUUGCCUAUUAUGAUUUUGAUUUUGUUGCUGCGAGGAUUGAGCACCCUUGAUCGACAAUACUUGUUGAGCUAGGUAUGGGUGUUGGUGUUGUGCGUAAUUGCACCUCGAGGCUUGGUAGUUCUGAUCUUUUUUAGCCUACCUUUGGUGGUUUCUUUCUGUCACUCUCCUUCUAUGAUCUUCAUCUGAUCUACAGUUCUUUUCUAGCUUAAAAAACAAAGUGUUGGCUUUACUCUUUUAGAUGCGACGUUCUUGGGUCUAGAGUUAGCCCUUUGAUGCAUGUAGCUAUGGCUACGCUUUCGUUCACAUCAGGAGUUUGCGACUUCAACUGAACGAAUCUCUUAACAUAGCUGGCCAAAGGCUCCUUAUCUUUCUAAAUGCAAUGGAAUAGGUCGCUCUAGUUAGAAAUUGCUCGAUGGAAACCUUGGAAAUUUUGUAUCAGCUUGGUUUUGAGAUCUAACUAGCUGUAUACUAACUGUGGUGGAAGUAACGAGUACCAGUUCAACACUGCUCCCUCGCAGGCUAUGAUUAGAGAUUUGGCUAAGACCACAUCAUCUCCUCCUGUAGAUGCUGCCGCAGCCUCGUAGCUCAUCAGGAAUUGGCAAGGAUCAUUCUGCCCAUAGAAUUUUGGCAAUGUGACCGUCUUGUAAGUUGUAGGUCACGAAACGGUUUGUAAGCCCAGGGAUAAUGGAGAGUUCUUGUCAAUUGUUGUGUAGGUGUUUGUUAUUGUUGGGGUGUUGUGUCCGACGAGGUUGGGAUUUGGGUGUGGGAUAGGUGUGUCAUUGGUGGCAUGUCUUGGAAGUGGCGGUUGUGGUGACCUGGUGUGCAGGUAUUGCAGCUCAUCCAGCUCUUCUUGCAACUCUGCUAACUGUCCUUUUGGUUCGUUUAAUUUUGCUAACUUGCUGGCUGCUAGUCUCUACGCCUGUAGCUCUUGAGCGAAUUUUUCUUUUUCUUUUUUCAAUGUUUCAAGUUGUUUUAGCACGGAGGCUAACUCCCUCUCUGUUAAUCCAAGUGGAUCAUUUUGUGUGUUUGCUUGUGGUUGUGCUCUGCCUCAAUUGUCUUUUUCUCGCUCCUUGUACUUAGGUUGGCUUCUAUUCUUUUUUUUUCUAGAGUGUCCAUGUUAUCUUGCUUAACAAAGACGAGCUACCUUUCCUGCUCUCUCUCGUCCUCGGUAGUCUUCUUCUUCUUCUGGGGUGGCAUCGUGGGUUGUUUCGUGGCUGAGAACAUGGUGGGUGCUAAUGUUGGGAUGCAAUUCUCAAAGAGACUCGUGCUCAAAAGAUGGAAUAGGAAAAAAACUUGCGAUGUCUUGAAAAUCAUCCCUCCCUUUACAACGGGGUAGGGCUCCCCUUUUAUAGUGACUCGAAGGUCAUUUUACAUACCAUGAAUACCCUUUCUCACCUAUUACAUUCCUAGAAUAUGCUGUACAUAAAGGUCUUUGGGAUAACGUGUACAAAUUGAACUCUCCUGCAGAGUCACGUAUCUCACGCCUCAUUGUAGUCAUGCCUCCUUGUAGUCACGCUUCUCUCGCCUCCUUGUAGUCACACUUCUCACAUUUUUAUAUAGCCAUGCUUCUCACACCUUCGAGCCCUUAACCUCGAGGCUUGUUUUUUUCAUCUAAGUCUUCAGCUUCGCAACCUUAGCUUCACGUUGAGGAGACUCCUUAGCCUCAUGUCUUCAACCUCGACGCGCACAGCUCAGUCCUGACCCUGAGUAGAAAACAUAUUGAAAAACUCGGUGCUCAAGAUUAGCUUCGAGCAUUCGAGGGUAAGUUAAUUCAUAUCUUAACCAUCAGCAAAUAAUCUUUAGCCUCGAAGUCAAAAUGGCAAAGAAGAUGCGAGGUUAACGUAGUUUACACGCUUGUUUAGAACGUGCGAGGUUAAGUGAGUUUUAUCUAUUGAUCUUGAUCUUGCGAGGUUAGCUAGUUUUUGCCGAUGAACACGCUCGUGGUUGAUCGGUUUUGGACAAUCCCCAGCAACACUGAUACUAUCCGUUGUUGUUGGGCAUAAACAUACAAGGCCCAAAAAGAACAAAAAUUUCCAGCCCACUUGACGCCUGGUCAAAGGCUGAAAAGCAAGAGCCCAUGAUCAAACUUCUUCACAAUUUUUUUCCUUCUCCUAUGAGGGUAAGGUAAGUAGGGUGGUGAGCUAGUAAGAACUUAUUUAUAUUUUGUCAAUGAAAAUGAAGCUAGUAAGAACUGAUCUAGUGUUUAAUUCAUCGCUGCGCCAUUGUUUAUACCACACAAUUCCCUUUUUCCUGCUCAUUUCUUUUCAACAGAAAUGGUUAAUAGUUGAGUGAGCUCAACACGUCACAGUUAAACCUACUAACAAAGUUGUUGAGUGAGCUCGUCUAGGUGCAGUUAAGAAAGAAAGAGCCACGAACAGAACCAACGAAUUGCGGUCUAAACAAAUGGACACUUCACUCCCGCUUGACCAUCUCGUAAGAAGUCUACGAUACCCCUCAAAGUAGUUGCAUCUUGCAAUUUAGAUCCAGACUUCUACUAACUUUUUCGAUAAAGGAAGUUUCAUAAAUUUCAAGAUUGUUACAUCGAGUGGAUACAAAAUCUUAAAAUACUCCAGACCUCUGCAUAUCUGGGAUGAACAUAGUCUUACAAGAGAGACACAAAGAAACCAGCAUACUAAUGACACUCAAUUCGACUAGACUGCAAUUUGUGUGCCCGGGUAAAAAACUCUUUGCUUCCAUGUGUUAGGGCCAUGCCUAGGAUCUCUAGAUGCACAUCUAGUCGGGGUCGAGAAUAACAUGAGGGUCAUGGUGUUCCUGGUGUGUGUGCUAAGAGUGAGAGAGAGUGAUAGGGGUACCUUCACCCCUAGAGGUGGGAGCAGCAGAGCUGCUGGCCAUCGCGGGUUCGCUUGGUGGAGUCUGCGCAAGGCAGCGACGCGCAGUGCCGAGUCCGGUCGCCGGUGAGGUGGCGGUGGUGCUUCCCGCCACUACUGCGCAAACCUAGAUCGGUAGGUGUGUCGGUGGGGUGGCUGGCUGCGGCGAACCUCAUGAGCCGAGCCAGGUCCCCCACCCUGUUUAUAUAGCACAGCGCGACAGGGGCCCACCACCCAUUUCUAGGGUGAGCGCCCCCGAUCAGGGCGCGGAUCAGGGUCCCGAUGGGCCUUUGGGCCCAUUGGGAAGGAGAUCAAUCUAACAUUCUCCCCCUUGAUCUCAUCAUUUACUUUUAACUUUACACUUUUCACUUUUAUUCGUUUCAUCGUAGAUUAAUAUGUAGAGCAUGCCUCAUCGUCACAGCUUAAUUGCCGAUAGAAUCAACAGCUACAACACACCUCUCUAUUUUGAAACAAUUCUGUUUCUUUUGGGCCUUUUCCAAUCCAGGAAUCAUAGGUUUCCCUUAAACCCAUGCCGGCUAAGUGUUCUCUGAACACAUUGGGUGGUAAGCCUUUCGUGAGCGGAUCCGCAAGCAUAUCUUUUGUUCUUAUAUGCUCGAGACUUAUAGUGUGAUCCUGGAUUCUGUCUUUCACAACAUAAAACUUUAUCUCAAUGGCUUUGGAAGCAUUGCUUGAUUUGUUGUUGUGAGCAUAGAAUACUGCUGGCUCAUUGUCGCAGUACAUCUUUAGUGGUCUGUGAAUACAGUCAACCACUCUCAAUCCGGGUAUAAAUUUCUUUAGCCACAUUGCCUGCCCCGUGGCCUCAUGACAUGCUAUGAAUUCUGCAUGCAUCGUUGAUGACGCAGUUACUUUCUGUUUUGAGCUUCUCCAUGAGAUAGCUCCUCCUCCGAGAGUGAAUACGUAUCCAGACGUGGAUUUUCUAUCAUCUUUGUCUCCCGCAAAAUCUGCAUCUGAAUACCCUUUUAUCUCUAGGGAAUCAGAUCUCUUAUACGUAAGCAUGAGUUCUUUUGUGCCUUGCGCGUAGCGCAACGCUUUCUUUACCAUCUUCCAGUGUUCUAUACCUGGAUUACUUUGAUAUCUACCAAGAACCCCGGUGACAAAAGCUAAGUCAGGGCGAGUGCAUACUUGAGCAUACUGUAAGCUUCCGACAGCUGAAGCAUAUGGAACCGCUUUCAUUUGAUCGAUCUCGUACUGGUUCCUGGGACAUUGAAAAUUCCCAAAACUGUCGCCCUUGACUAUGGGAGCAGGUGUGGCCUUACUCGCAUGCAUAUUAUACUUCUUUAGAACCUUUUCUAAAUAUGCCUUUUGCGAUAAUCCUAGGACCCCAUUCAAUCUAUCUCGGUGAAUUUCUAUGCCCAAAACAUAUGAUGCUUCACCAAGAUCCUUCAUAUCGAAGUUUGAGGACAAGAACUUCUUUGUCUCUUGCAGUAGACUGAUAUCACUGCUUGCAAGUAAGAUAUCAUCCACAUACAGAAUUAGGAAAAUGUAUUUCCCAUUUUUGAACUUUGCAUAGACACAAUUGUCCUCUAUAUUCUCUUGAAACCCAAAUUUCUUUAUUAUAUCAUUAAACUUUAGAUACCACUGUCUAGAGGCUUGCUUUAAUCCAUAAAUGGAUUUCUUUAGACGACAUCCCAUAUUCUCUUUGUCUUCCAUGAUAAAACCCUUUGGUUGUUUCAUGUAGACAUUUUCUUCUAAAUCCCCAUUUAUAAAUGCCGUCUUUACAUCCAUCUGAUGUAACUCUAAGUCAAAAUGUGCAACCAGUGCCAUUAUGAUUCUGAAGGAGUCUUUACAUGAGAUAGGAGAAAACGUUUCAUUGUAAUCUAUUCCUUCUCUUUGUGUAAAGCCUUUUGCCACAAGUCUCGCCUUAUACCUUUCUAUAUUCCCUUUGGAGUCACGUUUAGUCUUGUAGACCCAUUUACAGCCUACUGUUUUGGCUCCUUUAGGAAUUUCCUCAAGUUCCCAAACAUUGUUGGAACUCAUCGAUUUCAUCUCAUCUUCCAUGGCCUCUAGCCACUUCAAUGAGUGAACACUUUUCAUGGCUUCCUCAUAUGAAGUGGGAUCACCUUCUAUAUGAACUUUUUCUGUAUUAUAAACUUUAUAGCAAUCAGGGAUAGCUGAUAUUCUGACCCUUUGAGACCUUCUAGGCCCCUCACUUUUGGGCACAUUCUGUGCCUCUGCUUGUGGCACAUCAUUCAGAGGUGGCUGCUGCAACUCUUCCUCGUGUGUAAUGAUGGGUUCAGUUGGCUCCUGAAGGACAGGUUCCAAAACUUCACUCAUCGUUUCCAUGGGUGGAAUCACAGCAGGUGCCUGCACCACAAUGUCAGGGAUUGUAGCGGGUGCUUGCACCACGACCUCAGGAACUAUUGGUGCGGGAAUAAUAGGUAGUGAGAAGAAUGGUUCCUGAAUCAUCGGAUUAGGUGCACACACCCGCUUCUCCUCAAGAUCAAUCUCUCGAGCUACCAUGCUCCCCGUCACCAUCUCAUCCUCUAAGGAAAUCGCUUGUCUCGUUUCUACAAACUUUGUAUAUCUGUUUGGACAGUAGAAACGAAAACCUUUUGAUUUUUUCGGAUAGCCAAUGAAAUGGCAACUUACUGUUUUGGGAUCUAGCUUCCCGAUGUUUGGGUUAAAUACUUUGGCCUCAGCUGGGCUCCCCCACACACGCAGGUGGUUUAGUGAGGGUACUCUUCCUGUCCAUAGUUCAUACGGUGUUUUGGGCACUGACUUACUUGGUACUCUAUUUAGAAUGUGAAUGGCGGUCUUCAACGCCUCCAUCCACAGUCCCAAUGGUAAGGUGGAAUAACUCAUCAUGCUGCACACCAUAUCCAUCAGUGUACGGUUACGCCUUUCAGCUACUCCAUUUUGCUGAGGCUCGCCCGGCAUCGAAUACUGGGCUACUAUGCCAUUUUCCUACAAAAACCUUGCAAAAGGUCCAGGAACUUGGCCAAAUGGGGUAUGUCGACCAUAGUACUCCCCCCCACGGUCGGAUCUUACUAUUUUGAUUCUUUUGUUAUGCUGAUUUUCAACUUCAGCUUUAAAUAUCUUAAAUUUAUCCAGCGCUUCUAAUCUUUCUUUAAUUGGAUAAAUGUAACCAUAACAGGAGUAAUCAUCUGUGAAUGUUAUGAACGAGUCAUAGCCAUACAUGCUUUUCACAGGAAAUGGUCCACAAAUAUCUGUGUGGAUUAUCUCUAAAACUCCUGUGCUACGUUUAGCGCCUUUUUUAAUUUGCUUUACAAAUUUUCCUUUAAUGCAAUCAACGCAUUGUUCUAAUUCUGAGAACUCUAAUUGAGGAAGAAUUUCAUUCUUAACUAGUGUUUCUAUUCUCCCCCUCGAAAUAUGGCCUAAACGACAGUGCCAUAAUUUUGACGAUAUUUCAUGAGUUCUCUUUCUUUUCUUUGUUUCUUUCUCUGACGAGGAUACAUUCAUAUUCACAUCACACACAGAAUUUACUUUUUCAUGCAGUGAUAAUAAAUACAACUCAUUGUGAAGGAUGGCAACACCAACACAUGCAUUAUCGAACCAAAUGGCACACUUUCCAUUUCCAAAAUGACAUUCAUAUCCAUCAUGGUCCAUACGUGAAAUGCUAAUCAAGUUUCUGUGUAACGAAGGAACAUAAAGCACAUCUCUAAGUACAAGCAUGAAACCAUCAACUAGCUCUAGAGAGACAUCGCCAACAGCUUCAACUUCUUCUUGGACUCCAUUUGCGACUUCAACGCAUCUUUCGCUUCUUUGCGUAGUCCUCGUUGAACGGAAUCCCUGUAAAGAAUUUGCAACAUGAACAGUUGCACCUGAGUCAAUCCACCAAGUAGAUUUCGAAUACUGUGUAUACAAGGAUUCAUUUACAAAAGAAAUAGUAUUCUCACCUCUUUUUGCCAUUAUUGACUUUAACCAGUCGGGACAGUCUUUCUUGAAGUGCCCCUUUUUCUUGCAGUGUAGACAUUGAUCUUUGUCUACUGUGAGAGGCUUUUGGUGAUUCUUCUGCAUAGGAGCCUUUCCUCGUGCCUUGAAAGAGGAGUUAGCAAUCUUUUUUCUGUUGUCCUUCACAUAGUGCAAUGAACCACCAUAUGAGGAUCUAAGUCUGUCCUCUUCCUGCACGCACAUGGCUAUCAUUUUUUCCAUGUCCCACUGUUCUGGCUGCAUAUUAUAAUUGACAACAAAAGUGUCAAACUCUUUUGGCAGUGAAGCGAAAACCAAAUGAAUAAUGUGCCCAGGCUUGAGCUCAAGAUCCAUUGGCUUCAACUGUGCUGCCAAGUUAUACAUCCUCAUGAUGUGAUCUCUUAUGCCAGUCCCUCCUCCAUUGUACCUCUCUGUGGCCAGCUGCUUGAACAGCUGGGUAGCGUAUAUCUUUGAGGAACCAGUGAACUGAUUCCUUAUCUUGUCGAGGUACUCUGAGACGGAGUCACACUCUGUGAUCGAGCCCAAAAUAGCAGGCUCAAUCGUAUUCUUUACCAAAGCCAUACAUUUCUUGUUGGCAGUGGUCCACUGUUUGUUUUCAAGGGUGUAUGCCAACUCCAGUGGAAAAUAGUCCCUUUCCUUUUGCUGCCAUGCAGCAUCAUCAUCACUUUCAGCCCUCACUGGCUUCUGUGGAGCUUGUGGCCGCGGUGUGGUCAGCACCCAGUCAACUUCUCCACAAACGAAAGAGAACUCAAUCUUCUUCCUCCAUUCUGUAUAGUUGUUGCCUUUCAGAAUGGGUAUCUCUUUGAGACAAGCCAUUAAGUUGAAUGAUCCUGAAAUUUACAAUCCAUAAGUGAGAUCAUAACAACAAUUGCAUGAUUUAUUUCCAACGUUGGUCAAAAAAUAAAACAUAUAAUUUUUGAUGCAAUUUAAAACUAUAUCACCGUUGGGAAGAAAUAGAAAUAAAAGCAUCAAAAGAACUUUUUAAAUCAUGAUACAGUUAUUAACAACGUUGGUCAGAAAAUAACAGCACCAUGAUCUAAUUAACUUUAUCAUGCUCUCACAAAAUUUAAUUGUCUCGUUGGUUCAAAUUAAAAUUAAAUGGAGCAAUAAAUAUGACUUUUGCAGCGGAAACUGUGAAAUAAAUCUAUUUUGAGAAGCAAAACCACUGUACAAACUUUAUUAAUCUCUAAUACAAAUUAUCCCGUUGGUUCAAAUUAGAUUAGAGACUAAACCUAUGCAGAAAACAUCAAGUAAAUGCUACUGAAAUAGAAAAAAACUAAUUAUCAGACGUUACUGUGCAAAACUCGUAUUUCGGCCCAGCCGCGAAAACGGCCCACAGCCCGUUCCCGCGCUCGGCCCGCUCGCGCGACGCAGUUGGCUCGCCAAAAAGGCCCACGAAACGGCCGGCCCAACUUGGCCUGCUCGCUCGGCACGCGCCUACAGGCCGCAACCUGGGCCUGGGCCGUGAAAGCGGCCUGCUGCCGCCUCCCGCCUGGGCCAUCUCUGGCCCGUUCGUUCUGAUCCGUCCGAUUUGAUCGGACGGUCCGGCGUCAUUUUCGGCCAAACAAAACGGUGAAACGGCUGGCUCCCAUAACCCUAACUCCAUUCUACUCCACUCUCCCCCGCGAGCUCCCACCGUGGCGGCUGCGGCGGGGCCGUCUCUCCCGCGCCCGGCGAUGGCCGGCGGCGGCGGUGGAGGGAUGGCCCCGCCGGUGCAUGGCCGCGGCAGCCCCCUCCCUCUUCCCUUUCUGCUUUCCCUCCCCCUCUCCCUCUCCCUCGGAGCCUACUCCAAGAUCCAGGAGGUGGCCAUGGCGACCAUGGAAGAGGGCCGGCGCCACCGCGGGUCCCCUCGUCGGCGCGCGCGUCCACCCCGAGGGUUGGGCGCGCCGCCGUCGAGCGGUCCUUUGGUGGUGCUGUUGCCCCCCCCCCCGAGCCCCGAGCGGAUGCGCCGGCGGUUCGGGUGGACCUUGUCCCCGGCGAGCCCGAGGCUCGGCCGGCCUUUGCCGCUCGCCGUUGGUGGACGUGCGGCGGUGAAGUCGACGACAGGUAAGCCGCCGCUUUCUUUCUUUAGAUCUAGGGAUAGGGUUAGGGUUUCACUUUUCUGUUUCUUUUCAAUCUUCUUCUUUUUCCCGAUCUACUUCUUUUUCCCGAUCUAGAAGAGCUUCUAGUGAGGUGUCUGAUACCAUUGUUAGGGCCGUGCCUAGGAUCUCUAGAUGCACAUCUAGUCGGGGUCGAGAAUAACAUGAGGGUCAUGGUGUUCCUGGUGUGUGUGCCGAGAGUGAGAGAGAGUGAUAGGGGUACCUUCACCCCUAGAGGUGGGAGCAGCAGAGCUGCUGGCCAUCGCGGGUUCGCUUGGUGGAGUCUACGCAAGGCAGCGACGCGCAGUGCCGAGUCCGGUCGCCGGUGAGGUGGCGGUGGUGCUUCCCGCCGCUACUGCGCAAACCUAGAUCGGUAGGUGUGUCGGUGGGGCGGCUGGCUGCGGCGAACCUCGUGAGCCGAGCCGGGUCCCCCACCCUGUUUAUAUAGCGCAGCGCGACAGGGGCCCACCACCCAUUGCUAGGGUGAGCGCCCCCGAUCAGGGCACGGAUCAGGGUCCCGAUGGGCCUUUGGGCCCAUUGGGAAGGAGAUGAAUCUAACACCAUGCACUUGCCAAUGGAAUUUAUAAAGGCAAAGAAACAAGGCCAUUCAUCGGGCCACAGCAACGAUCACCCACCACCACUGAUCAAAGCCAUUGGCCUCAUCAAUAACUCCAUAUCUUCUUCAGCAGCUGAACAAGUUGUGUGCAACUAUACAUGGGCACAUCGAUGUGAACAUUCAUCGAACAACCUGUGCUACAGUACUGGUAGUGAAAAACCUGCGCUGGAGCCUUGCGUAGUCUUCCAACGUGUAACCCAUCGUCUCUCUAGCUAGCUCUCUCAACGACUGUGGGACGAGAGAUCAGGAUGAGGAGGCAACUGGGGAUUUGAGAGUUGCUCAGAAAGGUCGCUUGUCGCGGUCUUGUUAAUUAUACAUCACUCAUGGGGAGAGUCGAUCAUGUGGUUCGAGUGGACUGAGUUUUCAUGGAAUGGAGUUUAUUUGGCGCGCCAGUGAGGGAAAGCGGUUGAGCGAUGCGAUGAUCCAGCCCACUGAGAUUUCAGAGCGGGUGUUAGGUUCGCAGCAGGCCGUGUGCUGUCGGCUGUCCUGCCUGCUGCUCAUGUACUCAAAGUGCUUUUUUUAUGCGAGGACAGUAAGUUUCCAUUUAUCUUUACGACUAACUAGUAUCAUCCAUCCCUUCUUUCACGUCAAUGCCAUGACCAAGAAGGCGCUCAAGAGGCACAAGCAUCUGGAUGAACGCACGGUGAGGAGGCUGGCUCUCGUACUACUGAAGCUGUCUGACUAUAUAUAUUUUUUUGAAAUGUCUGUCUGACUACAUCCAAUCGAUUCAGAGUUGUGUUGUGUAUUCAGUAGUAUCUCUGUUCUCUAGUGCGGCUGCAGGUGAUCUGUAUGGGUGUGUGGUCGGCCCAGUUGGCCCCUUGGAGCGCUUGCGUAUGGAUAUAUUACCAUCACUACCGGAAACAGUAAGUUUGCCGAGUGCCCCAGGCACUCGGCGAAGGUCCAAAUACACUCGGCAAAAGGUUUGCCGAGUGUAACACUCGGCGAACUCUACUCGGCAAAGUUUCCCUCAGCAAACAGUGGGUUUGCCGAGUGUCGAUCGUUGGGCACUCGGCAAAGCCUUUGCCGAGUGCCACAAAACACUCGGCAAAAUAUAACACUCGGCACAAAGGGGAUAACGGUCUGUGAUGGUAACAGCUACUUUGCCGAGUGUCAGAUGGCAAACACUCGGCGAAUCCUUAAAUUUUGCCCAGUGUAUUUAUAUAUUGCACUCGGUGAAGGUACACAGUUUGCCGAGUGUAUUUUAGAUGACACUCGGCAAAGAGGCCCCACCCGCCAGAUUUCUUUGAGCCGUUUGCCGAGUGUUUCCCAGUGGCACUCGGCAAAGUUGCAUAGUUUGCCGAGUGCCUUCCUCUUGGCACUCAGCAAACAGGCCAAUCUCACAAAGAGUUGAUGCCUUCCUCUUGGCACUAUGCAAAAGUUGCUAGAGUUCGAACAUUUGGUAUCAAGAGCUAGUGUUUGUGCACAAAGAGAUGUCGACCACCCCGCAGAAGUCCAGCGAUGACUUGAAGGCCGGCGGCAGCAGCUCACCAUGUCCGGUCAUGGUGGAGCGCAUCGUUAGGGAGUCGAGCUCGUCGUUGGUGUUCCCGAUACUGUCGUGCACCAAUUAUCACAAGAGGGCACCAAUUCAGUUGAUGCAGGUAAAUUAGAGGCGAUGGGGCUCUGGGGCUGCGUGGAGUCGAGUAAGGUCGAGCACCAUGAGGUUCAGCUUGUUAGAGCCUAGCCUAGGAUGAGAGAGAUGAGGGACAUGGUGUUCCUUGUGUGUGUGCCGAGAGUGAGAGAGAGAUAUAGGGGUACCUUCACCCCUAGAGGUGGGAGCAGCAGAGCUGCUGGCCAUCGCGGGUUCGGUCGGUGAAGUCUACGCAAGGCAGCGACGCGCAGUGCCGAAUCCAGUCGCCGGUGAGGUGGCGGUGGUGCUUCCCGCCGCUACUGCGCAAACCUAGAUCGGUAGGUGUGUCGGUGGGGCGGUUGGCUACGGCGAACCUCGUGAGCCGAGCCGGGUCCCCCACCCUGUUUAUAUAGCGCAGCGCGACAGGGGCCCACCACCCAUUGCUAGGGUGAGCGCCCCGAUCAGGGCGCUAAUCAAGGUCCCGAUUGGCCUUUGGGCCGAUCGGGAAAGAGAUCAAUCUAACAUUCUCCCCCUUGAUCUCAUCCUUUACUUUUAACUUUACACUUUUCACUUUUAUUCGUUUCAUCGUAGAUUAAUAUGUAGAGCAUGCCUCAUCGUCACAGCUUAAUUGCCGAUAGAAUCAACAGCUACAACACACCUCUCUAUUUUGAAACAAUUCUGUUUCUUUUGGGCCUUAUCCAAUCCAGGAAUCAUAGGCUUUCCCUUAAACCCAUGCCGGCUAAGUGUUCUCUGAACACAUUGGGAGGUAAGCCUUUCGUGAGCGGAUCCGCAAGCAUAUCUUUUGUUCUUAUAUGCUCGAGACUUAUAGUGUGAUCCUGGAUUCUAUCUUUCACAACAUAAAACUUUUUCUCAAUGGCUUUGGAAGCAUUGCUUGAUUUGUUGUUGUGAGCAUAGAAUACUGCUGGUUCAUUGUCGCAGUACAUCUUUAGUGGUCUGUGAAUACAGUCAACCACUCUCAAUCCGGGUAUAAAUUUCUUUAGCCACAUUGCCUGCCCCGUGGCCUCAUGACAUGCUAUGAAUUGUGCAUGCAUCGUUGAUGACGUAGUUACUUUCUGUUUUGAGCUUCUCCAUGAGAUAGCUCCUCCUGCGAGAGUGAAUACGUAUCCAGAUGUGGAUUUUCUAUCAUCUUUGUCUCCCGCAAAGUCUGCAUCUGAAUACCCUUUUAUCUCUAGGGAAUCAGAUCUCUUAUAUGUAAGCAUGAGUUCUUUUGUGCCUUGCGCGUAGCGCAAUGCCUUCUUUACCAUCUUCCAGUGUUCUAUACCUGGAUUACUUUGAUAUCUACCAAGAACCCCGGUGACAAAAGCUAAGUCAGGGCGAGUGCACACUUGGGCAUACUGUAAGCUUCUGACAGCUGAAGCAUAUGGAACCGCUUUCAUUUGAUCGAUCUCGUACUGGUCGUGAGACAUUGAAAAUUCCCAAAACUGUCGCCCUUGACUAUAGGAGCAGGUGUGGCCUUACUCGCAUGCAUAUUGUACUUCUUUAGAACCUUUUCUAAAUAUGCCCUUUGCGAUAAUCCAAGGACCCCAUUCAAUCUAUCUUGGUGAAUUUCUAUGCCCAAAACAUAUGUUGCUUCACCAAGAUCCUUCAUAUCGAAGUUUGAGGACAAGAACUUCUUUGUCUCUUGCAGUAGACUGAUAUCACUGCUUGCAAGUAAAAUAUCAUCUACAUACAGGAUUAGGAAAAUGUAUUUCCCAUUUUUGAACUUUGCAUAGACACAAUUGUCCUCUAUAUUCUCUUGAAACCAAAAUUUCUUUAUUAUAUCAUUAAACUUUAGAUACCACUGUCUAGAGGCCUGCUUUAAUCCGUAAAUGGAUUUCUUUAGACGACAUCCCAUAUUCUCUUUUUCUUCCAUGACAAAACCCUUUGGUUGUUUCAUGUAGACAUUUUCUUCUAAAUCCCCAUUUAGAAAUGUUGUCUUUACAUCCAUCUGAUGUAACUCUAAAUCAAAAUGUGCAACUAGUGCCAUUAUGAUUCUGAAGGAGUCUUUACAUGAGACAUGAGAAAAAGUCUCAUUAUAAUCUAUUCCUUCUCUUUGUGUAAAACCUUUUACCACAAGUCUUGCCUUAUACCUUUCUAUAUUCCCUUUGGAGUCACGUUUAGUCUUGUAGACCCAUUUACAGCCUACUGUUUUGGCUCCUUUAGGAAUCUCCUCAAGUUCCCAAACAUUGUUGGAACUCAUCGAUUUCAUCUCAUCUUCCAUGGCCUCUAGCCACUUCGAUGAGUGAACACUUUUCAUGGCUUCCUCAUAUGAAGUGGGAUCACCUUCUAUAUGAACUUCUUCUGUAUUAUAAACUUUAUAACAAUCAGGGAUAGCUGAUUUUCUGACCCUUUGAGACCUUCUAGGCCCCUCACUUUCGGGCACAUUCUGUGCCUCUGCUUGUGGCACACUGUUCAGAGGUGGCUGCUGCAACUCUUCCUCGUGUGUAAUGAUGGGUUCAGUUGGCUCCUGAAGGACAGGUUCCAAAACUUCACUCAUCGUUUCCACGGGUGGAAUCACAGCAGGUGCCUGCACCACAAUAUCAGGGACUGUAGCGGGUGCUUGCACCACGACCUCAGGAACUAUUGGUGCGGGAAUAAUAGGUAGCGAGAAGUAUGGUUCUUGAAUCAUCGGAUUAGGUGCACACACCCGCUUCUCCUCAAGAUCAAUCUCUCGAGCUACCAUGCUCCCCCUCACCAUCUCAUCCUCUAAGAAAAUCGCCUGUCUCGUUUCUACAAACUUUGUAUAUCUGUCUGGACAGUAGAAACGAAAACCCUUUGAUUUUUCCGGAUAGCCAAUGAAGUGGCAACUUACUGUUUUGGGAUCUAGUUUCCCGAUGUUUGGGUUAAAUACUUUGGCCUCAGCUGGGCUCCCCCACACACGCAGGUGGUUUAGUGAGGGUACUCUUCCUGUCCAUAGUUCGUACGGUAUUUUGGGCACCGACUUACUUGGCACUCUAUUUAGAAUGUGAAUGGCGGUCUUCAACGCCUCCAUCCACAGUCCCAAUGGUAAGCUGGAAUAGCUCAUCAUGCUGCGCACCAUAUCCAUCAGUAUACGGUUACGCCUUUCAGCCACUCCAUUUUGCUGAGGCUCGCCCGGCAUCGAAUACUGGGCUACUAUGCCAUUUUCCUGCAAAAACCUUGCAAAAGGUCCAGGACUUGGCCAAAUGGGGUAUGUCGACCAUAGUACUCCCCCCCACGGUCGGAUCUUACUAUUUUGAUUCUUUUGUUAUGCUGAUUUUCAACUUCAACUUUAAAUAUCUUAAAUUUAUCCAGCGCUUCUGAUCUUUCUUUGAUUGGAUAAAUGUAACCAUAACGGGAGUAAUCAUCUAUGAAUGUUAUGAACAAGUCAUAGCCAUCCACGCUUUUCACAGGAAAAGGUCCACAAAUAUCAGUGUGGAUUAUCUCUAAAACUCCUGUGCUACGUUUAGCGUCUUUUUUAAUUUGCUUUAGAAAUUUUCCUUUAAUGCAAUCAACGCAUUGUUCUAAGUCUGAGAACUCUAAUUGAGGAAGAAUUUCAUUCUUAACUAGUCUUUCUAUUCUCCCCCUCGAAAUAUGGCCUAAACGACAGUGCCAUAAUUUCAACGAUAUUUCAUGAGUUCUCUUUCUUUUCUUUGUUUCUUUCUCUGACGAGGAUACAUUCAUAUUCACAUCACACACAGAAUUUACUUUUUCAUGCAAUGAUAAUAAAUACAACUCAUUGUGAAGGAUGGCAACGUCAACACAUGCAUUAUCGAACCAAAUGGCACACUUUCCAUUUCAGAAAUGACAUUCAUAACCAUCAUGGUCCAAACGUGAAAUACUUAUCAAGUUUCUGUGUAAUGAAGGAAUAUAAAGCACAUCUCUAAGUACAAGCAUGAAACCAUCAACUAGCUCUAGAGAGACAUCGCCAACAGCUUCAACUUCUGCUUGGACUCCAUUUGCGACUUCAACGCAUCUUUUGCUUCUUUGCGUAGUCCUCGUCGAACGGAAUCCCUGUAAAGAAUUUGCAACAUGAACAGUUGCACCUAAGUCAAUCCACCAAGUAGAUUUCGAAUACUGUGUAUACAAGGAUUCUUUUAUAAAAGAAAUAGUAUUCUCACCUCUUUUUUCCAUUAUUGACUUUAACCAGUCGGGACAGUCUUUCUUGAAGUGCCCCUUUUUCUUGCAGUGUAGACAUUGAUCUUUGUCUACUGUGAGAGGCUUUUGGUGAUUCUGCUGCAUAGGAGCUUUUCCUCGUGCCUUGAAAGAGGGGUUAGCAAUCUUUUUCCUGUUAUCCUUCACAUAGUGCAAUGAGCCACCAUAUGAGGAUCUAAGUCUGUCCUCUUCCUGCACGCACAUGGCUAUUAUUUUUUCCAUGUCCCACUGUUCUGGCUGCAUGUUAUAAUUGACAACAAAAGUGUCAAACUCUUUAGGCAGAGAAGCAAAAACCAAAUGAAUAAUGUGCCCAGGCUUGAGCUCAAGAUCCAUAGGCUUCAACUGUGCUGCCAAGUUAUACAUCCUCAUGAUGUGAUCUCUUAUGCCAGUCCCUCCUCCAUUGUACCUCUCUGUGGCCAGCUGCUUGAACAGCUGGGUAGCAUAUAUCUUUGAGGAACCAGUGAACUGAUUCCUUAUCUUGUCAAGGUACUCUGAGACGGAGUCACACUCUGCGAUCGAGCCCAAAAUGGCAGGCUCAAUCGUAUUCUUUACCAAAGCCAUACAUUUCUUGUUGGCAGUGGUCCACUGUUUGUUUUUAAGGGUGUAUGCCAACUCCAGUGGAGCAUAGUCCCUUUCCUUUUGCUGCCAUGCAGCAUCAUCAUCACCGUCAGCCCUCACUAGCUUCUGUGGAGCUUGUGGCCGCGGUGUGGUCAGCACCCAGUCAACUUCUCCACAAACAAAGGAGAACUCAAUUUUCUUCCUCCAUUCUGUAUAGUUGUUGCCUUUCAAAAUGGGUAUCUCUUUGAGACAAGCCAUUAAGUUGAAUGAUCCUGAAAUUUACAAUGCAUAAGUGAGAUCAUAACAACAAUUGCAUGAUUUAUUUCCAACGUUGGUCAAAAAAAUAAAACAUACAACUGUUGAUGCAAUUUAAAACUAUAUCACCGUUGGGCAGAAAUAGAAAUAAAAGCAUCAAAAGAACUUUUUAAAUCAUGAUACAGUUAUUAACAAUGUUGGCCAGAAAAUAACAGCACCAUGAUCUAAUUAACUUUAUCAUGCUCUCACAAAAUUUAAUUGUCUCGUUGGUUCAAAUUAAAUUUAAAUGGAGCAAUAAAUAUAACUUUUGCAGCGGAAACUGUGAAAUAAAUCUAUUUUCAGAAGCAAAACACUGUACAAACUUUAUUAAUCUCUAAUACAAAUUAUCCCAUUGGUUCAAAUUAGAUUAGAGACUAAAACUAUGCAAAAAACAUCAAUUAAAUGCUUCUGGCAAUAGAAAAAACAAAAAAACAGACUUUACUGUGCAAAACACAAAUUUCAGCCUAGCCGCGAAAACGGCCCACAGUCCGUUCCCGCGCUCGGCCCGUAUUCGCGACGCCGUCGGCCCGCUAACGCGGCCCACGAAGACAGCCCGCUAAGGCGGCUCGGCGCCGGCCUCCCGCGCGGCUGCGGUUAGCAGGCCGCAACCUGGGCCUGGGCCGCCGAAGCGGCCUGCUGUCGCCUCCCGCCUGGGCCAAUACCGGCCCGUUGAUUCUAGUCCGUCCGAUUUGGUAUUGGCCCGUUGAUUCUAGUCCGUCCGAUUUGAUCGGACGGUUCGGCGUCAUUUUCGGCCGAACAAAACGGCGAAACGGCCGGCUCUCGUAACCCUAACUCCAUUCUCCUCCACUCUCCCCCGCGAGCUCCCGCCGUGGCGGCGGUGGCGGGGCCAUCUCUCCCGCGCCCGGCGAUGGCCGGCGGCGGCGGUGGAGGGAUGACCCCGCCGGCGCACGGCCGCGGCAGCCCCCUCCCUCUUCUCUUUCUGUUUCCCUCCCCCUCUCCCUCUCCCUCGGAGCCUACUCCAAGAUCCAGGAGGUGGCCAUGGCGACCAUGGAAGAGGGCCGGCGCCACCGCGGGUCCCUUCGCCGGCGCACGCGUCCACCCCGAGGGUUGGGCGCGCCGCCGUCGAGCGGUCCUUUGGUGGUGCUUUUGCGCCCCCCCCCCAAGCCCCGAGCGAAUGCUCCGGCGGCUCGGGUGGACCUUUUCCCCGGUGAGCCCGAGGCUCGGCCGGCCUUUGCCGCUCGCCGUCGGUGGACGUGUGGCGGUGAGGACGUCAGCAGGUAAGUCUCCCAUGUCUCUCUUUUCUUUAGAUCUAGGGUUAGGGUUAGGGUUUCAUUUUUCUGUUUCUUUUUCGAUCUUCUUCUUUUCUCGAUCUACUUCUUUUUCCCGAUCUAGAAGAGCUUCUAGGAGGUGUAUGAUACCAUUGUUAGAGCCUAGCCUAGGAUCUCUAGAUGCACAUCUAGUCGGGAUCGUGAGAGAUAUGAGGGACAUGGUGUUCCUUGUGUGUGUGCCGAGAGUGAGAGAGAGAUAUAGGGGUACCUUCACCCCUAGAGGUGGGAGCAGCAGAGCUGCUGGCCAUUGCGGGUUCGGUCGGUGAAGUCUGCGCAAGGCAGCGACGCGCAAUGCCGAAUCCGGUCGCCGGUGAGGUGGCGGUGGUGCUUCCCGCCGCUACUGCGCAAACCUAGAUCGGUAGGUGUGUCGGUGGGGCGGUUGGCUACGGCGAACCUCGUGAGCCGAGCCGGGUCCCCCACCCUGUUUAUAUAGCGCAGCGCGACAGGGGCCCACCACCCAUUGCUAGGGUGAGCGCCCCCGAUCAGGGCGCUAAUCAAGGUCCCGAUUGGCCUUUGGGCCCAUCGGGAAAGAGAUCAAUCUAACACAGUUGGCAUCAGCAGCCAUCCUUCUUCUGGUGCCGGCAGACAUGCACUUCGAGCUCACCAAGAAGAGUGCGAAGGAGGCAGGGGAGGUGGUGGAGAAGAUGCAGCUCGAAGUCAAGUGCGUGAAGGAGGCGAACGCGCAGAAGCUAAUGAAGGAGUUUGAGCUCGUCACAUUCAAGGAGGGAGAAUCAAUCGAUGACUUCGCCAACCGCAUGAACACCCUCAUUGCCAAGCUGCGUGACCUGGGGGAGUCGAUGGAGGACGUGCGUGUCCUCAGGAAGUUCCUGCACGUUGUGCCCUCGAGGUACCACCAGAUCGCGUUUUCGAUCGAGACACUACUCGAUCUUAACACAAUGUCGAUCGAGGAACUCGUCAGACAACUCCGUGCGGCGGAGGAUCGAGCCAACGUGGACGAGAUCAUGGACCAUGCGGGGCAGCUGUUGCUCACUGAAGAGCAGUGGGAGGCGCGCCAGCGUCAACGUCGUGGGAAGGAGCGUGCACGCAGCCUCGAGGUGCACCACAGCAACAGCGAUAGGAAGGGAGGCCGUAGCGGUGGUCGUGGUGACGAGGAUGACGAUGAUGGAGGGAGCAGCGUUAGUUUAGGCGCAACUAGGUGUCGACGCAUCUCCGGCAAGGGCCGGUGCUACAACUGUGGCAUCCGUGGCCAUUUCUCGAAGGAGUGCACCAAGCCAAGGAAGGAGGCGGCGUUGUUCGUGGACGCCGACGAUGAGCCGGCGCUCCUAUUGGAGGUAUGCCCUAGUGGCAAUCAUAGAGAUGAUGAUAUCUGAUUGUAUCCAUGAUUUGUAUAUUGUGUUCAUUGAAUAUCCAUUAAAGGCUACUUGAAUUGAUUUGCAAUUAUGUGAAUUGUAUGUGAAACUCUUUACUUGUAUGGUUAUUCUAAAGUUGUCCCUAGUCGGAGUUCAUGUGAGGACACACAUGAAUAUUAGACUAGCACAUGUAUUAGUUGAUGACUAUGUUUCACAAGUCAUGGAUAUGGAGAUGUCAAACUAAUAAUGUGGGCACAUGAAGAGACAUGUGAUAGGAUUGACCCAACACGAGUUAUAUAUUUCUCUCUUUACAUAACAUGUACGCUUUAUCCUUAGACGUGAGAUUGUUGCAUGUACUCAAGAUGUGGGUCGACUUACUUAGGGGCUAUCAAACGCUACACCGUAACAGAGUAGUUAAAAAGGUAGCUUUCGGGUUUGUCAAGAAGCAUGCUAUUAGGCAUGGUCAAUCAAGAUGGGAUUUGCCCCUCUCUGAUUGAGAGAGAUAUCUCUGGGCCCCUCGAGUGAUCGGAUUGAGAAAUGCAUGGCCAUGCUAUGUAAGGUUAAGAGUUAACAUACAAAGGGAUUCCAAAUCACAGGAUCGAGAAAGAGCGGUCGACUUGGAGCUAGACCAAAUAUUGUGAGGCAAAGGGAAUAGCAUGUACGUGAUGUUGUGACGGUACAUCUGAUAUGAUCUUUGUGUGCGUAUAGAAGUUGGCACAUCUUGCUAGAGGCUGCUACCGAUUAUUGGGCUGAGUAGGAGUACUCGAGCCAUGUCUAUACGUAUUCAAACCUAUAGGGUCGCACACUUAAGGGGCUGAAAGCCCAAUUAGGAUAUGAUCCGAAUUGGAUCGGGUUUAGGAGUACUAAUGGGCCUCGGACCCAGAGGCCCAUCAGGGACCCCUAUAUAUAGAGGGGUGGGGGCGCCCUAGGAUUCAUCCCUUUUGGUCGAACCACAGCUGCCACGCCUCCCACGCUCUUGCCUCGUUGCAACUCGUGGACCUAGCAGUCCAGCUUGCGAUGCUUCCUCCCUGCACGUAUGGAUACCUUGGAGGUGUUGCACCUGCAACACUUGGACGAGCUGCCGACGAGCCACGACGAGCUGAUGACGAGCCGUGGCACGAGGAGGACCUCGCUGUAUGUGGACGAGCUGCUGAGGAGCUGCUCAACGUUGACGUGUUCGACUACGCUGAUCGACUUCGCUACCCCGAUGCGAUUCUACAACUUCUGCACUUGUGCGUCGAGUGGUAAUCCCGUGAUCCAUAUAUGGCAGUUUUCCUGGUUUACGCAGUAGAAGAAUUUUGUUUUGCACUAGCGUAGCCUACCUCGUAUCCCAAUAGUGGUAUCAGAGCCGUAGUUGCAUUGUUAUGGAUUUGAGAUCUAUGCAUAUGGAGAUAUGCGAGUUUUUAGAUUGAUAUAUGACCUGGUUUCGUGUUCUUGCUGCAAUGGUAGUGUAACGAUAUACUCCUACCGGUUGAAUUUCCGCCAUCGGAGUUAAGUGAUACACGUAAUGCCAGUUGCAGCGAGUAAAGAUCAAUGUGAUUGAUCGAAUCGAAACCCAGGUUCAUACACCAGGCGCAUGUGAUGCGCAAUAGUAGAUUGGAUCAACUACCGGGUUGGAAUUUUUGUCGUAUGUGUGUGCUUCGGUAAAACAGCCGUAACUUUCCAGUACGAUCUCGGAUCGAGGCGAAUUUUAUAUGAAAAUUGAUAUAUAGAAAAAGUUACACAUAAAAUUCAAUCGCUUUUCCAUUUUUGGUGAAAUCAGAUUUUCCAAAUUCAGCUUAGAAGAUGGAGUUUCGGGCCAUUUAAGUUUGGAACGUUAGAACGCCUAACUCUAUUUUGCAAGAUCUUGUGAUCGGUAUGGCCCUUGUGUAUGUGAUGCAUGUAAGUAACUGAUUCGUGACCUGCGUGUCACAUGUACAGCAACACGGCUGGAGCCAUAUGUGUUGUCACCUUAAUGUAUUUAGUGGUCUGCGUACCAAUCUCAGAUGAUCCAAGCAACUAUGUAAUCUACAAUACUAGCUAUUAUGUGUAAAUAGCAUAUUCUAGUUCUUGGAGGACUCAUCACCAGGAGGAUGGCGCACAUGGAACAUGGAGAUGAAGAUCACCAUGGUGAACAAGUUCUAUGGAGAUGAAGAUCACCAUAAGAAAAUGGGCCAUACUGUGUCACAACUGUGUGAAUGUUAUUCUUUAUGUUUAACUUCCUGCAUAAUGUGAUAUUAGAAGUAGAAUGAUCCCUCACAAAGUUUAAGUUUGUAUGCCCUCCCAACUAAAACUUGCAUCGUCCCAUGUCUUGUACAAUUGGUGGUGGGUCUAUGAAAUUAGGGUGCGACUAGUUUUCCUUGACUAGACGGGUUUGUGUCGGACACUUACACGCAAAAGGGUUGGUUUGCUUAACAAGGUCAUCUUAACGGUUAAGUACCUUGGGGCAUAAAGGUGGUGCGCCGAGACAUAGAUAUGUCACCCAACAAUAGGAGUCAUAUGUGAUAUGAUUAGCAAGGAGUUGCUUACCGACCUACCUUGUUUGCUAGCGGUGAUGCUAAAGCUCACUAGUAGACUUGAUAGUUGUGGAUCCUAGCAACACCACAUCAUUUGCUUUGCAUUCGAUCCUUGAGAAGGAGAAAUUGAAUGGAACAAACUACUCGGAUUGGAUCUGUAACAUGAGAAUUGUUCUUAGGGCUGAUAAAAGGAAGAUGUUCUAGACACCCCAUUACCACAAGUACCUGCUGAUGAUGCAUCUGCUGCCGUUAAGGCCGCUUACAAGAAAGCUAUCACACCCGAUUUUAAGGACAAAACCGAGUGCUUUCAGUACAUGUGCGCCAGGAUCAAGUUACACACAUGUAUGACAAUAGUGAAUAACAAAGAUAAUGCUAAAGUGAAUAAAGAGAGUAUUAAACAUUAUUACAUGACCGAAAGUCUCAAUAAAACAAAAGCCUAAAUUAUUACGCAACGGAACUCCAACGACAACGAAGACACCACAGGCAGUCGACUGAAGAACCGUAUGCCUAGAACUCCUCAAAGUCGUGCAGAUACUCCUCCAAAUUAGCUUGGUCUGAACAGCAAUUUUGCAAGGGUGAGUACACUUAUGGUUGGUACUCAACAAGUCAUGGGGAAUAGUAUAGUGUAAGGCAAAUCAAGGUAUGGCAAAGGUGUAAUUAGCAUCAUCUUUUAAUUAAGUUGGUCAAGUUUUAUUUAGCAAUAAACUAAUUAUAAGUUUAUACCUCCCAAAAUUAAACAUGAGCAUAAACAAAGUAAACAACAUAUGCAUGAAACGACAACAAUUUAAAUCCAUCUUCCGAUAAUAUUAUCAUGUGAGGGUCCAGGCCGCUCUUAAUCGUGAGCAUGGCUGAUCGAUCAGUUUUACACUCUGUAGAGGUGGCACAUCUUUUCCCACAAGUCGCGUAAAAGUUCAAAAGAACUUUGGACCCAACCAUGCGGUGUUUGCAAGGCACCAUACCACACUUCCAAGGUGUGAUUGCAUAGGGACGCUACGAGGCCUUUACAAAGAUUCGCUAGCAAUGUGGUAACCCAUUAAGGUUUCAGGUCGAAGCAGAACAUAGCAGUCCCCUAGUGGGUAUAGUGUCUUAGCCAAGCCCACUUCCCCCGAGAGCGAGUGCUAUAUCCCAUCAACGCCUCCCCUCUUGCCCUUUUGGUAAGAUUACCCCAAACUAGAGUUUCUAAUUAUUCAGCCAAGACCAGAGCCAUUUAGUCUUAUGGUAGCACUGUUUUCCUGGGUGGUUCUCCAUGUUCUGUUUAAACAAUAGUGAUCUUGUAUUAAUGAAAGGUAUAACAGAAGUAAAGCAAGAUUAAACAUUGUGUUCAGUUAAACCACCAUACCAAGUAAGCACUAAGCAUGAGCUACCCAACAUAAAAGUAAACCCAGUUGGUCAAGGCAAAGGUAAUUUCAAUCUAGGCGAACCUUAAUUGGGACCCAUCAAUUUAAUCUUACCAUGUGCAUAGCAUAAAUGUUGAGUACAAGAAAGUAAAGGUGUAUAGGAUGGAAAAGUAGUGAUCAAGGACACGACUUGCCUUCUUGGCCUUGCUCCUGCUGUUUGUACUCCUCGAAGGCUUGGUCUUCAAAUCCCUCGAACUGCUGAACGUCUACACGCAUCACAUGAGCACAUACAAGCAAACAUGGGCAAAAGGUAAGAACAGUACACCAAUCACAAUUAAAUAGAGAAAACAAGCUUGUAAAAUUGAUCUACGUUUUAAAACGAACACGUGGAUAUAAAGAACACGAAAAAUGGAGUUAAGAUGCAAAAGAUAUGAUUAAAACAAGAUCCAGGGGCUUUUCUGCGAGAAAAACAAAACUUCUAUGAUCAAACUGCGAAAAACCAGGGCUUAUACAUAAUUACGCGUAUAAACUGAAGGUUUAACGUGCAAAAACUCCAAAACGGAUGACGGGUUGAUUUUUAGAAAACUCAGGGCUCAAACCGAAAAACAUGAGGGCAGAUCUGUAAAUAUUUUUCAACGCAAUCUGGACCGCGGGUUGAUUUGCGGAAAAGGCGAGGGAUUAAGUGAAAAAGAAUAGCAGCGCGGAACGGUUGACCGGUACGUGACUCGGUUGACUCGCUGCUGGCCGUCGGAUCUGGAUCAGAUCCGACGGUCGCGCGCGUCAGCGGCAGCUCGGCGGCAGAAAAGGCAGCAGACGGCGGCGAGCGGCAGUGGGGUCGCUGGAGUUGGCCGAAAAGGUGCUCCGGGGCUUGUUUUCACGCGCGGAUUGCACGGGAAAAGAGCGGGGGACACGGCGAACCCGUUUAGGGCCUUGGUGGGAGCCACGGCGCGGCGGAGCUCACCUUUUGGCGGCGGCUAGCGGCGGAGAGAGAGCGUCGGCGCUAGAGCUCGGGUAGCGGGUUUGGAGGGCGCUGCUGCGGGAUGCUCGAGGCCGGGGGAAGGGCGACGACUUAUAUAGGGGCGGUUGGCGGCGGGAUAAGGAUAGGGGUGGAUCACGCGCAAAGAAAACACGCGGCGGUUGCGGGAGGCGGUGGAGUCCGGCGUGGUCGGGGGAGGAGUCCCGGCCGGAUACGGCUGGAGGACGGGGAUGACGGGUGGGUCCCACCUGUCAGAUCGGCGGAAGGAAGCGGGCCAGCGUUGUAACGCGGGCCACGGAGGAAAAAGGAGAGGUGGGCCGGAGCGAGGGGGAAAGCGGAGCGGGAAGCUUCGCGGGCCGGCGGAAAGGUGGAGCGGGCCGGAGGAGCUGGUGCGCGGCUGGGCCGAAAGAAAGAAGAAGGAGGAGAAGGAUGCGGCCCAACAGAAGAUAAGAGAAGAAAAGAAAAAAAGAAAAGGAGAAAAGUAAGGUUUUGAAAAUUUGGAAAUUGAAUUUGAAAUUCAAAUUUAAUUCAAACUGAAGCAAUCAAAAUAAAUGCACCAGCAUGAAUGCACAAUAAACUCCUAGGGUGAAUUAAUUAAAUUUAAAGAAAGUGAAAUUAAAUGCCUAGAAUUUAAAUGACAUCCUAAUUUGAGCAAUUUUAGUGAAUUUGAAUUCCUUUUUUAAAAAAAUUGGGUGUUACAAAAGCAUUUGAUGCUAAUCUUGAGGUAAGUUUCCUUAUGCUUGCUUGCAUGGAAUCCGAGCUACAGAUGCAGUUCGAAACAAAUCAUGAGGUGCACGAUAUGAUCGUGGCGCUCAAGGAUAUGUUCCAGAUACAGGCCAGGACUGAAAGGUUCAAUGUGUCCAAGGCCUUUCUGGAGUGCAAGCUAGCAGAAGGCGCAGUAGUAGGACCACACAUAAUCAAGAUGGUUAGUUACACUCAACGAUUGAAGAAGCUGGGCUUCCCAAUAGGCCAAGAGUUGGCCACUAACUUCAUUCUUUCGUCUCUUCCGCCUAGCUAUGGGAACUUCAUCUCGAACUACCAUAUGCAUGGGACGGAGAAGGAUCUGAAUGAACUGUGUGGCAUGCUUAAAACAGCAGAGGCUGACAUUAAGAAAAGUGCUAGUAGCAGCCAUGUGAUGGCUAUACAGAACAACCCUAGUUUUAAGAAGAAGAGCAAUUCUUGGAAGAAGAAGGGCAAGGCUGCCAAGCCAAACCCAGCGCCAAAGGUUAAACCUGGACCUGGACCUGCUCCAGACAAAGAGUGUUUUUAUUGUCACGAACUUGGUCACUGGAAGAGAAAUUGCAAGCAGUACCUAGCUUCGUUGAAGAAUGGCGGAAGUAAGAGUACUUCCACCACAGGUACGCUUGUUGUUAAUGUUAUAGACAAUAUACUUCUUGCUGAUACAAUUAUUAAUUCUUGGUUAUUUGAUACCGGAUCAGUUGCUCAUAUUUGCAAUUCAAUGCAGGGAUGGAUAAAAAGUAGAAGCGUGGAAAGAGGAGAAGUUGAUUUCCGCGUGGGCAAUAAUGCAAGAGUUGUUGCGUUAACCGUCGGGACGAUGUAACUCCACCUCCCAUCAGGAUUUAUUAUGGAGUUGAAUAAUUGUUAUUUUGUUCCUAGUUUAAGUCGAAACAUUAUGUCUCCUUCAUGCUUGAUUAAGGAUGGUUAUUAUUUUGCGAGUGAAAACAAUGAUUGUGUGAUCUCUAAGAAUGAUAUGUUUAUGGCUUUUGCACCCAUUAUGAAUGGAUUGUUUGUUUUAAAUCUUCCUGGUUCACCUGUUUGUAAAAUAAGUGCUAAAAGGCCUCGGCCUAAUGAUUUGAGUACUAUCUACAUAUGACAUUGUCGUUUGGGUCAUAUAAGUGAGAAACGCAUGAAGAAGCUCCAUACUGAUGGACUUUUAACUUCGUUUGAUUUUGAAUCAUACGAGAUAUGUGAGGCUUGCUUACUAGGCAAGAUGACCAAGGCACCUUUCACAGGUUUUCCUGAGAGAGCAUUAGAUUUGUUGGAACUCGUACAUACUGAUGUAUGCGGACCAAUGAGCACGACAACCAGAGGAGGGUUCCAAUACUUCAUAACUUUUACUGAUGAUUUUAGUAGAUAUGGAUAUGUCUACUUAAUGAGGCAUAAGUCUGAAACCUCUGAAAAGUUUAAAAUCAGCGUGGCAAGAAAAUUAAGGCCUUGCAAUCUGAUCGUGGAGGUGAGUAUUUGAGCCAUGAAUUUAGCAGUCAUCUGAAGAGUUGCGGAAUUGUUCUGCAGCUUACGCCGCCUAGAACACCUCAGAGAAAUGGUGUAUCUGAGCGACGUAAUCGAACUUUGUUAGACAUGGUUCGAUCAAUGAUGGGCCAGUCGGACCUACCAUUAUCAUUUUGGGGAUACGCUCUAGAAACAGCAGCUUUCACACUUAAUAGGGUACCAUCUAAAUCCGUAGUUAAGACACCAUAUGAGAUGUGGACUGGAAAGACUCUUAGUUUGUCUUUUCUUAAGAUUUGGGGAUGUGAAGUAUUUAUCAAGCGACUUCAGUCGGACAAGAUUACACCCAAGUCAGAUAAGUGCAUUUUCGUGGGAUAUCCAAACCAAACUUUAGGAUAUUAUUUCUACAACCGGUCAGAGGGCAAAGUGUUUGUCGCUCGGAACGGGGUUUUCUUAGAGAAAGAGUUUCUCAAAGGCGAAAAGAGUGGAAACACCGUGCAUCUUGAAUCAACGAGUGAUGCUAACGUAGCAGAACAAGUUGAGAUACCCGCAGCAAGAGAAGCACCACCACAACCACGAAGGUCAGCAAGGCUCCGCGAACAGCGGGAAAUAUUAUUGUUGGAUAAUGAUGAGCCUGUGACAUAUGCAGAAGCAAUGAUGGACCCAGACUCCGAAAAAUGGCAGAGUGCCAUGCAAUCUGAAAUAGAGUCCAUGGGAGACAAUCAAGUUUGGAACUUGGUUGACCCGUCUAAUGGUGUUAAAGCCAUAGAGUGCAAAUGGAUCUAUAAAAAGAAGAGAGAUAUGGAUGGAAAGGUUCACAUCUACAAAGCACGACUUGUCGCAAAAGGUUUUCGACAAGUUCAAGGAGUUGACUACGACGAGAACUUUUCGCCCGUAAUGAUGCUUAAAUCUAUGUGAAUUAUUCUAGCUAUAGCUGCAUAUUUUGAUUAUGAGAUAUGGCAGAUGGAUGUCAAGACAGCUUUCCUGAAUGGAAAUCUAACUGAGGACGUGUAUAUGAUAUAGCUCAAAGGUUUUAUCAAUUCGAACAAUGCUGGAAAGGUAUGCAAACUUCAAAAAUCCAUUUAUGGGUUGAAGCAAGCAUCUAGGAGUUGGAACAUUCAUUUUGAUGAAGUGGUCAAAGGGUUUAGCUUCAUUAAGAACGAAGAAGAGUCUUGUGUUUACAAGAAGGUUAGUGGGAGCUCUGUAGUAUUUCUAAUCUUAUAUGUGGAUGACAUGUUACUAAUUGGAAACAACAUUCCUAUGAUUGAGUUCGUAAAGACUUCACUGAAAAAUAGUUUUUUGAUGAAGGAUUUAGGGGAAGCAGUAUAUAUUCUGGGCAUCAAAAUCUAUAAAGACAGAUCGAGAAGGCUUAUAGGAUUAAGCCAAGAUACUUACAUUGACAAAGUGUUGAAAUGGUUCAACAUGGAAGACGUAAAGAAAGGGUUCUUGCCUAUGUCACAUGGCAUACACCUUAGCAAGACUUAGUGUCCUUCAAUUACUGAUGAGCGGGAUCGCAUGAGUAGAGUGCCAUAUGCUUCGGCUAUCAGAUCUAUCAUAUAUGCAAUGAUAAGUACUCGUCCAGAUGUUUCAUAUGCGCUAAGUAUGACAAGCAGACACCAGUUUGAUCCAGGUGAGAGUCACUUGAUGGCGGUGAAAAACAUUCUUAAGUACUUCAGAAGGACUAAAGAUAUGUUCCUUGUCUAUGGAGGUGAGGAGGAGCUCGUUGUAACAGGUUACACCGAUGCUAGUUUCCAAACUGACAGAGACGAUUCAAAAUCACAAUCAAGAUUUGUGUUUAUGCUAAACGGUGGUGCUGUUAGCUGGAAGAGUUCCAAGCAAGAGACGGUGGCUGAUUCUACGACAGAAGCCGAGUACAUUGCGGCUUCAGAACUCGCGAAUGAGGGUGUUUGGAUAAGGAAUUUCCUUAUUGAGCUUGGUGUGUUCCCGAAUGCGUCUAGCCCAUUGAAUCUCUACUGUGAUAACAAUGGGGCUAUUGCGCAAGCAAAGAGCCAAGGAAUCACCAGAAGAACAAACACGUAAUGCGGCGAUUUCAUCUCAUUCAAGACUUCGUUAAUCGGGGUGAGAUCAAGAUAUGCAAAAUACAUACGGAUUUGAAUAUUUCUGAUCUGUUGACAAAACCUCUCCCGCGGUCUAAGCAUGAUGUCCACAUAAGAGCUAUGGGUAUUAGAUAUCUUCUAGAUUGACUCUAGUGCAAGUGGGAGACUGUUGGAGGUAUGCCUAUUUGUUGGUUAAGUGCGCCUCGGGAAAGCAGUAAAUGGAGCUAGCAUAGAAAAAAAAAAGCAAAUAUCGAUGGCCCUUGUACCCACCUUGGGCAGUGCAAGAAUAAGGUCCGCUGCGAUGUUGAUUUGCGUGUCUUCUUCUGCGUGGCCCCAUACUGGAUGACGUGCACCAUCAGAUUAAUUCAUGGAUAUAUCAGGUUAUCAUAUGGGAAAUUCUUUUCUGAAUUAUGAUUCAUGUAUAUUUUAUCUUCUUUUGUUUUUCUUCUUACUCCAUUCCAAGGAUCUUAAUGAACUUUUAGCUUACAUUCCUUACAUAACUGAGAUAUGUAAGGAUAAUCCAAAUUAGCAAUGAUAUUUACACUCUUACACUACUUUUAUCUAAUCCAAUUAUUUUUAGUAAUCUAGCUGUAGGAUUCGCCUAUCAGUAUAUGGCAUAUUUACUCAUAUAGAUGGCUUCUGGUUAUCGUGAAAUAAAGCAUGAGAUGAUCAGUUGUAGAAUUUAAUUAUAUUAUAUAAAUUUUGGUCAAUCAACUAGUAAUUAUUCUGUAUAUUCUUGAUACUAUUUUUUCAAUUCUGAACGCAGAUUUCAAGAGUUUACAAGGGGAAGGACUAUGUGGAAACGGAACUUAUAGUGAGUGCUCUGCCACUAGGAUAUGCCUUGCAUUGCUACAGAUGUUGUUUAAACAUUGCGUUUUGUUUCAUGAUUUGAUUGGCAUAAGAUUUUAACAUAUUCUCAACUGAUUGUUCCCAUGUGUAGGUUGGGCCUAUACCAAUAGAUGAUGGAAAUGGAAAAGAAAUAGCAACUGAAAUUGUCACAAACAUGGCGACAAACAAAACUUUUUACACUGAUUCCAGUGGACGCGAUUUCAUCAAAAGGGUAUGCAGCACUGGCACUUUUUACCUUUUCUUCUCUCCCAGUAAAAAGCACUUUUGUUGCCCUUCUCAUUGACAGAUUUCUUCAGAAAUAAUUGUUCUAGUGAUUCCUAUGCUACCUUAGAACGUGAAAGGGAUAAGAUUAGCAGUUGGCACAAUGGAUAACUAAAAAAGAAAAUACAUGGCAGAAUAUUUUAAGAUUAUCUCAAGCUUUAUAUUUAUACACGAGGUACCAUUUUUAUUUUAUUUUAUUUUGCAGAUAAGAGAUUAUCGAUCAGAGUGGAAGAUUGAAGUGCACCAGCCCAUUGCUGGGAACUAUUAUCCUGUGAGCUUCUGUUUGCUCUCUAUAUUUUUUGAUGAAGAAGUUUACUAACAUUAGUAAAUGGCAUCUUUUUAUCUGAGCAACAGUAGUCAAGAGUGGCAUCUUCCACUCAAUUGAUUCAGUUUUGAAUUGAUUAUUCUCUAUGUCUUUUCCUAGAGGAUUGUAUUAGUUAUUUUGGUCUUUACACUAACAUUUAUUGAUUUUUACUAAAAGAUGAUAACAUAGACAUUUGUAAAAAGAUUGGUGAUUCUGUACAUCUUUUCAGGUUAAUCUUGGCAUUUAUGUAGAAGAUGGCAGCAAAGAGUUCUGUACUGGUAGACAGGUCAGUUGGAGGUUCAAGUAUAAAAGAUGGACAAAUAGAGCUAAUGCUACACAGGUACAUCCUCAAGCAGCAUAAUUGUAAUAAUAAUUUGUUGCUUCUUUCAUGCUUUAGUACUUCCUUUGUGAUAACCUCUGUACUCCCUGUAUAGGAGGCUACUCCAUGAUGAUGGGCGAGGCGUCGCAGAGGCGUUAAAUGAAACUGUCUGUGUUGAUAAACAAUGUGAAGGAUUAAUUGUAAGUAAAGUGAUUAUAUUCCUAACACUUUAGUAGGAUAGAGGCCAAAGUCAGUUGGUGCUUGCUGAGAUUAUAUUGGUAUUAGAAUGAACACAUCUCAUUUUUUUUCAGAAGAAAACAUCUCAUUCAUUAGGAUAGAUUAAAGUCAAACAACGCCUCAAAAGUACCAUAGGAAAAAGGCCAUCUUAGUUUCCUCAACUAAUUACUUAUUUACAGCUAAGUCACCGGAUGAUAAUGUUGUGUCAUUACAGAUCAAGUUAUUAUAUUGUGACUGCAGCAGCAUGCAGUGUCAUAAAGAAAUAUAAUGGAAAGCAUCUCAUUGUGAUUUCAGAUCGAAGGAAAGUACUAUCUCAAAAUUGAUCCACAAGGAGAAGGAGCUAGGUGGCGUCGGACAUUUGGCCAGGAAAUAUACUCACCUCUCCUCCUUGCUUUCUCAGAGCAGGUAUGGCCGUAUGGGGUGAAACUUGCCAUCAGCAUGGUUGCUCAGGCUAUUCGUGUGUUCAACAUGCACCAACUUGUUUACCCAGGAUGGAGGCAACUGGGCGAAUUCGCAUGUUCCAAAAUUCUCUGCAAUGGAUCCAACCUACAGCUUGCCUGAUAAUGUUGCAUUGCUUACUCUUCAGGUACCUGCCUUGCUAUACCAUUGUUGCCAUAAUGUAUUAAAAAGUGAAAAUAUACAUAACUUCUAUGUUAUGUUAACCAAUUGAUUUUAGAAUUUGGAAUGUUCAUUUUUCAUUUCUUAGUAGUAUAUUCUGUGCAAAAGUGCUGACUCCUGGUUGGCUUGAUUGAUGACAAACAACGAAACGAAACCAUGCACUCUUCUAGAUGUAUAUCACGACAAGUGUAAAACUGCUGCCUGGAUUUAUUUGUAAUUCAUUACUGCAUAUAUCUGUUUAUAACUUGGUUGCAUGUGUCAAAUUUAUUCAUAACACAGGAACUCGAAGAUGGAACUGUUCUUCUUCGGUUUGCUCAUCUAUACGAGGUUUUGCCACCACCAUUCUGACUUUGCUGUUCCAGGAAAGGAUACUUCUAUUUGCUUUCCUAAGUUUUGUGCUUUUCUGGACAAAUAGGCUGGAGAGCACAAGGAUCUUUCAGCUCUGGCGAGUGUCGACCUCAAGAGAGUAUUCCCAGACAAGGUCCUCUUUGUCGCAGCAUCAGUGGUAAGCAACUGCUCUGAUAGUCCGACGCCGAGGAGGUCCAGAUGGGCGUCAUGGCCAAUGCCCAAUGUUGUAUUACCAACUGCUCUGUUUAGUAGAAAUUGCACUGAUUGCAUUGCAUUGAGCAACUAAGUCAUCGACGUUGGAACUGAAUCUGACUUGAACACUCAGUUCAGACACAAAGCUGGGUUUUAAUGGAACUGUCGGUGUACAUUAUUUGGUCACGAAAAUCUGGAGUCUAUGAGUUGCCAAUGAGAUCUGUUUUGGACCCACCUGUCAGCUCAGCUUAGGUUGGUAUAGUAGUUUCCGCACCAAACAUGCCAAAAUUGGUUGCCAUAAGUUGAACCCUGUCCGAUACUAGCACAAAUAAUUUAAUAAAAAAAGAACCAUUUGUGCUGUCUAAUUGCUAUUCUUGUCCUGUUUAUGCUAUAGUACAUCAAAGCUCAAUUAAUACACUACUUUUUUGAGAAAUAUAACACAGCUGAUGCACAAACAGUAGAGAUAAGCAAUUUUUUUAGGGAAAACACCCAUAGGGCUCUCAUUUCGUUAAACGCAAGUUAAAGUACAAAUAGAUGCCCAGCUUGGCAAGUUACAUACAAUAGUUUCAAAAGGUCAUACACCAUUAUGCUCCACAUUUGAGCAAACACCGGAGCUCAAGGUGAAGGGGUCUGGGGUGGAUCUCAGAAGCUGGGCGAGCUGUUGGUGGGGGCGAUUGGGUUUUGGCGUGGUGUGGCUCGAGGAUUUGGCCGGCGAAGAGCUCACGGCGGCGGAGGCCAUGGUGGGUGGGGAAACUUCAAUUCCCGGCAGGAGGGUGGAGGGUGAGCGGCACGAGGAGGUUGAGGAGGGGGGCGGAGAGGUGGAGGAGAUGGAUGCGCGGACUAUUGGACUACGGUGGCGGGCCAGCUCGGGCGGCAGCCGGGGGUGGCGGGCGGCGGUUGGGUGGGGGCGGCAGGCGACGGGAGUCGGGUGGGGGCGUCAGGGGUGUGGAAGUCGUACGGGAAAAGAAAAAACGAACUGGUAGGGUCAGGUGGGUAAUUUUUUUACCCCAAAAGUAGCUGAAAGUAGGGGAAGGCGCUUUUGCUUUUGUACUAGAGGAAAAACAGCUUUUGUCCUAUGGUUUUUUUGGAUCUUGGUUGGCUUUUGGCUUUUGCAAAAUUAGAAGCAGGUUGAAAAUGCCCAACCAAAGGCAUCAUAAAGAGUGAGCAAUAUAGUUCAAUUCUGUAGGAAUAUGAAUAAAACUUCAAGAUUUGCAAAAUGAAGAAUUUCUUGAGUUUGAUGUCCUAUACUCCAAUCAUUGAGAUUCUCGCCGUCAUUGAUGAUACUUUCCACCAAGACUUUACAGUUCGAUAGAAAGUAACAGCCAUGCACCUGCAAGAUGGAAGCAACAUUCACCGCUAAGAGGAGGUUGUGCGCCUGUGCCUGCAAGGGAGAAAUGGCUGACCAUUUGGCUCUGAUUUGAAGAGACCAAGAAGGGUGGCUUGUGCAUUGUAGCAUUGGUAAAGAGAAUUCCCAAGCCAGCCUUUUGAUUUACAUAUGAUGCGUCAAUCCUGCAGCAAAGGUUGCUAGAUAAAAGAUGUGAAAAAUAGAUAUCAUCUUGUAAGUAAUGUGAUGUGGUCAGAAUGUUCAUGCUUUGGUCAAUACGAUACGCUUUAUAUUGAACUUUUUGAGAAGCCUUUGCUUGGUAAAUGAUAGUGUGCACAGAGCAGUCUUUAUGUUGAAACCUAUGAUCAUUUCUUGCUUUCUAAAUGUGUCAAAGGAUGUAACAGGAUGUAACAAACAACUGAUCCUCUUCACAAGUAAGAUUUCUAAAAGUCAACACCACUUCUUCUGGGAGUCUUGCCACGCUCAACCGCACGGGCCAUGUCGGCUUGAAUUCGUAUCUGUCCCAUCGUGUAAAUCCGUCCUUCCGUGAGCAUAGGUAGGCACGCAAGUAGGUAGGCACGUGGUUUUUUUUGCAAAAAAGCUCUCCAAUUUUUUAUUAAUCGUCUUGGGGUUCACGGAGGCCCUCCUCCUAUAGUAAACGUGUUCGAUUUCUUUGCAACACGCCCCUAGGUUCCAGAAUAUUUCAAUAUCAGAAGAGAAAUUUCCAAUUUCGCGCCGCUUUUACAAAAAACCGUCGGCCGACCAUUUUGCGAAGAAUCCCAACGCGUGCCCGGCCUUAAGCCGCCGUCCUCUCCCAUUUCUAUCUUAGAAAAAUUGGUUUCAUAGCCCUCAAAGAUCACUACUUCCAUAAAAUACCAUUAAAAAGUGGUGAACCGUGGCUGAAAAUACCAUUGGGUUACCUUUUAUGGCUAACAGGAACCUUUUUCUGUCUACAGCGCAAAGUGCAUUGUCGUCUCUACUCCUUAUCUUCUUCCUUACCGUUCUCCAUCUCUCCUGUUACAGUAGCAGGCCAUGCUAGGUCGCCGAGGCGCUCGACGUUGCCUCCUCCCAUCGCUGGCGGCGCGAACUUCACAGCCGUGGUCCUCGCGAGGGCCGUCACCGUGCUCUCCGUCGCGCCGUCGGCCGCGCUUGUCUCCUUCAACGCACACGCGAGGCAAGGCCAGCUGCGCCGCAUCCUUGAGCUCAGCCCGCUCCUCUGCAGCCCAGCCGCCGCAUGGCCGCCCACGAGAUGGUCGUGGCGGGGCACACCUGUGCUCCUGCUGUUGCGCGCGUUUGUCCAGGGAUGCGCUGUGUGUUGCUGGUGGCCUCGCUCGCCAUGCGUAUGCCACCAUGCUGGUUCUUGCGCUCUACAUGCAUGUGCUCCUCGCGUGCUAGGAGCAUGGGAGGCUGGGACAUGCCCGCUGGGUGUCUGGACCAAGGAAAGAUUGGAGAAGCUAGCGUUUGUUCUGGUGACUGGUGCGUGUGCUGACCAAGGACAUUUAGUCCAAAUUAACAUUAUUGAUGCCAAAUUCUAACCGGGUGCUAUUUUAUGUAACGUUUUAAUCUCUUGAUGGCAUAACAGUGAUAUAUCUUUCAAUAAUAUUUUACGAAAGUGGUGAUCUUUUAGUACUAUGGAACCAAUUUUUCCCACUAUCUUUUCCUUCCUUUCUCUUAUUUCCUCUGCCCUCGUCCGCUCCAAGCGCCGCCGCCACUCGAGCUUCCCAGAUGACGCGACCACUCUCCCAUCCUUCCUCUCUACUCGCAGUUUCGGAAACCCCCACCACCCUUGUGACGCACCACAUACCCGACCCCGAGCCGCCCCCUCCCUUUCCUUUGUCUCUCUCCCCGGACUCUGGCGACCGCCGCGGCUGCGCCCCGUCUCCCACUCAUCCUCCCUCCGUCUCCCCGGUUCACAUCUCUCGUUCCUCACUCCCUGUGAACGUCCUCGCUGCAUGUUCUUUCUGGCGACCCAGCCCUGUCAAACAAUUCUUUUCAAGAACUGCCAAAUGUGAUUAUUGCUUUCCUGCAGUCCUGGGAUCAAUUCUGUGCCAAGAUUACCAAUUCCCUCUCUCAAAAAUUUGAAUCAUGCUUCUAUAGGUCCAGCUCCCAGGGAACUGUAGAUUUCUCGUUUCUUCAACUAGUGUUGUCCCCGUUACAAUGUGCACUCAGCACUGUUCAGAACUAGUGUUGUUUACUUGUCCUGGUUUCCUCCUAAACACGAGCAAGCAGACAGGUACAUGUAGCCUAGCCAAAUUAUGUCAUAUAUGCAUCUUUAUGUCUGGUGUGUGUAGUCUGAACAUUGUGUGUAGUCUGAACAUUUGAACAUAGUAUAAAAUCUUGUAUAUCGAGAUGCACUGAAUAUAUGUCUCACACAUCAUUUAGCACAACAAGUUCAGACAAGUGCUUGCUAAAUCUCUCCGACUAAUAAUGUCAUGGCUGACUAAGCUUUUCAGUACAAGUGAUCCCGGAGAGAAUACAAAGCUUCAAAAUUGCAACUUUUAACAAGUUUACUUUUGAGGGAUUUUACAGUAUCCUACACUACUGGUAUGAGGAUGCUAGUAUGCAAGUAUGCGCCUGUACUGUCCAUAGCUGCAUAGCUGUUGCACACAGCCAUUCAAAACUGUGACUAAUUCUGAAUAAUUAGUGUGCUGCAUUCAAAACGGUGCUGCAUAGCUGUUGCGCAUAGCUGCAUAGCUAAUGCACACAGGCAUUGAGAACAAGAACGGCUAUAUGCACAUUUGUUUUAGUCAGUGCUCGCAUUGGUCGUUGUCAGUGGUGCUUGAAUUUUUUUGUUUAAUGAACCUGAUGCUAUAUCAAUUCGUGUAUUCUAGUUGACAUCUCAAUCUUGCAUUUACAAUCAAUAUAUGAUCUUCCCCUCUAUUGUAGUUGUGGAGUCCAAGGACGGGAGGAUCUCAGUUGCUUCAGCAUUUGUUGGUCAUCAGGAAGGUGACAUUGCUGUUUCCUCACCCACUAGACUCUCUACUGUCUUGUGUGCUGCAUCUAUUGCUGCCUGCUCUUGCUGGUGUGCUUGGGAAUAAAAUAAAAAAUUUUGGUGCAUGUACAUUUAUGUCUCAGUAUUAAGUAAACUCUGGUGCAUGUCCAAUUUUUAUUGUCCUUGAAUCUGCAUAUUAUAGCAGUUAGGAGAUAAUGGAAUCUUGGGAGGAUGAAGUUAGUAGAUUCAUGCUAGAGGAAGAAGAGGAUGACGAGCUAUUCCUAGUUAUGGUUCAUGCAAGCAUUCUUUUAUCAAUUAUCAUUUCAGUAGGAUACAUGCCAUUUGUCUGUGCAAUACAUAUCUUGUCACAUCUCUUGUCUGUAAUAUAUCUUGACAGAUAUCUGCAACAUAUCUUGACAAUAAUUUUAACCUUGUCAAUACUAGUAUUACACCAUUCACUAUACUGUAACUUCUAAGAUGGUGACAUGUAAUGGUCAGGCUUUCGAGUAAUAAUAGCAAAAAGAGUAUUCAUGUGAAUAUCUAUGUGCAUAUGUAUAUAUUUGAUCAUUUAAUUUUUUAUAUUAUGUACAAAGGUUUUGCUCAUUAUGUGGACCCCAUUCUUGUUCAGUUGGCAUUCAUACAAUAUGAGCUAUACGUAUCUUUGAAUUAUCUGAUCAUAUGUUAUAUACAAGAUUUUAACUAUAUACCUAAAUUUUCCGUAGAACAAUUGAUGGAUCAAUAAUUAUCUGGUGCCUUAAUCAGAAGUGCCUGCGACUUGGAUGUGCUAUGCUGAAUUUAUUUAACUUGCAGUGCCUUAAUACUUGGUGAUUGAUAUUGCUUGUUGAUCUUUUUGACAUGUUACAGACCUUAUUUAUCAUUGCUAUUUUUCUGGAUUUUUUUAGUAUUUAUGAAUUGUGGACUAUUUUUUUACACAAGAUUUGGGUGGGAGCCCCUGGCUCGGGGGGGGGGGGGGGGGGUUUUGCCCAGCUCCGUUAAUUUAUCGAAGAGGAUUGUGCUGCCCAGGGUAGUUCUGGCCUGAGCUGCCAAACGAGCCCUUAGGGUGCCAUGGUCCCUUCAAUACACUUGACGAGGUGAAACAUCUAUUCCAGUGACGGAACAAGCCAACCCAUCGCUUGCGAAUCAGUUUUGUCUAGUGGCACGUAAUCGAAUAAAUAAGAAGGCCUUUCGAUUUGAAGGGGAUUGAAGAGGGUUGAAAGGGAUUCGGAGGGAUUAAAUCCCUUGCAAGUCAAAAUCCCCCUCAAUCCCCUCCGAUCCCCAUGGGAAGGGGAUUAAUUGAACAAAUCCGAAAUAGGAACCUAGGAGAGGAAGAGGAUGACGGAGGAGGUGGGCAGCGACGGAGGUGUCCGGUACUCUAGUAGCGAUUUCGGUGGAGAGAGUCGGGUGAAACACUGAAACAUGACAGCCACCCCAUCCGAGUAGUGCCAUGAUAAAAAUGGCAACUACAAUCACUGCUAAUUUUUUGGCAUGCCAGGAUUUCACUAGAAACUAUCCCUAAUGCAUCACACAUCGUAAUUAUUGCAUAAGUUACCAAAAAAGACGAUAUACCACAACUUUAACACAUGAGAUAGAUUUAUUUACAUGGAGUUUCGGUAAAUAAAUUUAUUGGACCCACAAAAUAUUGAAAUAUUGCAGAUUUUCCCCCUGAAUUUGGUUAUUUGGAAAACUUCUCCAACAUGCUAAAUAAAAAAAAAGAUUUGACAACCAUACUUUCUGGCAGAAUUACAGAGAUUAGCACUAGCUAAACGAGGGAGAGUAGCAAAGCUAUGUGAAUCAUAGCUUGGGAAAAGGAAAAACACCUAACAUUUGUCACCAUAUACACUUGCUACAUGGCUCGAUAACUUUCAGGUUCACAGCUGGGGGCACUCUCCCCUCGAUGUAUCUCUGAAUGGCAACACGGGCCUUUUUAGCCUCCACAAGUGCCUCCUUAUUCAGCUGCAGGCACUUAUCAACCUUGACAAACCUCCUAUCGUACCCACGGGUAGUGUCUAGUGUAAGGCACGCCAGUGCCUUUGUUUUCUCGAUAAUACAGAUCGUGAGCUCAAUCAUGCUCUUCGCAGAGCAAAAGCCGGUUAUCAUCACAUUCUUGAGGUUGUCGUGGCCCUGUUCUUGAAGGCACUGUGGACGUGAGUAGCCACUUGAGUCUUCAAUAACUGAAUCUCGCCUUAUUGUCGGCUGCGCAAUCUGCAUAGGUAUGCAUGAUAUGUCAGAAUGUAUAUUCAAUAAUAAUCACAAAGUUUCAAUUAUACUGAAUAUACUGAUUUUCACCCUAAAUAUGAAGUUUUUAAGAUGGUAACUUGUCAGAGUGAUGUCAUACCCGUACAAUGAGAGACUGCAAGGCAGGAGAAGCAUCAAGAAAAGAAAUAAGAGAGCAGAGAUCAUAGUCUUGGGAAAACUUUGAUGUAGACACCACUAUCUCCAAGUACUUGAGCUGGAUGAAUUUGCCAAACACCUUUGGUGUAUUGACUGUCUGAAGAAAUAAAUGUCCCCCAAAGAUUAAUUGUGGACUGAGUAAUUGAGUAUUGUAAACAUAAAACUAUUAUUCUACCAUCAGUUUCAUUUCCAGAACAAUGAACUUAUUGGGACGGAUAAAACUGACCUCAUCACUUGUUGAUAGCACAAGAGUUUGGAGAUUUGGUGCGAUGAAUGGAAAUUUGGUACUAGCAUAAUAUAGCGCAUCAGGUGAAUAGUCACGGAUAAAACUUAUUUUUCUCACUUGCAAUGCUUCGCCAAGCGAGAUAUGUAUUGGGCGGCCAGCAAAGAAGAAAGUGGAGAGGUUAGGGGCAUUGCUGUCAAUCAUUUCCAGCUUACUGCAACCCACCACAUUCAGGAUAUCAAGCUUCUGCAGCAGACAAGGUAUCUUCAAGCAAAUUAUAUCAUUGCACUUGGUAAACCUUAGUUUCUCCACAGCACAAGAAUUGGAUAGAAAACCAUAUAGUUCCUCUCCAGUAAUGUGUACUGAAUGCAAUUCCAAAUUUGUCAGGCUACUCAUAUAACCAACUUGGGCUGCACAGCGAAAAGAACAAUCCCCAAGCACAAAAGUCUGGAUGGAGCUUCUUAUCUCCCUACUAAAUAAAAGUAAUCCUGGAAGUUGUAGUUUAUCCCACAACUUAACAUUGAUAGAUAGAUUUCUUUGAUCCCAGGUGUAAUGGCACAUCGAAGCCAGCGGUCAACAUAACUAGGUUGGAGAUUCGAACAAGGGUAGGUUUCCAUUACAAACCUCUUCACUCCCAUGCUAGAGUGAUUCUGCAUAAUGUGGUCAACUCUACAUAUGAAAUCCCUUUUUAUUUCAUCAUCAUUAGAUGUGUUUUCAUUAAUCCCUAGAGAAC